GCCAGCUUCUUUAGCACAGGUUUGCUACCAUUUACAAAUCUCUAUGGACCUAUUAAGGAGUUGGUAUCAGAAGACAACCCUCCAAAGUACAGGGAGACUACUGUGAGGGACUACGACACCCAUUUCUAUGACAAAGGCCUAGAUGGAACCUCUGCCUUAUCUCAUUUUAAGAUCCCAACUUAGACAUGGAGGAGCACAGACCGCAACGAACAAAUCCUGUCUACUAAAUAAUUUUGCAUGAAAAUAUAUAUUGGUUGUUUAAUCUGAAAGCGCUUUCGCACCACAAAAUUCUGGAUAUGCAUAUUAUUUUGUUUUCUGUUUGCAUAUGGUCUAAUAUACUUGUAGAAAGGGUUGGGCUUCUACCCAUGCAUCUCAGGUACAAACUUCCCCUCCUAUAAAUUAUUGUAAUAGUUUCGAACUCUCUAUCUUCCGCAAAAAAAUUUAAAAAGUAAAUAAAGAAGUAAAAUUUAAAAAAUAAAAGGGGGUUUUCUAACACUUUUAUUCAUCAUGUUUACAGUUUUUGUGGCAUGCUGCUUAGCGCUUAACGAAUUCAACUGUGGUUGUGGUUGCGGUUGCGGUUGCAUAUCAAUACUAUUAUACCAUAAGUGUGGGCUUGUUUGAGAAUGUUUUUAUUUGUAAGAAGCGGUUUUACACAAUUGUGUCGAAAACCUGUUAAAGUAUUUAUUAUAAUCCAACUGCUUCUUGGAGAAUCACUCUCCGUAAAGUCAGCUAAAAAAAGUAGCCAAUCCCGUCCAUCCUCCACACUAUAUAACCCGUACACGAAAGAGGAAGCUGAGGAGAAAGCAGCCAAAAAUGCUAAGAAGAUUAUAUUUUUAUACUAUAUUGAUGUAUGACAAGUGAUAUGUACAUUUCCGGUUGCAAAUUUUGGUUCGCCGGUGUAGUGCACAUGGGAGGGGAUUGUCUAGCAUUGUUCCAAGCAGUUAGAGGCGGUCGGUUGCGAUGAUGUGUUUUCUACGGCGAGAACAUACAGGAGUCAUCAGUUAUUCUCGCAACCGUCUUCCAUAAUGAAGGACGAGAGAGAAAAAAACGAAUGUAGAAAGAAAACAUACAAGUUGGUUGACAAAAGGGGAAGAAAAAUUGAGAGAUACAGAGAAUAAGAAAAGAAGAAAAUCGAUGCAAAUUUUAAUACAUAUGUAGUAGAUCCAGGUAUCCAAAGGAUUCGGGGCUAAUGUACCUGCAUUGGUGAAAAAACAAAGAUGAGAUUUUUGGAAACGCAUCACAUGGUAGUUAAAACAUCCGGCCGUAAAUGAAGGGUUUGAGAUACGGCCAUAAUGGCAUCCCUCAGGUGUGAGUUUCUCCAUCGGAUCACUUAUUGUAAGAAUAUCAGUAGUGAAAGUUAAAUACCCAUGUCAGGAAAGGAAGUCGAUGAUGACAGAAGAGAGAUUUGGCUUGAAAAAUGUAUGAUGUUUGCAACAUGCGUCACCGGAGUAUGAACUUGAAGCUCUCCCUCUCUCCGUCGUUAAAUGUUUCGUAAGCAGCAUUGUUAAAGUUCUCUAUGUCAGGGGGGAAUCUGAAGAUGGUUUUGAAUGAAGAAGAAUGGAAAAUAUAAUUUAGAAAAUGAGAAAGAAAAUUAUAAUUGAAACUUAAAAAAUGAGAAAUAUAAAAAGAGAUUUACUAUUUUCUAGGAGGUCUUGGAGUUGGCCGUGACUGUAUGAGAGGAUAAGCUAAGUUCCAAUGGAAAGUGGAAAUUUUCAGAGCGAGAGGGUAGCGGUUUUUUCGCUUGCUCUCUUGGACUUUGGGCUUUUGGAUUGGAUUGGGCCAAUUACUUACUUAGGCCCCAUCCCAACUUAUGACCUUUUGUCGGUCUGUAUUGACUCAUGAGUCAGACUUGUAAGGCUGUCUUUAAUAAGUUGCCGCGUUUUGUCAAAACUGGUCCAUCUAAUUACAAAAUUGUAACCAUAUUAGUUGAGUGCAUAUUCUAAAUCACAUUUAGUGAAUAUUCAGUACGGGUGACACGUGGUCAAACUUGUAAGGUUGUUCAAUAAGAAGUUAUCACGUUCUCAAGAGUGGAGCUAGAGGGGAGCAUUUCCCUACCAAAGUGUUUUCCUUGUCCCCUUUACAAGGGAUUUAUGUCACCAUUAGACAGGAGAUUUGAACACAAAACCUUGAAUUGAGAGGUAAACGCUAUUACAAAGCUUCUACGAGCACCUUCUUGUUUACCAAACUUAUUGAGACUAAAUGAGGCCUUAACGCUUAUAUCUUAGGUCUUAUGAGUGCUCGUAAUACACUAAAAUGACACUUGUUUUCUGGCCAGGACAGAAACAAAAUCAUGCAGGAAAUUGUCAUGAAAACUUAAGUGUAAAAUGUGACCGGAAGAACACUAAACAGGAUAGCUAUGCUCUCUUAGUGUAAACCUUAACAAGAAAGACCAUACCGUAUCUGUCACAGUGAUAUGCGACCAUAAGCCCAACUCCAAGGAUCACCUUUCCAAGAGCUUUGAAGGCUACAAAUCAAAAGUUACAUGCAGUGAUGACAUACUCAUGAAAAAAUACAAUCAUAAAUUGAAGGAAAACAUACCGACUUCUAGUUCUGGCAAUUCACUAUCGGGCCAUAUAUUUGAACCACAGUAUGAGGGAUACCUACAAUACAGAUCACAAAUAAAAUCUGAGCAGACACAAAGUAUUAUGUUCUGUUUACGCAAAAUCUGUCAGUUCUCAGAUAGGAUAAAUAAAGAUAAACAUAUCCGAGCAUAAAGACGAUUUGUCCUGGCUAAUUCUGAAAAACCUUGUAUCAAAUGUAUGAUAGUUAUUCAUAACUAGCACAAACAACAGUUUGGCCAAACAUUACUGGUCGAGCCAUAUACUGUGUGACCUCAGACAAAACAGAUCCCACAUGUACUCAGAUUAUGAUUGAUGUCCGUAUAGACUUUUACCUUUGAAUUAGAGAUUCAUCUGUUGUAGGGGUAUCCAAUAUUGGAUUUGCAUAAAACGAGCCUUUUAACGUAUCUGCAAAACCAGAACACAAACGGACAAUGAUUGAUCCUAAGUUCUUAGAGUUUCCAAAGAAACAAAAUUUAAAACAAAGAACAUAAAGUGAUAUCAGGCUUUCCAGAUUUCUUUUCCAUGACUCCAUCCAAAAUUUAUGAGUUAUGAAUGGAAUAAUGGAGCAAAAUAUCGUCGCCAAAACAGCGCAAUCUACAAUGUACAUGAUGGAGAAAGUACAGCAACAUUACAUUAAGUUCAUGUAACCUUUGGUUUCACAUGUAAGCCUUUGGUUUAUAUUUUUAACCGAUUCGUUAAUAAAUUCUUCCUGCACAUAUAGUUUCAACCCGAAACCGAAAAUUCCAUUGUCAAACAAAUAUGUAUAAUACCAGAAUUAAGUAAAUUACAACAUAUCACCAUACCGAUACUGAUGUGAUUCAGAAUUAAGCAUUUUUAACUUAUCAUAACUGGUAAUGGAAGAGAGAAUCAGUAAUUAACACUGGUGAUUCAGAAUUAAGCAUUUUUAACUUAUCAAAACGCGUAACGGAAUCAUACACGAGUGAUUGAUAGAAUUCCCAACCCAUUUGGUCCAAAUCCUUCUUCAAUCUUCACUGACAAGUCUUUGUCCUUGUCCUGUAUCAAUCAAUCCAAAAUCAAAAAACGCAAAACUAGAAAAAUUGAAUCCUCGACAUGAUCGACGAGUUAAAACAAAACUAUGAAUAAAACAAUUAUAUUCUGUUUGGUUGCUGAGAAAAUGAAGAGAAUAACAACCAAAAAGUCAACUGAAAUAAAAUUUUGCUCAACUUUCAACGAAUUCUCUUGAGUUUCUGACCACCCAAACAGAAAAUAAAUUAAAGCCAAUUAAACCAAACUCUCAUGCUCAAUUUUCUCGGCAACCACAAACAGAACUUAGAGGGGGGAGGAGAGAGUUACUUGGAGCUCGGAGUAGGAUAUGGUGACCGGUGUGACGGUGGGGACGGCGGGGUCGGAGGACGGAGGCAUAGUUCGACAAGAAAUUUGGCGGGAAACACGGCGGUUGGACUUUGACGGUGGGGAAGAAUCCGUGGGACAGAAGAGGAAUUUUGGUGCGGAAGGAGGCAUUUUAUAUAGGAGGGAGGGAGAGAGGUUGAGAGCGAAAGGCGUGAUUGUCAAUUUCUUUUUUUUUUUUAAGGAAUAAAGAAAGAAAAGAGGUUGAGCAUCAAUUGCUUUUCCCUCCAAACCAAAGAAUAUAGAGAGUUUUAACGAAAAGUCCACGAUACUAUUUACUUUAAUGAAAAAUUAUAUUUUUACACUAAAAAAUCAAACCUGCUAUUAUUCACUUUAACCUUUAUUUUGUCUUUAUCGUUGAAACUCAAAGUUUUCAAAUCAUUUUCAUUAGUUUUCCUAAGAAUAUAUUCACGAUCACGAUGUGCGGCAAAAAUUGGUGGUGAGGACAAAUAUAUUAAAUACAUGUAAGUAUUAGUUAAAUUUAAAAUUAUUUGUGUACUAUUAAGGAUUUGUUUGAAAGUGUUUUUAAAAUGAUUGAAAGUAAUUUUGGUUAAAAUGUUUUUUAUAUCAACUUUUAGUAAAACCAAGUGGAUCCCAAAAAAACAUUUGGUGUACUUUUUUACAAAAAAUGCAAUUUUAGAAUCCAAAAUUAAUUUAAUAAAAGUGGGUUUAGUCUUUUUUUAUUAUUUUUUAUUUUAACAAAGGAUAUAAUCUAUCUUGAAGGUGAGAGGGUAGACUUAACCUCACAAUGAGCUAGCACAUUAAUAAUGUGAUUCAAAUUCGCCUUUGCGAAAAUUGAAUUUAAGACCUCUCACUUACAAGUGAGGAGGAAUGCCUUAAAUCGUAGUACUAAGUAAUGUGUUUAAUCAUUUUUAAAAGACUUUAAAACGAGCCCUAAUUUGUAUCAAAUUAAAAAAUGUUGAAUUGGCCGGAUGUAAUAUGUAUUGGGUAUUUCCUCAUUCAAUAAUAUUUACGUUGUUUUCGGCAAAAAAAGAAAGAAUUCAAUUGGAAAAAAUAAAAAAAUGGGAAAUAAGGAUAUUCUAAUUAAGGUUUUUAUUCAUUGUUUUAGGUGGAUGGUUCAUAUGAAGAUUAUGAAACACUUUAAUUCUCUAAUGUGAGGUUCCGCCUCGAUCCAAAGUUAAACAGUGAAAAAUAUAAUUAAGAUUGUUAUUAAUUAUCAAUUCAUGUAUAUUUCCCCAUGUAUUACGUUUACUAAGUUAGACAAUGAAAAAUACAUAUAAGGCGUUACGAGAAUAUGCGUGGCUGUCAAGUCUGACACGCAAAUAGCAUGCUCAACUUGUAUUACUCCCUAAGGAUUUUAUCCAAAAUUGACGAUGAGUGAACAAGUUGAAAGAUUAUGCACUACUUUAAUUAUGUAACAAGUGAAGAGUCAAUAUUCGCCAACCCGACAAGUUCCACUUUUUGUUCAUUUUCUUGACGAAACAAUCACAUUUACCCUUACGAUUCCGGGCAUAGAGUAUGUGUUGGGUUCCGUUACAGUUCCAACACUACUUAGCACCGUAGAGAAGGAAAUAAAAAGACAACUUUGGAUUUCUUACAACGUAUUGAGUCUCUCUUCAUGGCUCUUGCUGUGUUGUUCUUAUCUCACGUCCUGUUUCUCGAGCUUGGUGUUUCCGGUUGCAAAUUUUGGUUCGCCGGUGUAGUGCUCAGGGGAGGGGACUGUGUCACAUUGUUCCAAGCAGACAGAGGCGGUUGACAACGAUUGCGAUAAUGUGUUUUUCUACGGGGAGAACAUACAGCAGUCAGCAGUUACCUUUUCACAACCGUCUUCAGUAUUUGGAGGCACCUCAAGAAAUUGUCGAGGACAGAAUGUAGAAAAGAACAAAUAUCGAAGUUGAUUGACAAAAGGGGACGAAAAAUUGAGAGAUACAAAAAAGAGGAAGAUAAGAAGAAAUUCGAUGCAAAUUUUAAGCUUGAUUAGUUAUUUUUCAUUAAUGAGCGAUACAGAGAAGAAGAAACAGCUGCAUUUGGAGAUAGCCGCUUUAGUUGCCUAGUUUGUAACAUUAGCUUUAUGUAAAUCCGGGGAAGAAACAGGAGUAAAAAAAACACAAUCAGGCAGUACCAAAGAAGAAAAAUGUACAGUUAGGAACAAUCACCACUUCUCAAACUUUGUAGUAGAUCCAGGUAUCCGAAGGACUCGGGGCUAAUGUACCUGCAUUAACCAGAAACAAAUAUCAGAUUUGUGGAAGGGAGUCGCAUAGUAGUUAAAAUACUUGGCCGUGCGUGAAUGGUUUGAGAUACCACCAUAGAGGCAUCCUCCAGGUGUGAGUUUCUCUCGUAUCCGAUAACUUAUUGUAAGAAUAUUAGCAGUGAAAAAGAAAUACCUGUGUCGGGAAAGGAAGUCAAUGACAAAAAAGCAAUUUGGCUUGAAACAUUGUGUCCCCGUAUGGAGCUUGCAACAUGCAUCACGGAAUCAACUUGAAGCUCUCCACCUCUCCAUCUGUUAUGUUUCAUAAGCAGCAUUGUUAAAGUUCCAUCUGUUUGUGGGGAUAUACCUACAGAUCCUCCUCCUGGAUUCUUUGCCUCUAUACGUGAAAACCCAACAUCUGGGAACAAACAAAUUACAUUCUCUGGCAUAGCAAGAACAGUCCUCUGAAAUGUAUCCAUACAAAGUUAGGACACAACAAAUUCAAUAAGGCAAUGUAAUUCACAACAUUGACAAUCUCUGUCUGACAAGGCAAUAAUACCUCUGUAAUGAUCCGGUAGCGACCGUGACCUGAUAGGCCAAUACCAAAGCCCACUGUUAUGCCAUCCAUGAAGCUUAUAUGGGCUUCUUGAACUCAGAGAGUUUGCAUAUUAGAGAAUACUCAGCAGUGAAUACCUGAAAAACGUGCAGCACAAAUAUCAUAUCGGCAGCCUCUCAAAUCUUAAGAAAACUACAAAUGGUAUCUUAGAAUAGAAAUGAAUCCUCUCCAACCAAUACAAAUCAUAUUACCCAAGUUCAAGCAAAAUCAAGAUUAAACAAAUGAUCAGAUUUGUAGGUUGCCCGAGAAUGUCAAACAUGAUAUUACAAAAGAAAAAAAAAUAUUGUAUGUAUUGAUAUUAAUAAAUACAUGCUGAAAGCACAAUCUUAGCCGCAAUUUUCGCCCAUGAGCGGUAGGUCUCGGGUUCGAGACUUGGGAGCAGCCUCUCCAUAAAUUGGGGUAAGGCUAGCCGACAUUCACCUCUCCCAGACCCUGCGUAAAGCGGGAGCCUUGUGCACUGGGUACGACCUUUUUUUUUAUACGAGAUUGAAUAGCCAAAGCAAUUAAAGAAGUAGCAGAACUCAUAUAAGUGACUUUCACAUUGAACUUUUAGGCUUAUCAACAAAUACAUCAUUAUGAUUCUAAUACAUGAAUUUUGUUAAAAGGGCUUGCUUGCUUGUAUUAAGGCUUAAUCAUCAAUGAUUUUGCAAGGGUCAAUCGUAUUGCUAGUUAUAAAUAUAUUCACUAUGAAAAUUACCAAAAUUACAUCUAAUAUGGUAGUGAAGGAAGUCAUCUUAUAUUAUCUUGAUUUUAGAAAACUGUGUAAGGUUAUAAGUCUGCUAUUAUAUAUAGUUAAAAGGACACAAUUAGACCUCAAUCAUAUUCGGUGGUUGGUUUUUGGUCGUGAUCUGCUUCACAUCACCGCCUGCAGGUAAUCUAAAUCUGGGUUAUUACUUAUCAACAUAGUUGCCAGAUACGGAUACAGUUCGAGUUCCUGAUUCGGUUCGGGUACGGAAUUCGAUGGUAACCUAAAGUAUCAUUCGUUAGAGAGUAUACAUAGACAGCACGAUAUUUAGUUCGAUCCGUUCUUAAUUCGUUAAAAAUAUAAAUUAAAAAUAUUUAUAAUAUACAUUUUACAAUAAUAUUUAUAGUUAUUGUAAACAACUAUUUUUGUUUAAAUUGAUUAUUUUAUAAGCAACUAGUUAUUUACCCAGAUGGGUCCCCCCCCCCCACUAACACAAUAAAAAAAUGUAAAAAUUACAAUUAAACUAAACAUUUUCUCUUCGUCUGCCCUCUACCUGAUGGAGAGCUUCCCAAAAUUCCAGUUGUUUCCAUCCUCUCUUCUCAAAAAAUUAAAGGUGUUUUUUCUUUUCUGUAUUCUGAUUAAAAAUUAUUAAAGAUUAUUGGAUGAAUCACCGAACUGACCACCGAAUCCAAAAAGUACUGGUGCGUACGUACCGAUACGGGAUUCGGACACCAUUUCACCGAAUCCGGCAACUAUGCUUAUCAAUGAAUCAACGUGCCAACUUAAUGGACACCAUCUAUCUCUAUAUGGCAAAAAAACAACACAAAAAUGAACAAUGAAGUGAAACAAUAAACAACAUGACGUGAAACAGCAUGAACAUCAAAGACUAACUUUGGUUCAAAGCAAAGCGUAAUGUAGAAACCUUCGGCAGAACAGGGGUGUUUUUGUCCUUUUGAAACAACCACUUUAAUAUCCUUUCCUGCAUUUACCAUGAUUGGUCACUCUUAAAACCUUACCUAAGAGACCCAAAAACAAAAAUAACCGCCGAAAGAGCUAAACAUACAUAUCUAGAAAAACUUAUUUAACUGCAUGCUAAAAUGGAAGUGUAAAAUUGCCAGGAAAGAUAAGAAACUAUUCAAAUACGAGUUCUGGGCGUUACCGCCACAAAAGGCACGACCCGAGCGGCUAUCAACAAGAACACACUUCACAUUUGUGUCAGCUUCCCCUUCAUCUAGAUAGCUCUUGUAUUUCACAUCCAUAUCUGCAUUUUCCAACAAUUCCCACUUAAACUGAAACACAUAAUUCUUUGGAAAAAAGCUAACUUCUUCGAAAUUUGAAUCCAACGUUUCGUCUUAUAACAAAUGCAAUACCAUAGAUUUGUAAUCAAUACGAUGCCAUAAAGUUCAAGCUCAAAAAUUCAAAUCAGCUCCAAAUCAAAAGCAUUUACAGAUACAUACAUAUAUACAUGUGCGUGUGUGUGUGUUUAUCUACAUACCUAGGUUCAUGGCGUUGAGAGCUCGGGGGGCGACCGAGGGUGAUGACGGCGACGCCAAUUGGGUGGAUGCUGCUCUUGACGAACGCGUCGGCGGCGGCCAUGAUCCCGAAGGGGCGGAGGAGGCGAGGGGAUUUGGAGGGUUUGUAAAGAGGGAGGUUCGAAUUUGGAUUGAGGAAGAAGAAAGCGGACGACGAUUUGCUCAGAAUUUGGGUCGCUCCUCCCAAUAAGCUUCCCAUUACUUCCGUUCGAGAGUGACUCUGUCAGUGUAGAGAGAGAUAUAAUUUUUGUGCUUCUAGACCGGACUACCCUUGAUAUUUCGAUUAAAUUACCGGGAAAAAAGAACUGCCGCGGUGGCUCCAGAGGGAAACUUGAAAUUUGAAAGAAAUUUGAAAGAAAUAUGAAAUAUGGACUUGCCUUCAUUUAUCGAACUGAUUGUGAUGAUGACGAUGCAUCACCACCUUGAUUGUGCCUCUGGAUCAAAAACACAUCUUCAGGAUCAAAACCGUGCAUAUUUUCCUUCAGAGGUUUGUCCCAUACUAGAUUAACCCCUGUUCCCUUAAUUGUCACAUAAUGAAUUUUUUUGAAUGCCUCUGGCAUUUCAAAAGUUACAUCAACUUUAUCCCCGCUUUGCAAAUUGAGCUUAUCGUUCGAUAUUUGUCCUUGCCAAAGAAAACAUUCUUUAAAUACAAUAUCGCGCAUUUUUAUAACCCAAUCUUCCUUGCUUAUGCAGGUGUGCAACUCGAUACGCUUGGUAUUAUUUAUAUCAAUACUGGCACGAUGAUGACCAUUCCAUCUGAUACAAGUUCUUGGCUGAUAAGGAUUGAAGCAGUAAAGGCAUAACAGAGUCAGCCCUUCAAACUUACGACCAUCACUCAGGGGGAUAUCAAAACUGACUUUAUUACCAUCGUUGACAAACUCGAACCAAUCAGGAACAUAAUUCCCAUUGAGAAAAAUGCCACCAUAUCCGCAAGAAGUCCAUCCCUAUAUACACAGUGCAAGUGUCAUAUAUAUAUACAUGUACAUGUGCGUUGUGUGUGUGCAUGUGCCCAAUAGGAAGACAAUUAAAAAGAGAGAUACCUUUAGGAUGUUCCUCCUUAAAUCAAUCCUGAGUUUGGUGCAGUUACUCAUAUCAAUCCAUGUCAUGGAGUUUAAUGACUUAUCCAAGUCUGGAACCUCAGUGAGUGCGUGUGAAUCACUUACAUCCAGUUCUCUCAUAUUCGACAUUUUCGAAAAAUUGGGCAUUGUUACCAAACAAUAGCAACUAGAUGCACCCAGAAAUUUCAAAUUUGUUGGUAAAUCAUAGAUUGUAUGAAGGUAACGGCAGUUACUUAACUGCAAACUUUCAAGAUUUGAAAGAUCACUGAGGAUGGGUAGGGUAUGAAAAUAAUUACCCGAAAGAUUCAAACCUUGUAAAGAAAUUAGACUCCCAAAACCUUUUGGGAAUGCAUCAUCGCUUAAUCUGCACCAUGAGAUCUAAAUUUCUUAAAGAAUCUAAGCCGUGUAACGAAUCGGGAAAUUGCAAAGGAAACUUCGAUUGCACACGCUCUAGAGAUAAAUAAGUGAGAUUUUUCAAUCUUACUGUGGAACGCGGUACUUGUCUUAUGGCUGUGGUAGAUGCUCUAAGUUCUCUCAAUGAUGUCAUCUUCCCUAAAUCCUCGGGCAGUUCACUGAAUUGACAACAUAGAUAAAGAUCAAGAAUCUGAACGGAUUUGGACUCGUAGAAAUCCCCAGGAAGAGAAUUAAGAUUCUUGCAGGCUAUGAAGUUCACAAAAGAGAGUUUUUUAAGAUGACCAAUGGAGGGGUGAAUCUCGGACAAUCUCUCACACCUUUCCAAUAUCAAAUCUUCAAGAUUUGGGAGAUUUGAUAAGUCUGGUGAUUUUUUUAAGUCCUGGCAAUAACUGAGAUUAAGGAUUUUCAAGUUUCCAAGCGACUGUUGCAAAAUCAAAGGAAUAUUAAAAUUAAUAUCCAAAAGGAAUAUCUCAUAUAAAAAAGAGAAGUAAAUAAAAAAAACAAAUAGAAACAUAACAUCAUGAUGUGUAAUCGAUUGUACCUUGGAGCCCUCCCAAACUUGUACCAGUUUGCUAUUCGUUAUCUCUAAAAUAACUAGUCUUGGUUGAUCAAAGAAGUCAUCUGGUAUAGACUUUAAGGGGCAUCCUUCCCAAAGCAACCAUAUUAACUCUUUGGGGAGAUGUUUGUAUUCUCCAUUGAGCUGCACGUUGUAGAGCCUGAGCAGUCUCAGUUUCUUCAUGAUGGCAAAUGCUUCUGUACUGAAACUAGGCAUGUUAGAGCUUGGAGGCAAAGAAGGGAAAUAUGGUGCUAGCCAUUCAGGGAAAGGAGGGAAAUAUAGUGCUAGUCCUUCAACUUCUUCAGUUCCCUGUUAACAAAAGGUUAUAUUAAUGUGUAAGAAACGGAUUAUUUGCAUACGUUUACAUGUAUGAGUACAUGCAAGUACUAUCGUUGGCUAAUUGAGAUGAAUGUUACUUAUUGUAUAAUUCACACCCGUGAGUUAUAUGUGCUUUUCGUGUACAAUGCAUUAAUUCAGAAUUUUAUUGGGAAUGUACUUACAGAUUUAUCUCUCAAUACAUUAGUGACAUCUUGAUGGUUCCACAACCUACUCCAUUCUCUAGGGGGACGACGGUAAUUACCAGAAAUGAUUACUUUGGCCAUUUCUCGAAGCAAAUCAUGCAUAUUCAACUUGUUGUCUUCAACAGUUAUAAGGCAUCGUUCACGGAGGUCAUUGAUUCCUAUUGUUGCAAAAAAGUUACAUCCAUCUAAUAUUUUUGCGACAUAAUCCUUUUUCCAUCCAAUAAAGAAACAAGAUAUGUCAAGGAAUAUAUCCCUCUGGGUAGGAUCUAGCCUUUCAAAGCUUACUCUUAGCGGUUUCAUUAUUCCUUCAUUAGGAAUUUUUUUCAAUUUCUCCAACUGGCUUUUCCACUCUGUUGGGGAUCUUUCAACCAUAGAAGAACCUAAAACUUCAAGGGCUAGUGGCAAACCACCACAGUAAGAAACAACCUCUUUUGAGAGUUCAAGAUAUCCUUCAUUAGGCCUACUAUUUCCAAAGGCAUGCCAACUAAAGAGCUUCAGAGCUUCUUCUUCAUUCAUUUCCUUAAGUGGAUAUGUCUUGUCCACUUUCAUGUUCACUUGCUUUAGUAAACGUUCAUCUCGUGUCGUUAUGAUAAUUCUACUUCCUGGGCCAAACCAAUCACGAUUUCCAGCUAUUGCAUUUAGUUGUUCCACUUUGUCUACAUUGUCAAUAAUGACAAGUACGCUUCUACGUUGGAGAUGAUUUUUUAUCAGACUGAUACCUUCAUCAACACUGGUUAUCUUAGACUUGUUCCGUUUCAAGAUGUCAGAAACAAGUUUGCCUUGCAAAUCAGCCAGAUCAUAUUCACUAACGUUGGCAAGGAAGCUUUUGAAUUGGAACUUAUGAUGAAUUUGGUUAUAAAUGGCUUUGGCAGCUGUUGUUUUACCCAAUCCGCCCAUCCCCCAAAUUCCAACCAUGCGAACUUCUGAUCCACCACUUGAAAGAUAACUGAUAAUAUCUUGAACGCGAGAAUUGAUUCCAACCGGGUGCUUGGCCACAUGUAAUUUGUUUGUGCUUAGAAGCCAUUCCGGAAUAAUCUUAUCAACAAUUUCUCUAAUCAGCUGUGCUUCGCACCUGAAAAUUGAAUUGGUAAGCUUAGUAGGCUUAGUAGGAGCCAUUAGAACAUAAACAAUUUUCCUUCUUUCCUUCGUGUGUGUGUGUAUACACACACACACACACACAAUAACUAGCUACUAGCUAAUAUGUGAUUUUGUGACCAACUUGAAUAGAAGAAACAAUUUCAUGCAUUGAUUUAUUAAAGUUUGGUGUAUCAAUUAAACUCCAAUUAUGGUUUAGAUUUUAAAGGAAAUUGGAGAAAUGGUCCCUGAACUAUGAUCAAAUUGUGGCUUUGGUUCUUAAAACUUUAAAUUAUUAAAGUUAACUCUCUCCCACCUCCCUCCCACCUCACCUCCUCCAAACCCCAGCCACACCAUUGUAGCACUUUCCCAACAGCCAAAACAAAAGAAAGUUUCUAAUCCAAAUUUGGAACACAUCUCCCCUUGCAAACAAAUUCACAAUGACAUCCAUCCACGCUAUCUCGAAAGGUAAAAUUCAAGAAAUUUGUGGGAUGCGGGAUCGGGGUUAAAGUGAAGGCUGUGGUCCAUGGGCUAUAGGUUGGGGCCGGCUGGGGAGUGGGGAUUAGGGAUUGGGGGUUGGAAGUGGGACGUUGACGAGGUGUGAAUCAACGAUUGAAGGUGAAGGGGUGGGCUGCGAGCCUGCGAAUGUUGGUGGGACGAGGUAGGCCUGCAAUUAUAUAUAUAUAUAUAUAUAUAUAUAGGUGAAACUAACAUGUAAAGUUGUAAACACUUUCAACUAAAACUUAAAGAUAUUGGUUACGAAGGACUAACGCUCCAUAUUAUCAAGUUCAAGGACAAAAUAUAAUGAAUUUUUAGUUUAGGAACCAAACUACAAUUUUCCUGUAGAUUUUAAAUGAGAGAUUAAGGUGUAUUAAUUAAGCAUGUUAAUUAGAGUAAUACAACUUAAAUAUUGAAAUGUAGGAGAAUGAUUACCUAUUAUCAGUGAUUUGAAGAUGGUGGCCAGACAAAUUUGCAGCUUUUGUAAGAGCCUCUCCCCACUGCUUUACCCCUUGUUUAGCUUCACGUUUCUUGUCAUCCUUUUCUUCACCGAUGCCUUCUUUGUGCUUCUGAAAUUCUUCGGCCAACUUUGCAGCUGUUGUAAGAGCCUUUCUCCACUGCUUUACCCUUUCUCGUUUAUCUUCACGUUCCUUGUCAUCUUUUUCUUCACGGAUGUCUUGUUUGUGCUUCUUAAACGCUUGGGCUAAAACUCCGUUCUGCUUCCUGACAUGUGAAGGAUCAACAUGAUAGAAUAUUGGCAAAACAUGUCGCCCCAGUUUGUCUCUGCACUCCAUGAUCUUCACCAGCUCGUUAAGACACCAACUCGAAUCCGCAUACCUCUCUGAGAAGACAAUGAUAGAGAUCUUCGAUUCUUCGAUUGCCUGGAACAGUUCUUUUUGUAUUUCUUCCCCUCUUUCUAGAUCAUCCUCAUCGAUAUAAGCCUGGUAUCCCUUGUCUGUUAAUGCCGCAUGGAGGUGGCCCGUGAAACCAUUGCGUGUGUCUACACCGCUGAAGCUCAAGAACACGUCGUAAUUCCAAAGUUUUGACUUGGAGGAGAAUGAAGAGGAGGCUUCGUGGGUUGUCAUGGUGGUAUCCACCGUUAUGGCACUGUAGUUGUUCAGAUCACGACUAAAAAAUGGCAGUAGUUGUGUUCAUACUGUCGAACGGAUGAUCCUGAAAUACCUAAACCCAAGUCAAGCUCCUUCAGUCAACAAGAACAAAUAUUAUAUAUAAUAAUGUUGGCCGGAAGGUGCAGAGAAAGGGAGAGGAAAAGAGAUAAGAAAGGAACGAAAGGAAUGAAAGGACAAAGACUAUCCAAAAGAUUCUUGGCUGUGAUUACAGCUAUUCAUAGGAGAAACAACGGACAUAUUUUUAUAGGAGAAACAACCUGCCCAUCUUCAUAUAUAAUGCAUUUCAAUAGGAGAAACAACUUUAGUUUGUACUAGAAUUUUUUACCCGCGCGUUGCUGUGGGAUUUGAAAUUGUAUGAAAGAUUAUCUUUGAAAUAUAUAAUAGAUUGUGUGAUCGAAGAUUAAUACUAUUUACAUUGCAAAUGUUGAAAAAAGUUUUACAUACAAAAGAUUUUACGAUACAAUCCACAUACAAAAGAUGGUAAAUUUUUUUCUAUCUACAACAUGCAUUAUGUUAUGGAAUGAUAUAUAUAACUAAGUGCCAGAAUACAUAACUUCAUAACUUAUAUUUUUUUUGACAAAUUAAUCACAUUCAACUGUGGGAUAGCAAGGUUGCCUAUAAAAUUGUGAAGUCAUGGAAGCAUAAAGGACAAAUAACAAAUGAGUUUUGAGAAAUUAUUCCACAAAUGUCAUUCUGCAAAAUGUAUUAAAGACGAUUGGUAUAAGAUUAGUAAUCAUGAGUAGUGUAACAACAUCAACAAAGUAACUAUAAACCAUAGUUGAACAUAAUCCAAAUAUCGUUUGCAAAAACAAAAGAAAAAGAAAACAGACUUACAAUAAUUCAGCCUUCAAUCCUGAAGUCCUACUCAAAGAGCCAAACUUGAAUGCAAGCUUUCUGAAAUCUUCCAAACAAUACAGAUAAAAAGGUAACACCCUAGUCAGAAAUGAACCGAGCUGCUAGCUUUCAAAGAAACCCAGAUGACAAAAUAAAAAAAUAGAAUGGAAAAAUGACUUGCACAUUUAAGGCUUGCUCGAAUCUUGAUCUAAAAUUGGUGGCGGGUUGAUUGUUGGUCACCAACUCUAAAUAAAGAAUUCAUCAGAACCUAGAAAUUUAAACAAAGAAUUUUCCAAAAUCAACAUUUACUAAAAACCAGUUACUUGGUUAUCAUGCAUGAUGGCUUGCCAAAGACUGAAUUAAGGAAUGCACAACUUUACUUUUAUGAUUAUUUUCAAUGACAGCUAAAAGGUCAGAUCCAAAUGACAGUUAAAUUCCUUUUCUACAAAGUUCGAAAUUAUAUGGCAGUUUGGCAUCUGUUGAAUAACAUGGUUGAAAGAUUUAAAAUUGAUACAUUCAAUUUUUAUGUGUAAAACUAUAACAUAUACCUAAAGCUAUUUGGUCUAUAUAUCCAUAUCAAUCAUGUUGUAAUUAAAUGUUUAUCGAUGUAAAUAGAUGAUUUCAGUCAUGUGAUAACAUGUUUCUUGAUGGUAUACGCUGAAGUUUGGUCUAAGUUGGAUAAAAAUCGACCAAAAUCUUAGUAAGAGACUCUUUUAACUUUUAACCAAAAAAUGAGCACCACAAUACUACACUUAUAAGUUUUUAUCAUGCACAAAAUAUACAGCACUGAUAGCCACUUUUAGAGCAAGAACAAUACUUUACCAGACGAAAACAACAAAACACUCAAAACCCAGAAACAAAAACACACUUAGGACUCAAACUCCUCAAAAACAUGAGAAAGAGAGUGCGUGAGGAGAGAGAAUAAAAAAAAAUAUUAUUUUUCACAAACUCAAAAUUGUUUAUAAAAUUACAAAUCAAAACAAAUGAAAAUCCAAAAUUGCCCUAAAUUAAAUCUGUUUAGUUAAAUGUUUAUUGCCCUUCAAAUGUUAUUACACCUGACAAUUGCUUUGAAGUUGAUAUUUUGGUCAAUCCAGGGGAAAAGGAGUUAUUGCUUUUGGAGCAGUUGUCAUGGAGAAUCCCAUCUCCAUGUUAAAUAAAAAAAGGUCGUACCCAGUGCACAAGGCUCCCGCUUUACGCAGGGUCUGGGAGAGGUGAAUGUCGGCUAGCCUUACCCCAUUUUAUGGAGAGGCUGCUCCCAACUCUCGAACCCGAGACCUACCGCUUAUGGGCGAAGACACUUGCCAUCGCACCAAGUGGCCACAAUAAUUUAGGAGGCCCUUCUCUCCAGAUUUUCUCAAUAACUUUCCUUUUCGUAGCUGGUAAGAUUGCAACUCCAAGAAUUGCUCUGAAGAGAUAUAUACAAACAAAAUCAAACUAAAACUAAGCUAUUGGAAGAAAUUUACAAAACAAAAACACAAUUUCAACUCAGAGUUAAAGUCAACAGAAACCAAAUGGUACAAGUUGACAAAAUAUAUGGUCAUGAAUCGAGAACUUCAUCAAACUAACAGCAAUAAAAUCUCCUAUAAUCUGUCUAAAACCAAAAAAGAGAGAGGUAAUUUCAAGACCUUGUAACGCUGAGGCCUCGUACAGUUGUAGUAAUAAUAUAUGGUUGAUGCACCUGUUGCUCAAUCAAAUCCUUUGUCUGGCUAAAAAAAUAAAAAUCUAUAAAUACAUUCACGUCCAAUUUAUGAGAAAUCAUGGGAAAGCAAAUGCACUGAUAACGGAAUCAUGAAUAUGAAGAACUUGCCAAAAAGAAAAAGAAAACUUCUUGUAGUGUGCCAAGAACAUCCUCCUACUCCUAGCAAAUUUUUUAUGGCAUUAUCCACUUCUCAAUUCAUAAUUCAACCAGUAACUCAAAGUCUAUAGUGUAUGAAAAAGUGAUAUCUUAGUUGAUCUCGAUGAUAAUUAAGUAGAUUAAAUGACGACCCAUAAAGCAUACAAAUUCAGAAAAGAAAAGGUUGAAAACUGCCAUAAGAAAACGCAGAAUAUAUAAAUGGGAAAUCAAAAGAAGAGAAGCGAAAAAGGAAGAAAAAACCAAACAAAAUUAUUAGGUUUGGGAUAUACCUUUAUCCGAAAGGCCACAACCAUCAAAGUCAAACAUAAACAAUCCAAAAAUUUGUGGAAAAUAACAAUAAAUGCUUAACUAAAAAUGAAAGAAAACGUAGAAUAAGUUUACCUGUUCUCCCCCUAAUUAAACUGGAAUACAAUUCACCACUAAUAUUCUUGUCAUCCUCUUCAGCCUGAAAAAUUUAGUAGAAAUAUUCAAUGAAGACGCUUAAUGGAGACAGUAAUAUUAGCAAUGGAGGAAUUGAAUUGAUAACUAAAACUGCAAGACCAAAUGACUACAAUAGGUUCAAAACAGAAACUCGUCUGUUAGAUGUCUCAUCUUUAGGCAGUGCCUUGUUCUUUGUUGCAUGUCUUGUGAAGUUCAUGUAAAUCAACAAAAUUGAUACUUUGGACACACCAACAAUGGAGAGGUAAAAAGUGAAAAACAGAAGGAAUGUCUUCAGAUUUGUAAUGGAUUUUGCAAGUCAGAAAUUCUGUUCGAGAAUUUGCAACCCAGAAAGUCCACCAGCAAUUAUUAACAAUCACAGAUAAGCACCGAAUGAAGGCCAAUCUAAUACAACAACAACAACAACAACAACAAAGCCUUUUCCCACUAAGUGCGGUCGGCUUGAAGGCCAAUCUAAUACGCCAAAAUAUUCAGGGCACUAAAGAACUUAUUGCCCAGUAUCAACGAUAGAUAAGCACAUGUGAAACUAAAGAAAUUUUUCAUUACUAUCAACUCCAAAAAAGAUAACCUAUGCAAUCCAAAAAAUGUUGAUACAGAGUUGGAGUAUCGAUGCUUGAAAUUGGUAUUUGAACCACCAACUACCUCCGUGAAUAUGUUUGUUUGCUUAAUGGUUUGGGUUGAAGUUGCGAAAGGAAAUAUAAUUUCUUAAAAGGAGAGAAUGCAGAGACAAUACAGAAUGGUUCACGUGGCCACCUCAAAACAGAUUGACAAUUAAGCUUCAUUAUGAAUGGAAAGAUUAAUAGAUGAUAAUUAAGAAGGCCUGAUACCCAAGCCGAAAUCAGAGAUAUCCUUUGUAAACAAAGAGAUUGAGCAUUUCCACUAAAAAAUAACCUUUUUUGUGAGGGGUGGGAUUGGGUGGAAGGCUAGAUAAAGACAUCAAAUUUUAUACUUAUUGCAUGCAAGGUAUGCAACAGCCUCCCGCCGAUUAAAAAUCCCAGAAAUAAAAGAAAUCGAAUCAAGAAAGAAGAUAAUUGCACAAUAAUUACACCUUCACUAAGAAAAUAAAUUAUAAAAUCGAAGACCGUGAGAAUAAUGUCUUAUACAUUAAGCCUGCCAAUUACUAAAAACAAAACAUUUUGCCAUGAGGAGAAGUAAGAACAUACCCAAACUUGUUUGCAAAUAGAUGAGAAAAAUUUAUACCUGAAACAGAUGGAAAAUUUAUUAGGAAAGAUAAAUCAGCCCACAUGUGUGUAAUCUAUAUACAAAAAACCACUCUUUUCAUUAACCAAAUCGUUUCACAAAUCCAAAAACACAGAAUUAUAUCUUGAACAAUGCCAAUUAAUGAUUUCCCAUUUACUUAAGCCCAACAUCAAAGCCAAUGAACUGAUGAAAGAGCGAAAAUGAGAAACAUAAAACCUCAAUUAAGCAAUUAAAUGGAGUAUUACUUGAUAGAGCUGGAAAAUUACCCAGUAAGAUUAAAAAAAAGAGAGAUGAGAUGGAGUGAGAAUCACAUACCGGCAUCACCUUUAAAUAUGUAGUGCUCCUCAGAGAGAGGAUCAAGAGUGACUGAUGAGAGGGCAGAGAACGAAUGAUUGAGAAAUUCAAGCUCUGAGCUCAAAGUUGGGGCCUCCACUUUCCAACUGGGGAAGAAAUAACAGAGAAAACACAGAGAGCCAAUCCACCAAAACUAUUAAUCAAAUGGGUUCCGUCUAAUUCAAAAUUUGGACCACCCAAAUUCCGAUGAAGCAAUAACCAUUCAAAAUUCCAACAGAUUGAAGCCCUCACAGACUACAAAUUAUCAAUACCCAGCAAUAAAAAAUUUGAAAACAGUAAUAAUGAAGGAAAAAGAAAUUAAAGCCGCAAGCCAUUCUCUAAAUCUCAGGCACCAAUCCAAAUCACCAGUAAUUUGCACAUAAUGAUAAGAAUCUAGCAGUAUUUCCAUUGUUUAAAACCCAAAUUCAAGAAAUCAUGAAAAAUGGAAACUUUAUAUAGAAAUUGAAGCUUUACCUGCAGAUCAGCAGCAGCAAACGGAAUCCAACGGCAUGUACCUCAAAAGUGAGAGAGAGCUGAGAGAUGAGUAAGAGAAUCGGUAAACAAAACCCCCAAAAUCACAGAAGGAAAUUUAAACAGAAAACAAAUUUGCAAAUCCAAAAUCACAAAAACGAAAUUGAAACACGAAAGCUGUAAAACUGACCAGGAACGCUAGCUUUUCUGGGUAAAAACUUUAUUCGAAUCGAAUAGAAGAACCGAGGAAAGUUCUACUGGUUCAGUGGUUAUUCCAGCAAGAAAGCACCUUGUUUGUAAUUCGUGAGAGGUUGGAACUUGGAGAGCGAGAGAAGCCGAUUUGGGAGCCAAAGAAAGCGAGGUUGGAGAACGACGGAAGCUGAGAAUUGCGAGAGAGAAAAACGAAAAGGAAAGGAAAAGCGGAGAAAAAGUCACGAUUAUCGAAGCGUGCGAAAAUGAACGGGGAAUGGGGAUCUGGCUGAGGGAGACAGAAUUCGAGAAAGCGGAAUGAAGAGAAUCGAGAAGAGGAGGAAUCAUUUUAAGCGGAUGAUCGACGCGUGGGAAGUAAACUAUUAUUUACAAAUCUAAAGCAUUACCCGAACUUAUAAUACAAUAGCUACUUUGACAGAAGAAAAGAUGGAGAGUGAGAUGAUUGCAUUCCUUUUCAAAACAACUUUUAAGAUUCCAUAAUAAACUAAUAUAUAUGAAGAUGUGCCCCGUGGUAAAAGAGAGGAAGGAAAGAUUAUCAAAAGUUUAUUGUUCGUGAAUCGUGAUUACAGCUAUUCAACUUUUGUAAAUUUUCUUAACAUGAGUGAGAUUUGCAUUCUUUUUCAACCGAACUUCUUUUGAUUUCAUAAUAGAUUAUUAUACGAAGGAUAAAUGCUUAACAGAUUCUCUCAAAAUCGAUGCUUUUCAUGAACUUUUUAGCUAUCUUAUGUUUUUAGACUUAAUUACACUAACACUUUCUGUGGUUUAAGAUAGUCUUACGUUUGAAAUAUUACACUAACAUCCUUUUAAUGUAAUGUCUCAAACGUAAAGGAAUUUUGUGAAAACUCGACUAACUUUAGGAGUGUUAGUGUAAUUAAUCUAUUUUGUGCAAAUAUUGUAAAAUAUUUUACCAAAUACAUUAAGAGCUCGUUUUGAUGUGUUUUUAAAAUGACUAAAAACGUUUUUAAAUAAAAUAUUUUUUUGUUCCAAAAGCACUUAAAUUGUUUUAUGCAAGAAGCACCAGUUAUGUGCUUAUUCCAGAAAGCACUUUAAAUGUUUUUCUAGAAUUUACUUACAUUUUUAUUAAGGAUUGGUUUAAAAAACAUUUUCACAAAAAACGUUUUCAGUUAUUUUAAAAACACAUCCAAACAAGCACUAAGUAGCGGAUAGUUUAUAGACACUUUCACUUUAAAAAGUAGGGAACUUUAACGAAAAGCACCCGGUACUGUUCACUUUAACGAAAAACCAUAUUUUUACACUAAAAAAUCAAUCUUGGUACUAUUCACUUUACCCUUUAUUUUGUUCUUAUCAUUAAAACUCAAAAUUUUCAAGCCAUUUUCAUUAGUUUUCUUUAAAAAGUAUUCUUGCAUAUUUCUAACAGACAUGUACGGUGGAAAAAGAUCACUUCAUAAUUAAAUAUUAUGUUGUUGAUUACGCCUCUCUCUAUUUGAUUAAGUUUCUUUUCACUCUUCUCUAAAAAAUAAUGGUUUCUUUUCACAUUAUUAAACCGUUGUAAAGUAAACUUUUUUUUUGUAAAAGUGUUUUUAAUUAAAAAAAGUAAUGUCAAAGUGUUUGGUAAAUUUUUAUAUAAAUUACUUUGAAUAUAUUAAAUAACUAUAAAAUAUAUACUAUUUAAUGUGAUAUAAUAAUUGUCAAAGACAAUAAUGUAUGAGCAAAAAUUGUAAUUUGUAAAACAUGUAGAGGUAUACUAUUUGAAAAGUUCAUUAAAUGAGCGUUAAUUAUUAUACUUUGAAAAAGAAAAAAAAAUAUACUUUUUUAGAAGCAUAGUACACCCUACUUCUCAUUUUCUGUACUUUUUUCUACUUUUAUUGACAGUAGUUUAAUAAGUUGCUUUCUUUGAGAGUACUCAAACCAAUCCUUAAUAAGUGACCAUUUUGAACUUUCUUGGCGCCAUCGGUGUGGAGGGAGAGAAAAGAAACUAGCGCAAAACUACAGACACUCGAUUCGUUGUAAUAUAUAAUAAAAAAUAAUAGUCACGUAUAAAAUAUGGUACAAUUAUAGUUCUGGCAUAUGUCUCUACCAAAGAUAAUCGCCGUGUCUUUCAAAUUUGUUGUUAAAUUGGGGACAACAUGAAGAUUUUCACACUAAUCUAAGUACAACGUUUCAAACCUUGAAAGACCACUAAAGCUUUGAAAAGUCUGGUGAUUUUGUUAGGUCAUGUGAAUGACUGAAAUUAUCGAUUUUCAACUUCCCAAGCAACUAUUACACAAAAUAUAAUUUAAAACUCAAGAGGAGGAAUCAAAAUCGAUAGUGUCUUCAACUUAACCACUAAUAAGUGUAGAGUACAAAAGACCAUGCAAUUAGUAGUUGUGCCCUUCAACAAAAAGAGAAUCACAAUGUUAGUUGGUCACAUCACAUGCCCAAGGAAAACACGGUACAAAAGCACUAAAAGCGUCCAAGCGAAAGUGCUUUCUUCUCAUGUAGUUUCAUUUAACUUAUUUUACCACAACAGUAAAUAUAUUUUACCACUGCGCCAAUUACGAAAAUGAACGGGGAAUGGGGAGCUGGCUGAGGGAGACAGAAUUCGAGAAAGCGGAGUGAAGAGAAUCGAGAAGAGGAGGAAUCGUUUUAAGCGAUGAUCGACGCGUGGGAAGUAAACUAUUAUUUACAAAUCCAAAGCAUUACCCGAACUCAUAAAGAUGCUCUAAAAACUUUCAAAGAUUCCACAAUUUCUGUUUGAUUUCAUAAUAAACUAUUAUACGAAGGAUAAAUGCUAAAAAUUAGUCUCAGGAAAGCACUUUGUUUGUAAUUCGUGAGGUUGGACAGCGAGAGAAGCCGAUUUGGGAGCCAAAGAAAGCGAGGUUGGAGACAGAAUUUGAGAAGCAGCUUCCUGAUUUUUUUUUUUUUAUGAGAGAAGGCGGAAUGAAGAGAAUCGAGGAGAUGAAUCAUUUUAAGCGAUGAUCGACAUGUGAGAAUUGAGACGAUCUUAUAGCAACGCGAUAUUCAGUUUCAUCACACCAGUUAACUUGUAUUGGUCGAGUAAAGCACAUGUUACUUUCUGAAAAUUUGAAAUACUACAACGCAAAACCUAUCAAGAGGAUGCUACCAUGUGAUGCAAGAAACGAAAAGGUACAAAGUCCAGACUCACUCUGGUUGUCAUUUUCCCCAAGCGCAGAUGCAACUUUAGCGAAUUAAGUUUGUCUCAAAGAAAGUGUCUUUCCAAAAAAAAAAAAAAAAGUGAAAACGGAGCACCCUUCCCCAGACAUUAAGGGCGUGUUUACGUACACGUAAUCAGAAUAAGAAUGUGGAAUUGAAUUUCGAUUACGGAGUACUCUGAUGUUUACUAAACAUGGAGAAUAAAAAAAGCAAUGGGGCCCACACAAAUUUUGGAAUUCAAUUCCUUGUAUUGGUGGAAUUUGAUUCCCUAGAUAUAUGUUGUAAUUCAAUUCCUGCUUGUUUGGACAAUCGGAAUAACACUUUUGUUCCCUUUAUGUCCUCACUUACUUUUUUUAUUUCCAAGACUAUCCUUUAUAAACUCAUUAAAGUAUAUAAAAUAUUUGAUUUGGGACAAGGGUAUUUUAGUAAUCAUACUGGUUUAUAAUUCGAUUCUGCUGAAUUAGUAAAAAUCUUUAUGGAAUUAUAUUCUGAUUUCAGAACAUUUAAGUAAACAGUUUCAACAAGAAUCUGAUUCUGACUUCUCUUCAUUCCAACUCCUCCUUAAUUUAAUUCCUCAUUUUUUUCAUUACCGUUAUAUAAAUGUGCCACAAAGAGCUUCAUUAGCCCACUCACCACUGCAAUAGAAACAAUUUGAUAGAAAAUACUUGAUAGCAACAUACAAGCCUCUAUUUUAUUGGAAAAAUCAAAAUACAAAAUCAAUGUUAUCAAUUUUCUAUCUAAAUGAGAAUUACGGUUUAAGCGAGUUAUGUGGAUACCUAAGCAGGUCUAGCGCACUUUCUUAAUUUUCAAAUGCUUAAGAACUAAUUAGGACGCUGAUCAGCAGCCUAACGUUAGGCGAAGAUUUUUAGAACAUUAAUUACUUGUUCUCCUAGAUCUCCGAGUCCAAGAAAAUUAUGAUCACCCAUUGUUCAAUCUUAAUAUAGUCAGUACGUGGUUAUUUAACCAUUUUGUUAUAUUUAUCCUUUCUCGUUAAAUUAAGUAAGUGAUAAUAACUUUCCUGGAUCCUGUAAUCUAGAAGAACAAGACUAUAUAUCACAUGGAUAAACAUAAUCAGGCAUAAGAAAAAGUCGAAGAAUUCAUAACAUAGAGUAAUGCUAAAAAUACUAAAUUUGUAAACUAAAUGACAUAGAAGUUGAUCGUUAAAUUAUUAUUUAAAUAUUAAUAAACGUGUUCAUGCUCACACAUCAUUUAAUUUGUAAAUUUUAUUUAUAAAUCUUAAGCAUUACCUGAACGCAUAUAAUACAAUAGCUGCUUUGACAGAAGAAAAGAUGGAGAGUGAGAUGAUUGCAUUCUUUUUAAAAGCAACUUUUGAAGAUUCCAUAAUAAACUAUUAUGUAUGAAGAUGUGCCGUGGUAAAAGAGAAGUAAAAAGGAGGGAAGGAUUAUCCAAAAAAUUAUUGACCGUGAUUACAAUUAUUCAACUUUUAUACAUUUCUUCGAACGGAGAUCCAAGAAAAGAUGGAGAGAGAGAUUGGCAUUGUUUUUCGACACAACUUCUGUUGAGUCCAUAAUAAACUAUUAUAAGAAGAAGGAAUGCUAAAGAGAUUCUUUCAAAAUCAAAACUUUCUCAUGUUUUUGGGGUUAGUUAUACUAACAUUUUUUCUUUCGUAUAAGAUAUUACGCCAACACUCCUUUUAGUGUAAUGUCAAACGUAAGGGGAUUUUGUAAAAUUUGAUUAACUUCGACGUUAGUGUAACUAACCUAUUUUUAUGCAAAUAUUAUGUCAAAUACAUUAAAUGGCGGAUAAUUUAUAAACAAUGUCACUUUAACAGAGUUUUCUUACAUCUUUUUUAUAGAUAUGGACGGUGGAAAAAGAUCACUCCAUAAUUAAAUAUUGUGCUAUUGAGCGCGCUUUCGGGGCGCUUUCGGUGCGGGGUUUUGGCCUCCGCCGCUCCGCGUGCUGUUCUUUUACCUUUUUAUCUGCCAUUCGCGUGCUCCGCUGGUCCCAGACCCCUGAACAAUGUGAUGAUGCCAACUAACGUUAACCCCACUAAAGCAUCGGAAAUUGCGUCUGAGGAUAGAAAAGGCAUACAUGCAGAUCCUCCUCCCGGACUCUUUGCCUCUCUAUAUGUGAAAACCCAUCUGGGAACAAACCAAUUCCAUUCUCUGGCAUAGCAAGAACGGUCCUCUGAAAUGUAUCCAUACAAAGUUCGACACACAAAAUUCAAAAAGCCAUUGCAAUGUAAUUGACAACAUUGACAAUCUCUGUCCGACAAGGCAAUAAUACCGAAGCCCACUGUAAUGAUGGUAACCUGAUAGGCCAAUACCGAAGCCCACUGUUAUGAAAUCCAUGAAGCUUAUAUGGGCUUCUUGUACUCUCAGAUUUUGCAUAUUAGAGAAUACUCAGCAGUGAAUACCUGAAAAACGUGCAGCACGAAUAUCAUAUCGGUAGCCUCUCGAAUCUUAAGAAAACUACAAAUGGUAGCUUAGAAAAGAAAUGAAUCCUCUCCAACCAAUACAAAUCAUAUUACCCAAGUUCAAGAAAAAUCAAGACUAAACAAAUGACCAGAUGUUGUAGGGUGCCUGAGAAUGUCAAACAUGAAAUUACAAAAGAAAAAAAUAAUCGUAUGUAUUGAACAUUAAUAAAUACAUGCUGAAAGCACAAUCUUAGCCGCAAUUUAUGACAUUCAUACAAGAUGGAAUCGCCAAAGCAGUUAAAGAAAUUGCAGAGCUCAUAUAAGUGAUUUUCACUAUGAACUUUUAAGCUUAUCAACAAAUACAUCAUUUCGAUUCUAAGGCUUAAUCAUCAAUGAUUUUGCCGUUGGAUAGUGGCCAAAUUAGCGGCCGACUGAACAACAAGCCAACUCUCCUUUCGGCUAUUAAACAAAGAAAAGUUUGGUGGACAUCAUCAUGAGUAAAGACACAAUGAUGAUGUUUGUUGAAAAGAAAAAGGAAGGUCAUAAUGAUGUUUGUAACUUUGGAUUUUUUAUAGUCAAAUGGAAUUGGGUUUAUUUGGCUCCUUCCUUUGCAACUUGACAAAAGAGCUUUUUUUUGGUAUUUUCUAAGGCAGCAGCAGCUGCUAUAUGUUUGAGGAGAAGCCGAGAGAUACCAAGAAGAGCGUUCGGCUCUCCCAUUUGAAAUUUUGUUAGUAAUCACUCAAUCAAAGAUGUUGGUGCUACUUGUGUAGCUUUUGGGAGAGAAGGAUUUUGAUAUGUGUUUCUUCUUCUCCAUUUGUUUCUUAGUUUGAGUGAGAGCUAUUGGUUGUAUGUGGGAUUUAGGUUUGAGAGUUAAAACUCUAUUUGUAAUUUCCUUUUGAUAUUAGUGGAAUUUCCUCGCCGUCUCGGAACUGGACGUAGGCUUACGCCGAACCAGUAUAAAUCCUUGUGUUUUUUGGAUUAUUUGUCUUGUCAUAUUUUGCCGUAUUAGCUUUGGUUUCAUAUUUGAAGCUUUCACACAACAUUUGCAAGGGUCAAUCGUAUUGCUGGUUGUAAAUCUAUUCACUAUGAAAAUUACCAAAAUUACAUCUAAUAUGGUAGUGAAGGAAGUCAUCUUAUAUUAUCUGGAUCCAAAAUUGUACCUAAACAUGCAUGACAGGUAAAAAGAAGAUGAGCAAUAAAACAUUAUAAAGAUUCCCAAGAAAAGCAAUAAAACUACGUAAAUAUUAGUUAAUAAUGUCAAGACCAUAGUCUGUGACAAAUCCAAGAGUUGAGAUGAGACUAUCUUUCCGGCAGGAAUUUUUGGAAUUUUUCUCUAUUGUAAGGAAAACAUAGAUUGAUGUUUGUGUUUACACGAAAAUUAUGCCAACGGCUUAGGAGAAAUCAAAGCAUAACAAUGGGACUAAAAUGACUUACCUACUAUGAGGAUCUUCAAGUUCCUUCUUCACCUCUUCGGGCAGAUUGGCUAAUCUAAUAAACGAAAAGAAAACUCCCAUGAGCAGUGCUAUAACAAACUAUCUUCCUAAAUUCAUUAUGAAUUGCAGUUAAAACUUAAAAUGAACAUGAAAAUCCUACGUAGAAGGGAUAUACCUAGGUGACAAGCCUAGAAGAUUCCCGCGCAAGGAAGAAUAUCCCGGAACCUGCAAUUGGAAACUCAAAGAAACAAUUACAAAGAUGCUAGAAAGAAAAUACGUAUCAGUUUACAACAAAACGCUAGCGCUCAUGAGAAUCGAUUAGGUAUGAAGCAUCAAAACAAUAGCAUGAGACAUCAUAACUUAUGAGCUAUGAAUGGAAUAAUGGAGCAAAAUAUCGUUGCCCAAACAGCACAAUCUACAAUCUACAUGACGGAGAAAGUACCCCGACAUUACAUAUGCAAGUUCAUGUGGUUUAUCUUUUUAACCGAUUCGUUAACAAAUUCUUUCUGCACAUAUAGUUUUAACUUACCAAAACUGGUAAUGGAAGAGAGAUAAUCAGUAAUUAAAAACGGUAAUCGCAUAACGAAAUCAUACUUGAGUGAUUGAUAGGAUUCCCAACCCAUUUGGUCCAAAUCCUUCUUCAAUCUUCACUGACAAAUCUUUGUCCCUGUCCUGUAUCAAUCCAAAAUCAAAAAACGACAAUUAGAAAAAUCGAAUUCUCGACAUGAUCGACGAGUUAAAACAUAGCAAUUAAACAAAACUAUGAAUAAAACAAUUAGAUUCUGUUUGGUUGCUGAGAAAAUGAAGAGAAUAACAACCAAAAAGUCAACUGAAAUAAAAUUUUGCUCUAACUUCAACGAAUUCUCUUGAGUUUCUGAGCACCCAAACAGAAAAAAAAAAAUUAUAGGCAAUCAAACCAAACUCUCAUGCUCAAUUUUCUCGGCAACCGCAAAAAGAACUUAGAGGGGGGGGGGAGAGAGAGAGAGAGUUACUUGGAGCUCGGAGUAGGAUAUGGUGACUGGUGUGACGGUGGGGACGGCGGGGUCGGAGGACGGAGGCAUAGUUCGACAAUAAAUUUGGCGGGAAAGACGGCGGUUGGAGCGUGACGAUGGGGAAGAAUCCGUGGGAACGAAGAGCAAUUUUGGUGCGGAAGGAGGGUUUUUAUAUCGGAGGGAGGGAGGGAGGGAGGGAGGUUGAGAGCGAAAGGCGUGAUUGUCAAUUUCAAAUUUUUUUUUUUAGGAAUAAAGAAAGAAGAGAGGUUGAGUAUCAAUUCCCUUUCCCUCCAAACCAAAUAAUACAUUCACGUUCAUGAUGUGUGGCAAAAAAUUGAAGGUGGAGACGAAUAUAUUAAAGGGAUGUGCUAUCCACACACCUUUUUUACUUCUCACACACCAUUUGUUAAUUUCUGUCCGUUGAUCUUCUUCAUUUCAUCUGAUCUAACGAUCGAAAAUUAAAAGGGUGUGUGAGAAGUAAAAAGGGGUGUGUGGAUAUCACACCCCUAUAUUAAAUAGGUAUAAGUAUUAGUUAAAUUUAAAAUUAAUUGUGUACUAUUAAAAAUUUGUUUGAAAAUAUUUUUAUAAUAACUGAAAGCGUUUUUUAUUAAAAUGUUCUUUAAAUCAAUCCUUAGUAAAACCAAGUGGAUUCUAAAAAGUCAUUUGGAUUACUUUCUACAAAAAUCACAUAUCUUGAGCACUUGAAGCGCUUUUGGAACCCAAAAUUAAUUUAACAAAAGUGUGUCUAGUCUUUUUUAUUUUUGAACAAACGAUAUUAUCUACUUUAAGGGAGGGGAUGAGCUUAACCUCACAAUGGACUAUCAUAUUAAUAAUGUUCAAAUUCACCUUUAUUCAUUUUUAAAAGACUUUAAAACCAGCACUAAUUUGUAUUAAAUUCUAAAACUUUGAAUUGGGAUGUAAUAUGCAUUGGGUCUUUAAUAAUAUUUAAGUUGUUUCCGGCAAAAAAGAAAGGAUUCAAUUGGGAAAAAUAACAAAAUAUGAAAUAAGGAUAUUCUAAUUAAGGUUUUUAUUAAUUAUUUUAGGCGGAUGGUUCAUGUGAAGAUUAUGAAACGCUUUAAUUCUCUAACGUGCGAUUCCAUUUCGAUCCAAAGCUAAAUUUAUAAAUUUCUAAUUUUUACUUUCUAAUUUUUACAAAUUUCUUUUCAUAAGAGUAUAAAUUUAUAAAAUUUGGUUAAAGGAUCAAGAAGUUUAAUUAGAAGCAAUGGUUUUUGUUGUUUAAAAUUAGCAAGAGGUCCUAAGUUCGAAACGCUUUGGGCAUGUUUAUUUUUUUCAAUUUUAACAAAUUUUUGUUUGGUUGUUAAUUUAUUUUUAGUUACUAGCUAGUAGCUAUGUAGGUUGUUAUUUAAAUAUUCGUUUCAAUUCAAGUCCAAUCUUCAACAAUGAGUAAUACGUAAACCAAAUUUGUAGCGCAAAUUUGUAAAUUAUAUGACGUGUUAUCAAAAUAUUUAAUUUAAUGCUCAUUCAUUACUAAUACAUAUCAAUUAAGGACUCGAAAACAUCAUUAUUGUUUUUAGUCCCAUAUUGACAAGGUUAGUAAAUAAGAAAAAACACCUCAUGAUUUAUACAAAAACACUUUCAAAGUUCAAAUGGAAAACAAAACUCAUCGUCUAUCUACUUAUAAGCCCAGAGUUGUUUGGUUUUCUUCUCUCAAUACAAAAUAAAUUAGUCCUUUUGUGUUUCUAAAUUAUUGAGUUUGAAGUGCUUUUCUAAGUAUAAUUUUAUUAAUGUCUUACGUGUGAAAAUAAAUAAUUUUCUUAUAUGAAGUUAGGGCACUUUUUUUUGUGUCGUCCCGAGCCUCAAAAAUCUCUGGACCGGCCCUGGAUGUUAUGAGAAUAUGUGUGGUUGUCAAGCCCGACACGUGAAUAACAUGCUCUCUACUACUUUAUUACACUGUGAAGAUUUUAUCCAAAAUUAAUUGACGAUGAGCGAAUAAACUGAAAGAUUAUGCGCAACUUUGAUUAUGCAACGAGUGAAGAAGCAAUUUACACCAACCUCCAGUCAAGAAUUUGGGCUCACAAUCACUAGCCAAUAUGCUUUUUUCUCAUGCCUUAAGUUCAUAGUUCAAUAUUCUGGUGUCCGAUGACCCUGACACGACAAGUUCCACUUUUUGUUCAUUUUCUUGACGAAACCAUCACAUUUACCCUUACGGCACGGCACAGUUCCGGGCAUGGAGUAUGGAUUGGGUUCCGUUGCAGUCCCGACACUAUUUAGCACUGUAGAGAAGGAAAUACAAAGACAACUUUGGAUUUCUUACAACGUAUUGAGUCUCUCGUCAUGGCUCUUGCUGUGUUGUUCUUAUUUCACGUCCUGUUUCUCGAGCUUGGUGUUUCCGGUUGCAAAUUUUGGUUCGGCAGUGUAGUGCUCAGGAGAGGGGACUGUUUCACGUUGUUCCAGGCAGACAGAGGCGGUUGACAACGAUUGUGAUAAUGUGUUUUUCUACUGGGAGAACAUACAGCAGUCAUCAGUUAUCUUUUCACAACUGUCUUCAGUAUUUCGAGGCACCUCAAGAAAUUAUCAAGGACAAACGAAUGUAGAAAAGAAGAAAUAUCGAAGUUAGUUGACAAAGGGGACGAAAAAUUGUGAGAUACAGAGAAAAAGAAGAUAAGAAGAAACUCGAUGCAAAUUACUUGAGUCUAAAGUAGGAGGGGAAAUCGUACUAUUCAUAUGAACAGUGUUUUAGACCACAUUUCAGUUUAUUUACAAGAUUGCCACUCAGAUGCUUUUAGCUUUUAACGAAGAUGCCAUCAGUUCGAAUGAUGGGAAUGCCCGUAUGGGGUUAACAUCACACGGUUGGGGGUAAAAGUUGUGUUUGGAUCAAAACUUAACUUUGGGCCCAAGCAAAAGAAUGCCCAAAAGAAGGCCUGAAGGAAGAGUCGGCCGAAGCCCAGCCGAGACCCAGAAAAGCAGGAAAGGGCCUCCUCUGACUUGGUGCAGCUCAUGAAGACCACUUGCCCACCUACCCAAAGGUCAAGUGGUAUAGACUGACCAGCUACACAGCCCGUAAAGUACUUUAUGGUGGCAUUACAUGUAAAAAAACUGAUGAGUCAUCACCCUCAAACCGCAUUCGGGCAAGGCUGUUGCUACAGGAGGACAUGCUGGGUUGUCUAUAAAAAAAGAAAGAGAAAUCAGGAUUAAGGACACUCAAUCAAACAAACAAAUGCAAGCACAAACUCUGCUCAAAAGCUAGAUUUGCCUUCAAAACGAAGUUGUAGUCAGCCCAAGCCUUCAUCCCUCGCGGGAUAACCUUUCCUUCAAACCUUUGUAAUAGCUCUGCUACCUUGUUCAACCUUGUUGUAGUAUCGAUUCACCUUUUGUAAUCUUUCUCCCUCUCUCAAAACUUUCAGACCUUUAACAAAACUACAAAGAUAGGAGCCUGCAAGACGAGCAGCCUUGCCUGAUAAGGUUUAACCUUGCCCGACCUUCUAUGCUUUGUAUUUUUUGUCUUUUCAUUCAUUAAGCCUAGUAAUAUGUUGUAUGAUCCCAGUUAUAUGCAAGUUAUUUCUAGCAAGAUGACCAUUAAAAAGCUUUCUCAGUACAUAGACCCGAUUUGAAUAGAUCUUCAGUAUUCAAAUCAGAUCUAAGUCAUAAGCCCUCGGGCAUGUAUAUUUGAUCAGUUAAAAGUCCUUGGCCUCCAGGCAUAAAAAAGAACCUUAUGUGGACUUAACCCAUCCACAACAAUCCUUGAUAAACGAGAAGUCCAAAGUUACUUGGGGCGCAAGUAAUCGACCUACCAUUUAGUUUUAUUUCUAUUAUAUGAUGAUUAUCAUAGAACGUUUAUGCAUGGAAUGGAUUCUGAUAGGAAGCCUCAAGGCCUACACCUAAGGCCCCACAAAGGCACCUAUUUGGGUUCAUUCCGUUCUGCGGUCUAGAGCGUUCUGAGUAGAAAGAACAAAUUCUGAUAGGAAGCCUCAAGGCCUACACCUAAGGCCCCACAAAGGCACCUAUUUGGGUUCAUUCCGUUCUGCGGUCUAGAGCGUUCUGAGUAGAAAGAACAAAUUUCUGAUAGGAAGCCUCAAGGCCUACACCUAAGGCCCCACAAAGGCACCUAUUUGGGUUUGUUCUAUCUCUCGGACGCAGGUAAUCAGAAGUAUAAUAGUUAUAAAACUCCUGCAAUCAAUGGAAUAAGUAUUAUGUAUUCGAGUACUGGUUUAGUAACCGAUGGGAAGCCUCAAGGCCUACACCUAAGGCCCCACAAAGGCACCUAUCAUAACUAACCCGGUUCCUCGGGCACAUAUAUAUAUACAUACAACUAAAACUCGACAUCCAUUUCAUAUCUGCCAUGCUGAAGAUGGCAGUGGCACGCCUGAGUACCUAAAAGUUAAUUUUGAUUGUGAGCCUCAAGGCCUACACCUAAGGCCCCACAAAGGCACAUUUCAAAGUUAACUUUGUCCUUUUCUUUCAGCCUUGCCCGACGAGCCUUGCCGACGAGUCUUGCCCGAUAAAGAUUCGCCUGACGAGACUUGCCCGACAAAGCCCAACCGUGAAGCAGAAGCCCGACAGCAGCCCUCAACCGACGCAAAACCUCCAGGGGAGCUGUGCAUUUCGCCGACCAGGAUGGAAGAAUGGACAGCCUACUAAACCGAUGGGAGCCUACUAAACCGAUGGGAGCCUCUAUGAUCAGGAGAGUUCAAAGGCAGCACAAAGCCUACAUGAAUUCUCUGAAGACCCCCGCAACAUCUGAAGCCUCCCAGAAUAAAAAACUGGAGAAGACAUCAUCUGGGGGAAGUAAUCAGCUCCGCUGGAGAAGUAAGAAAGAGGUGGAAAAUGCCAGCAGCAAAAAAGAAGGUGUGGGGAAUCAUGUACCGCAGAACCAGCACCCUGGGAAGUAUAGGAUCUUGAGGAGAGCUCAAGAAGAUCUGAUCAUGGUGCCAACCCCUGGAUGGAAGCCAAAGCCUACUUGCGUUGGAGCUGUUUCAUCUGAAAGGAAACCACCUUCUCUGCCAUUGGUAGAUCCUUUUGGUGAAGUUCCAAAACAAACACUAUAUGCGGGCAUGAAUCAACAGCAACAGGAGGGGGCACCAGAACCACUACUUCCAGCCGAUGCCAUGGCCUGGUUGGAUGAGUUUAUGGACCAGAUUGGGAGCAAGAAAGAAGAUUUGCUCGAGCCUAGUAAUUUCCAUAUCAACAUGACAUACGUAUUAUCUGCCACGUUUGGUGCCCGACCUGAUCAGCCAGCUACUAUGGAAGGUGAUUACUUGACAACUGAGCCAAUGAUGGCACAUGUCAAUAUAGAGGAAGUCAAAGAAGGAGAAUCGGGCAAGGCUGAAACUUCUGAAGCAUCCAAAAGUGGUCCUUUAAGGAUUUAUACCGAUGAAAUGGUGUUCAGCCGCCCGAACAUCUCGCUAGCCAACCAUCUGAAGCCCAUAUACGUUACAGCUCACCUGGAAUGUGUGCCCUUCAAAAGAAUUUUAAUAGAUGGUGGAGCAGCUGUUAAUGUGUUACCAGCCAAGCAAAUGAAGAAAAUGGGAAGAGGAACGGAGGAUCUUAUUCCGACAGACCUCACGGUCUCUAGCUUCUCAGGCGCUAUCACCAAGACCCAUGGGAUAUUGCCUUUAGAAGUGGAUUUGGGGUCUAAGCAAAUCAUGCUGGCAUUCUUUGUGGUGGACUGCACCUCCACUUAUGGAGCCUUACUCGGAAGAGAUUGGAUCCACCAAAGUCUGGCCAUACCCUCCACUCUUCAUCAACAGGUAGCUGUUUACCAUGAGGCGGGCACAGAAGGACCAGGUUUUUGGGAGAUGGUGGAGGCCGAAUCAGGGCCAUUUCUCCCCACAGCCAACGUUGCGGAAACAAGUUUCUACAACCCCAACGUAGGAAUCUUGAAAUGUUCAGGAGCUGAUGAGAACGGCCGCCCUACCAAUGUGACGACCCAAAAGCUUUUGGAACAAGGAAUGCUCCUCACAAGAGAUGAGUGAGAUAGACCUUGUAUCAUCCCAAAUCCCCUACACCAUCAAUGACUGGACAGAAGAAAAAAGAUCAGGUAAUGGCAGUCAGAUCCCUGAUUAAAAGACUGUUGGUGUAUGAGAAUGGAAGAAGGCAAGAAAGAGAGCUCUUGGACAAGGAAGAGCAGGAAUAGCAGGUGGGAGAUACGAUCUAGACGGGCCAGAAGACCUGCCCGAGAGCCCGGAGUUGGUCGAGUUUUUGUGUGCAGAACCGGAUAAGCCACCACCAGAAGUCCAGGAUCCUCUGGAAGUUAUUGCUAGGAACAAAGGAGGAUCCGAGACCAAUACAAAUUAGUGGUUUAUUGGGGGUUGAUGAUCGGGCAAAGGUUGUCGAUCUGUUGCGAGAGUUCAAAGACUGUUUUGCUUGGCAUUAUACUGAGAUGCCAGGGUUAGAUUCAGCCUUGGUGGAACAUAGAAUGCCCAUCAAGGAGGGAUAUAAACCAGUUAAGCAAGCACCACGAAGGAUGUCAAAGGAGAUAGAAGAAAAUGUCAAAGAAGAGAUCGAAAGGCUAGUAAAAGCUGGCUUUAUCAGACCGGCCAAAUAUGUAGAGUGGUUAGCCAACAUUGUACCCGUUUUAAAAGCUAUAACAAAAGCAGUACGAUGUUGUGUUGAUUACAAAAAUCUUAAUAGUGCUACACCAAAAGAUGAGUAUCCUAUGCCCAUGGCCGAUCUAUCCAUAGAUGCAGUAGCAAAACAUAAAGUCUUAUCUUUUAUGGAUGGGAAUGCCGGGUAUAAUCAGAUAAAGAUGGCUUCAGAAGAUAUACAUAAAACAACAUUCAAGUGUCCCGGUCAUGUGGGGGUAUAUGAAUAUCUGGUCAUGCCAUUCGGGCUCAAGAAUGCUGGUGCCACCUACCAGAGGGCAAUGAAUGUCAUCUUUCACGAUCUGAUUGGCCAGAGUAUGAAAGUAUACAUUGAUGACAUCGUAGUGAAGUCUAAGACAGAAGAGCAGCAUUUGGAAGACCUCAGACAAGCAUUAACAAGGAUGAGGAUCCACAAAUUGAAGAUGAAUCCAAAGAAGUGCGUGUUUGGAGUGAGAGCAGGCAACUUCUUGGGAUUCCUGGUGCAUCAAAGAGGUGUAGAAGUAGACAAGAACAAGUCUCGGGCAAUAAUGGAGUCACCGUCACCCACCAACAAGGUACAACUCCAGAGGCUAUUGGGCAAAAUCAAUUUCUUGAGGAGAUUCAUUGCCAAUUUAGCGAGCAAGAUCCAGCCGUUGACUCCUUUAUUAAGACUGAAAGAUAAAGAAAACUUUGAGUGGGGACCACCACAUCAACAAGCCUUUGACAGCAUCAAGGUCUAUUUAACUUCUCCACCAGUGUUGGUGCCACCUCAAAGGGGAAAACCCUUAAAGCUGUAUAUUUCUGCCUUAGAGAAGUCAAUCGGGAGUUUGCUAGCCCAAAAUAAUGAAGGCGGGAAGGAGCAGGCAUCGUACUACCUCAGUAGGAUUCUGACCGAGGUAGAAACUAGAUAUUCCCCAGUGGAAAGAUUAUGCUUGGCUCUAUAUUUCACUGCCAGCAAGCUAAGGCAUUACAUGUUACCUUGUCACGUACACAUCAUCGCCAAGACAGAUGUGAUAAAGUACAUGUUGUCAAAGCCAAUGCUAACAGGGAGGAUUGGGAAGUGGAUUCUAGCAUUGUCAGAAUUCAGUUUCCAGUAUGUACCCCAGAGAGCGGUCAAAGGCCAAGCAAUUGCUGACUUCCUGGCCGAACAUCAAGAAUCUCAAGACGAAGUAAUCAAUAUCCCAGGAAGCCUGGAGGUCACUAGCAUUUGGAUCCCGCUAAGAGAAGAUAUCUCGGGCAAAGAAGAUUGGGUCCAGCAAGAGAUAAGAAGAGUGACUGGUCUCUGGAUCACUCCUUGGAGGUUAUAUUUUGAUGGAUCUCACACUCAGAAGGCUUAAGAAGCAGGGAUUGUGAUUAUAAACCCUCAUGGGGUCUAUCAUUAUUAUUCAUUCCUCCUAGACUACCAAGGAAAUACUAAUAAUCGGGCAGAGUAUGAAGCUUUGAUAAUUGGUCUGGAAAUCUUGAUGGAUCUGGGGGCAGUAGAGGUGGAGAUCUUUGGAGAUUCAGAGUUAGUAAUAAACCAGCUAAAUGGGGAGUUCAAGUGCAGACAUAUUACCAUGGCAGGAUAUUACUUGACGGCUACGCAAUUACUGAGUUUCUGGGAUUCUGAGAUAUCAGUCAAUCAUGUUCCCAGGGAAUCCAACUUAGCAGCCAACGAGAUGGCACAACUAGCCUCAGGAGUGCCAAUACAGGAGAGAAGAUAUGGGGUAGAUGUCGAGAUCCAAAGAAGGAACCUCCCUUCUAUCUUAGAAAGGGGAUUCAGCCUGGAUGUAAUAGCUCUAGAAACCGAAAUAGAAGAUUGGAGGUCCCCUAUCAUUCGUCAUUUGAAGGAUCCCUCUUCACCUACAAGCAAGAAGAAUAGACAGCAAGCAACCAAGUAUGUCUUGUGGGCGAAGAACUUGCUAAGGAAAACUCCAGAUGGAUUACUAUUGAAAUGCUUGGGCCAAGAAGAAUCCAUGAGGGUAAUGGCCGAAGUACAUGAAGGGGUAUGUGGAGCACAUCAGGCAGGAACUAAGAUGAGGUGGUUGCUUAGAAGAUAUGGUUAUUUCUGGCCCGACAUGGAAAAAGAUUGCAAGUCUUAUGCCAAAGGUUGUGAAGAAUGUCAACGGCACGGACCUCUCCAGCAUGUGCCCUCAGUACCUUUAAAUCCAGUAGUCAAGCCUUGGCCUUUCAGAGGAUGGGCAAUGGACUUCAUCGGGCAAAUCUAUCCAGCUUCUAGUAAAUGGCACACUUUCAUAAUUGUGGCAACGGAUUACUUCACCAAGUGGGUGGAAGCAUCAACAGUAAAAUCCAUAACUUCGGCCGAGGUCAAGAAUUUUAUCGAGACCAAGAUUCUGCACAGGUAUGGGGUGCCCGAAACUAUAGUAACGGAUCGUGGGCCAUCUUUUAUCUCAAAAGAAGUUGAGGAGUUUGCAAGCAAGUACAAAAUAAAGAUGAUCCAAUCCAGUCCAUACUACCCUCAAUCAAAUGGCCAAGCAGAGGCCAGCAACAAGAUCUUGGUCAACAUCAUCAAAAGAAUGGUGGUAGAUAGUCCAGAAAAGUGGCAUGAAAGGCUGGGGAACACUUUGUGGGCAUACAGAACUUCCAAGAGGGCAGGAACAGGGACAACUCCUUAUGCUUUAACUUUCGGGCAAGAUGCGGUACUCCCUAUGGAGAUCAAUGUAAGUUCGGUCAGAAUUCAGAACCAAUUUGGGUUACAUAGUGAAGAAUACAUCGAAGCCAUGUGUCAAGGAAUUGAAGACUUGGAUGUAGCCCGAAUUGAAGCCUUGAACCAGAUUCAAGAAGGAAAGAAAGUUGUUGCCCGAGCUUAUAACAAGAAGGUGAAGAUAAAGUCUUUCAAAGAAGGAGAUUUAGUGUGGAAAACAGUCAUCCCGCUAGGAGCUCAGCUCAGGGGCUUUGGAAAGUGGAGCCCGACAUGGGAAGGUCCUUUCAUUAUUAGUCGAGUUUUGAAUAAAGGAGGAUACUACCUAGCAUACCUCGAAGGAAAUGGGCAGAAACAUCCCAUUAAUGUUAAAUUCUUAAAGAAAUACUGUCCUACAUUAUGGGAUGUUAGAGAUUGUUACAUUGAAGAGGGGGCAAAGUAAAGCAGGCGUCGGGAGUUUCAUAUGCAGUGUUUGUUCAUCAACCAUUCAAAGAAAACAAAAAGACAAAAGUUGCUGAAAUAAUUUUUAUUUCAUGUCGACAAAUUGGUGAAAUUAACAAAAGAUUCAAUUUCUACAUAUUACAUUUGAUUCUCUCUAAGUAUAGUGAUUUCUUCAGCUGGUUUUCCGAUGUCUUCAUGGAUGGAACCCGAUCAGGUGAUCGGGUUGUGCGGCCAACAUAUGCUUGGUAGAGGAUCAUCCGACAGAGCCACCACCAUAUGUGAUGGUGAAGCCUGACUUAUGACGGCAGCAAGCAGGAAAUCAAGCCUUCGUGAAGAACUCGCCUGACCAAGGGUGUUGGGGAUAGCAGGGUGUUCGACCAAUGGUGUUGGAGAUAGCAGUCAUUUGAUGAAACCCCCUUUUUUCUCACGAAAAGGGAGUUUUAGGAAACUCCACUCAAAAUCUGAAGAACCCAUUUCUCAGUUUUUUUUUUUCCGAGGAAGAUUAGAUGGUUUUGACAGGAGGGGUUCCAAGCCAGAAUUUAUAGGACCCAGAGGACAGUUCAAAGGUCGUGGGAAGAUCAAGAGACUCCGGGUGCCAUUAAUUUCAUCCAAAAAACACAAGUUCCAAGGGCAAAGAUGCAGCCGCAUGAAGAACUUUUCAAUUAAUAUUGGCGCCUGGAAUUCCAGGCUAAAUAUCAAUUGAAGGGGGCACUGUUUGGAUCAAAACUUAACUUUGGGCCCAAGCAAAGAAGGCCCAAAAGAAGGCCUGAAGGAAGAGUCGGCCGAAGCCCAGCCGAGACCUAGAAAAGCAGGAAAGGGUCUCCUCUGACUUGGUGCAGCUCAUGAAGACCACUUGCCCACCUACCCAAAGGUCAAGUGGUAUAGACUGACCAGCUACACAGCCCAUAAAGUACUUUAUGGUGGCAUUACAUGUAAAAAAGCUGAUGAGUCAUCACCCUCAAACCACAUUCGGGCAAGGCUGUUGCUACAGGAGGACAUGCUGGGUUGUCUAUAAAAGAAGAAAGAGAAAUCAGGAUUAAGGACACUCAAUCAAACAAACAAAUGCAAGCACAAACUCUGCUCAAAAGCCAUAUUUGCCUUCAAAACGAAGCUGUAGUCAGCCCAAGCCUUCAUCCAUCGCGGGAUAACCUUUCCUUCAAACCUUUGUAAUAGCUCUGCUACCUUGUUCAACCUUGUUGUAGUAUCGAUUCACCUUUUGUAAUCUCUCUCCCUCUCUCAAAACUUUCAGACCUUUAACAAAACUACAAAGAUAGGAGCCUGCAAGACGAGCAGCCUUGCCUGAUAAGGUUUAACCUUGCCUGACCUUCUAUGCUUUGUAUUUUUUGUCUUUUCAUUCAUUAAGCCUAGUAAUAUGUUGUAUGAUCCCAGUUAUAUGCAAGUUAUUUCUAGCAAGAUGACCAUUAAAAAGCUUUCUCAGUACAUAGACCCGAUUUGAAUAGAUCUUCAGUAUUCAAAUCAGAUCUAAGUCCUAAGCCCUCGGGCAUGCAUAUUUGAUCAGUUAAAAGUCCUUGGCCUCAAGGCAUAAAAAAGAACCUUAUGUGGACUUAACCCAUCCACGACAAUCCUUGAUAAACGAGAAGUCCAAAGUUACUUGGGGCGCAAGUAAUCGACCUACCACUUAGUUUUAUUUCUAUUAUAUGAUGAUUAUCAUAGAACGUUUAUGCAUGGAAUGGAUUCUGAUAGGAAGCCUCAAGGCCUACACCUAAGGCCCCACAAAAGCACCUAUUUGGGUUCAUUCCGUUCUGCGAUCUAGAGCGUUCUGAGUAGAAAGAACAAAUUCUGAUAGAAAGCCUCAAGGCCUACACCUAAGGCCCCACAAAGGCACAUAUUUGGGUUUGUUCUAUCUCUCGGACGCAGGUAAUCAGAAGUAUAAUAGUUAUAAAACUCCUGCAAUCAAUGGAAUAAGUAUUAUGUAUUCGAGUACUGGUUUAGUAACCGAUGGGAAGCCUCAAGGCCUACACCUAAGGCCCCACAAAGGCACCUAUCAUAACUAACCCGGUUCCUCGGGCACAUAUAUAUAUACAUACAACUAAAACUCGACAUCCAUUUCAUAUCUGCCAUGCUGAAGAUGGCAGUGGCACGCCUGAGCACCUAAAAGUUAAUUUUGAUUGUGAGCCUCAAGGCCUACACCUAAGGCCCCACAAAGGCACAUUUCAAAGUUAACUUUGUCCUUCUCUUUCAGCCUUGCCCGACGAGCCUUGCCCGACGAGUCUUGCCCGAUAAAGAUUCGCCUGACGAAACUUGCCCGACAGAGCCCAACCGUGAAGCAGAAGCCCGACAGCAGCCCUCAACCGACGCCAAACCUCCAGGGGAGCUGUGCAUCUCGCCGACCAGGAAACUUGCCCGACGGGAAUUCCUGAAGCGAACAAGUUAGGUGGGCAUUGUUGUCAGUUAGGGUUGCAUUCGGUGGGAUCGAUGGCUCGGUGUGGGAUUUGGUGGGAAUGCAUGUUGCUUGCAAAGAGGAGGAGAGAGGGAAUGAGGGAGGGGGAGGGAGAGAUAUGGGUUUGGUGAGGGGAAGGCAUGCGACUUGCAGAGAGGAGUGAGGGAGAGAGGAUGAGAGAGGGAAUGAGGGAAGGGGAGGGAGAGAGAGAGGGGUUUGGUGAGGGGAAGGCAUGCGACUUGCAGAGAGGAAGGAGGGAGAGAGUUGGAGAGAGAGGGAAGGAUGGAGGGGGAGGGAGAGAGAGAGGGGUUUGGUGAGGGGAAGGCAUGCGACUUGUAGAGGGACGGAGCGAAGCUUAAAAGCAACUGCAAAAAGUUCAAUGGACAGGGUCGCAGCAAUGGAGACACCUCGCUCUGAACCAUUUCCCCUCUCCUCAGGCGAAUGCUGAACAAAGUUUUGAAGGAACAAAAAGAAGAAGAGCUACACAUAAUAGAAUCCGAUUUGCAAGGAAAAGAAGAAAGCCAGCUUUUCAAUGAAAAAGCUAAAAUCAAUCCCUUCAACCUCCUCAUCGGCAGCGGCACCCACGACCACCAGGUUCACUUUUAAUUUAAUUUUAAUUUUAAUUUUUUGCUUUUUUAGUGGAUUAAAGAAUAUGAAACGAAUUAUAAUUUAAAAUGGGGAAAUUUUGUUGAUUUUUGCGUUCAGUGUUCUGACUUUUGAGUGAUCAUCGAGCUGUGAUGGGUUGGUGUUGGAUUUGAUUCAAUUGAGGUAAAAGCUCUGCAUGAUUGUGAUACGGAGAAAAUGCUAGAAUCUUACCUUCGAUCCAAAUAUCUGAUUUUUGUUACAAUUGCUAUUUUCAUUGCAGGAAAAUGUGGCGGAGACAAUAAUUCCCAAAUCCUCGAGUUUUAUAAAUGCAUUCCAAUUGAUAGCCAUGUCAAAUGAUCUCGAUUUGUCAGGUAUGUUCGAGGAACAGGCAAGUUUACAAGAAAUAGAUUUACUAAAAUAACUAAUCCUACUUUUUUAGCUUAUAACGAAUAAUGUUGAACUGUUAACUUAAUUUAGGAUGAGAAAUAGAAGACAACAAGAAUUGGACCCAAGCAUACCAUUACUGAAACCAUGAAGAAAAUAGAAGCGGCUGCAACAGAUGCGAGUAUUCUGUAGCAAGAACAAACAACUUCAGGGUACAUGAAACUUAUAUUCAAUCGUACUUCUUUAUCUGCUUAUCAAAGUUCCUUCCUGCCAACUAAUGAUGUAUUAUUUUUUCAUCAGAUGUAAAUGCAUGCAAAAAUUCCAAUGGAAACGUAAAUCACCAUAUCCAGGUAAAUCCGAAUUGUAGAUCAGACUUAUAUUACAAUUUGCUUUCUUUGUGAAAUUUUAUUGUAAUCUCUGGCUUUUGAAAUUCUAUAUGAAAUUGUGAAUGUCAUUCGGAAUCAAGUCUGGCCGAGUUCUUUACUAAAUAGUGCGAAAAUAUGCAUGAUGAAACUAAAUUACUUUUGUAUCAUCUAUAUUUACCUGUUAUCAUAACAGGAUUUAAAAUAUAGAAACAUACUGCUUAAUGUAUAAUUGAGUGAAAUGCUAGUUUACAUAGAUAUUGUGCUUAUUUGUUUUAGGUGGAUUACCAAAAGGAGCUCAUCAAGUAUUCUGCGAGCACGAUCGACCUUGAUCAUUUGGAUAUUUAAAGGAGCCAUUGAUAAAGGGAAGACGACGAGUUGUGAACCUGUGUGCCAAUUUUGCCAAUUUUGCAGACAAGCAGAAACUCUGGCACUUGCCUCUGUCCUAUCCUCCUCUCGCCGCCGUCUCCCUUCUCUCACCUCCGUCGUCUUACUCCUCCUUUCUCUGUCUCUGGAAUCCUAUCGUCAUCUUCCUCGCAUGCAAGGCUCUGGCCCUUUCAAUUGAAACCAAAACGUGUUUCAGGUGCCUAACACAACCUCUCACUACUCACUCACAUCAGUUGGUUUUUGUAAUUUGAACUUUUUUUUCUAAUAAAUUUGUAUGCUUUCUGGAUUUUUAUGGCAGUUUUGGACCUUAUCUUUUCUGAAUUUGUGUGCUUCUCUGGGUUUUUUAAUGGCAGUUCUGAGGAAGAGCAAGAAAAAGGAAGAACCAGUAUUAGAAGAUCUUCCCAAAGAGUACUGUGAUGAUGUGAGUGCCUUUAUUCUUUAACUUGGCCAAAUGGGUGCUCAAAUUUCACGUUUUUCUGUGAUUAUACGAGUAAAUUUAUGUUUUUUGUUUUUGGGUUUUGCCAAAUUCAAUGGUGGUAUUUAUGGGUUUGGUAUUGAUUUUCAGAUUAACAAUGACUUUGGGGAAAUUGAUUGAGUCUGCAUUCAAUGUAACUUUUCAUGCAGUUACAUACUGAUGAAAUAGAAUUCAAUUUUUUCAUUCCUUUUUUUUUAAAUGCAGUUACAUUUAUAUGAUGAUUUACAGCAUAUAUUUAUCUUUUAGAUUCUAAUUCUUCAUGCAGUCUAAGCCAUGAAGGAUUUGAUAAACCCACAAUUGAUAACAAUGUGCGGCGGCACCAACGGUUUUGGACAAGGAACAAGUAAGUACCAUUUUGUUUCAUUGUUUCAAAGUAUUAUGUAGAGAUUGCUUUAAUAUCUUGGCUUCUUUGCUGUUUGUGGGGUGUAUGAGAUAGGAUUUAGGAGAUCUGGUUUAGAUUUUGCAAAGAGAGUGUGUCCGAGAGAAAUGUGGGAGGAUUUAGGCGAGGGAUUUCAGGGAUUUGUUUAGGGUUUCUUUUCUGCGAUUUGCAGACAGAGAGAUGGGACAAGGGUGAGAGAGAGAUGGGAGGAUUUUCUGCGAGGGUAGAGGGAACGGGUAAGGGAGGUAUGGGUAUGGGUAGGGGAUGGAAAAACAUUUCGUUUUCCAUUUGCUUCCUCAAACCCGAGGGAUUGCUGCAAUUGCAGAGAGAGAUGGGGGUGUUCGUUAGGUCCCCUUUCAGUGUCACAUUUGUGCUUUGUCCACCCUUGAUUGUUGUGUGAUUCAUUCUCACGAACGUUCUAUGCACAAGGUUUCAUGUUAUUCCUUCCUUUUAAUUUUGAUAUUAUUGUGCUUAAUUUCUAUUUUAUUUUAUUGGGUGAUUAGAUUAACAGACUUUGGAUAUUUGGUAUAAUAAUUUCACAUCACGUGUUGCCCUUUUGCAUCACCUUAAUUGUUCAUCAGAUGCUAACUUUUAAUUAUGUUUUCUUUGGGUCAGUCUCCAUCUGGUACAUGUGUCCAUCCUUCUGGAGUGGAGCACUAUCUUUCUGACAGCAUAAAUGCUCUGAGAAGCUACUAUGGAGACAAGCAGUUGUUUACUCCGUUCUAGGUAUGUUUUUCUUUAGUAUUUUAGAGGGAUUCUUAACUAUUCCCCAUUGUAAUCUUUACCUUUGUAUCUAUCUCUCUCAAAAGACGAUGAGAGUAGCAACUGUUGCAAAGCAAAUUCUCAGAUGUAUAUAAGCAUAUACAUACAUUGGACAAAAACCGAAUCUUAAAUUGGGGCAGUGAGUUCUGCAACAUCUUGGUGCUGCAUAUAUUCUCACACUUUUAAAAGUUGUAUUUCUCAUAUACAUUGGGAAUUUUAAUUAGUUUUAUUUCAUUUUUGUAGGGCAAUUUAGUAGAUAUUUAGACAUAAAAGAAGAUGCGUGAAUCAAUACAAUUAACCUAAUAGUGAUUUGGUUCAGCGUAAAGACCAUUGCUAGGGCACUCAAGCCAUUUUCUUAAUUUAUGCGCAUAUAUAUUAUACGUAACCAGAACAUGUUUCCAAAGGAUGUUAGUUAGUGUUCAUGCUCUGCUGAUAUUUUAUUCUGUUCAUUUUGAUUUUGUUUUUCAGUUGUGGUUAUAGGAUUGUUUUGUCUCUCUUUUUUUCUUUUUUGUUUUCCCUCGUACAACUUUUCUAAAAUUGAACUGUAGUUCUCAAUUUGGUUCUUUGAACCGAGGCCAAUUGGGCUGUGCCUUUGGAAGGUCUCACUGCUAUUAAAGUUGAAUGGUGCUAACUGAAUAUAAUGCGUUCAUUCUUCGGUGUGUGUGAGUGUAUGUGUAUGCAGUCUAUGCGAGUGCAUGCAGUGCGGUUAGGUUCAUUCCCGCAUGGGUUUUCGUCUUUUUUUCGUUAAAUGGUUAGGUUCAUUCCCGUAUGGGAGAGGUGUGUUUUUGCCAUCAAAUUGGUAGAGACUGAUCUUAAUCAAAUAUCAUGCCAUAGUGUUAUUUUGUUUGCAUCUAUGGAACUAUAUAUUUACUUCGUUGUUGUUGACAGCUUCGCAUGUUCCUUCCAGAUAAUGCUGCCUUUUUGGAUUUCGUAUGAGUGUCCCGGGUCGGUUCUGGACCAACAAAAGAGGGAUGAUCGCUGUCAUUCGGACUGCAGGCGUCCACUUCAAAAUCCCGGUAAACACAUCCUUUUCUUGAUUUCAGGCCAUGCAAAAUUCAUGGUGAAAAAACUGAGCUCAUGUCGUUGGUUUGUGCCUCUGUCCUAUUUCUUAUUUAUUUAUUUAUUUUAUCAAUCCUUUUCCUUCUUGGUUCUAUUUGUUGCUGCUGGUUCCGAUAUUUCAUUGCCCUAUGUGUGCAUGAUAUCAGUGCUGCCACUUUUCAUAUUCUUAUCAAUGCUUACAUCUUCACUCUUUUCCUUCUGUUUCUUUUGCUUAACAUGGUUUCGGCUUUUUGAGAUUGUGUGUUUGAUUAACAUUUGAUCGUAUGGUGUUAGAUUUUAAAUUUGAUGUGAAUAAAUUCUGCCAGCGGGGAUUUUGGUCUCUGGAUUUUUCAUGGUGUAAUUUUUAUGGCAUGAUCCAUUGGUGUUGUGUGCAUUUUUAUCAACAAUAAUAAGCUUUUUCUCAGCAUUGCAAACAAGUUUUCUUAUAACUAAGAGACGAGUGCAUGGUGCAUGUGUCUUAAUUUAUUCAGGUUAAAUAUAUCUUAUUUAUGCAGUUAAGGUGGGUGCAUUCAAGUCCCGCAGCAACACGCGGGCAUAUUUUCUCGUUGAGACUAAAGGAGGUCUUAACGCCAAAUACUGUUCUGUAUAUUUACGAAUGGUUUAAAGUUUGGGUUUAAUUGGAUAAUCAGAGAGUAGUGCGUCAGACUAUGGAUAUUCAGAAACUGAAAGCAUAAUUCAUAUUCUUCUAACAAGUCCACGCAAAUAACCACAAUCACAAUGUUAUUUAUAACUGGCCAUGUAGAACGCAGUACAAAAGCACUAAAAGCGUCCAAGUGAAAGUACUUUCUUCUCAUGUAGUUUCAUUUAACUUAGUUUUGACAUGCCAAUCAGUCACACACUCAAGUCCUGAACGUUCGGGCUCAAUGGCUCCAAGAGAGCUUCCACUUCACUCUGAUUCACCUCCUCUAACCUUGACAGGUUCCACUUCGGAUUCUGCAUUGACAAGAAACCGAAGCCAAAGAUAAAGAUCCGUUCUGAUAUACAGAAAGUAAGAUGAUUAUAUAACUGUAGGUCUUGUAGAGGCGAUCUUAUAGCAACUCAGUCCACAAAGACGAUCUUAUAGCAAGGCGAUAUUAUCACAUCAGUCAACUUUUGUUGGUCAAGUAAAGCACAUGUUACUCACAGAAAAUGUGAAAUACUACAAAACAAAACCUAUCAAAAGGAUGCAACCAUGUGAUGAAAGAAACGAAAAGGUACGAAGUCCAGACUCACUGGAUAAUUCAUAAUUGGUUGUCAUUUUUCCCAAGCGCAGAUGCCAACUUUGGAGAAGUAAUUUUUUGUCAAAUAAAGUGAAAAAGGAGCACCCUCUCCAAGACCUUGAAGAGCUUUGUUAGCCCACUCCACUGCAAUAGAAACAAUUUGGUCGAAAAUACUUGACAGUGACAUACAAGCCUCUCAAUAGAAGAGUACGACAAACUUACCAGUAGCAUCUGAACUCAGCUGCUGCUUUUUAAGUUCAUCAAUUGUCUCAAGAACCGACUUAUUUACACCAAAUGCUGAAGUUAUUUGAGGCAAAAGCCUCUUGAGUUGCGUUCCAGAAUCUGGGUUGCUGCUGAAUUUGGCCACAGUUGUUUCAAUGUUCUGAAGGGGAUCCUGGGAACUGCAUCAACAAUGGAGUUGCUUUUAUCUCAACAAACGCAUUAGACAAUGUGAUGAUGCCAACUAAAGCAUCGGAAACGCAUAGCAAGAACAGUGCUCUGAAAUUUGAAAAGCCACUGCAAUGUAAUUGACAACAUUGACAAUCUCUGUCUGACAAGGCAAUAGUACCUCUGCAAUGAUCCGGUAGCGACCGGUGACCUGAUAGGCCAAUACCAAAGCCCACUGUUAUGUCACCCAUGAAGCUUAUAUAGGGCUUCUUGCACAGAGAUUUUGCAUAUUAGAGAAUACUCAGCAGUGGAUACCUGAAAAACCUGCAGCACAGAUAUCAUAUCGCUAGCCUCUGAAUCUUGAGAAUACUAUAAAUGGUAGCUUAUAAAAGAAAUGAAUCCUAUCCAACCAAUACAUAUCAUACUACCCAAGUCAAAGCAAAAUCAAGACUAACAAAUGAUCAGAUGUUGUAGGUUGCCCGAGAAUGCCAAACAUGAAAUUACAAAAGGAAAAAUCGUAUGUGUUGGACAUUAGUAAAUAAAUGAUGAAAGCACAAUCUUAGCAAUUAAAGAAAUGUUGAAAUUUUACAUGGGUUUUUGUAAUGUUGAAAUGUUUCCGGAUGCAAUAUGUCUUCAAAAUUCAAAACAAUUACUUACUGGAAAAUCAUAAGAAUCUGAAAGAAGUAUGAAAUGUUGACUUGCUGAUGAUGAAGCUGGAGGUAAUCUGUAGUCCAGGAGCUCAGAAUGUGAUGAUGAGGAUGAGUCUGAUGAUGACAAUGCAACACGACCUUGAUCGUGUCUCACCAUAGAACCGAUCUGGGUGUGACUUAAUCUUGACAGAAGAUGCUUUCACUUCAAAAUUUUUGCCUUUUCCCCUUUCUGUCAUCUGUAGUAAUUCUCAUUUGAUUACUGGGAUUACUAUUAUCAGAUGAUUCAUGGCUUGGUUCUGCCUCAUCAUAGAACCAAGCUGGAUGUGGGUCAGAAACAUAACCAGCACUAUUCAUAGCAAGCAUAUUUUCUUUCAUUGGCUUAUCCCACGCUAGAUUAACUCCUGUUCUCUUAACAGUAAAUAAAUAAUAAGGAUCCACACUUACAAAAGGUUCUUCAAAAAUUAUAUCAACUUUAUCCCCGCCUUGCAAAUUGAGCUUAUCGUUCGAUAGUUGUCCUAGCCAAAUAUAAUCAGGUUCAGGCAUGUCGUCUAUUUCUUCUCCGUCUAUUUCUUCUCCGCGUAUGGCUAUGCAGGCUCGCAACUCAGUACGCUUGGUGUGAUUUAUAACAGUAAUGUGAAGAGAAUAAUAAUUAUUUUUUGAGUGGUAAAAGCAGAAUAGAGUCAGGCCUUUAAAAUUACGAACACUCCGGGGAAUAUCAAAACUGACUUUAUUGCCAUUGUUGACAAACUCAAACCAACCAGGAACAUAAUUCCCAUGGAAGAAAAUGCCACCAAAUCCGCAAGAAGUCCAUCCCUAUAUAAACAAUGCAAGUGUCAUAUAUAUACAUGUACAUGUGCGUUUGUGCGUGCAUGCGCACGAUAGGAAGGCAAUUAAAAGAAAGAGGGAGAGAUACCUGUAGGAUGUUCUUCUUAAAAUUAUCUGUGAGAUUGGUGCACCUUUUCAUAUCAAUCAAUGUCAUGGAGGAUAAUGACUUAUCCAAGCCUGGAACCUCAGUGAGUUUGGACGAAUCACUUAAAUUCAGUUUUCUCAUCUUUGACAUUUCCGAAAAAUUGGGCAUUAUUUUCAAUGUAGGGCAACCAGGUGCCUUCAAGACUUCCAAAUUUGUUGGUAAAUUGGGGAUUGUAUGAAGAUUUCUGCAUUUACUGAGCUUCAGAGUUUCAAGCUUUGAAAGAUCAUUGAGGCUCGGUAGGCUACAAAAAGAAUUCCCUUUAAGAUUCAAAUCUUGUAAGGAAAUUAGACUCCCAAGAUCCUUAGGGAUUUUAUUAUCAUCUAAUUUGCACCAUGAGAGAUCUAACCGAGUGAGAUUGUUCAAUCUUACUAUGGAAGGUGGUACUCGUUUUAUGGCUGUGGAAUCUGCAUCAAGUAUUUUCAAUGAUAUCAUCUUCCCUAAAUCCUUAUGCAGUUUUUUGAAAUUUGAACAGAACGAAAGAAAAAGAGUCUCAACAGAUUUCGACUUAUAGAAAUCCCCUGGAAGAAAAAUAAGAUUGUCACAGAAUCUAAGGUUCACCAAAGAAAGUCUUUUAAGAUAACCAAUAGAGGGGUGAAUUCCGGACAAUUUAUUGCAGUAUUCCAAUAUCAACUCUUCAAGAUUUGGGACUUGUGAAAAGUCUGGUGAUUUAAUUAGGUCACUAGAAAAACUGAGAUCAAUGAUCUUCAACUUCUGGAGCGAGAGCGACUAAUGCACAAAACCAAAGAAAAAUUGAAAUUAAUAUCCAAAAAGAAAAUCUUAUAAAAAAGAAGGAAUCCAAAAACAAAUAGAAACAGAACAUUAUGACGUGUAAUUGAUUAUACCUUGGAACCCUGCCAAAACUGUACCAAUUUACUAUCGUGCAUCUGUAUAGCAACUAGUUUCUCUUGAUUUAAAAAGUCAUCUGGUAUGGACUGUAAAGGGAAUUUACUCCAACAGAACCAUAUUAACUCUUUGGGAAGAUGUUCGUAUUUUCCAUUGAGCUUAUUAGCGUAGUCGAGCCGAAGUAAUCUCAGUUUCUUCAUAUUGGCAAAUGCUUCUGUACUGAAACUAGUCUUGUCAGAGCUUGGUAACCCGGGAUAAGGGAUAUCUAGAGCAAGUCCUUCAACUUCUUCAGUUCCCUGUUAAAAAAAAAAAAAAAAAGUUUAAGUAAGAAAUAGAUUAUUUGCAUAUGUUUACAUGAUUUUGCAUAAUGAAUUAUACUUGCAUUCCCCCUUUGGGGUGACAAGCUCAUUCUGCCGCUUGCAAAUAACAUUUCUUAAUCGUACAAAUUUUCAUUGUGGAACCAUUCAAUUUCUUACUCUUAUAAUCAUUACAAAAAAUUUGAAUCAGAGAUCACUUAAUUUAGACAUCCAAAUGUAUCAAUAAAUGGAUAAUUCAUUAUUGAUAUGUUACUUAGGCAAAAUCACGUACUAUGAAUAAAUGCGAGUACUAUUGUUGGCUAAUUGAGCUUUCCUUGUGCAACUAACAUAUAUACACAUGAAUGUUGUCUAAUGUAUAAUAGACAUUUUGUUAAAGAAAAAAUGUAUAAUAGACAUACGUGGGUUAUAUAUGCUUUUCCUGUACAAUGCAUUAAUCCAAAAUUUUAUUGGGAAUAUACUUACAAAUUUAUUUGUUAAUACAUUGGUGACCUCUCGAGAAUUCCACAACCUGCUCCAUUUUCCAGGGUGACCGGGGGACUUUUCAGAAAUGAUUACUCUGGCCAUUUCUCGAAGCAAAUCAUGCAUAUACAAUAUGUUGCGUUCAACAGUUACAAGGCAUCGUUCACAGAGGACACUGAUUUCUAUUGUUGCAAAAAAUUCACAUCCAUCUAAUACUUUUGCGACAUAGUCCUUUUCCCAUCCAAUAAAGAAACAAGAUAUGUCAAGGAAAGUAGCCUUUUGUGUACGAUCCAGCUUUUCAAAGCUUACUCUUAGCGGUUUCAUUAUUCCUUCAUGAGGAAUUUUUUUUAAUUUCUCCAACUGACUUUUCCACUCUGUUGGGACUCUUUCAAUCAUAGAAGAACCUAAAACUUCAAGGGCUAGUGGCAAACCACCACAGUGAGAAACAACCUCUUUUGAGAGUUCAAGAUAUCCUUCAUUAGGACAACUAUUUCCAAAGGCAUGCCAACUAAAGAGUUUCAAAGCUUCUUCUUCAUUCAUUUCCUUAAGCGGAUAUGUCUCGUCCACUUUCAUGUUCACUUGCUUUAGUAAACGAUCAUCUCGUGUCGUUAUGAUAAUUCUACUUCCUAGGCCAAACCAAUCACGAUUUCCAGCUAUUGCAUUUAGUUGUUCCACUUUGUCUACAUUGUCAAUAAUGACAAGUACUCUUCUACUUUGGAGAUGAUGUUUUAUCAGACUGAUACCUUCAUCAACACUGGUUAUCUCACGCUUGUUCUGUUUCAAGAUGUUAGAAACAAGUUGUUCUUGCGAAACAACCAGAUCUUUUUCACUAACGUUGUUAAGGAAACUUUUGAAUUGGAACUCAUGAUGAAUUUUGUUAUAAAUGGCUUUGGCAGCUGUUGUUUUACCCAAUCCACCCAUCCCCCAAAUUCCAACCAUGCGAACAACAUUUGAUCCACCAUUUGAAAGAAAAGUGAUGAUAUCUUGAAUGCGAGUAUAUAUUCCAACUGGGUGCUUGGCCACAUGUAAACUUUCUGCGCUCGGAAGCCAUUCCGGGAUAAUCUUGUUAACAAUUUCUCUAAUAAGCUUUGCUUCGCACCUGAAAAAUUGAAUUGGUAAGCUUAGUAAGUAGGCUCAGUAUGAGCUAUUAGUAUAUUUCCUUGUUUCCUUCGCGCGCGUGUGUGCACACAAACUAUCUACUAUAGCUAGUAUGUGAUUUUGGGACCAACGUCAAUAAAAGAAACAAAUUCAUUCAUGGAUAUAUUAAAGUUUGGUGUAUCAAUUAAACUCCAAUUAUGGUUUAGGUUUUACAGGAAAUUGGAGAAAUGGUCCCUGAACUAUGAUUGAACUGUAGCUUUGGUUCUUAAACUAAAAAAUUCAAUAAAUCUUGUCCUUGAACUUAACAAAAUAUGGAGCAUUCAUCCCUCCAUGUUAACACCGUAAGAUUUUCUGUUAAUUUGAUGACGUCAUCUUUGUGGGCUCUAUAUUUUUGUUUACUAGAUGCCACGUGGCUUGAAAAUUCAAAAUAAAAGAAAAUAAAUACAAACAUAGAGAAAGAAAAAGAAAAAAAAAAUAUUUCAAUUAUAAAAGUUAACUCUCUCCAAUCCUCCCUUCCGCCUCCCCUCCUCCAAACCCCAGCCACACCAUUGUAGCACUUUCCCAACAGCAAAAACAAAGAAAGUUUAUAAUCCAAAUUUGGAACACAUCUCCCUUUGCAAACAAAUUCACAAUGACAUCCAUCCACGUUGUCUCGACAGGUAAGAUUCAAGAAAUUUGUGAGAUGUGGGUUUGGGUGACGGCUGUGGUCCAUGGGCUACAGGUUGGGGCCGGCUGGGGAGUGGGGAUUAGGGAUUUGGGGUUGGAAGUGGGAGGUUGACGGGUGUGAAUCAAAGAUUGAAGGUGAAGGGGUGGGCUGCGAGCCUGCGAGUGUUGGUGGGAUGAGGUACGCCUGCAAUUAUAUAUAUAUAUAUAUAGUAGACACUUUUAACUAAAAUUUAAAGGAAUUGGUUACGAAGGACUAAUGCUCCAUAUUUUAUCAAGUUCAAGGACAAAAUAUAAUGAAUUUUUAAUUUAGGAACCAAAGCUACAAUUUUCCUCAAGAUUUUAUAUGAGAGAUUAAGGUGUAUUAAUUAAGCAUGUUAAUUAGAGUAAUACAACUUAAAUAUUGAAAAGCACAAUGAUUACCUGCAAUUAUAUAUAUAUAUAUAUAUAUAUAUAUAUAGUAGACACUUUUAACUAAAAUUUAAAGGAAUUGGUUACGAAGGACUAACGCUCCAUAUUUUAUCAAGUUCAAGGACAAAAUAUAAUGAAUUUUUAAUUUAGGAACCAAAGCUACAAUUUUCCUCUAGAUUUUAUAUGAGAGAUUAAGGUGUAUUAAUUAAGCAUGUUAAUUAGAGUAAUACAACUUAAAUAUUGAAAAGCACAAUGAUUACCUCUUAUCAGUGAUUUGAAGAUGGUAGCCAGACAAAUUUGCAGCUUUUGUAAGAACCUCUCCCCACUGCUUUAUCCCUUCUUGUUUAGCUUCACGUUUCUUGUCAUCCUUUUCUUCACCGAUGCCCUCUUCGUGCUUCUGAAAUUCUUCAGCCAACUCUGCAGCUUCUCUAAGAGCCUCUGUCCACUGCUUUACCCUUUCUCGUUUUUCUUCACGUUUCUUGUCAUCUUUUUCUUUACUGAUGUUCUCUUCGUGUUUCUUAAAUGCUUGGGCCAAAACUCCAUUCUGCUUCCUGACAUGUGAAGGAUCAACGUGAUAGAAUAUUGGCAAAACAUGUCGCCCCAAUUUGUCUCUGCACUCCAUGAUCUUCACCAGCUCGUUAAGACACCAACUCGAAUCCGCAUACCUCUCUGAGAAGACAAUGAUAUAGAUCUUCGAUUUUUCGAUUGCCUGUUCCAGUUCUUUUUUUAUUUCUUCCCCUCUUUCUAGAUCGUCCUCAUCGAUAUACGCUUGAUAUCCCCUAUCUGUUAAUGCCGCGUGGAGGUGGUCCGUGAAGCCACUGUGUGUGUCUACACCGCUGAAGCUCAAGAACACGUCGUAAUUCCAAAGUUUUGACUUGGGGGAGGAUGAAGAGGAGGCUUCAUGGUUUGUCAUGGCGGUAUCCACUGUUAUGGCACUGCAGUGGUUCAGAUUAUGACUGAAAAAUGGCAGUAGUUGUGUUUGUGCUAUUGAACAGAUGAUCCUGAAACACCUAAACCCAAGUCAAGCUCCUUAAGUCAACAAGAACAAAGUUUAUAAUAUAAUAAUGUUGGCGUAUGGAAACGACAUAAUGUUGGCCAGAAGGUGCAGAGACAAACUUGAAUGCAAGCUUUCUGAAAUCUUCCAACCAAUACAGAUAAAAAGGUAACACCCUAGUCAGAAAUGAACUGAGGUGUUAGCUUUCUAAGACACCCAGAUGACAAAAUCAACAAAAUAGAAUGGAAAACUGACUUACACUUUUAAGGCAUGCUAGAAUCUUGAUCUAAAAUUGGUGGUGGGUCGAUUGUUGGUCACCAACUCUAAAUGAAGAAUUCAUCAGAACCUAGAAAAUUAAACAAAGAACUUUCCAAAAUCAACAUUUACUAAAAACCAUUUACUUGGUUAUCAUGCAAGAUGGCUUGCCAAAGAUUGAAUUAAGGAAUGCAAAACUUUACUUUUAUGAUGAUUUCCAAUGACAGCUAAAAGGUCAGAACCAAAUGAAAAUAAAAGUUAGGACUUCACAAAACCAAUUAAAAUCUAAUUCCAAAGUUACAAACACCCACCAAAUGAUUCCAGAUAAAGUUUUAAACUCAAGGUCAGACCCAAAUGAAAUUAAAAGUUAGGACUUCACAAAACCAAUUGAAAAUCUGAUUCCAAAGUUUCAAACACACACCAAAUGAUUCCGAAUAAAGUUUAAACUAAAAAACCCAACAGAAACAAAAGCAUUGGUGUGAAUUAACAGUAUCUAAUUGAAGAAACUAAAACAAAAGUAAAGUAAAGUAUAUACCUCAAAAUAUCAAGCAAUUAAGUUCUUCCUCCGAUGACCCAAAACUCUGAAAAUUCCACACAAAAAAAAAGGUAAAUCCAUUAGCAAUUCAUAGCUUUCAAAAUCAGCAAAAACUUGGGCAACAAUAAAGAUGCGUUGAGAACCAUCACUCUUUCUCCUUAUGUAUUUGAAAAGAUAUUUUAUAAGCAAUUUAUGUAGUCAUUCUGAUCAUGUUGCAUAUAAAUUCCUUUUCUACAGAGUUCAAAAAAAAUAGGGCAGUUUAUGGCAUCUGUUGAAUAACAUGGUUGAAAGAUUUAAAAUUGAUAAAUUCAAUUUUUAUGUGUAAAACUAUAACAUAUAGCUAAAGCUAUUGGGUCUAUAUAUCCAUAUCAAUCAUGUCGUAAUUGAAGGUUUAUCGAUGUAAAUAGAUGAUUUCAGUCAUGUGAAGUAUAUGCUGAAGUUUGGUCUAAGUUAGAUAAAAAUUGACCAAAAUCUUAAUAAGAGACUCUUUUAGCUUUUAACCAAAAAAUGAGCACCACAAUACUACACUUAUAAGUUUUAUCAUGCACAAAAUACAUAGCACUGAUUGCUACUUUUAGAGCAAGAACAAUACUUUCCAAGAAAACAACAAAACACUCAAAACCCAGAAACAGAAACACACUUAGGACUCCAACUCCUCAAAAACAUGAGAAAGAGAGAGAGUGUGUGCGAGGAGAGAGAAUAAAAAACCAUAUUAAUUUUCACACAAACUCAAAAUUGCUUAUAAAAUUACAAAUCAAAACAAAUGAAAGCAAAUCCAAAUUGCCCUAAAUUAAAUCUGAUUAGUUAAACGUUUGUUGCCCUACAAAUGUCGUUACACCCGACACAACUUGCUUUGAAGUUGAUAUUUUGGUCAAUCCAGGGAAAAAGGAGUUAUUGGUUUUGGAGCGGUUGUCAUGGAGAAUACCAUCUCCCUGUUGAAUGAUCUAAAAAAGGACUUACAGCUUCUGCUGGCCAUAAUAAGGCCCUUCUCUCCAGAUUUUCUCAAUAACUUUCCUUUUCGUAGCUGGUAAGAUUGCAACUCCAAGAAUUGCUCUGAAGAGAUAUACAAAAAAAUCAAACUAAAACUAAGCUAUUGGAAGAAAUUUAGAAAACACAAACAUCACUACAACUCAGAUUUAAAGUCAACAGAAACCAAAUGGUAGAAGUUGAAAAAAUACAUGGUCAUGAAUCGAGAACUUCAUCAAGCUACAACAACAACAACAACAACAAAGCCUUUUCCCACUAAGUGGGGUCGGCUAUAUGAAUCCUAGAACGCCAUUGCGCUCGGUUUUGUGUCAUGUCCUCCGUUAGAUCCAAGUACUCUAAGUCUUUUCUUAGAGUCUCUUCCAAAGUUUUCCUAGGUCUUCCUCUACCCCUUCGGCCCUGAACCUCUGUCCCGUAGUCACAUCUUCGAACCGGAGCGUCAGUCGGCCUUCAUCAAGCUAACAGCAAUAAAAUCUCAUAUAAUCUGUCAAAAACCAAAAAAGAGAGAGAGGUAAUUUCAAGACCUUGUAAUGCCGAGGCCUCGUACAAUUGUAGUAAUAAUAUAUGGUUGAUGCACCUGUUGCUCAAUCAAAUCCUUUGUCUGGCUAAAAAAAAUAAAAAUCUAUAAAUACAUUCAUGUCCAAUUUAUGAGAAAUCAUGGGAAAGCAAAUGCACUGAUAACGGAAUCAUGAAUAUGAAAAACUUGCCAAAAAGAAAAAGAAAACUUCUUAUAGUGUGCCAAGAACAUCCUCCUACUCCUAGCAAACUUUUUAUGGCAUUAUCCACUUCUCAAUUCAUAAUUCAACCACUAACUCAAAGUCUAUAGUGUAUGAAAAAGUGAUAUCUUAGUUGAUCACGAUGAUAAUUAAGCAGAUUAAAUGACAACCCAUAAAGCAUACAAAUUCAGAAAAGAAAAGGUUCAAAACUGCCAUAAGAAAACAUAGAAUAUAUAAACGGGAAAUCAAAAGAAGAGAGGCGAAAAAGGAAGAAAAAACCAAACAAAAUUAUUAGGUUUGGGAUAUACCUUUAUCUGAAACGCCACAAUCAUCAAAGUCAAACAUAAACAAUCCAAAAAGUUGUGGAAAAUAACAAUAAAUGCUCAACGAAAAACGAAAGAAACGUAGAAUAAGUUUACCUGUCCUCCCCCUAAUAAUACAAUUCACCACUUAUAUUCUCGUCAUCCUCUUCAGCCUGAAAAAUUUAGUAGAAAUAUUCAAUGAAGGCGCUUAAUGGAGACAGUAAUAUUAGCAAUGGAGGAAUUGAAUUGAUAACUAAAACUGCAAGACCAAUUGACUACGAUAGGUUCAAAACAGAAACUCAUCUGUUAGAUGUCUCAUCUUUAGGCAGUGCCUUGUUCUUUUCUUUUUUUUGUUCUUUUUUUUUUUUUGUUUUUGGUUGCACGUCUUGUGACGUUCAUGUAAAUGAACAAAAUUGAUACUUUUGACACAACCAACAAUGGAGAGGUAAAAAGUUAAAAACAGAAGGAAUGUCUUUUGUUAUGUAAUAGAUUUUGCAAGUCAGAAAUUCUGUUCGAGAAUUUGCAACCCAGAAAGUCCGCCAGCAAUUAUUAACAAUCACAGAUAAGCACCGAAUGAAGGCCAAUCUAAUAAGCCAAAAUAUGUAGGGCACUAAAGAAAUUAUUGCCCAGUAACAAAUGAUAGAUAAGCACAUGUGAAACUAAAGAAAUUUUUCCUUACUAUCAACUCCAAAAAAAUAACCUAUACAAUUCAAAAAAUGUUGAUACAUGCCUGAAAUUGGUAUUUGAACCACCAACUACCUCCGUGAAUAUGUUUGUUUGCUUAAUGGUUUGCGUUGAAGUUGUGAAAGGAAAUGCAAUUUCUUAAAAGAAGGAGAAUGCAGAGACAAAUACAGAAUGGUUCACGUGGCCACCCUCAAAACAAUAAUGUCGUAUACAUUAAGCCUGCCAAUUACUAAAAACAAAACAUUUUGCCAUGAGGAGAAGUAAGAACAUACCGAAACUUGUUUGCAAAUAGAUGAGAAAAAUUAUACCUCAAACAGAUGGGAAAUUUAUUAGGAAAGAUAGAUCAGCCCACAUGUGUGUAAUCUAUAUACAAAAAACCACUCUCUUCAUUAGCCAAAUCGUUUCAUAAAUCCAACAACACAUAAUUAUAUCUUGAACAAUGCCAAUUAAUGAUUUCCCAUUUACUUAAGCCGGACAACAAAGCCAAUGAACUGAUGAAAGAGCGAAAAAGAGAAACAAAAAACCUCAAUUAAGCAAUUAAAUGGAGUAUUACUUGAUAGAGCUGGAAAUUACCCAAUUCCUCAGAGAGAGGAUCAAGAGUGACUGAUGAGAGUGCAGAGAAACGAAUUAUUGAGAAAUUCAAGUUCUGAGCUCAAAGUUGGGGCCUCCACUUUCCAACUGGGGAAGAAAUAACAGAGAAAACACAGAGAGAGCCAAUCCACCAAAAAUAUUAAUCAAAUGGGUUUCUUCUAAUUCAAAAUUUGGACCACCCAAUUUCCGAUGAAGCAAUAACCAUUCAAAAUUCCAACAGAUUGAAGCCCUCACAGACUACAAAUUAUCAAUACCCAGCAAUAAAAAAUUUGAAAACAGUAAUAAUGAAGGAAAAAGAAAUUAAAGCUGCGAGCCAUUCUCUAAAUCUCAGGCACCAAUCCAAAUCACCAGUAAUUUGCACAUAAUGAUAAGAAUCUAGCGGUAUUUCCAUUGUUUAAAAACCCAAAUUCAAGAAAUCAUGAAAAAUGGAAACUUUAUUUGGAAAUUGAAGCUUUACCUGCAGAUCAGCAGCAGCAAACGGAAUCCAACGGCAUGUACCUCAAAAGUGAGAGAGAGAGAGAGAGUUGAGAGAUGAGUGAGAGAAUCGAUAAACAAAACCCCCCAAAAUCACAAAAGGAAAAUUGAACAGAAAACAAAUUUGCAAAUCCAAAAUCACAAAAACGAAAUUGAAACACCCACACUGAGAAAGCUGCAAUACUCACCAGGAAGCUAGCUUUUCUGGGUAAAAAAAUUGUUCGAAUCGAAUUGAAGAACCGAGGAAAAUUCUACUGGUUCAGUGGUUUUUCCAGCAAGAAAGCACCUUGUUUGUAAUUCGUGAGAGGUUGGACGGCGAGAGAGAAAAACGUAAAGGAAAGGAAAAGCGGAGAAGAAGUCACGAUUAUCGACGCGUGGGUUGCAUUCCACUGUGCCAAGUUCGAAAAUGAACGGGGAAUGGGGAGCUUGGCUGAGGGAGACAGAAUUCGAGAAGCAACGUUCUGAUUUUUUUUUUUAUAUGAGAGAGGGAAAGAGGAAUGAAGAGAAUCGACAAGAGGAGGAACCAUUUUAAGCGAUGAUGGACGCGUGGGAAUUGAGGGCAAAUUUGCCAUUUUGCUGUGAACCCAAAAGUCAAGACUUGGCUUGGUUUAUAUAAUUAAUCAAUAAUAUUUCAUAACAAGAGCUAGGUCCAUAUAUUAUACAAGGUUCUAAUAUAAUAGAUGUUGUGGCUAGGCGAGGCUUAUUGUCUAUGCGAAUUUAAGUAAAUUUACUCUAUAUUAAAUAAAUAAAUAUAUUUUUACACUUAAAAUGACACAUAAUUGUAUUGUGAUAUAUAAAUUAUAAAAUAAAAUGAUAUAUAUAUUAUAAAGUAUUGGAGACCCAAAUGUGAAAUGACAACUAUAAACAAUUAUUCAAGGUGGACGGUAAAUGAUUCAGCCAUUUACAAGAUUCAAAACGUAGGAUCACGAUCUACUGGAUGAUUGUAUUAACUAUUAGGCGGUGCUCUAAUAUAAUACAUCCAAAUGGGGGUGGACCACAUAAUACACCCAAUAGGUCGUUUUAAGCUACUCCACUGCUAAAACUAUUGCAAAAUGCGCAUUAGGAUUUAUACUUCUAUUAGCUACGCCUUUCCUUACUAGGCAAAUGAACCAUAUAGUACACCAAGAUGGAUGUUAUACACGUUGGAGUUUGAGCAGAAUUCUUUUUGUUAUCAUGUCUCACAUUGCUAGAAUUGAAAAGUUCAUAAUAUAAUAACAUUCACGUAUGAACUUGAGAAACAACAUACUACUGGUUGGCCUGGAAGGUGCAGUGAAGGAGAGGAAAGAAAGUAACAAACACGAAAGGAUAAGGACUAUCCAAUAGAUUAUAAACAAUGACUUCUUGGGGGUGAUUACAGCUAUUCAACCAUCAAUAAUGCAUUAUUUUAGUUUGGAAUUUGGAAGCAUUUGAGAAGUAACAUGACAACAACCACAUAAUAAACAAAGAUGAUUAGAAAAAAGACCCGAAUGUGAAAGAAUAAUUAAAAACAAUUAUUCAAGAUUAGUGAUAAAUGAUUCAACCAUUUACAAGAUAUGAACUUAGAACAACAAUCUAUUAGAUCGUUGUAUUAAUUAUUAAGUGGUGCUCUAAUAUAAUAGAUCCAAAUCGGAACGGACCACAUAAUACACCCAAAUGGAUCAUUUUUAGGCUCCACUGCUAAAAACUAAUGCACCAUGGGCAUUAGGAGUAGACUUUUAUAGCUAUCUUUCCUUACUAGUCAAAUGAACCAUACAAUACACCCAAAUGGAUGCCAUCAUGCCAUAUAUAAACAAUGUUUUGAAAGGACAAGGUAGCUAACGCUGUCUUUUUAUAUAUGUAAGCAACAACCCUAAAUGAAUCUUAUUGGAGCUAAUUAACUAAUGUAUUUAUUAGACAGUUGGAUUCCUUAGCAAGGGGUUAACUAUUUUUGUUUAGAUUAGUAGUCAGGUGGUAAUUAAUUAGUCAAAUGAACCAUAUAAUACACCCAAAUGGAUGUGCAUAUAUAAACAAUGUUUUCGAAGGAUGAAAUGACUUUCUUGCCGGUAUGGGGGAAGAGGAUUGCGCGAAAAUUUUCGCACUAAUCUAAAUAUUGUGUUUCAAGCUUUGAAAAACCAUUGAAGCUUUGAAAAGUUUGGUGAUUUUGUUAGGUUAUGUGUAUGAGUGACAUUAAUAAUUUUCAACUUCCCAAGCAAUUGUUACACAAAAUUAAAUUUAAAAUCCAAGAGGCCGUGGUUACAGCUAUUCAACUUUUGUAGAUUUUCCGGUUUUAUGAGAUUGGCAUUCUUUUUCAACACAACUUCUAUUGAGUUCAUAUAAACUAUUAUAUGAAGGAGAAAUGGUAAAAAGACUCCCUCAAAAUCCCAAAUGUGAUAGGAGAAAAGACACAAAUAUGAAACAAUUAAAAACAAUUAUUCAAGGUGGGUAGUAAAUGAUUCAGUCAUUUACAAGAUUCAAACAUGGGACCACGAUCUACUGGAUGACUGUAUUAACUAUUAGGCGGUGCUUUGAUAUAAUACAUCCAAAUGGGGGUGGACCACAUAAUACACCCCAAUGGUUCGCUAAAAACUAUUGCAAAAUGCGCGUUGGGCUUAUACUUCUAUUAGCUGCGCCUUUCCUUACUAGGCAAAUGAACCAUAUCCAAAAUGGAUGUUAUACACGUUAGAGUUUGACCAUAAUUUUUUUCGGUUAUCUCAUUGUCUCACAUUGCUAGAAUUGAAAAGUUUUAAUAACGUUUGUGUAUGAACUUGAGAGACGACAUACUAUCGGCCGGCGGGGAAGGUGCAGUGAAAGAGAGGAAAGGAAGAAAGAAGUCAACACGGAAUGACAAAGACUAACCAAUAGGUUAUAAGCAAUUACUUCUUGGGGUGAUUACAGCUAUUCAACUAUCAACAACGCAUUAUUUUAGUUUGGAAUUUGGAAGCAUUUGAGAAGUAACAUGGCAACAACCACAUACUAAACUAAAGUGAUUAGAAAAAAGACCCAAAAUGUGAAAGAAUAAUUAAAAACAAUUAUUUAAGAUAAGCGAUAAAUGAUUCAACUAUUUACAAGAUAUGAACUUAGAACAACAAUCUAUUUGAUCGUUGUAUUAACUAUUAAGUGGUGUUCUAAUAUAAUAGAUCCAAAUGGGGACCGACCAUAUAAUACACCCAAAUGGACCAUUUUUAGGCUCCACUGCUAAAAACUAAUGCAAAGUGGACAUUAGGAUUAAACUUGUAUUAGCUAUCUUUCCUUACUAGUCAAAUGAACCAUACAAUACACCCAAAUGGAUGGCAUCAUGCCAUAUAUAAACAAUGUUUUGAAGGGACAAGGUAGCUAACGCUGUCUUUUUAUAUAUGUAAGCAACAACCCUAAAUGAAUUUUACUGGAGCUAAUUAACUAAUGUAUUUAUUAGACAGUUGGAUUCCUUAGCAAGUGGUUAACUAGUUUUGUUUAGUUUAGUAGUCAGGUCGUAAUUAAUUAGUCAAAUGAACCUGCAUAUAACACACGCAAAUGGAUGCCAUAUAUGCAUACUAUUUUUGUUUAGUUUAGUAGUCAGGUCGUAAUUAAUUAGUCAAAUGAACCUGCAUAUAACACACCCAAAUGGAUGCCAUAUAUGCAUAUAUAAACAAUGUUUUCAAAGGAUGAAAUGACUUUCUUGCCGGUAUGGGGGGAAGAGGAAAGAAACUAGCACGAAACUGCAGACCCUAUCGAUCCAUUAUAAUAAAUUUCAAUGGUCCAAGUUGUAAGUUAAUUGUGUAACGUAAAAACUUAUUUACAGUUAUCAACUUAACCACGUACAUGUGGAAGACAUUAUCUCAGAAAACUAGAAAGUUCAAUUGCAACUCUACACAACUGAAAGCAAGGCUCGCUCAAUAGGGCUUGAGUUUUUUUGUAAACUUGCGUAUUUUUGUAAACGCAUCACAUAGUAGUUAAAACAUCCGGCCGUAAAUAAAGGGUUUGAGUGUCACAUCCUAGCUCGGGGCAGACCACUUCCCGGGCUCACUCCACUACCGUAGCAUGAUAUUGUCCGCUUUGGGCCCCGACCACGCCAUUACGGUUUUGUUUCUAGGAACUCACGAGCAACUUCCCAGUGGAUCACCCAUUAUGGGAGUGCUCUGGCCACCUUCUCGCUUAACUUCGGAGUUCCGAAGGAACCCGAAGCCAGUGAGCUCCCAAAAGGCCUCAUGCUAGAUAGGGAUGAGAAUAUACAUUUAAGGAUCACUCCCCUGGGCGAUGUGGGAUGUUACAAUCCACCCCCCUUAGGGGCCUGACGUCCUCGUCGGCACACUUCCGGCCAGGGAUUGGCUCUGAUACCAUUGUCACAUCCCGGCCCGGGGCAGAACACUUCCCGGGCCCGCUCCACCACCGUAGCACGAUAUUGUCCACUUUGGGCUUACCAUUCCCUCACGGUUUUGUUUUUGGGAACUCACGAGCAACUUCCCAGUGGGUCACCUAUCCUGGGAGUGCUCUGGCCCCCUUCUCGCUUAACUUCGGAGUUCCUACGGAACCCGAAGCCAGUGAACUCCCAAAAGGCCUCGUGAUAGGUAGGGAUGAGAAUAUACAUUUAAGUAUCACUCCUCUGAGCGAUGUGGGAUGUCACAAUCCAAUUGUAACAGUGUCAUGAUCAGACUUGUAAGACUGUCUUUAAUAAGAAGUUGUUGCGUUUUGUCAAAACUAGGUAUGGGCAACGGUUAUGGCGGGCGGGUAACCGCGGUUAAUUAUCCAUAACCGUUUAUUCUCAUACAUGCAUAACUGUUUACCCGUUGGGUAAUUGUCUAAACGGUUAUACCCAUACCCAUAACCGUUUAUAAACGGUUAACCAUAACCAUAACCGUGUACCCAUUUAACCGUAACCGUUUAGUACCCAUUUACCCAUUUAUCAUUUUUAAACCCGUUUAUCCUUUCUUUUUUACCAUUUACUCAUUUUUCACGCAUCUACGUGUUUUUUUAACAACUUGAAAAUUAAAAAAGAAAAAUUUGUCAUAAUUUUCUUUUUCUAACAAUUAAACACCGUUGUAGUAUUCAUCAUACAUUUCCGUAUUUUAAUUUUUAAGUCCUUAUACCAUUUCAAUAAUUGAAAUAAUAGUUUACAGACAAUAUUUUUAAUUGUUAGCAAUGAAGGUAAUAUAAAAUUUGCUAAGUAUUCUUUGGUUACGAAAACUGUUAAAAGACAGUAUUCUUGGGUUAUUUAACUCAGAAUGUAUAAUAUAUAUAAUGGACCAUGAAAUUUAAAGUGGUUAAGGAAAACUAUAUUAUAUUAGCUAUAGAAAUCAUGCACUAUAGUCAAUAGCAUUGAUCUAAGUUUUGUCCGAUAGUGAACAUGGUUUGUGUUAAUUUUACAUAUAUAAAAUAAAUGGGUAAAUGGUUACCCGUUUAUAACCACGGUUAAUACCCAUACCGCCCAUUUAAAUUUCACGAGUAAACGCCCAUAACUGUAACCGUGAAAUUUAAAUAGGCGGAUAACCGCAGUUACCCAUAACCAAUGAGUAUUUACCCAUCCCUAGUCAAAACCGGUCCAUCUAAUUACAAAUUGUAACCAUAUUAGUUGAGUGCAUAUGCUACAUCACAUUUAGUGAAUAUUCAGUACGGGUGACACAUGGUCAGACUUGUAGGUUGUUCAUUAAGAAGUUAGUUACCACGUUCUCAAGAGUGGAGCUAGAGGGGAGCACUUCCCUACCAAAGUGUUUUCCUUCUCCCCUUUGCAAGGGAUUUGUGUCACUAUUAGAUAGGAGAUUCAAACACAAGACCUUCAAUUGAGAGGUAAACGCUUUUACAAAGCUUCUACGAGCACCUUCUUGUUUACCAAACUUAUUGAGACUAAAGGAGGUCUUAACGCCAUUUUGGCUAAUACUAUUCUGUAUAUUUACGAAUGGUUUUAAGUUUGGGUUUAAUUGGAUAAUCAGAUAGUAGUGCAUCAAACUAUGGAUAUUCAGAAACCGAAAGCAUAAUUCAUAUUCCUCCAACAAGUCCACGCAAAUAACCACAAUCAGAAUGUUAGUUCAUAACUGGCCAUAUAGAACGCAGUACAAAAGCACUAAAAGCGUCCAAGUGAAAGUGCUUUCUCCUCAUGUAGUUUCAUUUAACUUAGUUUCACAUGCCACUCCGUCACACACUCAACUCCUCAACGUUCGGGCUCAAAGCAUUCUUUAUCCCUUCUGCACGAGAGACAAUAAGUUUAAAGUUCUUGUGAUGAAAUCAUGUAAAACAUUCAGAAAUCUUGAUUUAACCCUUUAUCAAGAUCAUAGGUUGUGUCAUCUCAACUUAUAUCUUAGGUCUUAUGAGUGCUCGUAAUACACUAAUAUGACACUUGUUUUCUGGCCAGGACAGAAACAAAAUCAUGCAGGAAAUUGUCAUGACAACUUCAGUGUAAAAUAAAGGUCGUACCCAGUGCACAAGGCUCCCGCUUUACGCAGGGUCUGGGAGAGGUGAAUGUCGGCUAACCUUACCCCCAUUUAUGGAGAGGCUGCUCCCAAACAACUUCAGUGUAAAAUGCGACCGGAAAAACACUAAACAAGAUUGCUAUGCUCUCUUAGUGUAAACCUUAACAACAAAGACUAUACCGUAUCUGUCACAGUGAUAUGCGACCAUAAGCCCAACUCCAAGAGCUUUGAAGGCUACAAAUCAAAAGUUACAUGCAGUGACGACAUAAUCAUGAAAAAAUACAAUCAUAAAUUAAAGGAAAACAUACCGACUUCUAGUUCUGGCAAUUCACUAUUGGGCCAUAUAUUUGAACCACAGUAUGAUGGAUACCUACAAUACAGAUCACAAAUAAAAUCUGAGCAGACACAAAGUAUUAUGUUCUGUUUACACAAAAUCUGUAAGUUCUCAAAUAGGAUAAAUAAAGAUAAACAUAUCCCAGCAUAAAGACGAUUUGUCCUGGCUAAUUCUAAGAAACCUUGUAUCAAAUGUAUGAUAGUUAUUCAUAACUAACACAAACAAUAGUUUUGCCGAACAUUUCUGGUCUGAGCCGUAUACUGUGUGACCUCAGACAAAACAGAUCCCACAUGGACCCAGAUUAUGAUUGAUGUCCCUAUAGACUUUUACCUUUGAAUUAGAGAUUCAUCUGUUGUAGGGCUUCCAAUAUUGGAUUUGCAUAAAACGAGCCUUUUAACGUAUCUGCAAAACCAGAACAGAAACGGAAAAUGAAUGAUCCUACGUUCUUAGAGUUUCCAAAGAAACAAAAUUUAAAACAAAGAACAUAAAGUGAUACCAGGCUUUCCAGAUUCCAGCUUCUCUUUUCCAUGACUCCAUCCAAAAUUGUACCUAAACAUGGAUGGCAGGUAAAAAGAAGAUAAGCAAUAAGACUUUGUAAAGAUUCCCAAGAAAAGCAAUAAAACUACGUAAAUAUUAGUUAAUAAUGCCAAGACCAUAGUCUGUGACAAAUCCAAGAGUUGAGAUGAGACUAUCUUUCAGGCAGGAAUUUUUGGAAUUUUUCUCUAUUGGGACUAAAAUGAAAGCAUAACAAUGGGACUAAAAUGACUUAGCUACUAUGAGGAUCUUCAAGUUCCUUCUUCACCUCUUCGGGCAGAUUGGCUAAUCUAAUAAACGAAAAGAAAACUCCCAUGAGCAGUGCUAUAACAAACUAUCUUCCUAAAUUCAUUAUGAAUUGCAGUUAAAACUUAAAAUGAACAUGAAAAUCCUACGUAGAAGGGAUAUACCUAGGUGACAAGCCUAGAAGAUUCUCACGCAAGGAAGAAUAUCCCGGAACCUACUGCCAUUAAGGUUGUUAUUAAUAUCAAUUCAUGUAUAUUUCCGCAUGUGUCAUAUUAUUAAGUUAGACAGUGAAAAAUAUAUAUCGGAUGUUAUGAGAAUAUGUGUGGCUGUCAAGCUUGACACGUGAAUAACAUGCUCUCUACUACUUUAUUACACUGUGAAGAUUUUAUCCAAAAUUAAUUGACGAUGAGCGAAUAAACUGAAAGAUUAUGCGCUACUUUGAUUAUGCAACGAGUGAAGAGGCAAUUUACGCCAACCUCCAGUCAAGAAUUUGGACUCACAAUCACUAGCCAAUAUGCUUUUUUCUCACAUUUCCCCUGACACGGCAAGUUCAUUGUUCAAUAUUCUGGUUCUGGUGUCCUAUGACCCUGACACGGCAAGUUCCACUUUUUGUUCAUUUUCUUGACGAAACCAUCACACUUACCCUUACGGCACGGCACGGUUCCGGGCAUAGAGCAUGGAUUGGGUUUCGUUGCAGUCCCGACACUACUUAGCACUGUAGAGAAGGAAAUACAAAGACAAGUUUGGAUUUCUUACAACGUAUUGAGUCUCUCGUCAUGGCUCUUGCUGUGUUGUUCUUAUUUCACAUCCUGUUUCUCGAGUUUGGUGUUUCCGGUUGCAAAUUUGGUUCGGCAGUGUAGUGCUCAAGAGAGGGGACUGUCUCACAUUGUUCCAAGCAGACACAGGCGGUUGACAACGAUUGCGAUAAUGUGUUUUUCUACUGGGAGAACAUACAGCAGUCAGCAGUCAUCUUUUCACAACCGUCUUCAGUAUUUGGAGGCACCUCAAGAAAUUAUCAAGGACAAACGAAUGUAGAAAAGAAGAAAUAUCGAAGUUAGUUGACAAAAGGGGCCGAAAAAUUGUGAGAUACAGAGAAGAAGAUUAGACGAAACUCGAUGCAAAUUUUAAGCUAGAUUAGUUAUUUUUCAUUAACGAGCGAUACAGAGAAGAAGAAACAGCUGCAUUUGGAGAAAGCUGCUUUAGUUGCCUAGUUUGUAACAUUAGCUUUCUGUAAUUCCGGGGAAGAAACAGGAGUAAAAAAAAAACACAAUCAGGCAGUACCAAAAAAGAAAAAUGUACAAUUAGGAACAAUCGCCACUUCUCAAACUUUGUAGUAGAUCCAGGUAUCUGAUGGACUCGGGGCUAAUGUACCUGCAUUAACAAGAAACAAAAAUCAGAUUUGUGGAAGGGAGUCACAUAGUGGUUAAAAUACUUGGCCGUGCAUGAAUGGUUUGAGAUACCAUCAUAGAGGCAUCCUCCAGGUGUGAGUUUCUCUCGUAUCUGAUCACUUAUUAUAAGAAUAUCAGUAGUGAAAGUGAAAUACCCGUGUCGGGAAAGGAAGUCAAUGAUGACAAAAGAGCAAUUUGGCUUGAAAUAUUGUGUCCUCCGUAUGAUGCUUGCAACAUGCAUCACCGAAUCCACUUGAAGCUCUCCACCUCUCCAUCUGUUAAAUGUUUCAUAAGCAGCAUUGUUAAAGUUCUCUCUAUUUGGGGGGAUAUUGCAGAUGGUUUUGAAUGAAGAAAGGCAAAAAUUCAUGCAGAAGGCAUAAUUUACAACUAGUUUUGUAAAAGCUAAGCUCUAAAGGUCUCACCUUGAUUCUUUGGCACAAAUAGCUAAAGUUUUGAGAUGGGACAAAAUGGGUCCCAAGACCCACAUACAGCGCAUCCGAUGGUGUUGAAAUCCUUUUCCCAGUAAGUCAAAGAUAAGCGCCAAGAAAGACAUGACAGUGUUAAACUUAAAACAAAUACAGAACUAAGAAUUGAUGCAUGAAUCAAACAGAGAAAUGGUACAGGCCAUUCUCUUUAUAUUCUUAUAAUCUAAACAUUUCUCCUUAUCAACACUGGAAAAACAGCUUGCUUCAGUCAUAGGAAAUAAAUUGCGCCUGGAGUAUAGAAAAGACAUACCUACAGAUCCUCCUCCUGGACUCUUUGCCGCUAUACGUGAAAACCCAACAUCUGGGAACAAACAAAUUACAUUCUCUGCCAUAGCAAGAACAGUCCUCUGAAAUGUAUCCAUACAAAGUUAAGACACAAAAAAUUCAAAAAGGCAAUGUAAUUCACAACAUUGACAAUCUCUGUCUGACAAGGCAAUAAUACCUCUGUAAUGAUCUGGUAGUGACCGUGACCUGAUAGGCCAACACCAAAGCCCAUUGUUAUGCCAUCCAUGAAGAUAGGGCUUCUUGUACUCAGAGAUUUUGCAUAUUAGAGAAUACUCAGCAGUGAAUACCUGAAAAACAUGCAGCACAAGUAUCAUACCGGUAGCCUCUCAAUCUUAAGAAAUGGUAGCUUAGAAAAGAUAUGAAUCCUAUCCAACCAAUACAAAUCAUAUUACCCAAGUUCAAGCAAAAUCACGACUAAACAAAUGAUCAGAUGUUGUAGGUUGCCCGAGAAUGUCAAACAUGAAAUUACAAAAGAAAAAAAAACAAUCGUAUGUAUUGAACAUUAAUAAAUACUUGCUGAAAGCACAAUCUUAGCUGCAAUUUAUGACAUUUAUACGAGAUUGAAUAGCCAAAGCAAUUAAAGAAGUAGCAGAACUCAUAUAAGUGAUUUUCACUUUGAACUUUUAGGCUUAUCAGCAAAUACAUCAUUACGAUUCUAACGCAUGAAUUUUGUUAAAAGGGGCUUGCUUGCUUGUAUUAAGGCUUAAUCAUCAAUGAUUUUGCAAGGGUCAAUCGUCUUGCUAGUUGUAAAUCCAUGCACUAUGAAAAUUACCAAAAUUACAUCUUAUAUGGUAGAGAAGGAAGUCAUCUUAUAUUAUCUGGAUUUUAGAAGACGGUGUAAGGUUAUAAGUCUGUUAUUCUAUAUAGUUUAAAGGACACAAUUAGACAACAAUCAUAUUCGGUGGUUGGUUUUUGGCCGUGAUCUGCUUCACAUCACCGCCCGCAGGUAAUCUAAAUCUGGGUUAUUACUUAUCAAUGAAUCAAAGUGCCAACUUAUCGGACACCAACUAUCUCUCUAUGGCAAAAAAAUAACACAAAAAGGAACAAUGAAGUGAAACAAUAAACAACAUGACAUGAAACAGCACAAACAUCAAAGACCAACAAUCUAUCACAUAAGCACCUAAACAAGAAACAACUUUAGUUCAAAGCAAAGCGUAAUGUAGAAACCUUCAGCACAAGAGGCGUGUUUUUGUCCUUUUGAAUUUCGGCAACAACAACUUUAAUAUCCUUACCUGCAUUUACCAUGAUUGGUCACUCUCAAAACCUUACCUAAGAGACCCAAAAACCAAAAUAACUGCUAAAAGAGCUGAACAUACAUAUCUAGAAAAACUUAUUCAACUACAUGCUAAAAUGGAAGUGUAAAAUUGCCAGGAAAGAUAAGAAACUAUUCAAAUACGAGUUCUGGGCGUUACCGCCACAAAAGGCACGAGCCGAGCGGCUAUCAACAAGAACACACUUCACAUUUGGGUCAGAUUCCCAUUCAUCCAGAUAGCUCUUGUAUUUCACAUCCAAAUCUGCAUUUUCCAACAAUUCCCACUUAAACAGAAACACAAAAUUCUUCCAAAAAGAGCUAACUUCUUUGAAAUUUGAAUCCAACGUUUCGUCUUAUAACAAAUGCAAUAACAUAGAUUUGUAAUCAAUACGAUGCCAUAAAGUUCAAGCUCAAAAAUUCAAAUCAUCUCCAAAUCAAAAGCAAUUACAGAUAUAUACAUAUAUACAUAUGCGUGUGUGUGUUUAUCUACAUACCUAGGUUUAUGGCGUUGAGAGCUCGGGGGGCGACCGAGGGUGAUGACGGCGACGCCAAAGGUGCGGAGAAGGCGAGGGGAUUUGGAGGGUUUUGUAAAGAGGGGAUUUGCUCAGAAUUUGGGUCGCUCGUCCCUCUUAUGAGAGUGAUUCAAAAAUCGAAAAAGUUGAAAUUUAUUGAUUGUGAUCUGACUCAAACAUGUGAUGAUGACGAUGCAUCACAACCUUGGUUGUGCCUCUGGAUCAAAAUCCUGUUCCAUCAAAUUCGUGCUCAUUUUCCUUCAUAGGUUUGUCCCAUACUAGAUUAACCCCUGUUCCCUUAAUUGUCACAUUACCAUAUUUACUGUAUGGCUCUGGCAUUUCAAAAGUUAUAUCAACUUUAUCCCCGCUUUGCAAAUUGAGCUUAUCAUUCGAUAUUUGUCCCUGCCAAAGAUAACAUUUUCCAGAUACAUUGCACAUUUUUAUAACCCAAUCUUCUUUGCCUAUGUAGGUCUGCAACUCAGUACGCUUGGUAUUAUUUAUAUCAAUAUUGGCACGAGGAUGACAUUCUCCACAACUGGCAUAAGGGCUUCUUGACUCAUUAGUAUUUGAGCAGUAAAAGCAUAAUAGAGUCAGUCCUUCCAAAUUACGACCAUCACUCGGGAGGAUAUCAAAACUGACUUUAUUACCAUCGUUGACAAACUCGAACCAAUCAGGAACAUAAUUCCCAUUGAGAAAAAUGCCAUCACUUGGGAGGAUAUCAAAACUGACUUUAUUACCAUCGUUGACAAACUCAAACCAAUCAGGAACAUCAGGAACAUAAUUCCCAUUGAGAAAAAUGCCAUCACUCGGGAGGAUAUCAAAACUGACUUUAUUACCAUCGUUGACAAACUUGAACCAAUCAGGAACAUAUUUCCCUUUGAAAAAAAUAUCCGCAAGAAGUCCAUCCCUACAUAUACAGUGCAAGUGUCAUAUUUAUAUAUAUACACACACACAAUGUACAUGUGCGUUGUGUGUGUGCAUGUGCGCAAUAGGAAGACAAUUAAAGAGAGAUACCUUUAGGACGUUACUCAUAAAACCAGCGGUGAGUUUGGGGCAGUACCUCAUAUUAAAAUGUCGUGGAGUUUAAUGACUUAUCCAAGUCUGGAACCUCAGUGAGUGCGCGUGAAUCACAUACAUGUAGCUCUCUCAUAUUCGACAUUUUCGAAAAAUUGGGCAUUGUUACCAAACGGGAGCAAUCAGACGCAUACAGAAAUUUCAAAUUUGUUGGUAAACCAUAGAUUGUAUGAAGGUUACGGCAGUAAUUUAACUGCAAACGUUCAAGCUUUGAAAAACCAAUGAGGCUGGGUAAGGUAUGAAAAUCAUUACAUGUGAGACACAAAUCUUGCAAAGAAAUUAGACUCCCAAAAUCUUUUGGGAAUGCAUCAUCGCUUAAGCGCUGGAAUGAGAGAUCUAAAUUUCUUAAAGAGUCUAAGCCGUGUAACGAAUUGGGAAAUUGUGUGACAUGCCCCCUUAAAAUGAAAUCAGUGGUAAACCAUGAUUUCCGUAGAAAUAAAUGAGUGAGAUUCUUCAAUCUUACUGUGGAACGCGGUACUUGUCUUAUGGCUGUUUCAGACGCUUUAAGUACUCUCAAUGAUAUCAUCUUCCCUAAAUCCUCGGGCAGUUCAUUGAAUCGCCUACAAAAAUCAAGAACAAGAGUCUGAACGGAUUUGGACUUGUAGAAAUCCCCAGGAAGAGAAAUAAGAUUAUGGCAGCAUGUGAGGUUCACCAAAGAAAGUUUUUUAAGCUGACCAAUGGAGGGGUGAAUCUCGAACAAACUCUCACACCUUCCCAAUAUCAACUCUUCAAGACUUGGGAGAUUUGAUAAGUCUGGUGAUUUUUUUAAGUCACAGCAAUUACUGAGAUUAAGGAUUUUCAAGUUUUCAAGCGACUGUUGCACAAAAUCCAAAAGGUCAUACCCAGUGCACAAGGCUCCCGCUUUACGCAGGGUCUGGGAGAGGUGAAUGUCGGCUAGCCUUACCCCCAUUUAUGGAGAGGCUGCUCCCAAGUCUCGAACCCGAGACCUACCGCUUAUGGGCGAAGGCAUUUGUCAUCGCACCAAGUGCGACCUCUUUGGGGAAAUCCAAGAAAAAUUAAAAUUAAUAUCCAAAAGGAAUAUCUCAUAAAAUAAAUAAAUAAAUAAAUAAAUAAAGAGAGAAGGAAAUCCAAAAACAAAUAGAAACUUAACAUCAUCAUGUGUAAUCGAUUGUACCUUGGAGCCCUCCCAAACUUGUACCAGUUUGCUAUGCUUUAUCUCUAAAAUAACUAGUGUUCUUGGUUGAUCAAAGAAGUCAUCUGGUAUGGACUCUAAAAGGUAUCCUUCCCAACGCAACCAUACUAACUCUUUGGGGAGAUGUUUGUAUUCUCCAUUGAGCUGCACGUUCUGGAGCAUGAGCAGUCUCAGUUUCUUCAUAUUAGCAAAUGCUUCUGUACUGAUACAACUAGACUUUAAAGGGAAUUCUCCACGGAGCUGCACGCGGUGGAUCAGUCCCAGUUCCCUCGAAUUGGUAGGGAAACUUACAACAAGUCCUUCAACUUCUUUAGUUCCCUGUUAACAACACAUUAUACUGGGUAAGAAAAGGAUUAUGUGCAUCUAUUUUACGUGAUUUUGCUAAUUGAGCUUCUUAAUGCAAAUACAUAUAUUUACACAUGAAUUUUUUAAUGUAUAAUAGGCAUACGUGGGUUACAUAUAUGCUUUUCUUGUACGAUGCAUUAAUACAAAUUUUUUUUGGGAAUCUACUUACAGAUUUAUUUGUUAGUACAUCAUAGACAUCUCCAGGGAUCCACAACCUGCUCCAUUCUCCAGGGGGACGAGUGGAUUUUUCAGAAAUGAUUAAUUUGGCCAUUUCUCGAAGCAAAUCAUGCAUAUUCAACUUCUUGUCUUCAACAGUUAUAAGGCAUCGUUCACGGAGGUUACUGAUUCCUAUUGUUGCAAAAAACUUACAUUCAUCUAAUAUUUUUGCGACAUCGUCCUUAUCCCAUCCAAUAAAGAAACAAGAUAUGUCAAGGAAUAUAUCCUUCUGCGUAGGAUCUAGCCUUUCAAAGCUUACUUUUAGCGGUUUCAUUAUUCCUUCAUCAUGAAAUUUUUUCAAUUUCUUCAAUUGACUUUUCCACUCUGCUGGGGUUCUUUCAGUCAUAGAAGAACCUAAAACUUCAAGGGCUAGUGGCAAACCACCACAGUAAGAAACCACCUCUUUUGAGAGUUCAAGAUAUCCUUCAUUAGGCCAACUAUUUCCAAAGGCAUGCCAACUAAAGAGCAUCAGGGCUUCUUCUUCAUUCAUUUCUUGAAGCGGAUAUGUCUUGUCCACUUUCAUGUUCACUUGCUUUAGUAAACGUUCAUCUCGUGUCGUUAUGAUAAUUCUACUUCCUGGGCCAAACCAAUCACGAUUUCCAGCCAUUGCAUUUAGUUGUUCCACUUUGUCUACAUUGUCAACAAUGACAAAUACGCUUCUACGUCGGAGAUGAUUUUUUAUCAGACUGAUACCUCCAUCAACACUGGUUAUCUUAUUAGACUCGGUCUGUUUCAAGAUGUCAGAAACAAGUUUUCUUUGCAAAUCAACCAGAUCAUAUUCGCUAACGUUGGCAAGGAAACUUUUGAACUGGAACUUAUGAUGAAUUUGGUUAUAAAUGGCUUUGGCAGCUGUUGUUUUACCCAAUCCACCCAUCCCCCAAAUUCCAACCAUGCGUACAUCUGAUCCACCAUUUGAAAGAUAAGUGAUGAUAUCUUGAAUGCGGGUAUAUAUUCCAACUGGGUGCUUGGCCACAUGUAAUUUUUCUGCGCUCGGAAGCCAUUCCGGGAUAAUCUUGUCAACAAUUUCUCUAAUAAGCUUUGCUUCGCGCCUGAAAAUUGAAUUCGUAAGCGUUAGUGGGACUCAAUGAACAGUAGGAGCUAUCAGUACAUAGACAAUUGUCUUUACUUCAUAAAAGAAAGAAAUUCAUUCACUAAAAUGUUUCAAAACUUGAAAAGCAGGUGAAUGAUUACCCAUUGUUAGUGAUUUGAAGAUGUUGGCCAAACAAAUUUGCAGCUUCUGUAAGAGCCUUUCUCCAUUGCUUUACCCUUUCUUGUUUAGCUUCACGUUCCUUGUCAUCUUUUUCUUCAUGGAUGCCCUCUUCGUGCUUCUGAAAUGCUUGAGCUAAAUCUCCGUUCUGCUUCCUAAUGUGAAGGAUCAACAUGAUAGAAUAUUGGCAAAACACGUCGCCCCAGUUUGUAUCUGCACUCCAUGAUCUUCACCAGCUCGUCAAGACACCAACUCGAGUCCGCAUAACUCUUUGAGAAGACAAUGAUAGAGAUCCUCGCCUCUUUGAUUGCCCGGACCAGUUCCUCUUUUAUUUCUUCCCCUCUUUCUAGAUCGUCCUCAUCGAUAUAAGCCUGGUAUCCCCUGUCAGUUAAUGCCGCAUGGAGGUGGCCCGUGAAACCAUUGCGUGUGUCUACACCGCUGAAUCUCAAGAACAUGUCGUAAUUCCAAAGUUUUGACUUGGAGGACGAUGAAGAGGAGGCUUCGUGGGUCGUCAUGGCGGUAUCCACCGUUAUGGCACUGCAGUGGUUCAGAUCACGACUGAAAAAUGGCAGUAGUUGUGCUCAUGCUGUCGAACGAAUGAUCCUGAAAUACCUAAAACCCAAGUCAAGCUCCUUCAGUCAACAAGAAUAAAGUUUUAAUAUAAUAAUGUUGGUGUAUGGACUUGAGAAACGACAUAAUGUUGGCCGGAAAGUGCAGAGAAAGAGAGAGGAAAAGAGGAACAAAAGGAGAAAGACUAUCCAAAUGAUUCUUGGCUGUGAUUACAGCUAUUCAUAGGAGAAACAACGUACAUAUUUUCAUAGGAGAAACAACUUGCCCAUCUUCAUAUAUAAUACAUUUCAACAGACAUAUUUUAAUAGGAGAAACUAGGGGUGGGCAAACGGGUCCAGGAACCGCAGGUCGGGGCGGGUAAUGGCGGUUCAGGGCGGGUACAGGCCGGGUCUUAUUUUUUUAAAGAAGAAACGGGGUGGGGGCGGGGAGGUGGUAUUUAUGGGGCGGGUCGAGUUCAAAUUUGUACAAGCAUGGGGCCCCGGGCCGACCCGUUCCUAAAAUGGACUGAUUGGAACCUGGACAAUAUGUUGUGGGCUUACUACACAAGGCAAUGGCCCAUGUGGGCUUACUGCUCGAAUACUCUAGAAACUAUGAUCCGACUCCUAUCUCUCCUGGAUCGAUCCCCAAAUCCCACUACUCUCUCUCCUCGUCGGCAUCACCGAACACAGAACCACCGAUUCACCACCAUCGUCACCCAUCACCGCCGUGGCGACCAUCACCAUCGCAGACGCUAUUAACCGUUAGUUUCACCCUAGGUCUCCCCUAUGUCUAUCACUCAAGUCCUCGAUCGUUUCUCUCCCGCGUGCGUCAUUCCCUCCACGGUUCUUCCACUACACUCUGUCACUCUCCGUCACUCUCCGUCAGUCACCUCCUCCACCACCCCGACAUCAACCCCGUCGCGAGUCUGGGCCCUGGCGACCACCACGACGAGCCAGCAACCUCGAUUGUCUUCCUCGAGUCCUCGAUGGCAUCCCAGAUUUAGAGAACUUUAGGGUUCUCUUUCUCCCUCCCACCCCUCGAAUCGACUGCGUCGACAUCAAAUCAGCCACCACACGAGUCACGAGGCUUCAAAUUCGGCUGGUGACUGCCCAAUCUGGUGCGACUCAACCGAUUCCGAGCGCUCUUGACUCUGUCGACGAAGAAGAAGAAGAGAAGAAAAAAAAAAAUAACCCGUGGACCCGGGCCGGGUUAGGUCAGGUUUCUGUGUUAAAAUUAGUUGUACCCGCCCCUGCCCGACCUGUUUCUUUUAAACCUGGGUCCGGCCGGUCCCUUCAAAAUUGGGCCCGGCCCUGGGCCCGGCCCGGCCCAUGCCCAGCCCUAGGAGAAACAACUUUAGUUUUUACUAGAAAUUUUUACCCACACGUUGCUACAGGAUUUGAAAUUGUAUAAAAGAUUAUCUUUGAAAUAUAUAAUAGAUUGUGUGAUUGAAGAUUAAUACUAUUUACACUGAAAACGUUGGGAAAAGUUUUACAUACAAAAGAUUUUACAAUACAAUCCACAUACAAAAGAUGGUAAAUUUUUUUCUAUCUACAUGCAUUAUGUUAUGGAAUGAUAUAUAUAUAACUAAGUUCCAGAAUACGUAAAUUUCAUAAUUUCGAAUUUUUUUGACAAAUUAAUCAGAUUCAACUGUGGGAUAGAAAGGUCGCCUAUAAAGUUGUGAAGUCGUGGAAGCAUAAAGGACAAAUAACAAAUGAGUUUUGAGAAAUUAUUCCACAAAAGUCAUUUUGCAAAAUGCAAAUGUAUUAAAGACGAUUGGUACAAGAUUAGUAAUCAUAAGUAGUGUAACAACAUCAACAAAAUAACUAUAAACCAUAGUUGAACAUAAUUCAAAUUUCGUUUGCAAAAACAAAAGAAAAAGAAAGAAAACAUACUUACAAUAAUUCAGCCUUUAAUCCUAAAGUCCUACUCAAAGAUCCAAACUUGAAUGCAAGCUUUCUGAAAUCUUCCAAACAAUACAGAUAAAAAGGUAACACCCUAGUCAGAAAUGAACCAAGGUGCGAGCUUUCUUAGAAACUCAGAUGAAAAAAUCAACAAAAUAGAAUGAAAAAAUGACUUACACUUUUAAGGCAUGCUCGAAUCGUGAUCUAAAAUUGGUGGUGGGUCGAUUGUUGGUCACCAACUCUAAAUGAAGAAUUCAUCAGAACCUAGAAAUUUAACAAAGAAUUUUCCAAAAUCAACAUUUACUAAAAACCAGUUACUUGGUUAUCAUGCAUGAUGGCUUGCCAAAGACUAAAUUAAGGAAUGCACAACUUUACCUUUAUGAUAUUUUCAAUGACAGCUAAAAGGUCAGAUUCAAAUGAAAAUAAAAGUUAGGACUUCACAAAACCAAUUAAAAAUCUAAUUCCAAAGUUACAAACACCAACCAAAUGAUUCCAGAUAAAGUUUUAAACUCAAAGUCAGACCCAAAUGAAAUUAAAAGUUAGGACUUCACAAAACCAAUUGAAAAUCUGAUUCCAAAGUUCCAAACACCCACCAAAUGAUUCUGGAUAAAGUUUAAACUCAAAAACCCAACAGAAACAAAAACCCAAAGUUCCAAACACCCACCAAUUGGUGUGACUUAAUUGUAUCUAAUUGAAGAAACUAAAACAAAAAUAAAGCAAAGUAUAUACCUCAAAAUAUCAACCAACUAAGUUCUUCCUCCGACAACCCAAAACUCUGAAAAUUCCACACAAAAAGGGUAAAUCCGUAAGCAAUUCAUAGCUUUCAAAAUUAACAAAAACUUGGGCAACAAUAAAGACACGUUGAGAACCAUCACUCUUUCUCCUUGUGUAUUUGAAAAUAUAUUUUAUAAGCAGUUUAUGUAGUCAUUCUGAUCAUGUUGCAGUUAAAUUCCUUUUCCACAGAGUUCAAAAUUAUAUGGCAGUUUAUGGCAUCUGUUGAACAACAUGGUUGAAAGAUUUAAAAUUGAUACAUUCAAUUUUUAUGUGUAAAACUAUAACAUAUACCUAAAGCUAUUUGGUCUAUAUAUCCAUAUCAAUCAUGUUGUAAUUAAAUGUUUAUCGAUGUAAAUAGAUGAUUUCAGUCAUGUGAUAACAUGUUUCUUGUUAGUAUACGCUGAAGUUUGGUCUAAGUUGGAUAAAAAUCGACCAAAAUCUUAGUAAGAGACUCUUUUAACUUUUAACCAAAAAAUGAGCACCACAAUACUACACUCAUAAGUUUUAUCAUGCACAAAAUAUACAACACUGAUAGCCACUUUUAGAGCAAGAACAAUACUUUACCAGACGAAAACAACAAAACACUCAAAACCCAGAAACAGAAACACACUUAGGACUCAAACUCCUCAAAAACAUAAGAAAGAGAGUGCAUGAGGAGAGAGAAUAAAAAAAAAUAUUAUUUUUCACAAACUCAAAAUUGCUUAUAAAAUUACAAAUCAAAACAAAUGAAUGCAAAUCCAAAAUUGCCCUAAAUUAAAUCUGUUUAGUUAAAUGUUUGUUGCCCUUCAAAUGUCAUUACACCUGACAAUUGCUUUGAAGUUGAUAUUUUGGUCAAUCCAGGGGAAAAGGAGUUAUUUCUUUUGGAGCAGUUGUCAUGGAGAAUCCCAUCUCCAUGUUGAAUGAUCUAAAAAAUUACUUACAUCUUCUGGUGGCCACAAUAAUUUAGGAGGCCCUUCUCUCCAGAUUUUCUCAAUAACUUUGCUUUUCGUAGCUGGUAAGAUUGCAACUCCAAGAAUUGCUCUGAAGAGAUAUAUACAAACAAAAUCAACCUAAAACUAAGCUAUUGGAACAAAUUUGGAAAACACAAACACCACUACAACUCAGAGUUAAAGUCAAUAGAAACCAAAUGGGAGAAGUUGAAAAAAUAUAUGGUCAUGAAUCGAGAACUUCAUCAAACUAACAGCAAUAAAAUCUCAUAUAAUCUGUCUAAAACCAAAAGAGAGAGAGAGGUAAUUUCAAGACCUUGUAACGCUAAGGCCUCGUACAGUUGUAGUAAUAAUAUAUGGUUGAUGCACCUGUUGCUCAAUCAAAUCCUUUGUCUGGCUAAAAAAAUAAAAAUCUAUAAAUACAUUCACGUCCAAUUUAUGAGAAAUCAUGGGAAAGCAAAUGCACUGAUAACGGAAUCAUGAAUAUGAAGAACUUGCCAAAAAGAAAAAGAAAACUUCUUAUAGUGUGCCAAGAACAUCCUCCUACUCCUAGCAAAUUUUUUAUGGCAUUAUCCACUUCUCAAUUCAUAAUUCAACCAGUAACUCAAAGUCUAUAGUGUAUGAAAAAGUGAUAUCUUAGUUGAUCACGAUGAUAAUUAAGCAGAUUAAAUGACGACCCAUAAAGCAUACAAAUUCAGAAAAGAAAAGGUUCAAAACUGCCAUAAGAAAACACAGAAUAUAUAAACGGGAAAUCAAAAGAAGAGAAGCGAAAAGGAAGAAAAAACCAAACAAAAUUAUUAGGUUUGUGAUAUACCUUUAUCCGAAACGCCACAAUCAUCAAAGUCAAACAUAAACAAUCCAAAAAUUUGUGGAAAAUAACAAUAAAUGCUUAACUAAAAACGAAAGAAAACGUAGAAUAAGUUUACAUGUUCUCCCCCUAAUUAAACUGGAAUACAAUUCACCACUAAUAUUCUCGUCAUCCUCUUCAGCCUGAAAAAUUUAGUAGAAAUAUUCAAUGAAGACGCUUAAUGGAGACAGUAAUAUUAGCAAUGGAGGAAUUGAAUUGAUAACUAAAACUGCAAGACCAAAUGACUACAAUAGGUUCACAACAGAAACUCGUCUGUUAGAUGUCUCAUCUUUAGGCAGUGCCUUGUUCUUUUUUUUUCUUUUUUGUCCUUUUGAAUUUCGGCAACAACAACUUUAAUAUCCUUACCUGCAUUUACCAUGAUUGGUCACUCUCAAAACCUUACCUAAGAGACCCAAAAACCAAAAUAACUGCCAAAAGAGCUGAACAUACAUAUCUAGAAAAACUUAUUCAACUACAUGCUAAAAUGGAAGUGUAAAAUUGCCAGGAAAGAUAAGAAACUAUUCAAAUACGAGUUCUGGGCGUUACUGCCACAAAAGGCACGAGCCGAGCGGCUAUCAACAAGAACACACUUCACAUUUGGGUCAGAUUCCCAUUCAUCCAGAUAGCUCUUGUAUUUCACAUCCAAAUCUGCAUUUUCCAACAAUUCCCACUUAAACAGAAACACAAAAUUCUUCCAAAAAGAGCUAACUUCUUCGAAAUUUGAAUCUAACGUUUCGUCUUAUAACAAAUGCAAUAACAUAGACUUGUAAUCAAUACGAUGCCAUAAAGUUCAAGCUCAAAAAUUCAAAUCAUCUCCAAAUCAAAAGCAAUUACAGAUAUACACAUGUAUACAUAUGCGUUUGUGUGUUUAUCUACAUACCUAGGUUUAUGGCGUUGAGAGCUCGGGGGGCGACCGAGGGUGAUGACGGCGACGCCAAAGGUGCGGAGAAGGCGAGGGGAUUUGCUCAGAAUUUGGGUCGCUCGUCCCUCUUAUGAGAGUGACUCAAAAAUCGAAAAAGUUGAAAUUUAUUGAUUGUGAUCUGACUCAAACAUGUGAUGAUGACGAUGCAUCACCACCUUGGUUGUGCCUCUGGAUCAAAAACCCACCAUCACCAUCAAAAUCGUGCUCAUUUUCCUUCAUAGGUUUGUCCCAUACUAGAUUAACCCCUGUUCCCUUAAUUGUCACAUUAUCUAAUGUAACGUAUGGCUCUGGCAUUUCAAAAGUUAUAUCAACUGUAUCCCCGCUUUGCAAAUUGAGCUUAUCGUUCGAUAUUUGUCCCUGCCAAAGAAAACAUUCUUUAUAUACAACAUCGCGCAUGAGGUUUUUUCUUUUUUUGGCGUAACAAUCGCGCAUUUUUAUAACCCAAUCUUCCUUGCUUAUGCAGGUCCGCAACUCAGUACGCUUGGUAUUAUUUAUAUCAAUCCUGGCAAGAGGAUGACUAUCUUUACAUCUGAUAUAAGGGCCGAACUGAGAAGGACUUGAGCAAUAAAAGCAUAACAGAGUCAGCCCUUCAAAAUUACAACCAUCACUCGGGGGGAUAUCAAAAGUGAUUUUAUUACCAUCGUUGACAAACUCGAACCAAUCAGGAACAUAAUUCCCAUUGAGAAAAAUGCCACCAUAUCCGCAAGAAGUCCAUCCCUAUAUACACAGUGCAAGUGUCAUAUAUAUAUACAUGUACAUGUGCGUUGUGUGUGUGCAUGUGCCCAAUAGGAAGACAAUUAAAGAGAGAGAUACCUUUAGGACUUUCCUCAUAAAAUCAGCGGUGAGUUCGGCGCAAUACGUCAUAUCAAUCCAUGUCAUGGAGUUUAAUGACUUAUCCAAGUCUGGAACCUCAGUGAGUGCAUGUGAAUCACGUACAUUUAGCUCUCUUAUAUUCGACAUUUUCGAAAAAUUUGGCAUUGUUAUCAAACGAUAGCAACGAGACGCAUCCAGAAAUUUCAAAUUUGUUGGUAAACCAUAGAUUGUAUGAAGGUUAUGGCAGUAACCUAACCACAAAUUUUCAAGCUUUGAAAGACCACUGAGGCUGGGUAGGGUAUGAAAAUCAUUAGAUGAGAGAUCUAAAUUUCUUAAAAAGUCUAAGCUGAGUAACGAAUCGGGAAAUUGCAAAUGAGUGAGAUUCGUCAAUCCUAGAGAUAAAUGAGUGAGAUUCUUCAAUCUUACUGUGGAACGCGGUACUUGUCUUAUGGCUGUCUCAUAUGCUUUAAGUACUCUCAAUGAUAUCAUAUUCCCUAAAUCCUCGGACAGUUCACUGAAUUGCCCACAAAAAAUCAAGAACAAGAGUCUGAACGGAUUUGGACCUGUAGAAAUCCCCAGGAAGAGAAAUAAGAUUCUUGCAGCCUGUGAGGUUCACCAAAGAAAGUUUUUUAAGAUGACCAAUGGAGGGGUGAAUCUCGGACAAACUCUCACACCAUUCCAAUAUCAACUCUUCAAGACUUGGGAGAUUUGAUAAGUCUGGUGAUUUUUCUAAGUCAGAGCAACCACUGAAAUCAAGGAUUUUCAAGUUUUUAAGCGACUGUUGCACAAAAUCCAAGAAAAAUUAAAAUUAAUAUCCAAAAGGAAUAUCUCAUAAAAUAAAUAAAUAAAGAGAGAAGGAAAUCCAAAAACAAAUAGAAACUUAACAUCAUCAUGUGUAAUCGAUUGUACCUUCGAGCCCUCCCAAACUUGUACCAGUUUGCUAUACUUUAUCUCUAAAAUAACUAGUCUUGGUUGAUCAAAGAAGUCAUCUGGUAUGGACUUUAAAGGGCAUUCAUUCCAACACAACCAUAUUAACUCUUUGGGGAGAUGUUUGUAUUCUCCAUUGAGUUGCACGUUGUAGAGCUGGAGCAGUCUCAGUUUCUUCAUAUUGGCAAAUGCUUCUGUACUGAUACUUGGAGACAGAAGAUCAGGGAAACCUACAACAAGUCCUUCAACUUCUUUAGUUCCCUGUUAACAACACAUUAUACUGGGUAAGAAAAGGAUUAUGUGCAUCUAUUUUACGUGAUUUUGCUAAUUGAGCUUCUUAAUGCGAAUACAUAUAUUUACACAUAAAGGUCGUACCCAGUGCACAAGGCUCCCGCUUUACGCAGGGUCUGGGAGAGGUGAAUGUCGGCUAGCCUUACCCCCAUUUAUGGAGAGGCUGCUCCCAAGUCUCGAACCCGAGACCUACCGCUCAUGGGCGAAGGCACUUGCCAUCGCACCAAGUGCGACCUCUGAAUACAUAUAUUUACACAUAAAUGUUUUUAAUGUAUGACAGCUAUACGUGGGUUACAUAUUUGCUUUUCUUGUACGAUGCAUUAAUACAAAAUUUUAUAGGGAAUGUACUUACAGAUUUAUCUCUCAAUACAUCAGUGACCUCCUGCUGGUUCCACAACCUACUCCAUUCUCCAGGGUGACGAGGGGAUUUUUCAGAAAUGAUUAAUUUGGCCAUUUCUCGAAGCAAAUCAUGUAUAUUCAACUUGUUGUCUUCAACAGUUAUAAGGCAUCAUUCACGAAGGACACUCAUUCCUAUUGUCGCAAAAAAGUCACAUCCAUCUAAUAUUUUUGUGACAUAGUCAUUAUCCCAUCCAAUGAAGAAACAAGAUAUGUCAAGGAAUAUAGCCUUCUGUUUAUCAUCUAGCCCUUCAAAGCUUAUUCUUAGUCGUUGUAUUAUUUCUCCUUCAGGAGUUGUUUUCAAUUUUACCAAUUGAUUUUCCCACUCUGCUAUGGUUCUUCCAAUUAAAAAAGUGCCUAAAACUUCAAGUGCUAGUGGCAAACCUCCACAGUAAGAAACGAUCUUCCUUGAGAGUUCAAGAUAUCCUUCAUUAGGCCAACAAUUUCUAAAGGCAUGCCAACUAAAGAGCUCCAGAGCUUCUUCUUCAUUCAUUUUAUGAAGCGGAUAUAUCUUGUCCACUCCAACUUGGCGUAGUAAAUGUUCAUCUCGUGUCGUUAUGAUAAUUCUACUUCCUAAGCCAAACCAAUCACAAUUUCCAGCUAUUGCAUUUAGUUGUUUCAUUUUGUCUACAUUGUCAAUAAUGACAAGUACGCUUCUACGUUGGAGAUGAUAUUUUAUCAGGCCGAUACCUUCAUCAACACUGGUUAUCUCAGGCUUGGUCUGUUUCAAGAUGUCAGAAACAAGUUUUUUUUGCGAAACAACCAGAUCUUUUUCACUAACGUUGUCAAGGAAACUUUUGAAUUGGAACUCAUGAUGAAUUUUGUUAUAAAUGGCUUUGGCAGCUGUUGUUUUACCCAAUCCACCCAUCCCCCCAAAUUCCAACCAUGCGAACAUCAUCUGAUCCACCACUUGAAAGAUAACUGAUAAUAUCUUGAACGCGAGAAUUGAUUCCAACCAGGUGAUUGGCCACAUGUAAUUUGUUUGCUCUCCGAAGCCAUUCCGGAAUAAUCUUGUCAACAAUUUCUCUAAUACGCUGUGCUUCGCAACUGAAAAUUGAAUUGGCAAGCUUAGUAAGCUCAGUAGGAGCUAUUAGUACACAAACAAUUUUCUUUCCUUCGUGUGUGUGUGUGUGUGUGUGUGUGUGUGUGUGUGUAUACACACUAACUAGCUACUAGCUAGUAUGUGAGUUUGUGAUCAACUUCAAUAAAAGAAACAAAUUCAUUCACUGAUAUAUUAAAGUUUGGUGUAUCAAUUAAACUCAUUAUGGUUUAGAUUUUAGAAGAAAUUGGAGAAAUGGUCCAUGAACUAUGAUCGAAUUGUAGCUUUGGUUCUUAAACUAAAAAUUCAUUAAAUCUCGUCCCUGAACUUAACAAAAUAUGGAACAUUGGUCCCUCCAUGUUAACACCGUAAGAUUUUCUGUUAAUUUGAUAACGUCGUCUUUGUGGGCUCCAUAUUUUUGUUUAUUAGAUGCCACGUUGCUUGAAAAUUCAAAUAAAAGAAAAUAAAUACAAGCAUUGAGAAACAAAGAGAAAAAAAAAUACUUUAAAUUAUAAAAGUUAACUCUCUCCCAUCCUCCCUUCCGCCUCACCUUCUCCAAACCCCAGCCACACCAUUGUAGCACUUUCCCAACAGCCAAAACAAAAGAAAAGUUCCUCAUCCAAAUUUGGAACACACCUCACCUUGCAAACGACUUCACAAUGACAUUCAUCUACGCUGUCUCGAAAGGUAAGAUUCAAGAAAUUUGUGGGAUGCGGGUUCGGGGUUCGGGUGAAGGCUGUGGUCCGUGGGCUAAAGGUUGGGGUCGGCUGGGGAGUGGGGAUUAGGGAUUGGGGGUUGGAAGUGGGAGGUUGACGGGGUGGGAAUCAACGAUUGAAGGUGAAGGGGUGGGCUGCGAGCCUGCGAGUGUUGGUGGGAUGAGGUAGGCCUGCAAUUAUAUAUAUAUAUGUAUGUAUGUAUGUAUGUAUGUAUGUAUGUAUAUAUAUAUGUAUGUAUGUAUAUAUGUAUAUAUAUGUAUGUAUAUAUAAUAUAGGUGAAACUAACAUGUAAAGUUGUAAACACUUUUAACUAAAACUGAAAGGAAUUGGUUACGAAGGACUAACGCUCCAUAUUUUAUCAAGUUCAAGGACAAAAUAUAAUGAAAUUUUAGUUUAGGAACCAAAGCUACAAUUUUCCUCUAGAUUUGAUAUGAGAUUUAAGGCGUAUUAAUUAAGCAUGUUAAUUAGAGUAAUGCAACUUAGAUAUUGAAAAGCACGUGAAUGAUUACCUAUUAUCAGUGAUUUGAAGAUGGUAGCCAGACAAAUUUGCAGCUUCUCUAAGAGCAUUUCUCCACUGCUUUACCCUUUCUUGUUUUUCUUCACGUUUCUUGUCAUCUUUUUCUUUACGAAUGUUCUUUUUGUGUUUCUUAAAUGCUUGGGCUAAAACUCCAUUCUGGUUCCUGACAUGUGAAGGAUCAACGUGAUAGAAUAUUGGCAAAACAUGGCGCUCCAGUUUGUCUCUGCACUCGAUGAUCUUCAUCAGCUCAUUAAGACACCAACUCGAACUCGCAUACCUCUUUGAGAAGACAAUGAUAGAGAUCUUCGAUUCUUCGAUUGCCUGGAACAGUUCUUUUUGUAUUUCUUCCCCUCUUUUUAGAUCGUCCUCAUCAAUAUAAGCCUGGUAUCCCCUGUCCGUUAAUGCCCUGUGGAGGUGGCCCGUGAAACCAUUGCGUGUGUCUACACCGCUGAAGCUCAAGAACACGUCGUAAUUCCAAAGUUUUGACUUGGAGGACGAUGAAGAGGAGGCUUCGUGGGUCGUCAUGGCGGUAUCCACCAUUAUGGCGCUGCAGUGGUUCAGAUCACGACUGAAAAAUGGCAGUAGUUGUGCUCGUGCUGUCGAACGGAUGAUCCUGAAAUACCUAAACCCAAGUCAAGCUCCUUCAGUCAACAAGAACAAAGUUUUAAUAUAAUAAUGUUGGUGUAUGGACUUGAGAAACGACAUAAUGUUGGCCGGAAAGUGCAGAGAAAGAGAGAGGAAAAGACGAAUGAAAGGAGAAAAGACUAUCCAAAUGAUUCUUGGCUGUGAUUACAGCUAUUCAUAGGAGAAACAAUGGACAUAUUUUCAUAGGAGAAACAACCUGCCCACUUCAUUUAUAAUAUAUUUCAACAGAGAUAUUUUAAUAGGAGAAACAACUUUCGUUUGUACUAGAAAUUUUUACCCGCGUGUUGCUACGUGAUUUGAAAUUGUAAGAAAGAUUAUCUUUGAAAUAUAUAAUAGAUUGUGUGAUUGAAGAUUAAUACUAUUUACAUUGAAAACGUUGGAAAAAGUUUUACAUACAAAAGAUUUUACGAUACAAUCCACAUCAAAAGAUGGUAAAUUUUUUUCUAUCUACAUGCAUUAAGUUAUGGAAUGAUAUAUAGAUAUAUAUAUAUAACUGAGUUCCAGAAUACGUAAACUUCAUAACUUGGAAAUUUUUUGACAAAUUAAUCAGAUUCAACUGUGGGAUAGCAAGGUCGCCUAUAAAGUUGUGAAGUCGUGGAAGCAUAAAGGACAAAUAACAAAUGAGUUUUGAGAAAUUAUUCCACAAAUGUCAUUUUGCAAAAUGUAUUAAAGACGAUUGGGUACAAGAUUAGUAAUCAUGAGUAGUGUAACAACAUCAACAAAAUAACUAUAAUCCAUAGUUGUUGAACAUAAUUCAAAUUUCGUUUGCAAAAACAAAAGAAAAAGAAAACAGACUUACAAUAAUUCAGCCUUCAAUCCUGAAGUCCUACUCAAAGAGCCAAACUUGAAUGCAAGCUUUCUGAAAUCUUCCAAACAAUACAGAUAAAAAGGUAACAUCCUAGUCAGAAACGAACCGAGGUGCAAGCUUUCUUAGAAACCCAGAUGACAAAAUCAACAAAAGAGAAUGGAAAAAUGACUUACACUUUUAAGGCAUGCUCAAAUCUUGAUCUAAAAUUUGUGGUGGGUCGAUUGUUGGCCACCAACUCUAAAUGAAGAAUUCAUCAGAAACUAGAAAUUUAAACAAAGAAUUUUCCAAAAUCAACAUUUACUAAAAACCAGUUACUUGGUUAUCAUGCAUGAUGGCUUGCCAAAGACUGAAUUAAGGAAUGCACAACUUUACUUUUUAUGAUUAUUUUCAAUGAUAGCUAAAAGGUCAGAUCCAAAUGAAAAUAAAACUUAGGACUUCACAAAACCAAUUAAAAAUCUAAUUCCAAAGUUACAAACACCCACCAAAUGAUUCCAGAUAAAGUUUUAAACUCAACGUCAGACCCAAAUGAAAUUAAAAGUUAGGACUUCACAAAACCAAUUGAAAAUCUGAUUCCAAAGUUCCAAACACCCACCAAAUGAUUCCGGAUAAAGUUUAAACUCAAAAACCCAACAGAAACAAAAGCAUUGGUGUGAAUUAACUGUAUCUAAUUGAAGAAACUAAAACAAAAGUAAAGCAAAGUACAUACCUCAAAAUGUCAAGCAACUAAGUUCUUCCUCCGACGACCCAAAAUUCUGAAAAUUCCACACAAAAAAAGAGUAAGCCCAUUAGCAAUUCAUAGCUUUCAAAAUUAGCAAAAACUUGGGCAACAAUAAAGACGCGUUGAGAACCAUCACUCUUUCUCCUUAUAUAUUUGAAAAGAUAUUUUAUAAGCAGUUUAUGUAGUCAUUCAGAUCAUGUUGCAUAUAAAUUCCUUUUCUACAGAGUUCAUAAAAGUAUGGCAGUUUAUGGUAUCUGUUGAAUGACAUGGUUGAAAGAUUUCAAAUUGAUAUAUUCAAUUUAUGUGUAAAACUAUAACAUAUAGCUAAAGCUAUUGGGUCUAUAUAUCCAUAUCAAUCAUGUCGUAAUUGAAUGUUUAUCAAUGUAAAUAGAUGAUUUCAGUCAUGUGAUAACAUGUUUCUUGAUAGUAUACGCUGAAGAUUGGUCUAAGUGGGAUAUGAAUCGACCAAAAUCUUAAGAAGAGACUCUUUUAACUUUUAACCAAAAAUGAACACCACAGUACUACACUAAGUUUUAUCAUGCAUAAAAUACACAACACUGAUUGCCACUUUUAGAAAACAACAAAACACUCAAAACCCAGAAACAGAAACACACUUUAGGACUCAAACUCCCCAAAAACAUAUGAGAGAGAUAGAGAGAUAGAGAGAGAGAGAGAGAGAGAGAGAGAGAGAGAGAAUAAAAACAAUAUUAUUUUUCACACAAACUCAAAAUUGCUUAUAAAAUUACAAAUCAAAACAAAUGAAAGCAAAUCCAAAAUUGCCCUAAAUUAAAUCUGAUUAGUUAAAUGUUUGUUGCCCUACAAAUGUCAUUACACCCGACAAAACUUGCUUUGAAGUUGAUAUUUUGGUCAAUCCGGGGGAAAAUGAGCUAUUGCUUUUGGAGCAGUUGUCAUGGAGAUUACCAUCUCCCUGUUGAAUGAUCUAAAAAAGGACUUACAGCUUCUGGUGGCCAUAAUAAUUUAGGAGGUCCUUCGCUCCAGAUUUUCUCAAUAACUUUCCUUUUCGUGGCUGGUAGGAUUGCAACUCCAAGAAUUGCUCUGAAGAGAUAUAUGCAAACAAAAUCAAACUAAAACUAAGCUGUUGGAAGAAAUUUAGAAAACACAAACACCACAACUCAGAGUUAAAGUCAACAGAAACCAAAUGGUAGAAGUUGAAAAAAAUAUAUGGUGAUGAAUCGAGAACUUCAUUAAACUAACAGCAAUAAAAUCUCAUAUAAUCUGUCAAAAACCAAAAAAGAGAGAGGUAAUUUCAAAACCUUGUAACGCUGAGGCGUCGUACAGUUGUAGUAAUAAUAUAUGGUUGAUGCACCUGUUGCUCAAUCAAAUCCUCUGUCUGGCUAAAAAAAUAAAAAUCUAUAAAUACAUUCACGUCCAAUUUAUGAGAAAUCAUGGGAAAGUAAAUGCACUGAUAACGGAAUUAUGAAUAUGAACUUGCCAAAAAGAAAAAGAAAACUUCUUAUAGUGUGCCAAGAACAUCCUCCUACUCCUAGCAAUUUUUAAUGGCAUUGUCCACUUCUCAAUUCAUAAUUCAACCAAUAACUCAAAGUCUAUAGUGUUUGAAAAAGUGAUAUCUUAGUUGAUCACGAUGAUAAUUAAGCAGAUUAAAUGAUGACCCAUAAAGCAUACAAAUUCAGAAAAGAAAAGGUUCAAAACUGUCAUGAGAAAAUACAGAAUAUAUAAACAGGAAAUCAAAAAAAGAGAAGUGAAAAAGGAAGAAACAACCAAACAAAAUUAUUAGGUUUGGGAUAUACCUUUAUCUGAAACGCCACAAUCAUCAAAGUCAAACUUAAACAACAACAACAACAACAACAACAACAAAGCCUUUUCCCACUAAGUGGGAAAGUCAAACUUAAACAAUCCAAAAAUUUGUGGAAAAUACCAAUAAAUGCUCAACUAAAAACGAAAGAAACGUAGAAUAAGUUUACCUGUUCUGCCCCUAAUUAAACUGGAAUACAAUUCACCACUAAUAUUCCUUGGUGUAUGCUUUUCGCAGACGAUAUAGUGUUGAUAGAUGAAACUCAGGAAGGGGUAAAUGCAAAGCUUAACCUUUGGAGAGAAGUGUUGGAAUCUAAAGGUCUUCGCCUAAGCCGAUCAAAGACAGAAUAUAUGGAGUGCAAGUUCAGUGCAAAUGGAGGCCAAAACGAGUUAGGGGUGAGGAUCGGAGAUCAAGAAAUACUAAAGAGCGACCGUUUUCGUUACCUAGGAUCUAUCUUGCAAAAGAACGGAGAAUUAGAUGGAGAUCUCAACCAUAGAAUACAAGCUGGAUGGAUGAAGUGGAAGAGUGCAUCCGGCGUGUUAUGUGACCGCCGUAUGCCACUGAAGCUCAAGGGAAAAUUUUAUAAGGACGGCAAUAAGGCCGGCGAUGCUGUAUGGCACAGAAUGUUGGGCGGUGAAACAUCAAACACGUACACAAAAUGGGUGUAGCGGAGAUGAGGAUGCUUCGUUGGAUGUGUGGGCACACGAGAAAGGAUAAGAUUAGGAAUGAGGAUAUCCGGGGUAAAGUAGGAGUAGCCGAAAUUGAAGGAAAGAUGAGAGAAAAUCGGUUACGGUGGUUUGGACAUGUGCAAAGAAAGGCCUACUGACGCUCCGAUUAGAAGAUGCGACUAUGGGACAGAGGUUCAGGGCCGAAGGGGUAGAGGAAGACCUAGGAAAACUUUGGAAGAGACUCUAAGAAAAGACUUAGAGUACUUGGAUCUAACGAAGGACAUGACACAGGAUCGAGCACAAUGGCGUUCUAAGAUUCAUAUAGCCGAUCCCACUCAGUGACUUGGAUUUUCCAAGUCUCCAACCGAGAAGUUUUCCUCACUCGGAAAAUUAAGGGAACACUACCCCAACCUACAUGCUCCACUCAGAAAGCUUCAACAUACAAGCUUCAACAAAAGAAAAUUCAAAGAACUUAGCGAAGAAGGCUUUGGUGUAUUAACACAAUACGUUGAAAUGAAGGAAAGCUUAUUUAUUGAUAUCCCCGAUAAGCUACAAAUAUGUACAUAUACAUGAGUCAAAAUAAACACACAAGAGGGAGCCUUCACAAAGGUUGCUUAGGAGAAGUCUCAGCAGUCGGUAGAGCCCCAGAAAGAGAAGGCACCGGAGGGGGAUCAUUUGGAGCCUCAGUACUGGACAGAACCCUAGAAGGAGGAGGCAUCAGAGGUUGAUCAUUUGGAGCUUCAUUACGCGGUACAGCCCCAGAAGACGAAGGCAAUAAAUGCCUUUGGAACAAACCCACAAAUCUCUGAUGAUCAAGUAAAACCUGACCAUCAGUUUCCUUCAUCUGGUCAAGCUUCCUCUUCAUGUUUGUAGCAUAGUCAUGUGCGAGCCGGUGCAACUGUUUAUUCUCAUGCUUGAGCCCUCUAAUCUCCUGUUUGAGACUCAUCACUUCAGCCGCCAAUGAUUCAACUUGGCGGGUUCGAGCAAAUAGGCGUUGGGCCAUAUUAGACACAGAACCUGCACACUGAACACUGAGAGCCAGCGAAUCCUUAACAGCUAACUCAUCAGACCGUUUGGAAAGUAGUCUGUUAUCUUUGGGAGUGAGAAGGUUCCUGGCCACCACCGCAGCGGUCAUAUCAUUCUUCAUCACGGAAUCCCCAACGGUAAGAGGACCAGUAGGGGAGACGAAGGAUGGGCGCCAUAUGUUGUCUGGAGAAGGCGGGGCUGCCUCUUCAACAAGGUUCAAGUCAAAACGACGGUCGGAGGGGCCAGACAUUUUCAAAGGUGUUGAAGAGAGAAGAGGUCGGACAAAUCAAGAUCUUAGAAGUGCAAGAAUGAAGCUUCUACUGGUGGAGAUUCAAGUGUGCUUUGGAACUUAAUGCCAGCCCCUAUAAAAAUCUGCACUCGACGGAGCUUCAGAAAAUCGAAGAGGCGCCUGCUCAGAAAUCGAAGAGGCGUUUGCUUUCUCAAAAGCUGGGCUGCUUAGAGAUCACGAGGGUUGAUCUCAGAAAUCGAAGAGGCGUUUGCUUUCUCAAAAGUUGGGCUGCUCAAAGACCACGAAGGCCGAUCUCAGAAAAUCGAAGAGGCGCUCGCUUUCUCAAAAGCUGGGCUCCCCAGAGACCACGAGGGCCGAUCUCAGAAAUCGAAGAGGCACCUACUUUUCCAGCCUUGUCAGCACCUGUCACACGCACACUCAGCUUUGCGGAAAUUAUGGGCAUUCUGUCGAAGACUUCUGGGGAAGUAGAAAACACAUGAAUCUUACUGUUCAAUCACCCACUUCCCACACGCAACAAUAGCUCAUGGGUACCACAGAUAACUUUGCCAAAGUUCUCUGCCAAAGUUGAGCACGUGAAGCUUGCAGCUCCCACUACAUCGCUCUGACCAAGAAGGGUAAAAGAAUAGCAAAGAAACAGCACUAACAAAGUUUAGACCCAUAAAUUUUGAAGGUCUAGCUACCAUAUUAUUACCCACAAGGGUAAAGGAACAGUACCACUGCUGGAUAAUUGGAAAGUCCCUGUGUGUCAACCUCUGUGCUUCGUGGCAAGGUAGACUAGCAAACAUGCCCAACCUUUACUCACAUUCGAGAAAACACUCCCAAUAAGAUUGCUUGCUCCAAAAUCGAAGAGGCACCGUCCUCCGAAUCUCGAGAGCCAGACUCCCAACAUGACUACUUUCUUAAAAAUCGAAGAGAGGGUAAAGGAACAGUACCAUUGCUGGAUAAUUGGAAAGUCCCUGUGUGUCAACCUCUGUGCUUCGUGGCAAGGUAGACUAGCAAACAUGCCCAACCUUUACUCACAUUCGAGAAAACACUCCCAACAAGAUUGCUUGCUCCAAAAUCGAAGAGGCACCCGCCCUCCGAAUCUCGAGAGCCAGACUCCCAACAUGAUUACUUUCUCAAAAAUCGAAGAGACACUGCUCCCCGAAUCUUCGAGAGCCAGACCCCCAGCAUGAUUGCUUUCUCAAAAAUCGAUGAGGCAUCGUUCUCCGAAUCAAUCGAAGAGGCGCUCGCUUUCUCAAAAGCUGGGCUGCUCAGAGACCACGAGGGCCGAUCUCAGAAAUCGAAGAGGCACCUACUUUUCUAGCCUUGUCAGCACCUGUCACACGCACACUCAGCUUUGCAGAAAUUAUGGGCAUUCUGUCGAAGACUUCUGGUGAAGUAGAAAGCACAUGAAUCUUACUGUUCAAUCACCCACUUCCCACACGCAACAAUAGCUCAUGGGUACCACAGAUAACUUUGCCAAAGUUCUCUGCCAAAGUUGAGCACGUGAAGCUUGCAGCUCCCACUACAUCGCUCUGACCAAGAAAGGUAAAAGAAUAGCAAAGAAACAGCACUAACAAAGUUUAGACACAUAAAUUUUUGAAGGUCUAGCUACCAUAUUAUUACCCACAAGGGUAAAGGAACAGUACCACUGCUGGAUAAUUGGAAAGUCCCUGUGUGUCAACCUCUGUGCUUCGUGGCAAGGUAGACUAGCAAACAUGCCCAACCUUUACUCACAUUCGAGAAAACACUCCCAACAAGAUUGCUUGCUCCAAAAUCGAAGAGGCACCGUCCUCCGAAUCUCGAGAGCCAGACUCCCAACAUGACUACUUUCUCAAAAUCGAAGAGAGGGUAAAGGAACAGUACCAUUGCUGGAUAAUUGGAAAGUCCCUGUGUGUCAACCUUUGUGCUUCGUGGCAAGGUAGACUAGCAAACAUGCCCAACCUUUACUCACAUUCGAGACAACACUCCCAACAAGAUUGCUUGCUCCAAAAUCGAAGAGGCACCCGCCCUCCGAAUCUCGAGAGCCAGACUCCCAACAUGAUUACUUUCCUCAAAAAUCGAAGAGACACUGCUCUCCGAAUCUCGAGAGCCAGACCCCCAGCAUGAUUGCUUUCUCAAAAAUCGAAGAGGCAUCGUUCUCCGAAUCUCGAGAGCCAGAUACCACAGACCACUUUUUCAAAGUGCUCUGACAGAGUUAAAACAUGUGAAACUGGCAGCUCCCACUACCGUGCUAUGACCAAGCAGGGUAAAGGAAUAGCAUUACUACUUGUUGUUAGGGAGACUCCUAUAUAUGUCGACCUCCAUCCCCAACGGACAGGCAGACCUGCAAAAAUGCUCAACCCUUCAUCAUAUCUGAGAGGGCACUCCCAACGAAGCCUUUCGAAAUAUUCAGCUUUCUUUCCCCCCGAUAAUACCUCUGCAAACAAGCUAUACUACUAGAGCAAGAAUAUCUCAUAUCAUCAGGGUUAAAAGCAAGAGUAUCCCAUAUCAUGCUUUUUCCCUGUCUUUUCCUUUGGCCUUGUUUUUUACCUGCAAGACAAGGAGAAAGAGAGAGCAAUCAGUCAGCACUUGGAAUCAAGCUUCCAGCCAGGAACUGACUGCCUGGAACCCCUUACCUGAUUACUUACCUGGCAUUGCUCUCGAGUACUCAUCUUCAACAUCUUAUGUUUCCAGGGAAGAUUCCGCAUCUGCUUGAGGAACAGAUAGGGCAAGUGCGAAGGAUACAAGGAAGCAUGUGGAGACAAGCGUAACAGCACACGUGCCGAUACAUCCAUUACUCUGUCAAAAGCAAAAGUAUCCCAUAUCAGCAGGGUGGAACGUACUCUAGAUUUGAUGGACUUGUUUUGACCCUCAAAUUCUUCAGUCGGCCUUAUACUCUGGAGGAAACCAGAAAACCCUCCAGCUCAGUUCAAGAAUAAGCCUGUGGAAAGUUACUUCUUCAAAAGCAAAAGUAUCUCUCAUAUCAUCUCUUCUCAUUUUUUCUUCUCUUUAUCCUUCAUGCUGCUGCAAGAUGGGGAGAAGGUGAACAAUCAGUCGGAGCUCUGAUUGCUUACCUUGUCUGUCACCUCUUUCAGCAGACCCCCUAGCUCGGCGACUUGGGGGACUCCUACUACAUGGUUUGUAUCGCGCUUGACCAAGCCUGAAACUACAAGUAAGCUUCAAGUGAAAUUGAUACAUUACCUUGUGCAUCUCCACCAGUUAAAGAUACCACCCCUGGAUGGAGGAAGAGUACUUCCAGAGAAGAUGCCACAUCUACCUAUGAGACAGAUAAGGCAAGUCAAGACGACACCACACUCCGAUACUUAGAAGUUUCGUGAUUACGAGAUCAUUCUCCCACAAUAUUUCCUAAUGUCAUUUGUACUAAAUCAUUCACUUGUACUCACUAAAGGAGAGCUUGAACCUAUGUACUUGUGUAAACCCUUCACAAUUAAUGAGAACUCUUCUAUUCCGUGGACGUAGCCAAUCUGGGUGAACCACGUACAUCUUGUGUUUGCUUUCCUAUCUCUAUCCAUUUAUAUACUUAUCCACACUAAUGACCGGAGCAAUCUAGCGAAGAUCACAAAAAAGCGACCGUUUUCGCUACCUAGGAUCUAUCUUGCAAGAGAACGGAGAAUUAGAUGGAGAUCUCAACCAUAGAAUACGAGCUGGAUGGAUGAAGUGUAAGAAUGCAUCCGGCGUGUUGUGUGACCGUCGUAGGCCACUGAAGCUCAAGGGAAAAUUUUAUAGGACGGCAAUAAGGCCAGCGAUGUUGUAUGGCACAGAAGAAUGUUGGGUGGUGAAGCAUCAACACGUACACAAAAUGGGUGUAGCGGAGAUGAGGAUGCUUCGUGGGAUGUGUGGGCACACGAGAAAGGAUAAGAUUGGGAAUGAGGAUAUCCGAGGUAAAGUAGGAGUAGCCGAAAUUGUAGGAAAGAUGAGAGAAAAUCGGCUCCGGUGAUUUGGACAUGUGCAAAGAAGGCUGAAUGACGCUCCGGUUCGAAGAUGUGACUACGGGACAGAGGUUCAGGGUUGAAGGGGUAGAGGAAGACCUAGGAAAACUUUGGAAGAGACUAUAAGAAAAGACUUAGAGUACUUGGAUCUAACGGAGGACAUGACACAAAACCGAGCGCAAUGGCGUUCUAGGAUUCAUAUAGCCGACCCCACUUAGUGGGAAAAGGCUUUGUUGUUGUUGUUGUUGUAUUCAAUGAAGAUGCUUAAAGGAGACAGUAAUAUUAGCAAUGAAGGAAUUUAAUUGAUAACUAAAACUGCAAAACAAAAUGACUACAAUAGGUUCAAAACAGAAACUCGUCCGAUAGAUAUCUCAUCUUUAGGCAAUGCCUUGUUCCCUUUUUUUUUUUUUUUUUUUUUUUUUUUUUUUGUUGCAUGUCUUGUGAACUUCAUGUAAAUCAACAAAAUUGAUACCUUAACCAACAAUGGAGAGGUAAAAAGUUAAAAACAGAAGGAAUGUCUUCAGUUUUGUAAUGGAUUUUGCAAGUCAAAUUCUGUUCGAGAAUUUGCAACCCAGAAAGUCCCAGCAAUUAUUAACAAUCACAGAUAAGCACCGAAUGAAGGCCAAUCUAAUAAGCCAAAAUAUGUAGGGCACUAAAGAAAUUAUUGCCCAGUAACAAUGAUAGAUAAGCACAUGUGAAACUAAAGAAAAUUUUCAUUACUAUCAACUCCAAAAAAAAUUACCUAUGCAAUCCAAAAAAUGUUGAUACAGAGUUGGAGUAUCGAUGCCUGAAAUUGGUAUUUGAACCACCAACUACCUCCGUGAAUAUGCUUGUCACUUAAUGGUUUGGGUUGAAGUUGUGAAAGGAAAUGUAAUUUCUUAAAAGGAAGGAGAGAAUGCAGAGAAGAAUACAGAAUGGUUCACGUGGCCACCGCAAAACAGGUUAAUAAUCAAGCUUCACUAUGAAUGGAAAGAUUAAUAGAUGAUAAUUAAGAAGGCCUGAUACCCAAGCCGAAAUCAGAGAUAUCCUUUGUAAACAAAGAGAUUGAACAUUUCCUCUCAAAAAAUAACUUUUUUUUUUGUUUUGGGGGGGAGGUUGGGAAGGCUCAGAAAAAGACAUCCAAUAUAAUACUUAUUGCAUGCAAGGUAUGAAACAGCCUCCCCCCGAGUAAAAUCACAGAAAUAAAAGAAAUCGAAUCAAGAAAAAAGAUAAUUACACAAGAAUUACACCUUCACUAAGAAAAUAAAUUAUAAAAACGAAGACUCUGAGAAUAAUUGCCUGUGAUUUGCUGCCAAAAACAAAAAUAAUGUCGUAUACAUUAAGCCUGCCGAUUACUAAAAACAAAACAUUUUUCCAUGAGAAGAAGUAAGAACAUACCGAAACUUGUUUGCUAAUAGAUGAGAAAAAUUUAUAACUGAAACAUAUAGGAAAUUUAUUAGGAAAAGAUAAACAAAACACCUAAAUUAAGCAAUUAAAUGGAGUAUUACUUGAUAGAGCUGGAAAAUUACCCAGUUCCUCAGAGAGAGGAUCAAGAGUGAAUGAUGAGAGUGCAGAGAAACGAAUGAUUGAGAAAUUCAAGCUCUGAGCUCACAGUUGGGGCUUCCACUUUCCAACUGGGGAAGAAAUAACAGAGAAAACACAAGGCCAAUCCACCAAAAAUAUUAAUCAAAUGGGUUUCUUCUAAUUCAAAAUUUUGACCACCCAAAUUCCGAUGAAGCAAUAAUUGUUCAAAAUUCCAACAGAUUGAAGGAAAAAGUAAUAAAUUUUUUUAAAACAGUAAUAAUGAAGGAAAAAGAAAUUAAAGCUGCGAGCCAUUCUCUAAAUCUCAGGCACCAAUCCAAAUCACCAGUAAUUUGCACAUAAUGAUAAGAAUCUAGCAAUACUUCCAUUGUUUAAAACCCAAAUUCCAGAAAUCAUGAAAAAUGGAAACUUUAUAUGGAAAUUGAAGCUUUACCUGCAGAUCAGCAGCAGCAAACGAAAUUCAAGAAGUCACGAUUAUCGACGCGUGGGUAGCAUUCCACUGUGCCAAGGACGAAAAUGAACGGGGAAUGUAGAGCUGGCUGACGAAGACAGGAUUCGCGAAGCGCUCUGAUUUUUUUUUUCACGAGAAUGCGGAAUGAAGAGAAGCGAGUAGAGGAGGAAUCAUUUUAAGCGAUGAUCGACGCGUGGAAAUUGAGGGCAAAUCUGCCAUUUUGCUGUGAACGAAAGUGAAAAAAGGCACAAUCAAAGAGUAAUUUGAGGGCAUUCUAGCCACUUUAAUAAACAGUAGCUUUGUGUUUGAGAUUUAAUAUAGGUAUAUAUAGAGCCCUACAGAGCAACUCCACCCAUGGAGCCCUCCUCUCUGACAAUCUACUAUUGAAUUCACCUUUUUGAACAGUAACUGCCUUUAAUAAAUAGUAACUACCAUUAAUGAACAAUAAUUGUCAUUUGCAUCUCCACCCUUGGAGCCCUCCCCCCUGGCAAUAGGCAAUAAAAUAUUAAUUUUUUUUGUUUGUUUAAAUAAUACAAAAUAAAAUUAUUUGUAAUUUUGGAUAAGAUUUUUUAAAUCGUUCUCGUUGCGCCACGUGUCAUUUUAUAAAAAAAACAAUUAUUUAGCGAUGGAUUUCGAUAAGAUUUUUAUCCAAUGUCAUCGUGUCACAUGUCGUUAUCUUUUGAUAAUCUUUGACGAUAUCUUUCGAUCAGAUUUUAACUCGUUCAAAAUUGCGUCACGUGUCAUUAUUCGAAAAGAUAAUUAUUGGAGAUCGAUUUCGAUAAGAUUUUUAUCCAAUACGAUCUUGUCACGUUUCAUUAUCUUUCAUAAUAUUUGAGGAUAGAUUUCGAUCAGAUUUUUAACGAAUGACGGCAUGCCACGUGGCCUUAUCUACAAUCCAAUCCUUUCUGAAUCAUCCAUAUAAUCCACCAUCCAUCCUCACAAAUCUCACACCAAAUUUCUCAACAUUUCUAUCUCAUUAUUCAUAGUUUCUGCUUCUUCUUCACCAUCCAUCAUUACAAUGUCUUCUUCUUCAUCAAGGAUGAUGUGGGAAAUCGAUCAGCAAGAGGAAGAAUUGUUUAACCAAUCUGAAGGAAUGUUCAACCUUCAGAUAGCCGAAAAUGAGAUGGAUGAGGAUGAGGAGCGUAGAAGGAGAGACGACGAAACAAGAAUGGCCAGAGCCUCACAUUCCCGUUGAGUCAUCCAGACUGUUGCUCAGAUAUGCAUGCCCAACCGUUCAAGAAACCUUGGUAGAAGCAGGCAACGAUGGGGUGAAGAGCUAUUGGACGAUUACUUUGUCCAUAACAGUGCAUUUCCUGAUACGUACUUCAGACGUCGUUUUAGAAUGGAACGACAUUUGUUCAACAGAAUCAUGACUGAUGUUUACAACCAUGAUUCUUACUUUGUGCAAAAGAAUGAUGCUUGUGGUGUUAUGGGUUUCCUGCCUGAGCAAAAAAUCACUGUUGCGUUGCGGAUGCUUGCGUAUGGAGCAUCUGUAGACCAAGUGGAUGAGAUAACGAGGAUGGGGAAAUCAACCAUUCUUGAGGCCCUUAUGAGGUUUUGCGGAGCAGUCGAAUCUUUGUACACCGCAUAGUACCUCCGAAAACCUACUUGUAGGGACUUGCAAAGGCUUCUGAAGAAGGGCGAGAUGCGAGGUUUUCCUGGGAUGAUAGGAAGCAUCAAUUGUAUGCACUGGACGUGGAAAAAUUGUCCAAGUGCAUGGCAAGGCGCAUAUGGGGACAUAAAAGGAUCAAAAACUAUCAUUUUGGAGGCAGUGGCAUCUUUUGAUACAUGGAUAUGGCACGCCUUUUUCGGGGUUCCGGGGGCUCAAAAUGAUCUCAACGUCCUUGCCCAAUCCCCAGCGUUCAACGACAUCCUGCAAGGAAAGGCACCAAAAGUCACGUACAUCGUCAACGGACGUAGGUACGACGGGCCAUACUAUCUAGCUGACGGCAUUUACCCACGGUGGGAAACAUUUGUCAAAACAGUGCCACGUCCGCGAAGUGCAAAGGAAAAACACUUUGCAAGCUGUCAAAAGGGGUGCAGGAAGGAUGUGGAGCGUUGUUUUGGUAUCCUUCAAGCUCGUUGGGCGAUCGUCAGGGGUGCUGCCAGAAUGUUCGAUGUAGAGUCACUUUGAUCCAUCAUGAUGACAUGCGUCAUUCUUCACAAUAUGAUUGUGGAAGAUGAGUUCGAUUAUGAUGCGGUUGAUGAAUAUGAGCCAGAGCCAGACACGAUGAACAAUUCAAGAACACGGAUAUAUUGUGCGCAUGAUGCCACCAAAGAACCCGUGCAACAUGAGCCAUUAGAAAGGGAUGAACGUUACAAUGAAAUGGUCAUUCAACGAUAUACUGCACUUCAAAUGUCAUCUAUGCACAAUGAUCGGCAAAUUGACUUGAUAGAGCACCAGUGGACAUUAAAACAAGCUGAAGAUACUUAAGUUUAUUUAGUAUGUUUGUUUGUAUUUGGUAUGUUUAUGUAAUUUUAUUUGGUGUGUUUUUUGUAGUGAGUUUUUUAUUAUUUCGUAUGUUUAUGUAAUUUUAUUUGGUGUGUUUAUGUAAUUCCAAUUGGUAAGAAAAUAUGAAAUUGUGGUGUAAGGUAGAUGGAGAAGAAGUGGUAUUUAUAGAAAAGUAAAAACAAUUUUUUACAAAUUUUUUUUUUUAGAUUUUUUACAAUUUUUUCGGAUUUUUUCCAUUUUUUUUAAUUUUUUUUUCAAAUAAUUAAUCUCUGCCGUUGGAUUUAAAAAAAAUUGAAUUCCAACACUCCAGAUUGUGCCACGUGUCACAACGGUAAUUUUUCUUAAUUUUAAAACUAUUUUUUCUUUAUUUAUAAAGCAUAUUAAUAUCGACCGUUGAUCUGAAAUCGAACGGUUGAUAUUAAAUAAGAUUUGUUUUAUUUUUUUUACCGUUGAGAUCCAACAGUCCAAAUGAAAGAGCCGUUGAGAUCGAACGGACCGUGGGAAACCACGUGGCUUCCCAAUGGUAACUGAGACAACUGCAAAAGUGGGCUGCUUUUCUGAAAAGCUGUCAGGCGACGCGCCCCCACGCGCGAGUGGGGUGCACGCGCCUGACAAAAAAAAAAAAAAUGGGUGAAGAGCUCGGGCUCACGGCUGUCACAAAUUGACAGGCCUUCUGCUCGGGCCUUCUCCACGAGCUCGGGCUCUUCAAGACUGGAGCUGAUUGACUAGCCCUCGGGCCUUUCUUUUCCCCUGUCCCCCGGCCUACAUGCAUGGGUGGAGUUGCUCUAAGAGAAGGGAUUUCCAUUCUUGUUUUUUUAAAUGUGGACACCUUUUUUACUGUUAGAUUUGACUUUAACGAAAUUUUGUGGUUGAGAUUAAAUCACAAACCACAGAAUCUCAACCAUAGAAUUUCAUUAAAGCUAUAUUUAACGAUCAAUAGGGUGUUCCCAUUUUUUUUGAAAAAUAGGAAUCCCUUCCCUUAAGGCUUUCAGUAUAUUAUAUACACUAAAACUCAAUUGAUGAACACUGUUCAUUAACAGUGAUUUUACGUUUUAGCCCCUGUUUUGCUGUUUGUUUGCCCUUUUAUUUUUCGAUCUUAACAGUAAAAUGACAGUUUUGCCCGUUCUUUCCACGCGUCAGUCAUCGUUGAGCUCUUCACUUCAAGAGUCUUCUUUUAGGUUUAGCCUUUUCUUUGCACUGGUGAUUCUCUGAUUUCGUCUCUUCGUCUCGCCCUCUGUUUUUUCUCAAAUCCUCCAUUCCUCUCAAAUAUUCCGUUCUUUAUUUCACAAAAUAUUCAGGAGAAAGUUCCUGAUUUUCGUGUUUUAAGGGAUAUAAUGAUUUGGUGUUGUUUAUCUCAAACAGCGGGCUUGCAGGUAAAAUGUUAAGCUUUAUGUCCAAAGCAAUCUUUCUCUGCAUGCUGACUGUGUGUUGAUUUGAAGGGGUGGUUUAGUGAAUGGGUGCUUCUUAUUUUUGGCCUUUCUCUAUUAUCAUAUAUGUUUCUCUAUUCUCAGGUAUCAGAUCAUUCGAAACAAAAACAUUUUAACGUUAUUUUUGCAGGUUAAUGUUGGGUUUGAGUCCAACACGAUAUACACUUGAACAGAGUAGAGUAGAAGACAGUAUGCAAACAUGAUUUAGGACACAGUUUACCUAAUUGUAAACACUCUGUGAAAUAUUAUUAGUUAUGAACAUCCAAUUUGAAUCCCCCACAUGCUAAAUUAGGUACCAUUAAAUUAGUUUUAUGUCUUUUUUUUAUUUGAAAGCUGCUUCUUAUUUCUGUCUCUAUUAAGAUUCUGGGGUGUGCUUUGGAUUUGCUACAUAUGGUCAUAUUUUUUGUCAUUGGCUUUUUGUUCUGCUUAGUUUUUUUUAAUCGAGUGUUUUAUCUGGUAUUUCAUUUUGUUUUGUUUAUUUGUUUCCUUUUUAUGUUUAAAUGUUUUUUGUUCUUUCUAAAUUUGGGCUUCUGGGAAAUUCUUGCUCACUGUUUGGAUUCCGAGAAAAUUUAGGGGAUGUCCAGUAAUAUUCACAUCCUGAAAACUCAGUGAAAAUAGAUACCAAUUUAUGUGCAGCUGAAAAUUUUGUUAUCUGAUUCUGUUCUAAAUAACAUGAUUUAUUUGUUUUUUAAACUUUUAAUUAUUUCGUAUUUAUUUUGUGAUUGCAGAUGUUUAAAUGAUGGAGAGUUUCGCAAAGCUGUUACUCGGAGGAGACAUGUCUAGAUGAGGGAAAGGUGUCUCCACUGCCCUUGCUAUCUCAAAUGCCAUCACCAAUCUCUCUGGUUAGUCACAUUCCUCUUGGAAUAUGCAUAUUCUUAUGUGAUGUUGGCUGAUACCUUGGUGAGUCAACUUAAUAAAAAAUGUGAGAUGGACAAAUUGAAAAGUCUAUUUUCUUCUCAUAUGCAUCCUUUAACAUAUGUCAGUUUUAAUUAUUGAUGAGCAAUUGAAAAUUUAGUUUUUCUUCUCAUGGUACACUUACAUUGGUAGUUCAACAUAUGUUUGUUUAACAUAUCUUAUUAAAUGCAUUUGAGAAUCGAUUGAAGAAACUCAGUUCUUUUAGCAAUUAAGAACAAGGUAAACAUAGUUGUAAAUAUGUGUAAAUAAGAUAGGAAUUUUGAUGAAUUUAUGUUUUUUCCUCCGUUUUUCAGUGUUUUCAGGCAUUGAAGCUAAAUAUGGAGAGGGUUUUGAGACUUUUAGACCUAUUGGACCUCUCAAGGUUUGCGUGGUAAGGAGUUUAUGGAGUUAUACGCAUAGUAGGCAUUAUAUUUUAUGUUCUGUUGAAUUUAAUUUAAUGGUUAUAUUUUAUGCUCCUAUGAGUUAUUACUGUUAUGUUUACUCUGAGUAGGAUUUGUUGAACGACAAACUGCAAGGAGGUUUUCUUAAACGAAUAUGAUAUGCUAUGAAACCGAAUGAAGCUUACUGUCUUCUAUUCUCUUUUGUUAAUUUCGUGGUAAGUUUCUAUAACACUGAUUAGUUAUGUCUUCGAGGUUCUAAUGGCUAGAUAUGCUAAUGUAAUGAACUAUGGAAUAUUGUAAUAGUUUAUGGUCAAUGUGAUCCCAUAUCUGUUUGAUUGAAAUAUUGUUCUAUAACAGGUUUAAACUUUGUUUUUCCAAUACCUUAUCACAAAAUAAUUCCACCUUGGACAAAUUACAAGGUAUGCUGCAACAUGUGCUUUGAUUAAUUGCAUUCAAAUUGAUACUGCUUAAGAAUGCAUUUGAACAUGUUGAAUUUCACGCCCGCAGCAUCGCGCGGGCAAUAUUGCUAGUAUAAUAUAUAAUUGGGUGAUAAAGAGAGUAGGUGAAAGAACACAAUUUGCUCUUAAAAAUGUUGUUUUUAAGAACGAGUGAUUUUUCUUUUCUGACUCUUUCUGUCUAACCCAAAAGCAUACUGGUAAUAGGGUCCAGUAAGAAAAUUAUUUUUAGAAAUUAAACAUGAAAAAAUACAAAAUUUACAAUUUCGAAUUAUACAAAAAAGACAAAAAAAGCGCAAAAUAAAAAGAGCAGGACAGAAAAACAGAAACAAAAGAAAGGAGACACUAAGAAUACAAAUAGCGUGAUUUGAGCCCUCAAUUUUGGCAGGCAACAUGAUUGUUAACGCAUGAUUGUGAACCCAUCCAUUGAAGAAAGAAGCAUCAUAAUACACAAGAGUCAAGACUGGGCUUGGUUUAUAUAAUGAAUAAUGUUAGGGAGAUCAAAUUUUUUAAACUAAAUUUGUAAAUUAAAUGAUGUAGUUAUAGAUGAUUGGGUUAUUACUAAGUGUCGAUUAAUAUGUUUAUUUCUUAUUGGUGACAUAUCAUUUGGUUUAAAAAUUUGGUCUCCCUAGCAUUAUCCUUAUAUAAUUAAUCAAUAAUAUUCCAUAACAAGAGCUAGGUCCAUAUAUUACGAGGUUAUAAAAUAUGCUAGGUGCUAGUCGAGAGGCGGGCGGGGCCUAAGCAGAUUUAAGUAAAUUUAUUAUAUAUUGUAUAAAUAAAUGCCUUUUUAUACUUAAAAUGACACACAAUUGUAUCGAAAUAUAUAAAUUGCAAAAUAAAAUGACAUAUAGAUUAUAAAUUACUAGAACAUAAUGAACAAUCAUAUAAUGAGGGUUUAUCCAAAUAUUUAUUGGAAAACAAAAAACAAAAUGAGUGUUAUCGAUUUUCUGUCUAAAUGAAAGUUGCGGGCUAGGCAGGUUUAAGUGGGUUAGGCGGACGCCUAAGCAAGUCUAGAGCACUUUCUUAAUUUUUAAAUGAUUAGGGACUAAUUAGGGUGGUGGACAACUGCCUAGCGCUAGACAUGGGUUUUUAGAACAGUAAUUACUUGUUCUCAUAGAUCUCUGGGUUCAAGAAAAUUAUGAUCACCUAUUGUUCGAUCUUAAUACCGUCGGUAAGCGGUUAUUUAACCAUUUUUUAUAUUGAGUAAUUUUCCUGGAUCCUGAAAUCUAGAAGAACAAAACUCUUAUGUCACAUGGAUAAACAUAAUCAGGCAUAAGAAAAAGGUUGAAGAAUUCAUAAGUCAUAUAGGGGGCGUUUGUUUGCCCUCACUAAGUAUCACUGGACUAACUAUUAGUCCAGUCCCGUGUUUCUUCUGUAGAGGGAUUAUGUUUCAUGAGACUAAAGGGGAGUCACACGGACAAACUCCUUCACUAGGAGUUCUUAGCGAGAUCCCCCAAUGCCCAUGGGAUUGCUAAGACCUCGUAUACUCCAUCUUUGUAUGCUAUGUCUCAUCCUCUCUAUGCUCUCUAUUAUCUUGAGCACCAUCACACCACAACUCACCAACUCCAGUGAGAUCACACCACCAACCCACCACCACUUUCUCCCUCUCUCUUCACAUGAACCCAAAAUUUCGAACUGAGGAAGAUCCCGUUCUUACAGUAAUUCGUCCAGCUCUAGCUGUCUGCUUCGCUUCGCUGCACUUCAAACUCGACCUUGGACUCGUCUGAUUCGCUUUGAACUCGACCUCGUAUUUGUCGACUUUACGCAAUUGACGAGAUCUUGUGAACUUGAUGAUGGGUGAGCCACCCAGUGCACUUGAAGGAAUAUGGGAGGCCAAGAACGCCAAAGCCUACGACGGCAAUGAAGACGUUGGCUGGAUUGGGAUGACAGCGACGUGUUCCACAUCAAGGGCAGCGGCUUGGGAUUCUUGUUUUCAUUUGGUUUUGAUUUAAAUUAGGUUUUGAUUUCGAAUUGGGUUUGAUGUGAUCUGGUAUUGGCAUUUGAUUUGCUCUGUAAUUGUUUGAAUGUGUGGAAUAAAUUUUGGGGAAAGAGGAAGAAAAUUUAGAAAAAGAAAAAUAGACUAAAUAAUAAAAUAUUAAUAUAUAUUAGAUUAAAUAAUAUCAUAUUAGAAUUUAUUAUUAUCCUACUUCUUGGUCCGACACUGCACCAAACGCUUUACUAAGCUAAUCCAACUUAGUCUAGUCUAAGUCAAUCCAGCUUAGUUCCUGAAGUUAGUCUAGUCCAAGACAAUCCGGUGCAACAAACACAUUCAUAGAGUAAUUAUAGGGAUACUAAAUUUGUAAAUAAAAUUUUGUAAACUAAAUGACAUGGAAGUUGAUCGUUGAAUUAUUACUUAAACGUUAAUAAAUGUACUCAUUAUCACUAAAGACACGUUAUUUAAUUUGUAAAUUUUAUUUAUAAAUCUAAAGCAUUACCCAAACUCAUAAUACAAAUAGCUACUUUGAGAGAAGAAAAGAUGGAGAGUGAUAUGAUUGCAUUCUUUUUUAAAGCAACUUCUGAAGAUUCCAUAAUAAACUAUUAUUAUAUAUGAAGAUGUGCCGUGGUAAAAGAGAGGAAAAAAUGAAUGGAAAGUUUAUCCAAAAGAUUCUUGACCGUGAUUACAACUAUUUAACUUUUGUAAAUUUUCAUGGACCGAGAUCCAAGAAAAGAUGGAGAGUGAGAUUGGCAUUCUUUUUUGUAAAGGGAUUUUUUUUCCGAUCCCUUCCAUCUAAUUCACCUGAGUCAACCAUUUGAGUUCUUGAAAUUUAUUUAAACAACUAAAAUUAUUAUAACUUUUAAUGAAGCCCCUAUUUGUAGUCGUUAAAUCAAAUUUUAAAGAUUCGAAUUAGUGAAUUAGGUGGAUUAGGUGGAAGGGAUCCGAAGAAUAUCAAUUUCCUUCUUUUUCAACACAACUUUUGUUGAGUCCAUAAUAAACUAUUAUAUGAAGAAAGAAUACUAAAAAGACUCUCUCAAAAUCGAAACUUUUUGCGAACUUUUUAGCAUCUCAUGUUUUUGAGAUUAAUAACUAACAUUAUCUGAGAUUUAUUAAGUUUUCACAAAAUUCCCUUACGUAUGAGAUAUUACGCUAACAACACUUUAGUGUAAUGUCUCAAACGUAAUGGGACCUUGUAAAAUUUGAUUAACUUCGACAGUAUUAGUAUAUUUUUAUGUAAAUAUUAUAAAAUAUUAUGUUAAAUACAUUAAAUAACAGAUAGUCUUUAAGAGAGAUUUCUUACAUCUUUCUAAUGGAUACGGACGGUGGAAAAAGAUCAUUCCAUAAUUAAAUAUUGUGCUGUUGAUUACGCGUCUCUCCAUUUGACUAAGUUCCUUUUCACAUUCUUCCCUAAAUAAAAUGGUUCACUUUUCACAUUAUUACAAUAUUUAUAUUUAUAUUUUUACAAAAGGGAUUCGUCUAAAUUAAAUUUUUCGAAAAAUUUCGUAUAGUGAGUGAAAGUGAAACACUCCCUUUGUUAUGAUUAUGACAAUAUUUAUAUUUUUACAAAAGGGAUUUAUCUAAAUUAAAAUUUUCAAAAUUCCGAACAAGAUUUGAACUUUCGUGUAUAUGAAUAUAUGGAGUAAAUUGAUCAUGGCUGAAAAUAUGGCAGUGGUUGUGUUUGUGUUGCCUAACGGAUGAUAUUGAAAUACCUAAACACAAGUCAAGCUCCUUCAGUUAACAAAAACAGAAGUUUAUAAUAUGAUAAUGUUGGCGCACGGACUUGAGAAACAACAUAGGCCGGGAAUGUGCACAAAAAGUAAGAGAGAGGUAAAGAGGAAAGAAACGAACAUGAAAGAACAAAGACUAUCGAAUACAUUAUAAAACAAUGACUUCUUGGUAGUCAUUACAUCUCAACCAUCAAUAAUGCAUUAAUUUUGGUUGAAAUGUAGAAGUAUUUGAGAAGUAGCAUGACAACAACCACAUAAUAAACAAAAGUGGACGCAAAUGUGAAAGGAUAAUUAAAAACAAUUAUUCAAGAUGGGCGGUAGUUGAUUCAGCCAUUUAGAAGAUUCAAACCUAGAAUCAUUAUUGUAUUAACUAUUAACAGGUGCUAUAAUAUAGUUCUUAGGGAUUUCAAGGAGGCAUAUGGGGGACUACAUAAUGUGCAAUAGGAUUAAACUUUUUUUGUUACUAGGCAAAUGAACCAUAUUGAAAAAAGUUGAGGUUUAACCAUAAAAUUAAUUGACGAUAUAAAAAGUAGCUCAACCUCUUAUAAGCGUUUGCAAGAUUUCUCUUUUGACCUAUACAAGACUCUUUUACUUUCACAUCCUCGAACAUAUAAUACACCCAAAUGGAUGCCAAUAUAUAAACAUUGUUUUGAAAGGACAAGGGAGCUAACAGUGUCUUUUUAUAUGACUUGGACUUGGAGUACGGGCUGCAAAUUGCAUGCAAUUGCAACGAGAGCCAAAGAUAAUUGCCUUGUCCUUCAAAUUUGUUGGUAAAUUGGGGAUUGCACGAAGAUUUUCGCACUAAUCUGAAUACAGUGUUUCAAGCUUUUAAAGACCACUGAAGCUUUGAAAACUCUGUUGAUUUUACUUCCCAAGUAAGUGACAUAAAACUAAAUUGGGCAGUUGCAUGACAACAACCACUUAAUAAUCAAAAGUGAUUCGAAAAAGACCGAAAGUGAGAUGACCGCAUUCUUUUUCAGACAACUUUGGUAGAUUCCAGAAUAAACUAUUAUACAUGAAGAUGGGCGGUGGUAAUUGUCCUUUUGAUUAAAGUUUUUUGAGUCGAAAAUCAUUUUUCUAUAAUUAAUUCUUAACUAGAAAUUUGUACCAGUACACCGUUGUGGGACUGAAAAUCUUAUGAAAUAUUUUAUAACUUUAAUUUUCAUAAAUAAUGUGCGAGUGAAAAACAAAAAAUUACGAAUGGUAAUGCAAUUUAUAUGUAACCUUAUCAUGAACGGAACAAAUUUAGAUACUAAAAGAAAAAUUAAAAAUCUAUUUUUUCAAAGUGCGAAGAGAUAAUUGUUUAUUAAAAAAGUUGGACCAAUGAUAACUGCAUAAAUUACAAAUGCAAUAUUAAGAGUAUACCAGUCAAACUAAGCUUGCUACAGGCUAAACAAUGUUGAAAAACAUCAUUAGCUUUUUCAAGUGUUAUAUGCAAUGAAUGUAAUUAGCACGAAACUAGCACGAAACUGCAGAGGCUUUCGAUCCAUUAUAAUAUAAAAUAAAUAAUAAUAUUUACGUAUAAAAUAUGAUAUGAUUAUAUGAAAGUAACGACCCAAAUCUUAUUGGAGCUAAUUAACUAAUGUAUGCUCAUCAGGCAGCUGGAUUCCUUGGCAAGUGUUUAACCCCUACUUUCUUCACGCUCACAGAAUCACCAUUUGCAAAGUCAAUCGGCCUCACACCAAUAAAAACUUAAUCCCCGGCUAGUAAACUGAUCAGCUUAUCGUCCGAUAUAUGUCACUGCAAAGAUAAUCACCUUGUCUUUCAAAUUUGUUGGUAAAUUGGGGAUUGCGAGAAGAUUUUCGCACUAAUCCAAAUAUAUUGUUUCGAGCUUUGAAUGACCACUGAAGCUUUGAAAAGUCUGAUGGUUUUGUUAGGUCAUGUGUAUGACUAACGUUAAUGAUUUUCAACUUCCCAAGCAACUGUUACACAACUAAAUUUAAAAUCCAAGAGGAGGAUAUGAUCAGAGAAGAAAGAAAUGCAAUCCACUAAUAAUCAACAUCGAUAUUGUCUUCAACUUAAUCAUGAAUAAGUUUUAAGGCACAAAAGACCUCAUGCUUUUGUAGUUGAGCCAUUUAAUGUAAGGAGAAUCACAAUGUUAGUUAACCACAUCACAGUACAAAAGCACUAAAAGCGUCCAAGUGAAAGUGAAAGUGCUUUCUUCUCAUGUAGUUUCAUUUAACUUAAUUUUCCACAAUGGUAAUUAUGUUUCAAUGGUUCUGUUUUCACAUGCCAGUCGGUCAGUCACAUACUCAACUCCUUAAUGUUCGGGCUCAAUGGCUCGAAGAGAGCUUCCACUUCACUCUGAUUCACCUCCUCUAACUUUGACGGAUUCCACUUCGGAUUCUGCAUUGACAAGAAACAGAAGCCAGAGAUAAAGAUUCGUUGAUAUACGGAAAGUAAGAUGAUUAUACAACCGUAGGUCUAGUAGAGGCUGUAAUGGUUUAUGUUGCAGCAACUGCGUCAGCAAGUGAUUUUAUAGCAAGGAAUCUUGAGCAUAAUUAACGAACCUGAUCCUUGUCCACCAAAACUGCCGUACACCUUCAGCAAAAUCAUUCCGUAAAGACGAUCUUAUAGCAACGUGAUAUUCAGUUUCAUCACACCAGUUAACUGGUAUUGGUCAAGUAAAGCACAUGUUACUUUCUGAAAAUUUGAAAUACUACAACGCAAAACCUAUCAAAAGGAUGCAACCAUGUGAUGCAAGAAACGAAAAGGUACAAAGUCCAGACUCACUCUGGAUAAUUGAUUGUCAUUUUUCCCAAGCACGGAUGCAACUUUAGCGAAAUAAUUUUGUGUCAAAAAAGUGAAAACAGAGCACCCUUUCCAAGACCUUAAAGAGCUUCGUUAGCCCACUCACCACUGCAAUACAAACAAUUUAUACAAAAUACUUGACAGCGACAUACAAGCUGCUCAAUAGACAAAUGGCAUUAAAAAACUUACCAGUAGCAUCUGAACUCUGAUGCUGCUUUUUAAGUUCAUCAAUUGUCUCAAGAACCAACUUAUCUGCACCAAAUGCUGAAGUUAUUUGAGGUAAAAGAGUCUUGAGUUGCGCUUCAGAAUCUGGGUAGCUGGUGAAUUUCACCACAAUUGUUUCAAUGUCCUGAUGGGGAUCCUGGGAACUGAUUCAACAAUGGAGUUGCUUUUAUCUCAAGAAACGCAUUGGACAAUGUGAUGAUGGCAACUAAAGUUAAACCCACUGAAGCAUUGGAAAUUGCGUCUGAGGAUAGAAAAGGCAUACCUGCAGAUACUCCUCCCAGACUCUUUGCCUCUAUAUGUGAAAACCCAUCUGGGAACAAACCAAUUCCAUUCUCUGGCAUAGCAAGAACAGUCCUCAGAAAUGUAUCCAUACAAAGUUUGACACACAAAAUUAAAAAAGCCAUUGCAAUGUAAUUGACAACAUUGACAAUCUCUGUCUGACCGGGCAAUAAUGCCUCUGUAAUGAUCCGGUAGCGACUGUGACCUGAUAGGCCAAUACCAAAGCCCACUGUUAUGCCAUCCAUGAAGCUUAUAUGGGCUUCUUGUACUCGGAGAUAUUGCAUAUUAGAGAAUACUCAGCAGUGAAUACCUGAAAAACGUGCAGCACAAAUAUCAUAUCGGUAGCCUCUCAAAUCUUAAGAAAACUACAAAUGGUAGCUUAGAAAAGAAAUGAAUCCUCUCCAACCAAUACAAAUCAUAUUACCCAAGUUCAAGCAAAAUCAAGACUAAACAAAUGACCAGAUGUUGUAGGUUGCCAGAGAAUGUCAAACAUGAAAUUACAAAAGAAAAAAAUAAUCGUAUGUAUUGAACAUUAAUAAAUACAUGCUGAAAGCACAAUCUUAGCCGCAAUUUAUGACAUUUAUACAAGAUUAAAUCGCCAAAGAAAUUAAAGAAAUUGCAGAGCUCAUAUAAGUGAUGUUCACUAUGAACUUUUAGGCUUAUCAACAAAUACACCAUAACGAUUCUAAUGCAUGAAUUUUGUUAAAGGGGGCUUGCUUGCUUGUAUUAAGGCUUAAUCAUCAAUGAUUUUGCAAGGGUCAAUCGUAUUGCUAGUUGUAAAUCUAUUCACUAUGAAAAUUACCAAAAUUACAUCUAAUAUGGUAGUGAAGGAAGUCAUCUUACAUUAUCUGGAAUUUAGAAAACUGUGUAAGGUUAUAAUAUAUGGUUACAAGGACACAAUUAGACCUCAAUCAUAUUCGGUGGUUGGUUUUUGGCCGUGAUCUGCUUCACAUCACCGCCUGCAGGUAAACUAAAUCUGGGUUACUACAUAUCAAUGAAUCAACGUGCCAACUUAACGGACACCAUCUAUCUCUAUAUGGCAAAAAAAACAACACAAAAAGGAACAUGAAGUGAAACAAUAAACAACAUGACAUGAAACAGCACGAACAUCAAAGACCAACAAUCUAUCACGUAAGCACCUAAACAAGAAACAACUUUAGUUCAAAGCAAAGCGUAAUGUAGAAACCUUCGGCACAACAGGUGUGUUUUUGUCCUUUCGAGUUUCGGCAACAACCACUUUAAUAUCCUUUCCUGCAUUUACCAUGAUUGGUCACUCUUAAAACCUUAACUCCGCCGUGUAAGUUUAUCUUACAUUGCCGGUCCCAAGCCCGGAUAAAGGAGGAGGGGGAGGGCGUCAGGUAGUCGACAGCCGGCACUCCAUGAUUACGUCGAAUCCUUACGAAAAUGAAUCCAGAACGAAAUCGCGCUAAAGCUAGGGCGUCACCCGUAAGUGGCGCGCUGUGUGGCCCGAGCACAGUGAUAAGUGAGCAAGGGUCGCUAUAUCUCCAUCGGCACCCGGAUGCAGUGUUAAAUGAGCAAGGGGGCUAUAGAAACUUCUUUUCGAACGACUCCACUCAAAGUUGUUUGGGAGCAUAUGCUCCUAUCAACUUUACACGGGACACACAAAAGAAGUACUUUGAUCCUAUUAGACGGGGAAGGGUGAAGAAGCUAGGACAGAAGGGUAGAGUUCAAGAGAGCAAAAUGCGUUUAGGAACGUGGAAUAUAGGAACCUUGACGGGAAAAUCUAUGGAAGUAGUAGCAGUUAUGGUGAGGAGAAGGAUAAAUAUUAUGUGCCUACAAGAAACUAAGUGGGUUGGGCGUAAGGCAAAGGAUCUAGAAAACUCAGGGUUUAAACUAUGGUAUUCGGGCACAAAUAGAACGAGAAACGGUGUUGGCAUCAUCGUGGACAAGACCUUGACACAAGAUGUUGUAGAUGUUAAGAGGGUAGGAGAUAGAAUCAUGUCAAUCAAGAUUGUAAUAGGACAAGAACUUAUCAAUGUGAUUAGUGCGUACGCACCUCAAGUAGGGUUGGAUACGAGUUCGAAGGAGAAAUUUUGGGAAGACCUUGGAGACUUGGUGCAAGGAAUUGCUCAGACGGAGAAGUUAUUUAUAGGAGGAGAUUUAAAUGGACACGUGGGCAGGGAGACAGACAACUAUGGAGGUUUUUAUGGUGGCCAUGGUUUUGGGGAGAGAAAUGAGGAUGGGGAAGCUAUCUUGAAUUUUGCAAUGGCAUAUGAUCUCUUCUUAGCCAACACCUUCUUUAAGAAGAGAGAAGAACAUGUGAUCACCUACAAGAGUGGGUCGUCAAAAACACAAAUAGAUUUUCUCCUAAUGAGGAAAGGGGAUCGUAUAACUUGUAAGGAUUGCAAAGUUAUACCAGGAGAGAGCGUGGCUAAUCAACAUCGCUUGUUGGUGAUGGAUGUAAAUAUCAAAAGAGUGAGAAAAAAGAACAAGACUUGGAAGUGCCCAAGGACUAGAUGGUGGAAUCUAAAAGAAGAAAAACAAGCCAUUUUCAAAGAGAAAGUAAUCACCCAGUGUGUGUGGGAUAGAGAGGGGGAAGCUAACCAAAUGUGGGAUUCCAUGGCUAGUUGUAUCCGAAAAGUAGCAAAAGAGGUAUUAGGAGAGUCCAAGGGCUUUGCCCCACACCAAAAGGAAUCUUGGUGGUGGAAUGAGGAGGUACAAACAAAGGUGAAGGCUAAGAAGGAAUGUUGUAAAGCCUUAUACAAGGAUAGGACCGAUGAAAAUGGUGAAAGGUAUAGAAAAGCGAAGCAAGAGGCGAAGAAAGCUGUGAGAGAAGCUAAGUUAGCGGCUUAUGACGAUAUGUAUAAGCGACUAGAUACCAAAGAAGGAGAGUUGGAUAUCUAUAAACUAGCUAGAGCAAGGGAAAAGAAAGACAAGGGACCUAAACCAAGUGAGGUGCAUCAAGGAUGAGGAUGGAAAGGUUCUUGCUACAGAGAACGCGGUUAAAGACAGAUGGAAAGGUUAUUUUCAUAAUCUUUUCAAUGAAGGACAUGAAAGGAGUGCUUCUUUAGGGGAGUUGAGUAACUCAGAAGAGUGUAGAAACUACUCUUUUUUAUCGUAGAAUUCGGAAGGAAGAAGUGGUUGUAGCUUUGAAGAAGAUGAAGCAUAGAAAAGCAGUAGACCUAGACGAUAUACCAAUUGAAGUGUGGAAAGUUUUGGGAGAGACAGGUAUAACAUGGCUCACUGACCUUUUCAAUAGGAUUUUGAAAACGAAGAAGAUGCCAAAUGAGUGGCGAACGAGCACUUUGGUGCCUAUCUACAAGAAUAAGGGUGAUGUACAAAAUUGCAUGAACUAUAGGGGUAUUAAGCUAAUGAGUCAUACAAUGAAGCUCUGGGAGAGAGUCAUUGAGCAUAGAUUGAGGCAAGAGACACGGGUUUCGGACAACCAAUUCGGGUUCAUGCCAGGGCGCUCAACCAUGGAGGCAAUCUAUCUCUUACGAAGAUUGAUGGAAAGAUAUAGAGAUGGGAAAAAGGAUUUACACAUGGUCUUUAUAGAUUUGGAAAAAGCGUAUGAUAGGGUCCCAAGAGACAUUCUUUGGAGGAUUUUAGAGAAGAAAGGAGUACGAGUAGCAUAUAUCCAAGCUAUACAGGAUAUGUAUGAAGGAGCAAAGACUGCCGUAAGAACUCAUGAAGGACAAACCGAAAGCUUUCCCAUAACUGUAGGAUUACAUCAAGGCUCAUCCUUAAGUCCUUACCUUUUUGCGUUGGUAAUGGAUGAGUUAACAGGACAUAUUCAAGAUGAUAUUCCUUGGUGUAUGCUUUUCGCAGACGAUAUAGUGUUGAUAGAUGAAACUCAGGAAGGGGUAAAUGCAAAGCUUAACCUUUGGAGAGAAGUGUUGGAAUCUAAAGGUCUUCGCCUAAGCCGAUCAAAGACAGAAUAUAUGGAGUGCAAGUUCAGUGCAAAUGGAGGCCAAAACGAGUUAGGGGUGAGGAUCGGAGAUCAAGAAAUACCAAAGAGCGACCGUUUUCGUUACCUAGGAUCUAUCUUGCAAAAGAACGGAGAAUUAGAUGGAGAUCUCAACCAUAGAAUACAAGCUGGAUGGAUGAAGUGGAAGAGAGUGCAUCCGGCGUAUUGUGUGACCGCCGUAUGCCACUGAAGCUCAAGGGAAAAUUUUAUAGGAACGGCAAUAAGGCCGGCGAUGCUGUAUGGCACAGAAUGUUGGGCGGUGAAGCAUCAACACGUACACAAAAUGGGUGUAGCGGAGAUGAGGAUGCUUCGUUGGAUGUGUGGGCACACGAAGAAAGGAUAAGAUUAUGGAAUGAGGAUAUCCGGGGUAAAGUAGGAGUAGCCGAAAUUGAAGGAAAGAUGAGAGAAAAUCGGUUACGGUGGUUUGGACAUGUGCAAAGAAGGCCUACUGACGCUCCGAUUAGAAGAUGCGACUAUGGGACAGAGGUUCAGGGCCGAAGGGGUAGAGGAAGACCUAGGAAAACUUUGGAAGAGACCCUAAGAAAAGACUUAGAGUACUUGGAUCUAACGGAGGACAUGACACAGGACAGAACACAAUGGCGUUCUAAGAUUCAUAUAGCCGAUCCCACUCAGUGACUUGGAUUUUCCAAGUCUCCAACCGAGAAGUUUUCCUCACUCGGGAAAUUAAGGGAACACUACCUCAACCUACAUGCUCCACUCACAAAGCUUCAACAAAAGAAAAAUUCAAAGAACUUAGCGAAGAAGGCUUUUGGUGUAUUUAACACAAUACGUUGAAAUGAAGGAAAGCUUAUUUAUUGAUAUCCCCGAUAAGUUACAAAUAUGUACAUAUACUUGAGUCAAAAUAAACAAACAAGAGGGAGCCUUCACAAAGGUUGCUUAGGAGAAGUCUCAGCAGUCGGUAGAGCCCCAGAAAGAGAAGGCACCGGAGGGGGAUCAUUCGGAGCCUCAGUACUGGACAGAACCCUAGAAGGAGGAGGCAUCAGAGGUUGAUCAUUUGGAGCUUCAUUACGCGGUACAGCCCCAGAAGACGAAGGCAAUAAAUGCCUUUGGAACAAACCCACAAAUCUCUGAUGAUCAAGUAAAACCUGACCAUCAGAUUCCUUCAUCUGGUCAAGCUUCCUCUUCAUGUUUGUAGCAUAGUCAUGUGCGAGCCGGUGCAACUGUUUAUUCUCAUGCUUGAGCCCUCUAAUCUCCUGUUUGAGACUCAUCACUUCAGCCGCCAAUGAUUCAACUUGGCGGGUUCGAGCAAAUAGGCGUUGGGCCAUAUUAGACACAGAACCUGCACACUGAACACUGAAGAGCCAGAGAAUCCUUAACAGCCAACUCAUCAGACCGUUUGGAAAGUAGUCUGUUAUCUUUGGGAGUGAGAAGGUUCCUAGGCCACUACCGCAGCGGUCAUAUCAUUCUUCAUCACGGAAUCCCCAACGGUAAGAGGACCAGUAGGGGAGACGAAGGAUGGGCGCCAUAUGUUGUCUGAAGAAGGCGGGGCUGCCUCUUCAACAAGGUUCAAGUCAAAACGACGGUCGGAGGGGCCAGACAUUUUCAAAGGUGUUGAAGAGAGAAGAGGUCGGACAAAUCAAGAUCUUAGAAGUGCAAGAAUGGAGCUUCUACUGGUGGAUAUUCAAGUGUGCUUUGGAACUUAAUGUCAGCCCCUAUAAAAAAUCUGCACUCGACGAAGCUUCAGAAAUCGAAGAGGCGCCUGCUCAGAAAUCGAAGAGGCGUUUGCUUUCUCAAAAGCUGGGCUGCUCAGAGACCACGAGGGUUUGAUCUCAGAAAUCGAAGAGGCGUUUGCUUUCUCAAAAGCUGGGCUGCUCAAAGACCACGAAGGCCGAUCUCAGAAAUCGAAGAGGCUUGCUUUCUCAAAAGCUGGGCUGCUCAGAGACCACGAGGGCCGAUCUUAGAAAUCGAAGAGGCACCUACUUUUCCAGCCUUGUCAGCACCUGUCACACGCACACUCAGCUUUGCGGAAAUUAUGGGCAUUCUGUCGAAGAUUUCUGGUGAAGUAGAAAGCACAUGAAUCGUACUGUUCAAUCACCCACUUCCCACACGCAACAGUAGCUCAUGGGUACCACAGAUAACUUUGCCAAAGUUCUCUGACAAAGUUGAGACACGUGAAGCUUGCAGCUCCCACUACAUCGCUCUGACCAAGAAGGGUAAAAGAAUAGCAAAGAAACAACACUAACAAAGUUUAGACACAUAAAUUUUGAAGGUCUAGCUACCAUAUUAUUACCCACAAGGGUAAAGGAACAGUACCACUGCUGGAUAAUUGGAAAGUCCCGGUGUGUCAACCUCUGUGCUUCGUGGCAAGGUAGACUAGCAAACAUGCCCAACCUUUACUCACAUUCGAGAAAACACUCCCAACAAGAUUGCUUGCUCCAAAAUCGAAGAGGCACCCGCUCCUCCGAAUCUCGAGAGCCAGACUCCCAACAUGAUUACUUUCUCAAAAAUCGAAGAGACAUCCGCUCUCCGAAUCUCGAGAGCCAGACCUCCAGCAGGAUUGCUUUCUCAAAAAUCGAAAAGGCAUCGUUCUCCGAAUCUCAAGAGCUGGAUCCCUGACAGGAUUGCUUGUUCGAAAACCAAAGAGGCACCACUUUCCCAACUUCAAGAGCUGGAUCUCCUUGGAUAAAGCUUGUCUGUAAUCUUCACACACGCAACAUCAGCUUUUCCAGAUACCACAGACCCACUUUUUCAAAGUGCUCUGACAGAGUUAAAACUUGUGAAGCUGGCAGCUCCCACUACCGUGCUAUGACCAAGCAGGGUAAAGGAAUAGCAUUAUUACUUGAUGUUAGGGAGACUCCUAUAUAUGUCGACCUCCAUCCCCAACGGACAGGCAGACCUGCAAAAAUGCUCAACCCUUCCUCUUAUCUGAGAGGGCACUCCCAACGAAGCCUUUCGAAAUAUUCAGCUUUCUUUCCCCCCGAUAAUACCUCUGUAAACAAGCUAUACUAGAGCAAGAAUAUCUCAUAUCAUCAGGGUUAAAAGCAAGAGUAUCCCAUAUCAUGCUUUUUUCCCGUCUUUUCCUUUGGCCUUGUUCUUACCUGCAAGACAAGGAGAAAGAGAGCAAUCAGUCAGCACUUGGAAUCAAGCUUCCAGCCAGGAACUGACUGCCUGGAACCCCUUACCUGAUUACUUACCUGGCAUUGCUCUCGAGUACUCAUCUUCAACAUCUUAUGCUUCCAGGGAAGAUACCGCAAUCGCCUGAAGAACAGAUAGGGCAAGUGAGAAGGAUACAAGGAAGCAUGUGGAGACAAGCGUAACAGCACACGUGCCGAUACAUCCACUACUCUGUCAAAAGCAAAAGUAUCUCAUAUCAGCAGGGUCGAACGUACUCUAGAUUUGAUGGACUUGUUUUGACCCUCAAAUUCUUCAGUCGGCCUUAUACUCUGGAGGAAACCAGAAAACCCUCCAGCCCAGUUCAAGAAUAAGCCUGUGGAAAGUUACUUCUUCAAAAGCAAAAAGUAUCCCAUAUCAUCUCUUCUCAUUUUUCUUCUCUUUAUCCUUCAUGCUGCAUGCAAGAUAGGGAGAAUGUGAACAAUCAGCCGGAGCUCUGAUUGCUUACCUUGUCUGUCAUCUCUUUCAGCAGAUCCCCUAGCUCGGCGACUUAGGGGACUCCUACUACAUGGUUUGUAUCGCGCUUGACCAAGCCUGAAACUACAAGUAAGCUUCAAGUGACAAUUGAUACAUUACCUUGUGCAUCUCCACCAGUUACAGAUACCACCCCUGGAUGGAGGAAGAGUACUUCCAGAGAAGAUGCCACAUCUACCUAUGAGACAGAUAAGGAAAGUCAAGACGAUACCACACUCCGGUACUUAGAAGUUUCGUGGUUACGAGAUCAUUCUCCCACAAUAUUUCCUAAUGUCAUUUGUACUAAAUCAUUCACUUGUACUCACUAAAGGAGAGCUUGAACCUAUGUACUUGUGUAAACCCUUCACAAUUAAUGAGAACUCCUCUAUUCCGUGGACGUAGCCAAUCUGGGUGAACCACGUACAUCUUGUGUUUGCUUUCCUAUCUCUAUCCAUUUAUAUACUUAUCCACACUAAUGACCGGAGCAAUCUAGCGAAGAUCACAAAAAGUGACCGUUUUCGCUACCUAGGAUCUAUCCUUGCAAGAGAACGGAGAAUUAGAUGGAGAUCUCAACCAUAGAAUACAAGCUGGAUGGAUGAAGUGUAAGAGUGCAUCCGGCGUGUUGUGUGACCGUCGUAGGCCACUGAAGCUCAAGGGAAAAUUUUAUUUUAUAGGACGGCAAUAAGGCCAGCGAUGUUGUAUGGCACAGAAUGUUGGGCGGUGAAGCAUCAACACGUACACAAAAUGGGUGUAGCGGAGAUAAGGAUGCUUCGUGGGAUGUAUGGGCACACGAGAAAGGAUAAGAUUGGGAAUGAGGAUAUCCGAGGUAAAGUAGGAGUAGCCAAAAUUGAAGGAAAUAUGAGAGAAAAUCGGUUCCAGUGGUUUGGACAUGUGCAAAGAAGGCCUACUGACGCUCCGGUUCGAAAAUGUGACUACGGGACAGAGGUUCAGGGCCGAAGGGGUAGAGGAAGACCUAGGAAAACUUUGGAAGAGACCCUAAGAAAAGACUUGAGUACUUGGAUCUAACGGAGGACAUGACACAAAACCGAGCGCAAUGGCGUUCUAGGAUUCAUAUAGCCGACCCCACUUAGUGGGAAAAGGCUUUGUUGUUGUUGUUGUUGUUGUGGUCACUCUUAAAACCUUACCUAAGAGACCCAAAAACAAAAAUAACCGCCGAAAGAGCUAAACAUACAUAUAUAGAAAAACUUAAUUAACUGCAUGCUAAAAUGGAAGUGUAAAAUUGCCAAGAAAGAUAAGAAACUAUUUAAAUACGAAUUCUGGGCAUUACCGCCACAAAAGGCAUGAGCCGAACAGCUAUCAACAAGAACACACUUCCCAUUCAUCCAGAUAGCCCUUGUAUUUCACAUCCAUAUCUGCAUUUUCCAACAAUUCCCACUUAAACAGAAACACAAAAUUCAUCGAAAAAAUGCUAACUUCUUCGAAAUUUGAAUCCAACGUUUCGUCUUAUAACAAAUGCAAUAACAUAGAUUUGUAAUCAAUUCGAUGCCAUAAAGUUCAAGCUCAAAAUUUCAAAUCAGCUCCAAAUCAAAAGCAUUUACAGAUACAUACAUAUAUACAUAUGCGUGUGUGUGUUUAUCUACAUACCCAGGUUCAUGGCGUUGAGAGCUCGGCAGGCGACGGAGGGUGAUGACGGCGACGCCAAUUGGGUGGACGCUGCCCUUCGAAUUGGGUCGCUCCUCGCAAUAAGCUUCCCAUUACUUCCGUUUGAGAGUGACUGUCAGUGUAGAGAGAGGGAUUUUUUUUUUGUGCUUCUGGACCGGACUACACUUGAUGUUUCGGUUAUAUUACCGGGAAAAAGAACUGCCGCGGUGGCUACGCAGGGAAACUUGAAAUUUGAAAGAAGUAUGAAGUAUGGACUUGCCUUCAUUUAUUGAACUGAGAAAUCGAAAUCUGAAAGAGGCGUUUGACGAAGUGAUUGUGAUCUGACUCAAACAUGUGAUGAUGACGAUGCAUCACCACCUUGGUUGUGCCUCUGGAUCAAAAACAUACCAUCACCAUCAAAAUCGUGCAUAUUUUCCUUCAUAGGUUUGUCCCAUACUAGAUUAACCCCUAUUCCCUUAAUUAUUGCAUAAUAAGAAUUAUAGCAUGUCUCUGGCAUUCCAACGGCUAUAUCAACUUUAUCCCCGCUUUGCAAAUUGAACUUAUCGUUGGACAUUUGUCCCUGCCAAAGAAAACAUUUUUCAGGUAAACCAUCGUGCAUUUUUAUAACCCAAUCUUCCUUGCCUAUGCAGGUUUGCAACUCAGUACGCUUGGUAUUAUUUAUAUCAAUACUGCCACGAGGAUGACAAUAUUUAAAGCUCAUAGAAGGGCUUGAGGGACAAGUUAAGUGAUAAAAGCAUAACAGAGUCAACCCUUCAAAAUUACGACCAUCACUUGGGGGGUAUCAAAACUGACUUUAUCACCAUCGUUGACAAACUCGAACCAAUCAGGAACAUAAUUCGCAUCGAGAAAAAUGCCAGCAUAUCCGUAAGAAGUCCAUCCCUAUAUAUACAGUGCAAGUGUCAUAUACAUACAUACAUACAUACAUACAUACAUAUAUGUAAAUGUGCAUUGUGUGUGCAUGUGCGCAAUAGGAAGACAAUUAAAGAGAGAGAUACCUUUAGGACCUUCCUCCUAAAAUCAGCUGUGAGAUUGGUGCACUUUUGCAUUACAAUCCAUUUCAUGGAGUUUAAUGACUUAUCCAAGUCCGGAAUCUCUGUGAGUGCGUGUGAACCAGUUACAUUCAGUUCUCUCAUAUUUGACAUUUUCGAAAAAUUGGGCAUUUUUACCAAACAACAGCAACCAUAAGCAUCCAGAAAUUUCAAAUUUGUUGGUAAAUCAUAGAUUGUAUGAAGCUGGGAACAAUAACUUAACCACAUACCUUCAAGCUUUGAAAGACCAUUGAGGCUGGGUAGGGUGUGUAAGAUACUGCAGUGACUUAACUCCAGAGUUUUAAGAUUUGAAAGACCAUUGAGGCUGGGUAGGGUGUGUAAGUUACUGCUGUGACUUAAUUCCAGAGUUUCAAGAUUUGAAAGACCAUUGAGGCAGGGAAGGGUGUGUAAGUUACCACAGUGAUUUAACCACAUAGUUUUAAGAUUUGAAAGACCAUUGAGGCUGGGUAGGGUGUGUAAGUUACUGCAGUGACUUAACCACAGAGUUUUAAGAUUUGAAAGAUCAUUGAGGCUGGGUAGGAUGUGUAAGUUACUGCAGUGACUUAACCCUAGAGUUUUAAGAUUUGAAAGACCAUUGAGGCUGGGUAGGAUGUGUAAGUUACUGCAGUGACUUAACUCCAGGGUUUUAAGAUUUGAAAGACCAUUGAGGCUAGGUAGGGUGUGUAAGUUACUGCAGUGACUUAACCAUAGAGUUUUAAGAUUUGAAAGACAAUUAAGGCUGGGUAGGGUGUGUAAGUUACUGCAUUGACUUAACCCCAGAGUUUUAAGAUUUGAAAGACCAUUGAGGCUGGGUAGGGUGUGUAAGUUACUGCAGUGACUUAACUCCAUACCUUCAAGCUUUGAAAGACCAUUGAGGCUGGGUAGGGUGUGUAAGUUACUGCAGUGACUUAACUCCAGAGUUUCAAGAUUUGAAAGACCAUUAAGGCUGGGUAGGGUGUGUAAGUUACUGCAGUGACUUAACUCCAGGGUUUUAAGCUUUGAAAGACCAUUGAGGCUGGGUAAGGUGUGUAAGUUACUGCAGUGACUUAACCACAGAGUUUUAAGAUUUGAAAGACCAUUGAGGCUGGGUAGGGUGUGUAAGUUACUGCAUUGACUUAACCCCAGAAUUUUAAGAUUUGAAAGACCAUUGAGGCUGGGUAGGAUGUGUAAGUUACUGCAGUGACUUAACUCCAAAGUUUUAAGCUUUGAAAGACCAUUGAGGCUGGGUAGGGUGUGUAAGUUACUGCAGUGACUUAACUCCAGAGUUUUAAGCUUUGAAAGACCAUUGAGGCUGGGUAGGGAGUGUAAGUUACUGCAGCGACUUAACCCCAGAGUUUUAAGCUUUGAAAGACCAUUGAGGCUGGGUAGGGUGUGUAAGUUACUGCAAUGACUUAACCCCAGAGUUUUAAGAUUUGAAAGACCAUUGAGGCUGGGUAAGGUGUAUAAGUUACUGCAGUGAUUUAACUCCAGAGUUUUAAGUUGUGAAAGACCACUCAGGCCGGGUAGGGUAUGAAGGUUACAGCAGUUACUUAACUGCAAAUUUUCAAGUUUUGAAAGACCACAUAGGCUGGGUAGGGUAUGAAAAUAAUGUUUUGAGAGAUCUAAAUUUCCGUCUAACGAAUUGGGAAACUGCAAAGUAAACUUCGAUUCCACAGACGCUAGAGAUAAAUGAGUGAGAUUCUUCAAUCUUACUAUGGAACAGGGUACUUGUCUUAUGGCUGUGGAAGAUGCUAUAAGUACUCUCAAUGAUGUCAUCUUCCCUAAAUCCUCGGGCAGUUCACUGAAUUGCUGACAUCCAUUAAGAACAAGAGUCUGAACGGAUUUGGACUUGUAGAAAUCCCCAGGAAGAGAAAUAAGAUUCUGGCAGCCUGUGAGGUUCACCAAAGAAAGUUUUUUAAGAUGACAAAUGGAGGGGUGAAUCUCGGACAAACUGUUACACCAUUCCAAUAUCAACUCUUCAAGAUUUAGGAGAUUUGAAAAGUCUGGUGAUUUUUUUAAGUCAAGGCAAUAACUGAGAUUAAGGAUUUUCAAGUUUCCAAGCGACUGUUGCACAAAAUCAAAGGAAAAUUAAAAUUAAUAUCCAAAAACAAAUGGAAACAUAACAUCAUCAUGUGUAAUCGAUUGUACCUUGGAGCCCUCCCAAACUUGUACAAGUCUGCUAUACGCUAUCUCUAAAAUAACCAGUGCUCUUGGUUGAUCAAAGAAGUGAUCUGGUAUGGACUUUAAAGGGCAUCCAAACCAACGCAACCAUAUUAACUCUUUGGAAAGAUGUUUGUAUUCUCCAUUGAGCUGCACGUUGUAGAGCUGCAGCAGUCUCAGUUUCUUCAUAUUGGCAAAUGCUUCUGUACUGAAGCUUCGAAGCCUUUGCAGCCAAUGAUCUCCAGAAAAAUUAAGAGCAAGUCCUUUAACUUCUUCAGUUCCCUGUUAACAAAAGGUUAUAUUCAUGUGUAAGAAACGGAAUAUUUGCAUAUGUUUACAUGUAUGAAUACAUGCAAGUACUAUUGUUGGCUAAUUGAGAUGAUGUUACUUAAUGUAUAAUACACAUCCGUGAGUUAUAUGUGCUUUUCAUGUACGAUGCAUCAAUUCAGAAUUUUAUUGGGACUAUACUUACAAAUUUAUCUCUCAAUACAUCAAUGACCUCUUGCUGGUUCCACAACCUACUCCAUUCUCCAGGGUGACGAGGGGAUUUUUCAGAAAUGAUUAAUUUGGCCAUUUCUUGAAGCAAAUCAUGCAUAUUCAACUUCUUGUGUUCAAUAGUGAUAAGGCAUCGUUCACAGAGGACAUUGAUUCCUAUUGUUGCAAAAAACUUACAUCCAUCUAAUAUUUUUGCGACAUAGUCCUUAUCCCAUCCAAUAAAGAAACAAGAUAUGUCAAGGAAUAUAUCCUUUUGUGUAGGAUCUAGCCUUUCAAAGCUUACUCUUAGUGGUUUCAUUAUUCCUUCAUCAGGAAAUUUUUUCAAUUUCUCCAACUGACUUUUCUACUCUGUUGGUGUUCUUUCAAUCAUAAAAGAAGAACCUAAAACUGCAAGGGCUAGUGGCAAACCACCACAGUAAGAAACAACCUCUUUUGAGAGUUCAAGAUAUCCUUCAUUAGGCCAACUCUUUCCAAAGGCAUGCCAACUAAAGAGCUUCAGAGCUUCUUCUUCAUUCAUUUCCUUAAGUGAAUAUGUCUUGUCCACUUUCAUGUUCACUUGCUUUAGAAAACGUUCAUCUCGUGUCGUUAUGAUAAUUCUACUUCCUGGGCCAAACCAAUCACGAUUUCCAGCUAUUGCAUCUAGUUGUUCCACUUUGUCUACAUUGUCAAUAAUGACAAGCACGCUUCUACGUUGGAGAUGAUUUUUUAUCAGACUGAUACCUCUAUCAACACUGGUUAUCUUAGACUCGGUAUGUUUCAAGAUGUCAGAAACAAGUCUUCCUUGCAAAUCAACCAGAUCACAUUCACUAACGUUGGCAAGGAAACUUUUGAAUUGGAACUUAUGAUGAAGUUGGUUAUAAAUGGCUUUGGCAGCUGUUGUUUUACCCAAUCCACCAAUCCCCCAAAUUCCAACCAUGCGAACAACAUAUGAUCCACCAUUUGAAAGAUAAGUGAUGAUAUCUUGAAUGCGAGUAUAUAUUCCAACUGGGUGCUUGGCCAAAUGUAAAUUUUCUGCGCUCGGAAGCCAUUUUGGGAUAAUCUUGUCAACAAUUUCUCUAAUAAGCUUUGCUUCGCGCCUGAAAAAUUGAAUUGGUAAGCUUAGUAAGUAGGCUCAGUAGGAGCUAUUAGUACUAAUAUAAACAAUUUUCUUUCCUUCUUUCCUUCGUGUGUGUGUGUGUGUGUGUACAUAUAUGUACACAAACUAGCUACUAGCUAGUACGUGAUUUUGUGACCAACUUCAAUAAAAGAAACAAGUUCAUUCAUUGAUAUAUUAAAGUUUGGUGCAUCAAUUAAACUCCAAUUAUGGUUUAGAUUUUAGAGGAAAUUAGAGAAAUGGUCCUUGAACUAUGAUCAAAUUGUGGCCUUGGUUCUUAAAACUAAAAAUUCAAUAAAUCUCCUCCCUGAACUUAACAAAAUAUGAAGCAUUGGUCCCUAAAUGUUAACACCGUAUGAUUUUCUGUUAAUUUGAUUAUGUCGUCUUUGUGGGCUCCAUAUUAUUGUUUACUAGAUGGCACGUGGCUUGAAAAGUCAAAAUAAAAGAAAAUAAAUACAAACAUAGAGAAAGAAAGAGAGAGAAAAAAAAACUUUAAAUUAUAAAAGUUAACUCUCUCUCCCAUCCUCCCUUCCGCCUCACCUCCUCCAAACCCCAACCACACCAUUGUAGCACUUUCCCAACAGCCAAAACAAAAGAAAGUUUCUAAUCCAAUUUUGGAACACGUCUCCGUUUGCAAACGAAUUCACAAUGACAUCCAUUCACGCUGUCUCGACAGGUAAGAUUCAAGAAAUUUGUGGGAUGCGGGUUCGGGGUUCGGGUGAAGGCUGUGGUCCGUGGGCUACAGUUUGGAGUCGGCUGGAGAGUGGGAUUAGGGAUUGGGGGUUGGAAGUGGGAGGUUGACGGGGUGUGAAUCAAAGAUUGAAGGUGAAGGGGUGGCUGCGAGUGUUGGUGGGAUGAGGUAGGUGAAACUAACAUGUAAAGUUGUAAACCCUUUUAACUAAAAUUUAAAGGAAUUGGUUACGAAGGACUAACGCUCCAUAUUUUAUCAAGUUCAAGGGCAAAAUGUAAUGAAUUUUUAGUUUAGGAACCACAGCUACAAUUUUCCUCUAGAUUUUAUAUGAGAGAUUAAGGCGUAUUAAUUAAGCAUGAUAAUUAGAGUAAUACAACUUAAAUACUGAAAGCACAUGAAUGAUUACCUAUUAUCAGUGAUUUGAAGAUGGUAGCCAGACAAAUUUGCAGCUUUUGUAAGAACCUCUCCCCACUGCUUUACCUCUUCUUGUUUAGCUUCACGUUUCUUGUCAUCCUUUUCUUCACCGACGCCUUCUUCGUGCUUUUGAAAUUCUUCGGCUGACUUUGCAGCUUCUGUAAGAGCCUUUAUCCACUGCUCUACCCUUUCUCGUUUUUCUUCACGUUUCUUGUCAUCUUUUUCUUCACUGAUGUCAUUUUUGUGCUUCUGAAAUGCUUGGGCUAAAACUCCGUUCUGCUUCCUGACAUGUGAAGGAUCAAUGUGAUAGAAUAUUGGCAAAACAUGUCGCCCCAGUUUGUCUCUGCACUCCAUGAUCUUCACCAGCUCGUUAAGACACCAACUCGAAUCCGCAUACCUCUCUGAGAAGACAAUGAUAGAGGUCUUCGAUUCUUCGAUUGCCUGGAGCAGUUCUUUUGGUAUUUCUUCCCCUCUUUUGAGAUCGUCCUCAUCAAUAUAAGCCUGGUAUCCCCUGUCUGUUAAUGCCGCGUGGAGGUGGCCCGUGAAGCCAUUGCGUGUGUCUACACCGCUAAAGCUCAAGAACACGUCGUAAUUCCAAAGUUUUGACUUGGAGGAGGAUGAAGAGGAGGCUUCGUGGGUUGUCAUGGCGGUAUCCACCGUUAUGGCACUGCAGUGGUUCAGAUCACGACUGAAGAAUGGUAGUAGUUGUGUUCGUGCAUUCAAACGGAUGAUCCUGAAAUACCUAAACGCAAGUCAAGCUCCUUCAGUCAACAAGAACAAAGUUUAUAAUAUAAUAAUUUUGGCGUAUGGACUUGAGAAACGACAUAGUGUUGGCCGGAAGGUGCAGAAAAAGAGAGAGGAAAAAAGAAAAGAAAGGAACGAAAGGACAAAGACCAUCCAAAAGAUUCUUGGCUGUGAUUACAGCUAUUCAUAGGAGAAACAACGGACAUAUUUUCAUAGGAGAAACAACCUUCCCAUCUUCAUAUAUAAUGCAUUUCAACGGACAUAUUUUAAUAGGAGAAACAACUUUAGUUUGUACUAGAAAUUUUUACCCGCACGUUGAUGCGGCAUUUGAAAUUGUAUGAAAGAUUAUCUUUGAAAUAUAUAAUAGAUUGUGUGAUUGAAGAUUAAUACUAUUUACAUUGAAAACGUUGGAAAAAGUUUUACAUAUAAAAGAUUUUAUGAUACAAUCCACGUAUAAAAGAUGGUAAAUUUUGUUCUAUCUACAUGCAUUAUGUUAUGGAAUGAUAUAUAUAUAUAUAUAACUAAGUUCCAGAAUAUGUAAACUUCAUAACUUGGAAAUUUUUUGACAAAUUAAUCAGAUUCAACUGUGGGUUAGCAAGGUCGCCUAUAAAGUUUGAAGUCGUAGAAGCAUAAAGGACAAAUAACAAAUGAGUUUUGAGAAAUUAUUCCACAAAUGUCAUUCUGCAAAAUGUAUUAAAGACGAUUGGUAUAAGAUUAGCAAUCAUGAGUAGUGUAACAACAUCAACAAAAUAACCAUAAACCAUAACAUAAUUCAAAUUUUGUUUGCAAAAACAAAAGAAAAAGAAAAGAGACUUACAAUAAUUCAACCUUCAAUCUUGAAGUCCAGCUCAAAGAGCCAAACCUAAAUGCAAGCUUUCUGAAAUUUCCCAAACAAUACAGAUAAAACGGUAACACCCUAGUCAGAAAUGAACCAAGGUGCGAGCUUUCUAAGAAACCCAGAUGACAAAAUCAACAAAAUAGAAUGGAAAAAUGACUUACACUUUGAAGGCAUGCUCGAACCUUGAUCUAAAAUUGGUGGUGGGUCGAUUGUUGGUCACCAACUCUAAAUGAAGAAUUCAUCAGAACCUAGAAAUUUAAAACAAAGAAUUUUCCAAAAUCAACAUUUACUAAAAACCAGUUGCUUGGUUAUCAUGCAUGAUGGCUUGACAAAGACUGAAUUAAGGAAUGCAAACUUUACUUUCAUGAUUAUUUUUAAUGACAGCUAAAAGGUCAGAUCCAAAUGAAAAUAAAAGUUAGGACUUCACAAAACCAAUUAAAAAUCUAAUUCUAAAGUUAUAAGCACCCACAAAAUGAUUCCAGAUAAAGUUUUACACUCAAGGUCAAACCCAAAUGAAAUUAAAAGUUAGGACUUCACAAAACCAAUUGAAAAUCUGAUUCCAAAGUUCCAAACACCCACCAAAUGAUUCCAGAUAAAGUUUAAACUCAAAAACCCAAUAGAAACAAAAGCACUGGUAUAAAUUAACUGUAUCUAAUUGAAGAAACUAAAACAAAAGUAAAGCAAAGUAUAUACCUCAAAAUGUCAAGCAACUAAGUUCUUCCUCCGACGACCCAAAACUCUGAAAAUUCCACACAAAAAAAAAGGCAAAUCCAUUAGCAAUUCAUAGCUUUCAAAAUUAGCAAAAACUUGGGCAACAAUAAAGAUGUGUCUAGAACCAUCAAUCUUUCUCCUUAUGCAUUUGAAAAGAUAUGUUAUAAGCAGUUUAUGUAGUCAUUCUGAACAUGUUGCAUAUAAAUUCCUUUUCUACAGGGUUCAAAAAAAUAUGGCAGUUUAUGGAAUCUGUUGAAUGACAUAGUUGAAAGAUUUAAAAUUGAUACAUUCAAUUUUUAUGUGUAAAACUAUAACAUAUAGCUAAAGCUAUUGGGUCCAUAUCAGUCAUGUCGUAAUUGAAUGUUUAUCGAUGUAAAUAGAUGAUUUCAGUCAUGGGAUAACAUGUUUCUUGAUAGUAUACGCUGAAGUUUGGUCUAAGUUGGAUAUAAAUCGACCAAAAUCUUAAUAAGAGACUUUUUUAACUUUUAACCAAAAAAUGAGCACCACAAUACUACACUUAUAAGUUUUAUCAUGCACAAAAUACACAGCACUGAUUGCCACUUUUAGAGCAAGAACAAUACUUUACCAAAAGAAAACAACAAAACACCCAAAACCCAGAAACAUAAACACACUUAGGACUCAAACUCCUCAAAAACAUGAGAAAGAGAGAGAGUGUGUGAGGAGAAAGAAUAAAAAAAAAAAUUAUUUUUCACACAAACUCAAAAUUGCUUAUAAAAUUACAAAUGAAUGCAAAUCCAAAAUUGCCCUAAAUUAAAUCUGAUUAGUUAAAUGUUUGUUGCCCCAGAAAUUUCGUUACACCUCACAAAACUUGCUUUGAAGUUGAUAUUUUGGUCAAUCCAGGGGAAAAGGAGUUAUUGGUUUUGGAGCAGUUGUCAUGGAGAAUACCAUCUCCCUGUAGAAUGAUCUAAAAAAGGACUUACAGCUUAUGGUGGCCAUAAUAAUUUAGGAGGCCCUUCUCUCCAAAUUUUCUCAAUAACUUUCCUUUUCGUAGCUGGUAAGAUUGCAACUCCGAGAAUUGCUUUGAAGAGAUAUACACAAACAAAAUACCAAAACUAAGCUAUUGGAAGAAAUUUAGAAAACACAAGCACCAUUACAACUCAGAGUUAAAAGUCAACAGAAACCAAAUGGUACAAGUUGAAAAAAUAUAUGGUCAUGAAUCGAGAACUUCAUCAAACUAACAGCAAUAAAAUCUCAUAUAAUCCGUCAAAAACCAAAAAAGAGAUUCAAGACCUUGUAACGUCGAGGCCUCGUACAGUUGUAGUAAUAAUUUAUGGUUGAUGCACCUGUUGCUCAAUCAAAUCCUUCGUCUGGCUAAAAAAAUAAAAAUCUAUAAAUACAUUCACGUCCAAUUUAUGAGAAAUCAUGGGAAAGAAAAUGUGAAUAUGAAGAACUUAACAAAAAGAAAAAGAAAACUUCUUAUAGUGUGCUAAGAACAUCCUCCUACUCCUAGCAAAUUUUUUAUGGCAUUAUCCACUUCUCAAUUCAUAAUUCAACCAGUAACUCAAAGUCUAUAGUGUAUGAAAAAGUGAUAUCUUAGUUGAUCACGAUGAUAAUCAAAAAGGAAGAAACAACCAAACAAAAUUAUUAGGUCUGGGAUAUACCUUUAUCUGAAACACCACAAUCAUCAAAGUGAAACACAAACAAUCCAAAAAUUUGUGGAAAAUACCAAUAAAUGCUCAACUAAAAACGAAAGAAAAAGUAGAAUAAGUUUACCUGUUCCUCCCCUAAUUAAACUGCAAUACAAUUCACCACUGAUAUUCUCGUCAUCCUCUUCAGCCUGAAAAAUUUAGUAGAAAAUAAUGGUAAGAAUCUAGCAGUAUUUCCAUUGUUCAAAACCCAAAUUCCAGAAAUCAUGAAAAAUGGAAACUUUAUAUGGAAAUUGAACCCCCAAAAUCACAAAAAGGAAAAUUGAACAGAAAAUAAAUUUGCAAAUCCAAAAUCACAAAAACGAAAUUGAAACACCCACACUGAGAAAGCUGUAAAACUCACAAGGAAACGCUAGCUUUUCUGGGUAAAAAAAAUUGUUCGAAUCGAAUUGAAGAACCGAGGAAAAUUCUACAGGUUCAGUGGUUUUUCCAGCAAGAAAGCACCUUGUUUGUAAGUCGUGAGAGGUUGGAGAGCGAGAGAAGCCGAUUUGGGAACCAAAGAAAGCGAGGUUGGAGACCGAAAGAGGCUGCGAAUUGCGAGAGAGAAAAACGAAAAGGAAAGGAAAAGCGGAGAAGAAGUCACGAUUAUCGACGCGUGGGUAGGAUUCCACUGUGAGAGGAUUGCAUUCUUUUAAGAGUGUUUCCUUAUUACAAUUUUAUGCUACUAGAUCCAUCCUAUUGUUCCAUUUCUAAACUUUAUAUUAUAAUAUCACCCAUCGUAAAAAAUUAAAAUCCUAUUAAUCCACCCCAAUUAUUUCUAAAAUAACCUCAAAUAUCUAAAUCCAUUUUUAUUUCACCCCAAUUGCAUGAUCAGGCCUCGAUUUGAAGCUAGUUGACGUUGGCCCAAAUGCCAAAUUGUUUGAAUUUCCAAUAAACAUAUUAUAAUUAUAAAAGGAUGGUGAAGAUAUGAAUCAAAUUUGAAAGAGAGAACAUUACUUGGUGAAGGAGGUGAUAGGUGAUGUUGGUAUGGGUUAUGCAGUCACCAUUGGACAUGAGAGGCUUUCUCCUCAAAAUUCCUUCUACAUCUACAGCAUGCAAAUCGAAUGAUGAUAGGUUUAUCGAAGCCCUAAUACCAACUUUAUGACAAAUCUGAACGGACCAAUAAACAACCAUGGAACGAUCUUGAGACGCGACCACUGCGCGUGAGACUCAACCAGGAAUAACUAGACCAUCAGCCGCCGUCGUCAAUAUUGUAGAGGUAGAUGGUGGGUCCGAGAACUCGAUUUUCUUGGAGCAGUUUGAGAUUGACGAAGGGACCUGACGAGGGGUUGGGGUUGUUGGUGACCGAGAGUAUAUGGGUUUGACGAUGGUGGUGGUGGUGGUGGUGGUUUGCAAUCUCUCUCUUUCCUUUUCUUGGGGUUGGACAUUCGGGUGACAGCCGCCUUGGGAUCGGAUGUCAAUGGGGACGUGCUUGAGAGCCAUGAUGACGACGCGAGCGUGGGUGGGGAGAAUUUUCCAGGUCCUUUGAUGUAAUUUUACAAAAGGGUAAAAAUGGAAGUAAAAAAAUUAUAAACUAGUGGGGUGGGAAGAUAAGACAACGGGGUUGUUGUGGUCUAUUUUUAUCUGAUAAAGCAAUAGGGCCGGCGGCAGGGGGAGAGAGAAAAGAGAGAUGUGUGUUUGUAGAAUUGUAGGGGAAUGUGUGUUGUUAUCUCUCAUACAUUGUGCCUUUAUUUAUAGUAGUAAAAGGAGAGAAGAUAUUCCUUCUUCUCCAAGUAAUAUAAGUUGUAAUAGGAAAGAAUAACUAGAAUCAAAUCUAAUAUAGGAUUUACACAAUUUACAAGUUGUUAUCCCUCCUACAUUGUGCCUUCUUCUUCAUAAGAGUUUGAAAGAAGUAUGAAAUAUUGACUUGUUGAUGAUGAAGUUGAUAGUGAAAUGUAGUAACGGUUAAUUUAACAGAAUUUUUAACGGAUGUAUGAAAUUAAAAAAUAAUAUAAGUAAAUGUAUGAAAUUAAAAUGUUUUAAAGAAAUUGUAUGAAGUUGCAAUUGACCCCAAAUACGAGAGAUAAAACAUAAUUUACACAAAAAACAAAGAUCAGAUUUGUAAAAAUGCACCACAUAGUAGUUAAAACAUCCGGACGUAAAUGAAUGGUUUGAGAUACCAUCAUAGUAGCAUCUUUCAGUGUAAGUUUUUCUCAUAUCGGAUCACUUACCAGUAGAAAAGUGUAAUACCGUGUCGGGAAAGGAAGUCAAUGAUGAAAAGAGAGCAAUUUAGCUUUAAAAAUAAGGAAAACUAAUGAAAAGAGUUUGAAAACUUUGCGUUUAAUGAUAAGGACAAAAUAAAAGGAUAAAGUGAAUAGUACUAUGAUUGAUUUUUUAGUGUAAAAAUAUGGUUUUUCGUUAAAGUUUCCUUAAAAAUAUUGCGUCCUCCGUAUGAUGUUUGCAACAUGUGUCGCCAGAGUAUCAACUUGAAGCUCUCCACAUCUCCGUCGUCAAAUGUUUUGUAAGCAGCAUUGUUUAAGUUCUCUCUGUCAGGGAAACUGCAGAUGGGUUUGAUGAAGAAGAAUGGAAAAUAUAAUUUUUAGAAAAUGAGAAAGAAAAUUAUAAAACUUCAUUAAUGAAAUUUCUUUAUCAACAAAAAAAGAUGAAAAUAUAUCUUUGUCUUCUAUCACAACAAAAAAGUUAAGGACAGUAACGUAAUUUUACAAGAUAAAAUUUUACUUUUUUUUUAAAUCUCACAUAUAUGUAAGUUUAUCAUCUUUAAUUUAAAAAAUAUAAAAAAACCUCUCUUCCACGUUCUCUCUCACUCUCUUCCUCUCCUUCAAAUUUAACAACCAAAGUAAAAAAAUUCAUACGCUUUGUGUGUGGACAUAUACUAGUUGAAAUUUAAAAAAGGAGACUUAAAAAGAGAGAUUUAAUAUUUUCUAGGUUGUCUUGGGAGUUGGCAAUGACAGUAAGAGAGGAGAAUCUCGGGUUCCACUGGAAAGGAGGAAAUUUUUCAAAGCGAGAAGGUAGGGGUUUUUUCACUUGCUCUCUUGGUCUUUGGGCUUUUGGAUUGGAUUGGGACAAUUCCAAUUACCCCAUCCCAACUUACGACUUUUUAUCGGUCUAUAUUGGCUAAAGUGAACGUACUAAAAUAGAAAUUUGAGAACUUGAAUUAAGGUCUUGAAUUAGCGAAUGAAUGUCCAGUAAGAAUGUCAUGUAGUCGGACUUGUAAGGCUACCCUUAAUAAGUAGUCACGUUUGUCAAAACUGGUCUAUCUGAUUAUAAUUGUAACCAUAUUAUGUGUGACACAUGAUCAAACUUGAAGGGUUGUCCAAUAAGAAGUUGUCAUGUUGUCAAGCGUAGGGCCAAAGGUGAGCACUUUCCUACCAAAGUGUUUUCUUUUUCCCCUUUUCAAGGGAUUUGUGUCACCAUUAGAUAGGAGAUUCAAACACAAGACCUUGAAUUUAGAGGCAAACGCUUUAAAAAAGCUUCUCUGAUUCAUCUCCUCUGACUUUGACGGGUUCCACUUCGGAUUCUGCAUUGACAGGAAACCGAAGCCAAAGAUAAAGAUCCGUUCUGAUAUACAGAAAGUAAGAUGAUUAUCAACUGUAGGUCUAGUAGAGGCUGUAAUUGUUCUGUCACUUUAUAGUAAGGAAUCUUGAGCAUAAUUAACGAACCUGAUCCUUGUCCACCAAAACUGCCGUACACCUUCAGCAAAAUCAUUCCGCAAAUACAAUCUUAUAGCAAUGCGAUAUUCAGUUUCAUCACACCAGUUAGUAUUGGUCAAGUAAAGCACAUGUUACUUUCUGAAAAUUUGAAAUACUACAACGCAAAACCUAUCAAAAAGAUGCAACCAUGUGAUGCAAGAAACGAAAAGGUAGAAAGUCCAGACUCACUGUGGAUAAUUGAUUGUCAUUUUUCCCAAGCGCAGAUGCAAUUUUAGCGAAUUAAUUUUGUCCCAAAGAAAGUGAGAACGGAGCUCCCUUUCCAAGACAUUAAAGAGCUUCAUUAGCCCACUCACCACUGCAAUAGAAACAAUUUGAUACAAAAUACUUGACAGCAACCAUACAAGCCGCUCAAUAGACAAAUGACAUUGACAAACAUACCAGUAGCAUCUGAACCUGCUGCUGCUUUUUAAGUUCAUCAAUUGUCUCAAGAACCGACUUAUUUGCACCAAACGCUGAAGUUAUUUGAUGUAAAAGACUUGAGUUGCGCUUCAGAAUCUGGGUUGCUGGUGAAUUUCGCCGCAGUUGUUUCAAUGUCCCCAUGGGGAUCCUAAGAACCGUAUCAACAAUGGAGUAUCUUUUAUCUCAAGAACGCAUUGGACAAUGGAGCAUCAGAAAUUGCGUCUGAGGAUAGAAAAGGCAUACCUGCAGAUCCUCCUCCCGUACUCCUUGCCGCUACAUGUGAAAACCCAUCUGGCAUAGCAAGAACAGUCCUCUGAAAUGUAUCCAUACAAAGUUAGACGCACAAAAUUUGAAAAGCCAUUGCAAUGUAAUUGACAACAUUGACAAUCUCUGUCUGACAGGGCAAAAUACCUUUGUAAUGAUCCGGUAGUGACCGUGACCUGAUAGGUCAACACCAAAGACCAUUGUUAUGCGAUCAAUGAAGCUUAUAAAGGGCUUCUUGUACUCAGAGAUUUUGCAUAUUAGAGAAUACUCAGCAGUGGAUACCUGAACGCAGCACAAAUAUCAUAUCGUUAGCCUCUCAAUAUUAAGAAAACUACAAAUGGUAGCUUAGAAAAGAAAUGAAUCCUCUCCAACCAAAUACAAAUCAUAUUACCCCAAGUUCAAGCAAAAUCAAGACUAAACAAAUGAUUAGAUGUUGUAGGUUGCCCGAGAAUGUCAACCAUGAAAUUACAAAAGAAAAAAAUAACUGUAUGUAUUGAACAUUAAUAAAUACAUGCUGAAAGCACAAUCUCAGCCGCAAUUUAUGACAUUUAUACGAGAUUGAAUCGCUAAAGCAAUUGAAGAAAUUGCAGAGCUCAUAUAAGUGAUUUUCACUUUGAAUUUUUAGGCUUAUCAACAAAUACAUCAUUACGAUUCUAAUGCAUGAAUUUUGUUAAAAGGGGCUUGCUUGCUUGUAUUAAGGCUUAAUCAUCAAUGAAUUUGCAAGAAGCAAUCGAUUUGCUAGUUGUAAAUCUAUUCACUAAUUACCAAAAUUACAUCUAAACGGUAGUGAAGGAAGUCAUCUUAUAUUAUCUGGAUUUUAGAAAACUGUGUAAGGUUAUAAGUCUGUUAUUAUAUAUAGUUAAAAGGGACACAAUUAGACCUCAAUCAUAUUUGGUGGUUGGUUUUUGGCCAUGAUCUGCUUCACAUCACCCCCUGCAAACAAAAAUGAACACUAAGAGAAACAAUAAACAAAUGACAUGAAACAACACGAACAUCAAAGACCAACAAUCUAUCACGUAAGUACCUAAACAAGAAACAACUUUAGUUCAAAGCAAAGCGUAAUGUAGAAACCUUCGGCACAAGAGGUGUGUUUUUGUCCUUUUGAAUUUCGGCAACAACCAUUUUAAUGUCCUUUCCUGCAAUUACCAUGAUUGGUCACUCUCAAAACCUUACCUAAGAGACCCAAAAACAAAAAUAACCGCCGAAAAAUUUAUUUAACUACAUGCUAAAAUGGAAGUGUAAUAUUGCCAAGAAAGAUAAGAAACUAUUCAAAUACAGAUUCUGGGCUUACCGCACAAAAGGCACGAGCCUAGCGGCUACCAAAAAGAACACACUUCACAUUUGGGUGAGAUUCCCAUUCAUCCAGAUAGCUCUUGUAUUUCACAUCCAUAUCUGCAUUUUCCAACAAUUCCCACUUAAACAGAAAUACAAAAUUCUUUGAAAAAAAGCUAACUUCUUCGAAAUGCGAAUCCAACGUUUCGUCUUAUAACAAAUGCAAUAACAUAGAUUUGUAAUCAAUACGAUGCCAUAAAGUUCAAGCUCCAAAAUUCAAAUCAGCUCCAAAUCAAAAGCAUUUACAGAUAUAUACAUAUAUACAUGUGUGUGUGUGUGUGUGUGUGUGUUUAUCUACAUACCUAGGUUCAUGGCGUUGAGAGCUUGGGGGCCGACCGAGGGUGAUGACGGCGACGCCAUUUGGGUGGACGCUGCCCUUGACGAACGCGUCGGCGGAGGCCAUGAUCCCGAAGGGGCGGAGGAGGCGAGGGGAUUUGGAUGGUUGGAAAAGAGAAAGCUUCGAAUUUGGAUUGAGGAAGAAGAAAGCGGACGACGAUUUGCUCAGAAUUUAGGUCGCUCCUCCCAAUAAGCUUCCCAUUACUUCCGGUCGGGAGUGACUGCAUCAGUGUAGAGAGAUAAAGAUAUUUUUGGUGCUUCUGGGCCGGACUACCCUUGAUGUUUCGGUUAAAUAACCGGGAAAAACAACUGCCGCAGGGAAAUUUGAAAGAGGCGUUUGACGAACUGAUUGUGAUCUGACUCAAACAUGUGAUGAUGACGAUGCAUCACCACCUUGAUUGUGUCUCUGGAUGAAAAACCUACCAUCAAGAUCAAAAUCGUGCAUAUUUUCCUUCAUAGGUUUGUCCCAUACUAGAUUAACCCCUAUUCCCUUAGCUUUCGCAUAAUUAAAUGCAUUAGUUUUCGCAUAAUUAAAUGCACCGCCUUUCAUUGGUAUUUCAAAAGUUAUAUCAACUUUAUCCCCGCUUUGCAAAUUGAGCUUAUCGUUUGAUAUUUGACCUUGCCAAAGAUAACAGCUUUCAAAUACAAUAUCGCGCAUUUUUGUAACCCAAUCUUCCUUGCCUAUGCAAGUCUGUAACUCAGUACGCUUGGUAUUAUUUAUAUCAAUACUAGCACGAGGAUGACCAUCUUUACCUCUCAUAUAAGGUCUUGGCCGAUCAAGAUAAGAGCGGUAAAAGCAUAACAGAGUUAGCCCUUCAAAACUACGACCAUCACCCGGGGGAAUAUCAAAGCUAACUUCAUUACCAUCAUUGACAAACUCGAACCAAUCAGGAACAUAAUUCCCAUUGAGAAAAAUGCCACCAUAUCCGCAAGAAGUCCAUCCCUAUAUAUAUAUUGCAAGUGUCAUAACUAUAUACAUACAUGUACAUGUGUGUUGUGUGUGUGCAUGUGCGCAAUAGGAAGACAAUUAAAGAGAGAGAGAUACCUUUAGGACGUUCCUCCUUAAAUCAGCCGUGAGUUUGGUGCACUUACUCAUAUCAAUCCAUGUCAUGGAGUUUAAUGACUUAUCCAAGUCUGGAACCUCAGUGAGUUCGUGUGAAUCACAUACAUUCAGUUCCCUCAUAUUUGACAUUUUCGAAAAAUUGGGCAUUGUUACCAAACGAUAGCAACUAGAUGCAUCCAGAAAUUUCAAAUUUGUUGGUAAAUCAUAGAUUGUAUGAAGCUGGGAGCAAUAACUUAACCACAAACUUUCAAGUUUUGAAAGACCACUGAGGCUGGGUAGGGUAUGAAAAUAAUUGACUGAGAGAUCUAAAUUUCUUAAAGAGUCUAAGCCGUGUAACGAAUCGGGAAAUUGCAAAGGAAACUUCGAUCCCACAAAAUUAUUGAGAGAUAAAUGAGUGAGAUUCUUCAAUCUUACUGUGGAACGCGGUACUUGUCUUAUGGCUGUAGUAGAUGCUUUAAGUACUCUCAAUGAUAUCAUCUUCCCUAAACCCUCGGGCAAUUCACUGAAUUGCCAACAAAAAUCAAGAACAAGAGUCUGAACGGAUUUGGACCUGUAGAAAUCCCCAGGAAGAGAAAUAAGAUUCUUGCAGCGUGUGAGGUUCACCAAAGAAAGUUUUUUAAGAUGACCAAUGGAGGGGUGAAUAUCGGACAAACUCCUACACCUUUCCAAUAUCAACUCUUCAAGAUUUGGGAGAUUUGAAAAGUCUGGUGAUUUUUUUAAGUCAGAGCAACUUCCAAGAUUAAGGACCUUCAAGUUUUCAAGUGACUGUUGCACAAAAUCAAAGAAAAAUUAAAAUUAAUAUCCAAAAGGACUAUCUCAGAAAAAAAGAAGGAAAUCCAAAAAACAAAUACAAACAUAACAUCAUCAUGUGUAAUCGAUUGUACCUUGGAGCCCUCCCAAACUUGUACCAGGUCGCUAGAUGUUAUCUCUAAAAUAACUAGUCUUGGUUGAUCAAAGAAGUCAUCUGGUAUGGACUUUAAAGGGCAUCUUUCCCAACACAACCAUAUUAACUCCUUGGGGAGAUGUUUGUAUUCUCCAUUGAGCUGCACGUUGUAGAGCUUGAGCAGUCUCAGUUUCUUCAUAUUGGCAAAUGCUUCUGUACUGAACCCAGGCAUGUUAGACCUUGGAGGCCAAGGAGGAGGGAUACCUAGAGCAAGUCCUUCAACUUCUUCAGUUCCCUGUUAACAAAAGGUUAUAUUCAUGUGUAAGAAACGGAUUAUUUGCAUACGUUUACAUGUAUGAAUACAAGCAAGUACUAUUGUUGGCUAAUUGAGAUGAAUGUUAAUGUAUAAUACACAUCCGUGAGUUAUAUGUGCUUUUCAUGUACAAUGCAUUAAUUCAGAAUUUUAUUGGGAAUGUACUUACAGAUUUAUCUCUCAAUACUUUAAUGACCUCUUGCCGGUUCCACAACCUACUCCACUCUCCAGGCUGACGAGGGGAUUUUUCAGAAAUGAUUAAUUUGGCCAUUUCUCGAAGCAAAUCAUGCAUAUUCAACACGUUGUCUUCAACAGUUAUAAGGCAUCGUUCACGGAGGUCACUGAUUCCUAUUGUUGCAAAAAAGUUACAUCCAUCUAAUAUUUUUGCGACAUAGUCCUUAUCCCAUCCAAUAAAGAAACAAGAAAUGUCAAGGAAUAUAUCCUUUUGUGUAGGAUCUAGCCUUUCAAAGCUUACUCUUAGCGGUUUCAUUAUUCCUUUAUCAGGAAAUUUUUUCAAUUUCUCCAACUGACUUUUCCACUCUAUUGGGGUUCUUUCAAUCAUAGAAGAACCUAAAACUUCAAGGGCUAUUGGCAAACCACCACAGUAAGAAACAACCUCUUUUGAGAGUUCAAGAUAUCCUUCAUUAGGCCAACUCUUUCCAAAGGCAUGCCAACUAAAGAGCUUCAGAGCUUCUUCUUCAUUCAUUUCCUUAAGCGGAUAUGUCUUGUCCACUUUCAUGUUCACUUGCUUUAGUAAACAUUCAUCUCGUGUCGUUAUGAUAAUUCUACUUCCUGGACCAAACCAAUCACGAUUUCCAGCUAUGGCAUUUAGUUGUUCCACUUUGUCUACAUUGUCAAUAAUGACAAGUACGCUUCUACGUUGGAGAUGAUUUUUUAGCAAACUGAUACCUCCAUCAACACUGGUUAUCUUAGACUCAGUCUGUUUCAAGAUGUCAGAAACAAGCUUUCCUUGCAAAUCAACCAAAUCAUAUUCACUAACGUUGGCAAGGAAACUUUUGAAUUGGAACUUAUGAUGAAUUUGGUUAUAAAUGGCUUUGGCAGCUGUUGUUUUACCUAAUCCACCCAUCCCCCAAAUUCCAACCAUGACAACGUCAUUUGAUCCACCACCUGAAAGAUGAUUGAUAAUAUCUUGAACGCGAGAAUUGAUUCCAACCGGGUGCUUGGCCACAUUUAAUUCGUUUGCACCCGGAAGCCAUUCCGUAAUGAUCUUGCCAACAAUUUCUCUAAUAAGCUUUGCUUCGCGCCUAGAUGUUGAAUUUGUAAGCAUUAGCGGGACUCAAUGAACAGUAGGAGCUAUUAGUACAUAGACAAUUUUCUUUCCUUCAUACAUAUUCUAACUAGCUACUAGCUAGCAUGUGAUUUUUUUACCAACUUGAUAAAAGAAAGAAAUUCAUUCAUUAAUUAAACUCCAAUUACGGUUUAGGUUUUAUAUGAGAGGUUAAGGUGUAUUAAUUAAGCAUGUUAAUUAUAUGAGAGAUUAAGUCAUUCACUAAAAUGUGUCAAAUCUUUAAAAGCAGGUGAAUGAUUACCCAUUGUCAAUGAUUUGAAGAUGUUGGCCAGACAAAUUUGCAGCUUCUGUAAGAGCCUUUCUCCAUUGCUUUACCCUUUCUUGUUUAGCUUCACGUUCCUUGUCAUCUUUUUCUUCACGAAUGCCCUCUUCGUGCUUCUGAAAUGCUUGAGCUAAAUCUCCGUUCUGCUUCCUAACAUGUGAAGGAUCAACAUGAUAGAAUAUUGGCAAAACACGUCGCCCCAGUUUGUAUCUGCACUUCAUGAUCUUCACCAGCUCGUCAAGACACCAACUCGAGUUCGCAUAACUCUUUGAGAAGACAAUGAUAGAGAUCCUCGCCUCUUCAAUUGCCCGGAACAGUUCCUCUUUUAUUUCUUCCCCUCUUUCUAGAUCGUCCUCAUCGAUAUAAGCCUGGUAUCCCCUCUCUGUUAAUGCCGCAUGGAGGUGGCCCGUGAAGCCAUUGCGUGUGUCCACACCGCUGAAGCUCAAGAACACGUCGUAAUUCCAAAGUUUUGACUUGGAGGAGGAUGACGAGGAGGCUUCGUGGGUUGUCAUGGGGGUAUCCACCGUUAUGGCACUGCAGUGGUUCAGAUCACGACUGAAUUAAGGAAUGCACAACUUUACUUUUAUGAUUAUUUUCAAUGACAGCUAAAGGUCAGAUCCAAAUGAAAAUAAAAGUUAGGACUUCACAAAACCAAUAAAAAAAUAUAAUUCCCAAGUUACAAAUACCCACCAAAUGAUUCCAGAUAAAGUUUUAAACUCAAGGUCCGGCCCAAAUGAAAUUAAAAGUUAGGACUUCACAAAACCAAUUGAAACAGAAACCAAAUGGUAGAAGUUGAAAAAAAUAUAUGGUCAUGAAUCGAGAACUUCAUCAAACUAAUAGCAAUAAAAUCUCAUAUAAUAUGUCAAAAACCAAAAAAGAGAAAGAGGUAAUUUCAAGACCUUGUAACGCCGAGGCCUCGUACAGUUGUAGUAAUAAUAUAUGGUUGAUGCACCUGUUGCUCAAUCAAAUCCUUUGUCUGGCUAAAAAAAUAAAAUCUAUAAAUACAUUCACGUCCAAUUUAUGAGAAAUCAUGGGAAAGCAAAUGCACUGAGAACGGAAUCAUGAAUAUGUAGAACUUGCCAAAAAGAAAAAGAAAACUUUUUAUAGUGUGCCAAGAACAUCCUCCUACUCCUAGCAAUUUUUUAUGGCAUUAUCCACUUUUCAAUUCAUAAUUCAACCAGCAACUCAAAGUCUAUAGUGUAUGAAAAGGUGAUAUCUUAGUUGAUCACGAUGAUAAUUAAGUAGAUUAAAUGACGACCCAUAAAGCAUACAAAUUCAGAAAAGAAAAGGUACGAAACUGCCAUAAGAAAACGCAGAAUAUAUAAACCGGAAAUCAAAAGAAGAGAAGCGAAAAAGGAAGAAAAAAAAAACCAAACAAAAUUAUUAGGUUUGGGAUAUACCUUUAUCUGAAACGCCACAAUCAUCAAAGUCAAACAUAAACAAUCCAAAAAUUUGUGGAAAAUACCAGUAAAUGCUCAACUAAAAACGAAAGAAAAUGUAGAAUAAGUUUACCUGUUCUCCCCCUAAUUAAACUGGAAUAACAUUCACCACUAAUAUUCUCGUCGUCAUCCUCUUCAGCCUGAAAAAUUUAGUAGAAAUACUCAAUGAAGACGCUUAAUGUAGACAGUAAUAUUAGCAAUGGAGGAAUUGAAUUGAUAACCAAAACUGCAAGACCAAAUGACUAUUUAGGUUCAAAACAGAAACUCGUCUGCUAGAUGUCUCAUCUUUAGGCAGUGCCUUGUUCUUGUUUUUUUUUCUUUUUUUUUUGUUGUUGCAUGUCUUGUGAAGUUCAUGUAAAUCAACAAAAUUGAUACUUUUGACACAACCAACAAUGGAGAGGUAAAAAGUUAAAAACAUUAGGAAUGUCUUCAUUUUUGUAAUGGAUUUUGCAAGUCAGAAAUUCUGUUCGAGAAUUUGCAACCCAGAAAGUCCGCCAGAAAUUAUUAACAAUCACAGAUAAGCACCGAAUGAAGGCCAAUCUAAUAAGCCAAAAUAUGUAGGGCACUAAAGAAAUUACCCAGUAACAAUAAUAGAUAAGCACAUAUGAAACUAAAGAAAUUUUUCAUUACUAUCAACUCCCAAAAAAAAAAAAAAAAAAAACUGUGCAAUCCAAAAAAUGUUGAUACAUAGUUGGAGUAUCAAUGCCUGAAAUUGGUAUUUGAACCACGAAUAUGUUUGUUAGCUUAAAGGUUUGGGUUGAAGUUGUGAAAGGAAAUGUAAUUUCUUAAAAGAAGGAGAGAAUGCAAAGAUGAAUACAGAAUGGUUCAUGUGGCCACCUUGUUAAGGCACAGAAAAAGACAUCAAAUUUUAUACUUGUUGCAUCCAAGGUAUGCAACAGCCUCCCACAGAAAUUACAGAAAUCAAAUCAAGAAAAAAGAUAAUUACACAAUAAUUACACCUUCACUAAGAAAAUAAAUUAUAAAAACGAAGACCGUGAGAAUAAUUACCUUACCUUUGUACGGUGAUUGGCUGCCAAAAAAAAAAAUAAUGUCAUAUACAUUAAGCCUGCCAAUUACUAAAAACAAAACAUUUUGCCAUGAGGAGAAGUAAGAACAUACCGAAACUUGUUUGCAAAUAGAUGAGAAAAACUUAUUCCUGAAACAGAUGGAAAAUUUAUUAGGAAAGAUAAAUCAGCCCACAUGUGUGUAAUCUAUAUACAAAAAACCACUCUCUUCAAUAGCCAAAUCGUUUCACAAAUCCAAAAACACAUAAUUAUAUCUUGAACAAUGCCAAUUAAUGAUUUCCCAUUUACUUAAGCCAACAACAAAGCCAAUGAACUGAUGAAAGAGCAAAACAGAGAAACAAAAAACCUCAAUUAAGUAAUUAAAUGGAGUAUUACUUGAUAGAGCUGGAAAAUUACCCAGUUCCUCAGAGAGAGGAUCAAGAGUGACUGAUGAGAGUGCAGAGAAAAGAAUGAUUGAGAAAUUCAAGUUCUGAGCUCGAAGUUGGGGCUUCCACUUUCCAACUGGGGAAGAAAUAACAGAGAAAACACAGAGAGCCAAUCCACCAAAUAUUAAUCAAAUGGGUUUCUUCUAAUUCAAAAUUUGGACCACCCAAAUUCCAAUGAAGCAAUAACCAUUCAAAAUCCAACAGAUUGAAGCCCUCACAGACUACUAAUUAUCAAUACCCAGCAAUAAAAAAUUUGAAAACAGUAAUAAUGAAGGAAAAAGAAAUUAAAGCUGCAAGCCAUUCUCUAAAUCUCAGGCACCAAUCCAAAUCACCAGUAAUUUGCACAUAAUGAUAAGAAUCUAGCAGUAUUUCCAUUGUUUAAAAACCCAAAUUCAAGAAAUCAUGAAAAAUGGAAACUUUAUUUGGAAAUUGAAGCUUUACCUGCAGAUCAGCAGCAGCAAACGGAAUCCAACGGCAUGUACCUCAAAAGUGAGAGAGAGAGAGUUGAGAGAUGAGUGAGAGAAUCGAUAAACAAAACCCCCCAAAAUCACAAAAGGAAAAUUGAACAGAAAACAAAUUUGCAAAUCCAAAAUCACAAGAACGAAAUUGAAACACCCACACUGAGAAAGCUGCAAUACUCACCAGGAAGCUAGCUUUUCUGGGUAAAAAAAUUGUUCGAAUCGAAUUGAAGAACCGAGGAAAAUUCUACUGGUUCAGUGGUUUUUCCAGCAAGAAAGCACCUUGUUUGUAAUUCGUGAGAGGUUGGACAGCGAGAGAGAAAAACGUAAAGGAAAGGAAAAGCGGAGAAGAAGUCACGAUUAUCGACGCGUGGGUUGCAUUCCACUGUGCCAAGUUCGAAAAUGAACGGGGAAUGGGGAGCUUGGCCGAGGGAGACAGAAUUCGAGAAGCAGCGUUCUGAUUAAUUUUUUUUUUUUUUUUUUUAUGAGAGAGGGAAAGCGGAAUGAAGAGAAUCGAGAAGAGGAUGAACCAUUUCAAUUUUUAAGCGAUGAUCGACGCGUGGGACUUGAGGGCAAAUUUGCCAUUUUGCUGUGAACCCAUGAAGCAUCAGAAUACACAAAAGUCAAGACUUGGCUUGGUUUAUAUAAUUAAUCAAUAAUAUUCCUAACAAGAGCUAGGUCCAUAUAUUAUACGAACAAUACUUAGCUGCUGAAUUCCUACUUUCAACCAAUCAAAUUUUGACACGUGUCCAAAUAAUGAAAUUAUAAAUACAAAUUGAACACGUGUCCAAAUAUGAUUGGGUGAAAAUAGGAAUGGCUGUUGAAUUUUCAGCCGCCAAGUAUUGUUCUUAUACAAGGUUCUAAAUCUAAUAGAUGUUGUGGCUAGACGAGGCUUAUUGACUAGACGGAUUUAAGUAAAUUUAUUCUAUAUUAUAAAUAAAUGUUUUUUUAUACUUAAAAUGACACAUAAUUGUAUUGAGAUAUAUAAAUUGUAAAAUAAAAUAACAUAUAUAUUAUAAAGUAUUGGAACAUGAGAGAAAAGACCUAAAUGUGAAACGACAACUAUAAACAAUUAUUCAAGAUGAACGAUAAAUGAUUCAACCAUUUACAAGAUUCAAAACAUGAGAUCACGAUCUACUGAAUGAUUGCAUUAACUAUUAAGCGGUGCCCUAAUAUAAUACAUCCAAAUGGGGGUGGACCACAUAAUACACCCAAUGGAUCGUUUUUAAGCUACUCCACUGCUAAAACUAUUGCAAAAUGCGUUAGGAUUAUACUUCUAUUAGCUGCGCCUUUCCUUACUAGGCAAAUGGGGGUGGACCACAUAAUAAUGUUAAAACUGCUAUGUCUAUUGGGUUUCUCUGUUUAUUUCAUGUACUAGUUUAUGUUCCUUUUAUUGUAUAAAUAACUUGUACUUGGGAUGUUGCAGAACAAGUUUGAUUUGAAUGAAAUUACUACUAUUGAGUUAGCUGUCAAGCUUCUCUUUAUUCCAAGCUUGCAUUUUGUUCUACCUUUUCCAAUUCUCUACAUCCCUAAGAGGACUGUAUCAGAUGUUAUACACAUUGGAGUUUGAGCAGAAUUCUUUUUGUUAUCUUGUCUCACAUUGCUAGAAUUGAAAAGUUCAUAAUAUAAUAACAUUCGCGUAUGAACUUGAGAAACAACAUACUACUGGUUGGCCUGGAAGGUGCAGUGAAAGAGAGGAAAGGAAGAAAGAAACAAACACGAAAGGACAAGGACUAUCCAAUAGAUUAUAAACAAUGACUUAUUGGGGAUGAUUACGGCUAUUAAAUCAUCAAUAAUGCAUUAUUUUAGUUUGGAAUUUGGAAGCAUUUGAGAAGUAAAAUGACAACAACUACAUAAUAAACAAAGGUGAUUAGAAAAAAGACCCAAAUGUGAAAGAAUAAUUAAAAACAAUUACUCAAGAUUAGUGAUAAAUGAUUCAACCAUUUACAAGAUAUGAACUUAGAACAACAAUCUAUUAGAUUGUUGUAUUAAUGAUUAAGUGAUGCUCUAAGAUAAUAGAUCCAAAUGGGGACGGACCAUAUAAUACACCCAAAUGGAUGCAAUCAUGCCAUAUAUAAACAAUGUUUUGAAAGGACAAGGUAGCUAAAGCUGCCUUUUUAUAUAUGUAAGCAACAACCCUAAAUCUUACUGGAACUAAUUAACUAAUGUAUUUAUUAGACAGUUGGAUUCCUUAGCAAGUGGUUAACUAGUUUUGUUUAGUUUAGUAGUCAGGUCGUAAUUAAUUAGUCAAAUGAAAAUGCAUAUAACACACCCAAAUGGAUGCCAUAUAUGCAUACUAUUUUUGUUUAGUUUAGUAGUCAGGUCGUAAUUAAUUAGUCAAAUGAACCUGCAUAUAACACGCCCAAAUGGAUGCCAUAUAUGCAUAUAUAAACAAUGUUCUCAAAGGAUGAAAUGACUUUCUUGCCGGUAUGGGGGAAGAGGAAAGAAACUAGCACGAAACUGCAGACCCUAUCGAUCCAUUAUAAUAAAUUUCAAUGGUCCAAUUUGUAAGUUAAUUGUGCAACAUAAAAACUUAUUUACAGUUAUCAACUUAACCACGUACCUGUGAAAGACAUUAUCUCAGAAAACUAGGAUUAAGAACCAAAGUUCUCCUGGAACUCUACACAACUUAAGGCUCGCUCAAUGGGGCUUGAGUUUUUUGUAAACUUGCGUAUUUUUGGAAACGCAUCAAAUAGUAGUUAAAACAUCCGGCCGUAAAUAAAGGGUUUGAGAUACCACCAUAGUGAUAUCCCUCAGAUGUGAGUUUCUCACGUAUCAAAUCACUUAUUGUAAGAAUAUUAGUAGUGAAAGUUAAAUACCCGUGUUGGGAAAGGAAGUCGAUGAUGACAAGAGAGAAAUUUGGCUUGAAAAAUGUAUGAUACUUGCAACAUGCGUCACCGGAGUAUCAACUUGAAGCUUUCCAUCUCUCCGUCGUUAAAUGUUUCGUAAGCAGCGUUGUUGAAGUUCUCUAUGUCAAGGGGAAACUGAAGAUGGUUUUAAAUGAAGAAGAAUGGAAAAUAUAAUUUAGAAAAUGAGAAAGAAAAUUAUAAUUGAAACUAAAAAAAUAAGAAAUAAAAAGAGAGAUUUACUAUUUUCUAUGAGGUCUUGGAGUUGGCCGUGACAGUAAGAGAGGAUAAGCGAAUGAAUUGGGCCAAUUACUUGCUCUCUUGGACUUUGGGCUUUUGGAUUGGAUUGGGCCAAUUACUUACUUGGGCCCCAUCCCAACUUAUGACUUUUUGUCGGUCGGUAUUGACUGAGGUGAACGUGCUAAACUAGAAAUUUGAGAUUUUGAAUUAGCAAAUGAAUGUUAAGUAAGAGCGUCAUGAUCAGACUUGUAAGACUGUCUUUGUUGCGUUUUGUCAAAACCGGUCCAUCUAAUUACAAAUUGUAACCAUAUUAGUUGAGUAUAUAUAUGCUACAUCACAUUAGUGAAUAUUCAGUACGGGUGACACAUGGUCAGACUUGUAGGUUGUUCAUUAAGAAGUUACCACGUUCUCAAGAGUGGAGCUAGAGGGGAGCACUUCCCUACCAAAGUGUUUUCCUUCUCCCCUUUACAAGGGAUUUGUGUCACUAUUAGAUAGGAGAUUCGAAUACAAGACCUUGAAUUGAGAGGUCACACUUUUACAAAGCUUCUACGAGCACCUUCUUGUUUACCAAACUCAUUGAGACUAAAGGAGGUCUUAACGCCAUUUUGGCUAAUACUAUUCUAUAUAUUUACGAAUGGUUUUAAGUUUGGGUUUAAUUGGAUAAUCAGAGAGUAGUGCAUCAAACUAUGGAUAUUCAGAAACCGAAAGCAUAAUUCAUAUUCCUCCAACAAGUCCACGCAAAUAACCACAAUCAGAAUGUUAGUUCAUAACUGGCCAUAUAGAACGCAGUACAAAAGCACUAAAAGCGUCCAAGUGAAAGUGCUUUCUCCUCAUGCAGUUUCAUUUAACUUAGUUUCACAUGCCAGUCCGUCACACACUCAACUCCUCAACGUUCGGGUUCAAAGCAUUCUUUAUCCUUUCUGUACGAGAGACAAUAAAUUUAAAGUUCUUGUGAUGAAAUCAUGUAAAACAUUCAGAAAUCUUGAUUUAAUCCUUUCUCAAGAUCAUAGGUUGUGUCAUCUCAACUUAUAUCUUAGGUCUUAUGAGUGCUCGUAAUACACUAAUACGGCACUUGUUUUCUGGCCAGGACAGAAACAAAAUCAUGUAGGAAAUUGUCAUGACAAUAAAGGUCGUACCCAGUGCACAAGGCUCCCGCUUUAAGCAUGACAAUAAAGGAAAUUGUCAUGUAGGAAAUUGUCAUGACAAUGUAAGUGUAAAAUGAGACCGGAAAAACACUAAACAGGAUGACUAUGCUCUCUUAGCGUAAACCUUAACAACAAAGACUAUACCGUAUCUGUCACCAAGGGCGGAGCCACCAUAGGCCUAGGGGGGCGGAUGCCCCCACUGAGAUUUUUCUGAUGCUGGCAUGAUGACCUUCAGAUGCUUGAGAUUCGGCAAUGGUGGAGAGCAGAUCUUUCUAAAUUUCUUUGGAAAGAAGAGAUCCUAAACCAAGCACACAAACAAAAAUUUGAGAACAGCAAAUACAAAAAUUCGACAGUGAUCAAACCCAUCAAGCAUGCAUAUAUAGAUACAUGUUAUAUUUAUAUACCAUAGCAUCAUGAACUUUUAGUGUAAUUUUUCUGAAGCAGUCAAAACUUUCAAGAUAAUCUCGUGCUGCUCAAAUUGAUAUGGUUCUACAGCAGCAAAGCCCACACUGCGAUUUUUCUGGUUCUACUCUCCGAUCUGGUUCUGUAGAAGCAGAGCUGGGUCUUAUUUUAUUUUUUUUCAAAACCAAGCCAAAACGACAUCGUUUUGGUCCUGGUAAAAAAAAAUUUAAAAAAUGUAAACGAAACGGUGUCGUUUCGUAUAUGUUUGAAAAAAUAUGUUCGAGGAUGCCCCCAUUCACCCAAAUGUCUGGCUUCGUCCCUGUCUGUCACAGUGAUAUGCGACCAUAAGCCCAACUCCAAGGAUCAGCUUUCCAAGAACUUUGAAGGCUACAAAUCAAAAGUUACAUGCAGUGAUGACAUAAUCAUGAAAAAAUACAAUCAUAAAUUAAAGGAAAACAUACCGACUUCUAGUUCUGGCAAUUCACUAUUGGCCCAUAUAUUUGAACCACAAUAUGAUGGAUACCCAAUACAGAUCACAAAUAAAAUCUGAGCAGACACAAAGUAUUAUGUUUUGUUUACGCAAAAUCUGUAAGUUCUCAAGUAGGAUAAAUAAAGAUAAACAUAUCCCAGCAUAAAGACGACUUGUCCUGGCUAAUUCUAAGAAAGCUUGUAUCAAAUGUAUGAUAGUUAUUCAUAACUAACACAAACAACAGUUUGGCCAAACAUUACUGGUCUGAGCCAUAUACUGUGUGACCUCAGACAAAACAGAUCCCACAUGUACUCAGAUUAUGAUUGAUGUCCCAAUAGACUUUUAGGCGGUGCUCUGAUAUAAUACAUCCAAAUUGGGGUGGACCAUAUAAUACACCCCAAUGGAUCGUUUUAAGCUCCUACACUGCUAAAGCUAUUGCAAAAUGCGCAUUAGGAUUAUAUUUCUAUUAGAAGCGCCUUUCCUUACUAGGCAAAUGAACCAUAUAAUACACCAAGAUGGAUGUUAUACACGUUAGCGUUUGGGCAGAAUUUUUUUGGUUAUCUCAUUGUCUCACAUUACUAGAAUUGAAAAGUUUAUAAUAUAAUAACGUUCGAAUAUGAACUUGAGAAACGACAUACUGCCGGUUGGCCGUAAAGGUGCAGUGAAAGAGCGAAAAGGAAGAAAGAAACAAACAUGCAUGAAAGGACAAAGACUAUCCAAUAGAUUAUAAACAAUGACUUCUUGGGAUGAUUACAGCUAUUCAACCAUCAAUAAUGCACUAUUUUAGUUUGGAAUUUGGAAGCAUUUGAGAAGUAACAUGACAUCAAUCACAUAAUAAACAAAAGUGAUUACAAAAAAACCCAAAUGUGAAGGAAUAAUUAAAAAAAAUUAUUCAAGAUAAGCGAUAAAUGAUUCAACUAUUUAUAAGAUAUGAACUUAGAACAACAAUCUAUUGGAUCGUUGUAUUAACUAUUAAGUGGUGCUCUAAUAUAAUAUAUCCAAAUGGAGACGAACCAUAUAAUACACCCAAAUGGACCAUUUUUAGGCUCCACUGCUAAAAACUAAUGCAAAACGGGCAUUAGGAUUAAACUAUAAGAACUAGGAUUGCAGGGAAGACAAAACACGCAGGAAAGCUAUAAGACUACACAAGGUUUUCACUGUGAUUGCAUACCCUCAACGUUGUAGGGAGCAACCUUUUUAUAAUCACUUUUCAGAUUACAUCAGGGUUUCAAAAACCCUAUUAACAAGCUUACAUUUUGAAAUUCAAAUACUAUAACUAAUUCUGACAAAACAAAUAUUUAAAAAUUCAAAUGAUUUUAACAGAAGCUCUACUUGAUAAGUGUUGUUGACUGAGUAAACCAACUGAAGAGUUUCUGUUUGAACAGGAAACUUGACUCCGUCUAACAUAAACUUGUAUUAGCUAGCUUUCCUAGUCAAAUGAACCAUAUGAUACACCCAAAUGGAUGCCAUCAUGCCAUAUAUAACCAAUGUUUUGAAAGGACAAGGUACCUUAACACUGUCUUUUUAUAUAAUGUAAGCAACAACCAUAAAUCUUACACAAAUCCUGGUAAGUCUACCACAAGUGUCAAUCCUUAUCUCCUUAUCAUUCCACAUCACCAAGUGUUUGCUCUCGUAUAGAACUUACAAAAAUCUCAUUUAGUUUCAUCUAACUUAUUUUUCACAACGGUGAAUAUAUUUCAAUGGCUUGGUUUUCACAUGCCAGUCAGUCACAUGCUCAACUCCUCAAAGUUCGGGCUCAAUGGCUCGAAGAGAGCUUCCACUUCACUCUGAUUCACCUCCCUCUUACUUUGACGGGUUCCACUUCGGAUUCUGCAUUGACAAAAAACAGAAGCAAAAGAUUGUUGAGAGUUGUCCCACGUUGGUGAGGGACAAGGCUUGCUAUGUACUUAUAUGAAUUUGGGCUACUUUCAAUAUUGUCAAUUGGUUUUAUGGUGGAACCUCAAUUUCAUCAUGGUAUCAGAGCCAAGUUGUUGACGUGUGAAGCCCAAUGGCCACACGCACUUCACGUCACCUAGCUGUUGUCCACGUGUAGGCUUGAAAAUCCGUCACACGUGCGGGGACGUGUUGAGAGUUAUCCUACAUUGGUGAGGGACAAAGUUUAGCUAUGUGCUUAUAUGAUAUUGGGCAACUUCCCAUAUUACCAAUUGAUUUUAUGAUGAACCUCAAUUUCAUCAAAGAUAACGACCUGUUCUCAUACAAGGAAAGUAAGAUGAUUAUAUAACUGUAGGUCUAGUACAGGCUGUAAUGGUUUAUGUUGCAGCAACUCCGUCAGCAAGUGAUUUUCAAGUAAGGAAUCUUGAGCAUAAUUAACGAACCUGAUCCUUGUCCACCAAAACUGCCCGCACACCUUCAGCAAAAUCAUUCCGCAAAGACGAUCUUCUAGCAACGCGAUAUUCAGUUUUCAUCACACCAGUUAGCUGGUAUGGAUCAAGUAAAGCACAUGUUACUCACUCAGAAAAUGUGAAAUACUACAACACAAAAUCUAUCAAAAGGAUGCAACCUUGAAGAGCUUCAUUUGCCCACUCCACCACUACAACAGAAACAAUUUGAUAGAAAAUACUUGACAGCCACGUACAAGCCUCUCAAUAGAAGAGUAAGACAGAUUUCAUUUCAUCAUCGAUAAACAAAUGGCAUUGACAAACUUACCAGUAGCAUCUGAACUCUGCUGCUGCUUUUUAAGUUCAUCAAUUGUCACAAGAACCGACUUAUUUGCACCAAAUGCUGAAGUUAUUUGAGGUAAAAGACUCCUGAGCUGCGCUUCGAAUCUGGGUUGCUGCUGAAUUUUGCCACAGUUGUAAUUGACAACAUUGACAAUUGUCUCUCUCGCAAUAGUACCUUCGUAAUGAUCCGCUACUGACCUUGGCCCGAUAGGCCAAUACCAAAGGCCAUUGUUAUGGCCACGAAGCUUAUACGUGGCUGUCAAGCCCGACACGUGAAUAGCAUACUCUACUACUGUGUUACAUUGUGAGAAUUUUAUCCAAAAUUAAUUGACAAUAAGUGAAUAAGUUGAAAGAUUAUGUAUGACUUUAAUUAUGCAAAGAGUGAAGAGGCAAUUUUCACCAAACCCCAGUAAAAAAUUUGGGCCUCACAAAUCACUAAACCCAAUAUGCUUUUCUCUUAUGCCUUUCGUUCAUGGUUUGAUAUUCUGGCGUCCGAGGACCCUGACAUGACAAGUUCCAACCUUUUUGUUCAAUUUCUUGACGAAACAAUCACAUUUACCCUUACGGCACGGCACGGUUCCGGGCAUAGAAUAUGGGUUGGGUUCCGCCACAGAUCCAACACUAAUUAGCACUGUAGAGAAGGAAGUAAAGACAACUAUUGAUUUCUUACAACGUAGCGAGUCUCUUGACAUGACUCCUGCUGUUUUGUUCUUAUUUCACGUCCUGUUUCUCGAGCUUGGUGUUUCCGGCAGGGCCGGUCUAAAGAUUUUUGAGGCCCGGAGCGACGUAAAAAAAUAUGCCCUCACUUAUAUAAGAAAAUUAUUUGUUUUCACAUGUAAGACAUCGAUAAAAUUAUACUUACAAAAACACUUAAAACUUAAUAAUUUAGAAACAAGGAAAAACUAAUUUAUUUUGUAUCGUGAGAAUGAUCCAAAAAAACUCUGGGUUUACAAGUAGAUAGAUAUGGGUUUACAAGUUGCGGAUUGCUUUGCUAACUAUGAUGUUGAUCUGGCUGGGGUUCAUUGGUGAGAUUCUUGAUUUCCUUGUGCUACUUUGACAUAUCACCAUAAGUUGUCUUUUUUGCCUUGUUAUAGUUUCGUGUGGGGUUUUUUUUCUUCUUCUAAUGCUGAUUGGGUUCUUUUCUUCCAACUCCUGCCCACUCAUUAUUGUCUGAACCACACCUAGUAUUACCCUCAUAUCCACUAAAACUUCAAGCUUUACCAAUUUGUCACAAGCGAAGAUGGUAGCUCCCAACACCAAUGAGGUUCCAAACAAUUACGAUCGAAAACGCGAAGUGAAAGCUUUUGAUGAGACAAGGGAAGGCGUUAAGGGUCUUGUUGAUGCCGGGGUAGCCGAGGUUCCUAGAAUUUUUCAUCAACCACCACAAUUGGACGAUCAGUACUCCAUCAACAAUACAAGCACUGACUCAGAAGCCACCCAGUUUAGCAUUCCGCUAAUAGACCUUGAAGACCAUGGUAAUCCAACUAAGCGCAAUGAGAUUGUUGCAAAGUUGGAGAGGCAUCAGAGACUUGGGGCUUCUUUCAAAUAGUGAAUCAUGGGAUACCUGUAGGUGUUCUGGAGGCGAUAAAGGAUGGGGUACGUGGGUUUUAUGAGCAGGACACUCGAGUCAAGAAAGAGUUUUUACACUCGUGAUCACUCUAAACCUUUGUUUUACAAUAGCAACUUUGAUCUUUAUAGUUCACUGGCAACGAAUUGGAGGGAUACUUUUAAGUGUUACAUGGCUCCAUAUCCUCCUAAGCCAGAAGACUUGCCAGAAGUAUGCAGGUAUUUGACAACCCAAUUCUCUGGUUUAAUUGGUGACAGUAACCUGGUGCAGAUUCCUUCCUUGAUGGAUUAGAUCAUUAAACUCCAUACUUUUGACAAGUUUAAUGUGCUUUCCUGGUUUUCAACUUGCAGAGACGUACUGAUCGAGUAUUCAAAGCGAGUAAUGGAGUUGGGGAAAUUGUUGUUUGAGUUGUUGUCGGAGGCCCUUGGGCUAAAGCCAAGCCACUUGAAUAGCAUAGAUUGUAGUAAGGGGCUACAGGUUUUAGGCCAUUACUAUCCUGCUUGUCCACAGCCAGAGUUAACUUUGGGCACAAGCAAGCACGCUGAUGAUUCCUUCCUUACGGUCCUUUCUGCAAGAUCAUAUUGGUGGUCUGCAAGUUGUUGAUCGUCAAAAUAAGUGGAUUGAUGUACCCCCUGUGCCUGGGGCUUUAGUGGUGAACAUUGGAGAUCUUUUACAAGUAAGCACACGUAUACAAUUGCCCUUUUUUUUUCUCCCUAAAAACUACUAUUAAAUUAAGAGAAUAGUAUCGUAAACUAAGCUAGUUUGUUAAUGACUAAUACUCGAGACAAGCUUUGGUCGCAUGUUAGCGUUCUCUUAGAAUAUGUCUUAGAAUUCUUCGAUUAUCAUAAUUAGGUCUUUUAUGUUCAAUUCUUUUUGGGAUUUUCAGCUCAUAUCAAAUGAUAGAUUCAAAAGCGUAGAACACAGGGUAUUGGCGAACCGUGAAGGUCCAAGGAUAUCCAUUGCCAGCUUCUUAGCACAGGUUUGCUACCAUUUACAAAUCUCUAUGGACCUAUUAAGGAGUUGGUAUCAGAAGACAACCCUCCAAAGUACAGGGAGACUACUGUGAGGGACUACGACACCCAUUUCUAUGACAAAGGCCUAGAUGGAACCUCUGCCUUAUCUCAUUUUAAGAUCCCAACUUAGACAUGGAGGAGCACAGAAGCAGAGACCGCAACGAACAAAUCCUGUCUACUAAAUAAUUUGGCAUGAAAAUAUAUAUUGGUUUGUUUAAUCUGAAAGCACUUUCGCACCACAAAAUUCUGGAUAUGCAUAUUAUUUUGUUUUCUGUUUGCAUAUGGUCUAAUAUACUUGUAGAAAGGGUUGGGUUUCUACCCUUGCGUCUCAGGUACGAAACUUCCCCUCCUAUAAAUUAUUGUAAUAGCUUCGAACUCUCUAUCUUCCGCAAAAAAAAAAAAAAAAAAGGGGGGUUUUCUAACACUUCUAUUCAUCAUGUUUACAGUUUUUGUGGCAUGCGCUUAACGAAUUCAACUGUGGUUGUGGUUGCGGUUGCGGUUGCAUAUCAAUACUAUUAUACCAUAAGUGUGGGCUUGUUUGAGAAUGUUUUUGUUUGUAAGAAGCGGUUUUACACAGUAGUUAAAAUAUAUAUAUGUAGAAAGAAAACAUACAAGUUGGUUGACAAAAGGGGAAGAAAAAUUGAGAGAUACAGAGAAUAAGAAAAGAAGAAAAUCGAUGCAAAUUUUAAUAUAUAUGUAGUAGAUCCAGGUAUCCAAAGGAUUCGGGGCUAAUGUACCUGCAUUGAUGAAAAAACAAAGAUGAGAUUUUUUGAAACGCAUCACAUAGUAGUUAAAAUACCUGGCGGUAAAUGAACGGUUUGAGAUAACGCCAUAGUGGCAUCCCUCAGGUGUGAGUUUCUCUCGUAUCGGAUCACUUAUUGUAAGAAUAUCAAUAGUGAAAGUUAAAUACCCGUGUCGGGAAAGGAAGUCGAUGAUGACAACUGACAAGAGAGAAAUUUGGCUUGAAAAAUGUAUGAUGUUUGCAACAUGCGUCAUGAAAACUUAAGUGUCAUGAAAACUUAAGUGUAAAAUGCGACCGGAAAAACACUAAACAGGAUAGCUAUGCUCUCUUAGUGUAAACCUUAACAACAAAGACCAUACCGUAUCUGUCACAGUGAUAUGCGACCAUAAGCCCAACUCCAAGGAACACCUUUCCAAGAGCUUUGAAGGCUACAGAUCAAAAGUUACAUGCAGUGAUGACAUAAUCAUGAAAAAAUACAAUCAUAAAUUAAAGGAAAACAUACUGACUUCUAGUUCUGGCAAUUCACUAUCGGGCCAUAUAUUUGAACCACAGUAUGAUGGAUACCUACAAUACAUAUCAUAUCACAAAUAAAAUCUGAGCAGACACAAAGUAUUAUGUUCUGUUUACGCAAAAUCUGUAAGUUCUCAAAUAGGAUAAAUAAAGAUAAACAUAUCCCAGCAUAAAGACGAUUUGUCCUGGUUAAUUCUAGGAAACCUUUAUCAAAUGUAUGAUAGUUAUUCAUAACUAACACAAACAACUGUUUGGCCAGACAUUACUGGUAUGAGCCAUAUACUGUGUGACCUCAGACAAAAUAGAUCCCACAUGUACUCAGAUUAUGAUUGAUGUCCCUAUUGACUUUUACCUUUGAAUUAGAGAUUCAUCUGUUGUAGGGCUAUCCAAUAUUGGAUUUGCAUAAAACGAGCCUUUUAACGUAUCUGCAAAACCAGAACACAAACGGAAAAUGAAUGAUCCUAAGUUCUUAGAGUUUCCAAAGAAACAAAAUUUAAAACAAAGAACAUAAAGUGAUACCAGGCUUUCCAGAUUCCAGCUUCUCUUUUUCCAUGACUCCAUCCAAAAUUGUACCUAAACAUGGAUGGCAGGUAAAAAGAAGAUAAGCAAUAAAACUUUGUAAAGAUUCCCAAGAAAAGCAAUAAAACUACGUAAAUUAUUAGUUAAUAAUGUCAAGACCAUAGUCUCUGAAAAUCCAAGAGUUGAGAUGCGGCAGGGAUUUUUGGAAUUUUUCUCUAUUGUAAGUAAAACAUAGAUUGAUGUUUGUGUUUACACGAAAAUUAUGCCAACGGCUUAAGAGAAAUCAAAGUAUAACAAUGGGACUAAAAUGACUUACCUACUAUGAGGAUCUUCAAGUUCCUUCUUCACCUCUUCGGGCAGAUUGGCUAAUCUAAUAAACAAAAAGAAAACUCCCAUGAGCAGUGCUAUAACAAACUAUCUUCCUAAAUUCAUUAUGAAUUGCAGUUAAAACUUAAAAUGAACAUGAAAAUCCUACGUAGAAGGGAUAUACCUAGGUGACAAGCCUAGAAGAUUCCCGCGCAAGGAAGAAUAUCCCGGAACCUGCAAUUGAAAACUCAAAGAAACAAUUACAAAGAUGCUAGAAAGAAAAUACGUAUCAGUUUACAACAAAACGCUAGCUCUCACAAGAAUCGAUUAGGUAUGAAGCAUCAAAACAACAGCAUGAGACAUCAUAAUUUAUGAGCUAUGAAUGGAAUAAUGGAGCAAAAUAUCGUUGCCCAAACAGCACAAUCUACAAUCUACAUGACGGAGAAAGUACCCCGACAUUACAUAUGCAAGUUCAUGUGGUUUAUGUGGUUUAUCUUUUUAACCGAUUCGUUAACAAAUUCUUUCUGCACAUAUAGUUUUAACUUACCAAAACUGGUAAUGGAAGAGAUAAUCAGUAAUUAACAACGGUAAUCGCAUAACGAAAUCAUACUUGAGUGAUUGAUAGGAUUCCCAACCCAUUUGGUCCAAAUCCUUCUUCAAUCUUCACUGACAAAUCUUUGUCCCUGUCCUGUAUCAAUCCAAAAUCAAAAAACGAUAAUUAGAAAAAUCGAAUUCUCGACAUGAUCGACGAGUUAAAACAUAGCAAUUAAACAAAACUAUGAAUAAAACAAUUAGAUUCUGUUUGGUUGCUGAGAAUGAAGAGAAUAACAACCACAAAGUCAACUGAAAUAAAAUUUUGCUCUAACUUCAACGAAUUCUCUUGAGUUUCUGAGCACCCAAACAGAAAAAAAAAAAUUAUAGGCAAUCAAACCAAACUCUCAUGCUCAAUUUUCUCGGCAACCACAAAAAGAACUUAGAGGAGGGGGAGAGAGAGAGUUACUUGGAGCUCGGAGUAGGAUAUGGUGACUGGUGUGACGGUGGGGACGACGGGGUCGGAGGACGGAGGCAUAGUUCGACAAUAAAUUUGGCGGGAAAGACGGCGGUUGGAGUGUGACGAUGGGGAAGAAUCCGUGGGAACGAAGAGGAAUUUUGGUGCGGAAGGAGGGUCUUUAUAUCGGAGGGAGGGAGGGAGGGAGAGAGGUUGAGAGCGAAAGGCGUGAUUGUCAAUUUCAAAUUUUUUUUUUUUAGGAAUAAAGAAAGAAAGAGAGGUUGAGUAUCAAUUCCCUUUCCCUCCAAACCAAAGAAUACAUUCACGAUCAUGAUGUGUGUGGCAAAAAUUAAAGGUGGAGACAAAUAAAUUAAAGAGAAUUUUCACGAAAAGUUCAUGGUACGAUUUAUUUUAAUGAAAAAUUAUAUUUUUAUACUAAAAAGUCAAUUUUGAUACUAUUUACUUUACAUUUUAUUUUUGUCAUUAUCGUUAAAACUAAAAACAAUUGAAGCAUUUUUUUACUAUUUUUCCUUAUAUUAAAUAGGUAUAAGUAUUAGUUAAAUUUAAAAUUAAUUGUGUACUAUUAAAAAUUUGUUUGAAAAUGUUUUUAAAAUGACUGAAAGCAUUUUUGAUUAAAAUGUUUUUUAAAUCAAUCCUUAGUAAAACCAAGUGGAUUCUAAAAAGUCAUUUGGAUUACUUUCUACAAAAACCACAUAUCUUGAGCACUUGAAGCACUUUUGGAAUCCAAAAUUAAUUUAACAAAGGUGUGUCUAGUCUUUUUAAUUUUUGAACAAACAAUAUUAUUUAUUUUAAGGGAGGAGAUGAGCUUAACCUCACAAUGGACUAUCAUAUUAAUAAUGUUGUUCAAAUCCACCUUUAUCCAAAAUCAAAUCUAAAACAUCUUACUCACAACUGAAGAGGAAUACCUUUACAUCGUAAUACUAAGCGACAUGUUUUUUUAUUUUUAAGAGACGUGUUUAUUCAUUUUUAAAAGACUUAAAAACCAGCACUAAUUUGUAUUAAAUUCUAAAACCUUUGAAUUGGGAUGUAAUAUGCAUUGGGUCUUUAAUAAUAUUUAAGUUGUUUUCGGCAAAAAAUAAGGGAUUCAAUUGGGAAAAAUAACAAAAUAUGAAAUAAGGAUAUUCUAAUUAAGGUUUUUAUUAAUUAUUUAAGGCGGAUGGUUCAUGUGAAGAUUAUGAAACGCUUUAAUUCUCUAAUGUGCGAUUCCAUUUCGAUCCAAAGUUAAACAGUGACAAAUACAAUUAAGGUUGUUAAUUUUUUUUGGUAAAAACAAUUAAGGUUGUUAUUAAUAUCAAUUCAUGUAUAUUUCCGCAUGUGCCACAUUAUUAAGUUAGGCAGUGAAAAAUAUAUAUCGGAUGUUAUGAGAACAUGUGUGGCUGUCAAGCCCUACACGUGAAUAACAUGCUCUCUACUGCUUUAUUACACCGUGAAGAUUUUAUCCAAAAUUAAUUGACGAUGAGCGAAUAAACUGAAAGAUUAUGCGCAACUUUGAUUAUGCAACGAGUGAAGAGGCAAUUUACACCAACCUCCAGUCAAGAAUUUGGGCUCACAAUCACUAGCCAAUAUGCUUUUUUCUCACAUUUACCCUGACACGGCAAGUUCAUAGUUCAAUAUUCUGGUUCUGGUGUCCUAUGACCCUGACACGGCAAGUUCCACUUUUUGUUCAUUUUCUUGACGAAACCAUCACAUUUACCCUUACGGCACGGCACGGUUCCGGGCAUGGAGUAUGGAUUGGGUUCCGUUGCAGUCCCGACACUACAUAGCACUGUAGAGAAGGAAAUACAAAGACAACUUUGGAUUUCUUACAACGUAUUGAGUCUCUCGUCAUGGCUCUUGCUGUGUUGUUCUUAUUUCACGUCCUGUUUCUCGAGUUUGGUGUUUCCGGUUGCAAAUUUUGGUUCGGCAGUGUAGUGCUCAGGAGAGGGGACUGUCUCACGUUGUUCCAAGCAGACAGAGGCGGUUGACAACGAUUGCGACAAUGUGUUUUUCUACUGGGAGAACAUACAGCAGUCAACAGUUAUCUUUUCACAACCGUCUUCAGUAUUUGGAGGCACCUCAAGAAAUUAUCAAGGACAAACGAAUGUAGAAAAGAAGAAAUAUCAAAGUUAGUUGACAAAAGGGGACGAAAAAUUGUGAGAUACAGAUAAGAAGAUAAGACGAUACUCGAUGCAAAUUUUAACGAGCGAUACAGAGAAGAAACAGCUGCAUUUGGAGACAGCUGCUUUAGUUGCCUUGUUUGUAACAUUAGCUUUCUGCAAUUCCGGGGAAGAAACAGGAGUAAAAAAAACAGAGUCAGGCAGUACCAAAAAAGAAAAAUAUACAAUUAGGAACAAUCGUCACUUCUCAAACUUUGUAGUAGAUCCAGGUUUCCGAAGGACUCGGGGCUAAUGUACCUGCAUUAACAAGAAACAAAGAUCAGAUUUGUGGAAGGGAGUCGCAUAGUAGUUAAAAUACUUGGCCGUGCAUGAAUGGUUUGAGAUACCAUCAUAGAGGCAUCCUCCAGGUGUGAGUUUCUCUCGUAUCUGAUCACUUAUUGUAAGAAUAUCAGUAGUGAAAGUGAAAUACCCGUGUCGGGAAAGGAAGUCAAUGAUGACAAAAGAGCAAUUUGGUUUGAAAUAUUGUGUCCUCGGUAUGAUGCUUGCAACAUGCAUCACCGAAUCCACUUGAAGCUCUCCACCUCUCCAUCUGUUAAAUGUUUCAUAAGCAGCAUUGUUAAAGUUCUCUUUAUUUGGGGGGAUAUUGCAGAUGGUUUUGAAUGAAGAAAGGCAAAAAUUCAUGCUGAAGGCAUAGUUUACAACUAGUAUUUGUAAAAGCUAAGCUCUAAAGUGAGCCUUGAUUCUUUGGCACAAAUAGCUAAAGUUUUGAGAUGGGACAAAAUGGGUCCACAUACAGCGCAUCCGAUGGUGUUGAAAUCCUUUUCCCAGUAAGUCAAAGAUAAGCACCAAGAAAGACAUGACAGUGUUAAACUUAAAACAAAUACAGAACUAAGAAUUGAUGCAUGAAUCAAACAGAGAAAUGGUACAGGCCAUUCUCUUUAUAUUCUUAUAAUCUAAACAUUUCUCCUUAUCAACACUGGAAAAACAGCUUGCUUCAGUCAUAGGAAAUAAAUUGCGCCUAGAGUAUAGAAAAGACAUACCUACAGAUCCUCCUCCUGGACUCUUUGCCGCUAUACGUGAAAACCCAACAUCUGGGAACAACCAAAUUACAUUCUCUGGCAUGGCAAGAACAGUCCUCUGAAAUGUAUCCAUACAAAGUUAAGACACAAAAAACUCAAAAAGGCAAUGUAAUUCACAACAUUGACAAUCUCUGUCUGACAAGGCAAUAAUACCUCUGUAAUGAUCCGGUAGCGACCGUGACCUGAUAGGCCAACACCAAAGCCCAUUGUUAUGCCAUCCAUGAAGAUAGGGCUUCUUGUACUCAGAGAUUUUGCAUAUUAGAGAAUACUCAGCAGUGAAUACCUGAAAAACAUGCAGCACAAGUAUCAUACCGGUAGCCUCUCAAUCUUAAGAAAUGGUAGCUUAGAAAAGAUAUGAAUCCUAUCCAACCACUACAAAUCAUAUUACCCAAGUUCAAGCAAAAUCACGACUAAACAAAUGAUCAGAUGUUGUAGGUUGCCCGAGAAUGUCAAACAUGAAAUUACAAGAAAAAAAACAAUCGUAUGUAUUGAACAUUAAUAAAUACUUGCUGAAAGCACAAUCUUAGCUGCCAUUUAUGACAUUUAUACGAGAUUGAAUAGCCAAAGCAAUUAAAGAAGUAGCAGAACUCAUAUAAGUGAUUUUCACUUUGAACUUUUAGGCUUAUCAGCAAAUACAUCAUUACGAUUCUAACGCAUGAAUUUUGUUAAAAGGGGCUUGCUUGCUUGUAUUAAGGCUUAAUCAUCAAUGAUUUUGCAAGGGUCAAUCGUCUUGAUAGUUGUAAUCUAUGCACUAUGAAAAUUACCAAAAUUACAUCUUAUAUGGUAGAGAAGGAAGUCAUCUUAUAUUAUCUGGAUUUUAGAAAACGGUGUAAGGUUAUAAGUCUGUUAUUCUAUAUAGUUUAAAGGACACAAUUAGACAACAAUCAUAUUUGGUGGUUGGUUUUUGGCCGUGAUCUGCUUCACAUCACCGCCCGCAGGUAAUCUAAAUCUGGGUUAUUACUUAUCAAUGAAUCAAAGUGCCAACUUAUCGGACACCAUCUAUCUCUAUAUGGCAAAAAAAAUAACACAAAAAGGAACAAUGAAGUGAAACAAUAAACAACAUGACAUGAAACAGCACGAACAUCAAAGACCAACAAUCUAUCACAUAAGCACCUAAACAAGAAACAACUUUAGUUCAAAGCAAAGCGUAAUGUAGAAACCUUCGGCACAAGAGGCGUGUUUUUGUCCUUUUGAAUUUCGGCAACAACAACUUUAAUAUCCUUACCUGCACUUACCAUGAUUGCUCACUCUCAAAACCUUACCUAAGAGACCCCAAAACCAAAAUAACUGCCAAAAGAGCUGAACAUACAUAUCUAGAAAAAACUUAUUCAACUACAUGCUAAAAUGGAAGUGUAAAAUUGCCAGGAAAGAUAAGAAACUAUUCAAAUACGAGUUCUGGGCGUUACCGCCACAAAAGGCACGAGCCGAGCGGCUAUCAACAAGAACACACUUCACAUUUGGGUGAGAUUCCCAUUCAUCCAGAUAGCUCUUGUAUUUCACAUCCAAAUCUGCAUUUUCCAACAAUUCCCACUUAAACAGAAACACAAAAUUCUUCCAAAAAAAGCUAACUUCUUCGAAAUUUGAAUCCAACGUUUCGUCUUAUAACAAAUGCAAUAACAUAGAUUUGUAAUCAAUACGAUGCCAUAAAGUUCAAGCUCAAAAAUUCAAAUCAUCUCCAAAUCAAAUGCAAUUACAGAUAUAUACAUAUAUACAUAUACGUUUGUGUGUUUAUCUACAUACCUAGGUUUAUGGCGUUGAGAGCUCGGGGGGUGACCGAGGGUGAUGACGGCGACGCCAAAGGUGCGGAGAAGGCGAGGGGAUUUGGAGGGUUUUGUAAAGAGGGGAUUUGCUCAGAAUUUGGGUCGCUCGUCCCUCUUAUGGGAGUGACUCAAAAAUCGAAAAAGUUGAAAUUUAUUGAUUGUGAUCUGACUCAAACAUGUGAUGAUGACGAUGCAUCACCACCUUGGUUGUGCCUCUGGAUCAAAAACCUACCAUCACCAUCAAAAUCGUGCACAUUUUCCUUCAUAGGCUUGUCCCAUACUAGAUUAACCCCUGUUCCCUUAAUUGUCACAUUAUCAGAUGUACUGUUUCAAAAGUUAUAUCAACUUUAUCCCCGCUUUGCAAAUUGAGCUUAUCGUUCGAUAUUUGUCCCUGCCAAAGAAAACAUUUUCCAGAUACAUUGUGCAUUUUUAUAACCCAAUCUUCCUUGCCUAUGCAGGUCUGCAACUCAGUACGCUUGGUAUUAUUUAUAUCAAUACUGGCACGAGGAUGACCAUCUUUGCAUGUGAAAUAAGGUUUGCUAUGAAUUGAAUAUUUAGGAAUAAAGCAGUAAAAGCACAACAGAGUCAACCCUUCCAAAUUACGACCAUCACUCGGGAGAAUAUCAAAACUGACUUUAUUACCAUCGUUGACAAACUCGAACCAAUCAGGAACAUAAUUCCCUUUGAAAAAAAUGCCACCAUAUCCGCAAGAAGUCCAUCCCUAUAUAUACAGUGCGAGUGUCAUAUAUAUAUAUACACACACAAACACAAUGUACAUGUGUGUGUGUGCAUGUGCGCAAUAGGAAGACAAUUAAAGAGAGAGAUACCUUUAGGACUUUCCUCAUAAAAUCAGCGGUGAGUUCGGCGCAAUCCGUCAUAUCAAUCCAUGUCAUGGAGUUUAAUGACUUAUCCAAGUCUGGAAUCUCAGUGAGUGCGCGUGAAUCACGUACAUUCAGUUCCCUCAUAUUGGACAUUUUCGAAAAAAUUGGGCAUUGUUAACAAACGAUGGCAACAAGACGCAUACAGAAAUUUCAAAUUUGUGUUGGUAAACCAUAGAUUGUAUGAAGGUUAAGGCAGUAAUCUAACCGCAAACUUUCAAGCUUUGAAAGAUCACUGAGGCUGGGUAGGGUAUGAAAAUCAUUAGAUGAGAGAUCUAAAUCUUGUAAAGAAAUUAGACUCCCAAAACCCUUUGAUAAUGGAUCAUCGCUUAACCUCUGGAAUAAGAGAUCUAAAUUUCUUAAAGAGUCAAAGCCCUGUAACAAAUCGCGAAUUUGCAAUGCAAAUUUGGCUCUUCUGGAAGGAAGACCCCCAAUUAGAGAUAAAUGAGUGAGAUUCUUCAAUCUUACUGUGGAACGCGGUACUUGUAUUAUGGCUGUCUCAGAUGCUUUAAGUACUCUCAAUGAUAUUAUAUUCCCUAAAUCCUCGGACAGUUCACUGAAUUGCCCACAAAAAUCAAGAACAAGAGUCUGAACGGAUUUGGACCUGUAGAAAUCCCCAGGAAGAGAAAUAAGAUUCUUGCAGCCUGUGAGGUUCACCAAAGAAAGUUUUUUAAGAUGACCAAUGGAGGGGUGAAUCUCGGACAAACUCUCACACCAUUCCAAUAUCAACUCUUCAAGACUUGGGAGAUUUGAUAAGUCUGGUGAUUUUUUUAAGUCAAGGCAAACACUGAGAUUAAGGAUUUUCAAGUUUUCAAGCAACUGUUGCACAAAAUCCAAGAAAAAUUAAAAUUAAUAUCCAAAAGGAAUAUCUCAUAAAAUAAAUAAAUAAAUAUAGAGAGAAGGAAAUAUAAAAACAAAUAGAAACAUAACAUCAUCAUGUGUAAUCGAUAGUACCUUGGAGCCCUCCCAAACUUGUACCAGUCUGCUGUGCGUUAUCUCUAAAAUAACUAGUGCUCUUGGUUGAUCAAAGAAGUCAUCUGGUAUGGACUUUAAAGGGCAUCCUUCCCAACACAACCAUAUUAACUCUUUGGGGAGAUGUUUGUAUUCUCCAUUGAGCUGCACGUUCUUGAGCAUGAGCAGUCUCAGUUUCUUCAUAUUAGCAAAUGCUUCUGUACUGAUACAACUAGACUUUAAAGGGAAUUCUCCAUGGAGCUGCACUUUAAUGCGCUGGAACAGUAUCAGUUGCCACGUAUCGGCAAAUGCUUCUGUACUGAUACUUGGAGACAGAAGAUCAGGGAAACCUACAACAAGUCCUUCAACUUCUUUGGUUCCCUGUUAACAACACAUUAUACUGGGUAAGAAAAGGAUUAUGUGCAUCUAUUUUACGUGAUUUUGCUAAUUGAGCUUCUUAAUGCAAAUACAUAUAUUUACACAUGAAUGUUUUUAAUGUAUAAUAGGCAUACGUGGGUUACAUAUAUGUUUUUCUUGUACGAUGCAUUAAUACAAUUUUUUUUUGGGAAUCUACUUACAGAUUUAUUUGUUAGUACAUCAUAGACAUCUCCAGGGAUCCACAACCUGCUCCAUUCUCCAGGGGGACGACGGGAAUUUCCAGAUAUGAUUACUUUGGCCAUUUCUCGAAGCAAAUCAUGCAUAUUCAACUUGUUGUCUUCAACAGUUAUAAGGCAUCGUUCACGGAGAUCACAAAUUCCUGCUGUUGCAUAAAAUUUACACCCAUCUAAUAUUUUUGCGACAUGGUCCUUAUCCCAUCCAAUAAAGAAACAAGAUAUGUCAAGGAAUAUAUCCUUCUGUGUAGGAUCUAGCCUUUCAAAGCUUACUCUUAGCGCUUUCAUUAUUCCCUCAUCAGGAAUUUUUUUCAAUUUCUCCAACUGACUUUUCCACUCUGUUGGGGUUCUUUCAAUCAUAGAAGAACCUAAAACUUCAAGGGCUAGUGGCAAACCACCACAGUAAGAAACAACCUCUUUUGAGAGUUCAAGAUAUCCUUCAUUAGGCCAACUAUUUCCAAAGGCAUGCCAACUAAAGAGCUUCAGAGCUUCUUCUUCAAUCAUUUCCUUAAGCGGAUAUGUCUUGUCCACUGUCAUGUUCACUUGCUUUAGUAAACGUUCAUCUCGUGUCGUUAUGAUAAUUCUACUUCCUGGGCCAAACCAAUCACGAUUUCCAGCUAUUGCAUUUAGUUGUUCCACUUUGUCUACAUUGUCAAUAAUGACAAGUACGCUUCUACGUUGGAGAUGAUUUUUUAUCAGACUCAUACCUCGAUCAACACUGGUUAUCUUAGACUCAGUCUGUUUCAAGAUGUCAGAAACAAGUUUUCCUUGCAAAUCAACCAGAUCAUAUUCACUAACGUUGGCAAGGAAACUUUUGAAUUGGAACUUAUGAUGAAUUUGGUUAUAAAUGGCUUUGGCAGCUGUUGUUUUACCCAAUCCACCCAUCCCCCAAAUUCCAACCAUGACAACGUCAUUUGAUCCACCACUUGAAAGAUGAUUGAUAAUAUCUUGAAUGCGAGAAUUGAUUCCAACCGGGUGCUUGGCCACAUUUAAUUCGUUUGCGCUUGGAAGCCAUUCCGGAAUGAUCUUGCCAACAAUUUCUCUAAUAAGCUUUGCUUCGGGCCUGAAAAUUGAAUUCGUAAGCAUUAGCAGGACUCAAUGAACAGUAGGAGCUAUCAGUACAUAGACAAUUUUCUUUCCUUCAUAUAUAUUCUAACUAGCUACUAGCUGGUAUGUGAUUUUUUGACCAACUUGAUAAAAGAAAGAAGUUCAUUCAUUAAUUAAACUCCAAUUACGGUUUAGGUUUUAUAUGAGUGGUUAAGGUGUAUUAAUUAAGCAUGUUAAUUAAUGUUUAAUUAGCUUCUGUAAAAUGUUAAUUAUAUGAGAGACUAAGUCAUUCACUAAAAUGUUUCAAAUCUUGAAAAACAGGUGAAUGAUUACGCAUUGUCAGUGAUUUGGAGAUGUUGGCCAGACAAAUUUGCUGCUUCUGUAAGAGCCUUUCUCCAUUGCUUUACCCUUUCUUGUUUAGUUUCACGUUCCUUGUCAUCUUUUUCUUCACGGAUGCCCUCUUCGUGCUUCUGAAAUGCUUGAGCUAAAUCUCCGUUCUGCUUCCUAACAUGUGUAGGAUCAACAUGAUAGAAUAUUGGCAAAACACGUCGCCCCAGUUUGUAUCUGCACUCCAUGAUCUUCACCAGCUCAUCAAGACACCAACGAGAGUCCGCAUAACUCUUUGAGAAGACAAUGAUAGAGAUCCUCGCCUCUUCGAUUGCCCGGAACAGUUCCUCUUUUAUUUCUUCCCCUCUUUCUAGAUUGUCCUCAUCAAUAUAAGCCUGGUAUCCCCUGUCUGUUAAUGCCGCGUGGAGGUGGCCCGUGAAACCAUUGCGUGUGUCUACACCACUGAAGCUCAAGAACACGUCGUAAUUCCAAAGUGUUGACUUGGAGGAGGAUGAAGAGGAGGCUUCGUGGGUUGUCAUGGCGGUAUCCACCGUUAUGGCACUGCGGUGGUUUAGAUAACGACUAAAAAAUGGCAGUAGUUGUGUUCAUGCUGUCGAACAGAUGAUCCUGAAAUACCUAAACCCAAGUCAAGCUCCUUCAGUCAACAAGAACAAAGUUUAUAAUAUAAUAAUGUUGGUGUAUGGACUUGAGAAACGACAUAAUGUUGGCCAGAAGGUGCAAAGAAAGAGAGGAAAAGAGGAAAGAAAGGAACGAAAGGACAAAGACUAUCCAAAAGAUUAUUGGCUGUGAUUACAGCUAUUCAUAGGAGAAACAACCUGCCCGUCUUCAUAUAUAAUACAUUUCAACAGACAUAUGUUAAUAGGAGAAACAACUUUAGUUUGUACUAGAAAUUUUUACCCGGGCGUUGCUACAGGAUUUGAAAUUGUAUGAAAGAUUAUCUUUGAAAUAUAUAAUAGAUUGUGUGAUUGAAGAUUAAUACUAUUUACAUUGAAAACGUUGGAAAAAGUUUUACAUACAAAAGAUUUUACGAUACAAUCCAUAUAGUCUCCUAUAAAGUUCUGAAGUCGUGGAAGCAUAAAGGACAAAUAACAAAUGAGUUUUGAGAAAUUAUUCCACAAAUGCCAUUCUGCAUAAUGUAUUAAAGAAGAUUGGUAUAAGAUUAGCAAUCAUGAGUAGUGUAACAACAUCAACAAAAUAACCAUAAACCAUAGUUGAACAUAAUUCAAAUUUUGUUUGCAAAAACAAAAGAAAAAGAAAACAGACUUACAAUAAUUCAGUCUUCAAUCCUGAAGUCCUACUCAAAGAGCCAAACUUGAAUGCAAGCUUUCUGAAAUUUUCCAAGCAACACAAAAAAAAAGGUAACAUCCUAGUCAGAAAUGAACCGAGGUGCGAGCUUUCUAAGAAACCCAGAUGACAAAAUCAACAAAAUAGAAAGGAAAAAUGACUUGCACUUUUUAAGGCAUGUCCAAUCUUGAUCUAAAAUUGGUGGUGGGUCGAUUGUUGGUCACCAAAUCUAAAUAAAGAAUUCAUCAGAACCUAGAAAUUUAAACAAAGAAUUUUCCAAAAUCAACAUUUACUAAAAACCAGUUACUUGGUUAUCAAGCAUGAUGGCUUGCCAAAGACUGAAUUAAGGAAUGCACAACUUUACUUUUAUGAUUAUUUUCAACGACAGCUAAAAGGUCAGAUCCAAAUGAAAAUAAAAGUUAGGACUUCACAAAACCAAUUAAAAAUCCAAUUCCAAAGUUACAAACACCCACCAAAUGAUUCCAGAUAAAGUUUUAUACUCAAGGUCAGACCCAAAUGAAAUUAAAAGUUAGGACUUCGCAAAACCAAUUGAAAAUCUGAUUCCAAAGUUCCAAACACCCACCAAAUGAUUCCGGAUGAAGUUUAAACUAAAAAACCCAAUAGAAACAAAAGCAUUGGUGUGAAUUAACUGUAUCUAAUUGAAGAAACUAAAACAAAAGUAAAGCAAAGUAUAUACCUCAAAAUGUCAAGCAACUAAGUUCUUCCUCCGACGACCCAAAACUCUGAAAAUUCCACACAAAAAAAAGGUAAAUCCAUUAGCAAUUCAUAGCCUUCAAAAUUAGCAAAAACUUGGGCAACAAUAAAGAUGCAUUGAUAAAUAUCACUCUUUCUCCUUAUGUAUUUGAAAAGAUAUUUUAUAAGCAGUUUAUGUAGUCAUUCUAAUCAUGUUGCAUAUAAAUUCCUUUUCUACGGAGUUCAAAAAUAUAUGGCAGUUUACGGCAUCUGUUGAAUAACAUGGUUGAAAGAUUUAAAAUUGAUACAUUCAAUUUUUAUGUGUAAAACUAUAACAUAUAGCUAAAGCUAUUGGGUCUAUACAUCCAUAUCAAUCAUGUCGUAAUUGUAUGCUUAUCAAUGUAAAUAGAUGAUUUCAGUCAUGUGAUAACAUGUUUCUUGAUAGUAUAUGCUGAAGUUUGGUCUCAGUUGGAUAAAAAUCAACCAAAAUCUUAGCAAUAGACUCUUUUAACUUUUUUUUUUUUUUGGCGAACAAAGGUGGGGGGGAUGCAACACGAGGACUUCCCAGGAGGUCACCCAUCCUAGUACUACUCUCGCCCAAACUCGCUUAACUUCGGAGUUCUGAUGGGAUCCGGUGCAUGUGAGUUGGUAUGAUCGCAUCCAAAAAAUGAGCACCACAAUACUACACUUAUAAGUUUUAUGCACAAAAUACACAGCACUGACUGGCAAAACAAUAAAACACUCAAAACCCAAAAACAGAAACACAAUUAGGACUCAAAACUCCUCAAAAACAUGAGAGAGAGAGAGAGAGAGAGAGAGUGUGUGUGUGUGAGAGAGAGGAGAGAGAAUAAAAAACAAUAUUAUUUUUCACACAAACUCAAAAUUGCUUAUAAAAUUACAAAUCAAAACAAAUGAAGGCAAAUCCAAAAUUGCCCUAAAUUAAAUCUGAUUAGUUAAAUGUUUGUUGCCCUACAAAUGUCAUUACACACGACAAAACUUGCUUUGAAGUUGAUAUUUUGGUCAAUCCAGGGGAAAAGGAGAGAUUGGUUUUGGAGCAGUUGUCAUGGAGAAUACCAUCUCCCUGUUGAAUGAUCUAAAAAAGGACUUACAGCUUCUGUGGCCAUAAUAAUUUAGGAGGCCCAUCUCUACAGAUUUUCUCAAUAACUUUCCUUUUCGUAGCUGGUAAGAUUGCAACUCCAAGAAUUGCUCUGAAGAGAUAUAUACAAAAAAAAAUCAAACUAAAACUAAGCUAUUGGAAGAAAUUUAGAAAACACAAACACCACUACAACUCAGAGCUAAAGUCAACAGAAAGCAAAUAGUAGAAGUUGAAAAAAUAUAAGGUCGUGAAUUGAGAACUUCAUCAAACUAACAGCAAUAAAAUGUCAUAUAAUCUGUCAAAAACCAAAAAAGAGAGAGAGGUAAUUUCAAGACCUUGUAACGCUGAGGCCUCGUACAGUUGUAGUAAAAAUAUAUGGUUGAUGCACCUGUUGCUCAAUCAAAUCCUUUCUGGCUGAAAAAAUAAAAAUCUAUAAAGACAUUCACGUCCAAUUUAUGAGAAAUCAUGGGAAAGCAAAUGCACUGAUAACAGAAUCAUGAAUAUGAAGAACUUGCCAAAAAGAAAAAGAAACUUUUUAUAGUGUGCCAAAGAACAUCCUCCUACUCCUAGCAAUUUUUUUUAUGGCAUUAUCCACUUCUCAAUUCAUAAUUCAACCAGUAACUCAAACUCUAUAGUGUAUAAAAAUGUGAUAUCUUAGUUGAUCGCGAUGAUAAUUAAGCAGAUUAAAUGACGACCCAUAAAGCAUACAAAAAUUAAGAAAAGAAAAGGUUCGAAACUGCCAUAAGAAAACGCAGAAUAUAUAAACGGGAAAUCAAAAGAAGAGAACCAAACAAAAUUAUUAGGUCUGGGAUCAUCAAAGUCAAACACAAACAAUCCAAAAAUUUGUGGAAAAUACCAAUAAAUGCUCAACUAAAAACGAAAGAAAACGUAGAAUAAGUUUACCUGUUCUUCCCCUAAUUAAACUGAAAUACAAUUCACCACUAAUAUUCUCGUCAUCCUCUUCAGCCUGAAAAAUUUAGUAGAACAUAAUGAUAAGAAUCUAGCAGUAUUUCCAUUGUUUAAACCCCAAAUUCCAGAAAUCAUGAAAAAUGGAAACUUUAUAUGGAAACUGAAGCUUUACCUGCAGAUCAGCAGCAGCAAACGGAAUCCAACGGCAUGUACCUCAAAAAUGAGAGAGAGAGCUGAGAGAUGAGUGAGAGAAUCGAUAAACAAACCCCCCCCCCCCAAAAUCACGAAAGGAAAUUUGAACGGAAAACAAAUUUGAAAAUCCAAAAUCACAAAAACGAAAUUGAAACACCCACACUGAGAAAGCUGUAUAACUCACCAGGAAACGCUAGCCUUUCUGGGUAAAAAAAUUAUUCGGAUCGAAUUGAAGAACGGAGGAAAGUUCUACUGGUUCAGUGGUUAUUCCAGUGUGUCAAGACUUGGCUUGGUUUAUAUAAUUAAUCAAUAAUAUUCCAUACCAAGAGCUAGGUCCAUAUAUUAUACAAUGUUCUAAGGGUUUAACGGAUAGGCGAGGCCUAGUGUCUAAGCAAAUUUAAGUAAAUUUAUUAUAUAUUAUAUAAACUUAAAAUGAUAAAUAAUUGUAUUAGGAUAUAUAAAUUACAAAAUAAAAUAAUAUAUAUUAUAAAGUAUUAAAACAUAGGAGAAAAGACCCAAAUAUGAAUGGGAGAAAAGACCCAAAUAUGAAAAGACAACUAUAAACAAUUAUUCAAGAUGGACGGUAAAUGAUUCAGUCAUUUACAAUAUUCAAAACGUAGGAUCACAAUCUACUGGAUGAUUGUCUUAACUAUUAGGCCAUGCUCUAAAUAUAAUACAUCCAAAUGGGGGUGGACCGCAUAAUACACCCCAAUGGACCGUUUUAAGCUACUCCACUGCUAAAACUAUUGCAAAAUGCGCAUUAGGAUUAUACUUCUAUUAGCUGCGCCCUUCCUCACUAGGCAAAUGAACCAUAUAAUAGUUUCCAAAAAAAAAAAAAAAAAAAAGAACCUUAUAGUACACCAAGAUGGAUGUUAUACACGUUGGAGUUUGAGCAGAAUUCUUUUUGUUAUUUCAUUGUCUCACAUUGCUAGAAUUGAAAAGUUUAUAAUAUAACAAUGUUCACGUAUGAACUUGAGAAACGACAUACUACCGGUUGGGCGGGAAAGUGUGAAGUGAAAGAGAGGAAAGGAAGAAAGAAACGAACACGAAAGGACAAGGACUAUCCAAUAGAUUAUAAACAAUGAUUUAUUGGGGUGAUUACAGUUAUUCAAUUAUCAAUAAUGCAUUAUUUUAGUUUGGAAUUUGGAAGCAUUUGAGAAGUAACAUGACAACAACCACGUAAUAAACAAAAGUGAUUGGAAAAAAGACCGAAAUGUGAAAUAAUAAUUAAAAACAACUAUUCAAGAUUAGUGAUAAAUGAUUCAACCAUUUACAAGAUAUGAAUUUAGAACAACAAUCUAUUAGAUCGUUGUAUUAAUUAUUAAGUGGUGCUCUAAUAUAAUAGAUCCAAAUGGGGACGGACCGUAUAAUACACCCAAAUGAACAACAAUCUAUUAGUUUUUAGGCUCCACUGCUAAAAACUAAAGCAAAAUAGGCAUUAGGAUUAAACUUGUAUUAUCUAUCUUUCCUUACUAGUCAAAUGAACCAUACAAUACACCCAAAUGGAUGCCAUCAUGCCAUAUAUAAACAAUGUUUUGAAAUGACAAGGUAGCUAACGCCGUCAUUUUAUAUUUGUAAGCAACAACCCUAAAUCUUAUUGGAGCUAAUUAACUAAUGUAUUUAUUAGACAGUUGCAUUCCUUAGCAAGUGGUUAACUAUUUUUGUUUAGUUUAGUAGUCAGGUCGUAAUUAAUUAGUCAAAUGAACCAUAUAAUACACCCAAAUGGAUACCAUAUAUGCAUAUAUAAACAAUGUUUUCAAAGGAUGAAAUGACUUUCUUGCCGGUAUGGGGGAAGAGGAAAGAAACUAGUGUUGUGUUUGACUCAUAUAUUUGUGUGUAAUUAUGAGUCAUGUGUUGACAACAAUUGAAGACCAUGUGAAUGCUACAAGGAAAUGGCAGCAACCUUGACUUUGUGUGCAUGCUUUCGGAGUAGUGGCCAAAUGUGGCCAAAUCUACCUUCGGCUAAUAGUGGAAGAUAGUGGAAGACAAUGAUGAUGUUUGCUUGAGAUUCUUUUCUUUGGCCUUUUUCUGUUUCCCAUUUGAAUGCCACGUGAGUGGCUAUGGGGUUUGAUUAAAAGGCAAAGCAGGGAGCAUGAUACAUCAUGAUUGUGUUUGUGAAAAAAGGGAAAGUUGAUUCCUUUUUGCUUUUGCUAUUUAUUUGCUAAGAACCGAAGAGAGCUAGAGUAAAGUGAGAAGCAUACAAGGGGAAGAGCAUUCGGCUCUCCCAUGGGAAAGGUUGAAUAUGAGUUGAGAGAAAAUCAAGAGAGCUAGAGUGAAAAGUAUUCUAGUGAAAGAACUCUUGGGGUAGAGUGAGGUUCUUGGGAAAAUUCUAUGAGUGGAUGUACAAGGGAUUUGGGAUUGGGUUAUGUCGAUUUAACUCAUGUGUACUUGUACUGUUAUUCUCAUAGUGAAGAGCAAUAUCUCUCCGGGGAUGUAGGCAGGUUUUUGCCGAACCUCGUAAAUUUCUCGGUGUCUUUAUUUUUUGUAUUUUAUUCUGUUCAACUGAGUGUGAUUAUGGUGAGGUUGUAAUUUGAAUAUCGAUUCCGCACUAACGAACGGGCCAAGGCACAACAACUAGCACAAAAUUGCAGACCCUAUCGAUCCAUUAUAAUAAAUUUCAAUGGUCCAAGUUGUAAGUUAAUUGUGCAAGAUAAAAACUUAUUUACAAUUAUCAACUUAACCACGUACCUAUGGAAGACAUCGUCUUGGAAAACUAGGAUUAAGAACUGAAGUUCUCCUGCAACUCUACACAACUGAAAGCAAGGCUUGCUCAAUGGGGCUUGAGUUUUCUAUAAACUUGCGUAUUUAGUGGAGAGAGCAGGGACCUCAUUUUUAUACAUGGAAUUCAAUAAGGAUCCCUCCCAUUAAGUGAUCCUUAUCAAAGAGUAGCAUUAUCACCGUAAAACACUUAUGCAUUAUAUCAGUUAAAAGAGUUUUAGUUUUAUUGGGAAUGUAUCUGAGUUGAAACUGUAAAGAUAUACAACUCCUGAUAAGUCUACCACAAGUGUCAAUCCUUAUCUCCUUAUCAUUCCACAUGUCUUUAAUCAAAUCACCAAGUGUUUGCUCUCAUAUAGAACUUACACAAGUCUCAUGUAAUUUCAUCUAACUUAUUUUCUACAACAGUAAAUAUAUUUUAAUGGCUCCGGUUUUCACAUGCCAGUCAGUCACACGCUCAACUCCUCAACGUUCGGGCUUAGUGGCUCGAAGAGAGCUUCCACUUCACUCUGAUUCACAUCCCUCUUACUUUGACGGGUUCCACUUCGGAUUCUGCAUUGACAAAAAACAGAAGCAAAAGAUAACGAUCUGUUCUGAUACAAGGAAAGUAAGAUGAUUGUAUAACUGUAGGUCUAGUAGAGGCUGUAAUGGUUUAUGUUGCAGCAACUCCGUCAGCAAGUGAUUUUAUAGUAAGGAAUCUUGAGCAUGAUUAACGAACCUGAUCCUUGUCCACCAAAACUGCCUGCACACCUUCAGCAAAAUCAUUCCGCAAAGACGAUCUUAUAGCACCGCGAUAUUCAGUUUUCAUCACACCAGUUAGCUGGUAUGGAUCAAGUAAAGCACAUGUUACUCGCUCAGAAAAAGUGAAAUACUACAACACAAAAUCUAUCAAAAGGAUGCAACCAUGCGAUGAAUGAAACGAAAAGGUAGAAAGUAAGACUCACUGGAUAAUUGAUUGUCAUUUUUCGCAAGCGCAGAUGCAACUUUGGAGAAGUAAUUUUGCGUCAAAUAAAGUGAAAGGGGAGCACCAUUUCCAAGACCUUGAAGAGGUUCUUUAGCCCACUCCACCGCUGCAACAGAAACAAUUUGAUAGAAAAUACUUGACAGCCACGUACAAGCCUCUCAAUAGAAGAGUAAGACAGAUUUCAUUUCAUCAUAGAUAAAUAAAUGGCAUUGACAAACUUACCAGUAGCAUCUGAACUCUGCUGCUGCUUUUUAAGUUCAUCAAUUGUCACAAGAACCGACUUAUUUGCACCAAAUGCUGAAGUUAUUUGAGGUAAAAGACUCCUGAGCUGCGCUUCGAAUCUGGGUUGCUGCUGAAUUUCGCCACAGUUGUAAUUGACAACAUUGACAAUUGCCUCUCUGACAAGGCAAUAGUACCUUCGUAAUGAUCCCGGUACCAACUGUGGCCCGAUAGGCCAAUACCGAAGGCCAUUGUUAUGCCCAUGAAGCUUAUACGUGGCCGUCAAGCCCGACAAGUGAAUAGCAUACUCUAGUGCUGUAGUACAUUGUGAGGAUUUUAUCCAAAAUUAAUUGACAAUGAGUGAAUAAGCUGAAAGAUUAUGUACUGACUUUAAUUAUGCAAAGACUGGAGACAAUUUUCACCAACCUCCAAUCAAGAAUUUGGACCUCACAAAUCACUACCCAAUAUGCUUUUCUCUCGUGCCCUUCAUUCAUGGAUCGAUAUUCUGGUGUCCUAGGACCCUGACAUGACAAGUUCCAACUUUUGUUCAAUUUCUCGACGGAACAAUCACAUUUACCCUUACGGAACGGCACGGCUCCGGGCAUAGAAUAUGGGUUGGGUUCCGUUACAGCUCCAUCACUAAUUAGCACUGUAGAGAAGGAAAUAAAAAGACAAGUUUGGAUUUCUUACAACGUUUGCGAUGAUGUGUUUUCUACGGGGAGAACAUACAGGAGUCAGCAGUUAUCUUUUCGCAACCGUCUUUGAUUAUGAAGGAAAGGAAAGAAAAGAAAAAAAACGAAUGUAGAAAGAAAACAUACAAGUUGGUUGACAAAAGGGGAAGAAAAAUUGAGAGAUACAGAGAAUAAGAAAGAAGAAAAUCGAUGCAAAUUUUAAUAUAAAUGUAGUAGAUCCAGGUAUCCAAAGGAUUCGGGGCUAAUGUACCUGCAUUGAUAAAAAACAAAUAUCAGAUUUUUGGAAACGCAUCACAUAGUAGUUAAAACACCCGGCCGUGAAUGAAAGGUCUGAGUUACCGCCAUUUUGGCUAAUACUAUUCUGUAUAUUUACGAAUGGUUUUAAGUUUGGGUUUAAUUGGAUAAUCGGAGAGUAGUGCAUCAAACUAUGGAUAUUCAGAAACCGAAAGCAUAAUUCAUAUUCCUCUAACAAGUCCACGCAAAUGACCACAAUCAGAAUGUUAGUUCAUAGCUGGCCAUAUAGAACGCAAUACAAAAGCACUAAAAGCAUCCAAGUGAAAGUGCUUUCUCCUCAUGUAGUUUCAUUUAACUUAGUUUCACAUGCCAGUCCGUCACACACUCAACUCCUCAACGUUCGGGCUCAAAGCAUUCUUUAUCCUUUCUGUACGAGAGACAAUAAAUUUAUAGUUCUUGUGAUGAAAUCAUGCAAAACAUUCAGAAAUCUUGAUUUAACCCUUUCUCAAGAUCAUAGGUUGUGUCAUCUCAACUUAUAUCUUAGGUCUUAUGAGUGCUCGUAAUACACUAAUAUGACACUUGUUUUCUGGCCAGGACAGAAACAAAAUCAUGCAGGAAAUUGUCACGACAACUUAAGUGUAAAAUGCGACCGGAAAAGCACUAAACAGGAUAGUUAUGCUCUCACAGUGUAAACCUUAACAACAAAGACUAUACCGUAUCUGUCACAGUGAUAUGCGACCAUAAGCCCAACUCCAAGGAUCAGCUUCCAAGAGCUUUGAAGGCUACAGAUCAAAAGUUACAUGCAGUGAUGACAUAAUCAUGAAAAAAUACAAUCAUAAAUUAAAGGAAAACAUACUGACUUCUAGUUCUGGCAAUUCACUAUUGGGCCAUAUAUUUGAACCACAGUAUGAUGGAUACCUACAAUACAGAUCACAAAUAAAAUCUGAGCAGACACAAAGUAUUAUGUUCUGUUUACGCAAAAUCUGUAAGUUCUCAAAUAGGAUAAAUAAAGAUAAACAUAUCCCAGCAUAAAGACGAUUUGUCCUGGUUAAUUCUAAGAAACCUUGUAUCAAAUGUAUGAUAGUUAUUCAUAACUAACACAAACAACUGUUUGGCCAAACAUUACUGGUAUGAGCCAUAUACUGUGUGACCUGAGACAAAACAGAUCCCACAUGUACUCGGAUUAUGAUUGAUGUCCCUAUUGACUUUUACCUUUGAAUUAGAGAUUCAUCUGUUGUAGGGCUAUCCAAUAUUGGAUUUGCAUAAAACGAGCCUUUUAACGUAUCUGCAAAACCAGAACACAAACGGAAAAUGAAUGAUCCUAAGUUCUUAGAGUUUCCAAAGAGACAAAAUUUAAAACAAAGAACAUAAAGUGAUACCCGGCUUUCCAAAUUCCAGCUUCUCUUUUCCAUGACUCCAUCCAAAAUUGUACCUAAACAUGGAUGGCAGGUAAAAAGAAGAUAAGCAAUAAAACUUUGUAAAGAUUCCCAAGAAAAGCAAUAAAACUACGUAAAUAUUAGUUAAUAAUGUCAAGACCAUAGUCUGUGACAAAUCCAAGAGUUGAGAUGAGACUAUCUUUCUGGCAGGAAUUUUUGGAAAUUUUCUCUAUUGUAAGGAGAUAGAUUGAUGUUUGUGUUUACACGAAAAUUAUGCCAACGGCUUAAGAGAAAUCAAAGUAUAACAAUGGGACUAAAAUGACUUACCUACUAUGAGGAUCUUCCAGUUCCUUCUUCACCUCUUCAGGCAGAUUGGCUAAUCUAAUAAACGAAAAGAAAACUCCCAUGAGCAGUGCUAUAACAAACUAUCUUCCUAAAUUCAUUAUGAGUUGCAGUUAAAACUUAAAAUGAACAUGAAAAUCCUAUGUAGAAGGGAUAUACCUAGGUUAAAAGCGUAGAAGAUUCCUGCGCAAGGAAGAAUAUCCCGGAACCUGCAAUUGGAAACUCAAUGAAACAAUUACAAAGAUGCUAGAAAGAAAAUACUUAUCAGUUUACAACAGAAUGCUAGCUCUCACAAGAAUCGAUUAGGUAUGAAGCAUCAAAACAAUAACAUGAGACAUCAUAAUUUAUGAGCUAUGAAUGGAAUAAUGGAGCAAAAUAUCGUAGCCCAAACAGCACAAUCUACGAUCUACAUGACGGAGAAAGUACCCCGGCAUUACAUAUGCAAGUUCAUGGGUUCACAUGUAAGCAUGUGGUUUAUCUUUUUAACCGAUUCGUUAACAAAUUCUUUCUGCACGUAUAGUUUCAACCCGAAACCUAAAAUUCCAUAGUCAAACAAAUAUGCAUAAUAGCAGAAUUAAGUAAAAAAACAACAUAUCACCAUACUGAUACUGAUGUGAUUCAGAAUUAAGCAUUUUAACUUACCAAAACUGGUAAUGGAAGAGAUAAUCAGUAAUUAACUAGGGUAAUCGCAUAACAAAAUCAUACUUGAGUGAUUGAUAGGAUUCCCAACCCAUUGGGUCCAAAUCCUUCUUCAAUCUUCACUGACAAGUCUUUGUCCUUGUCUUGUAUCAAUCAAUCCAAAAUAAAAAAACGAUAAUUAGAAAAAUCGAAUUCUCGACAUGAUUGACUGAGUUAAAACAUAGCAAUUAAACAAAACUAUGAAUAAAACAAUUAGAUUCUGUUUGGUUGCUGAGAAAAUGAAGAGAAUAACAACCAAAAAGUCAACUGAAAUAGAAUUUUGCUCUAAUUUCAACGAAUUCUCUUGAGUUUCUGAGCACCCAAACAGAAAAAAAAUUAAAGCCAAUCAAACCAAACUCUCAUGCUCAAUUUUCUCGCAACCACAAACAGAACUUAGAGGGAGAGACAGAGUUACUUGGAGCUCGGAGUAGGAUAUGGUGACUGGUGUGACGGUGGGGACGGCGAGGUCGGAGGACGGAGGCAUAGUUCGACAAGAAAUUUGGCGGGAAAGACGGCGGUUGGACUGUGACGGUGGGGAAGAAUCCGUGGGAACGAAGAGGAAUUUUGGUGCGGAAGGACGGCUUUUAUAUAGAAGGGAGGGAGAGAGGUUGAGAGCGAAAGGCGUGAUUGUCAAUUUCAAAUAUUUUUGAAGGAAUAAAGAAAGAAGGGAGGUUGAGCAUCAAUUCCCUUUCCCUCCGAACCAAAGAAUACACGCAACUUUAACGAAAAGUUUUCGGUACGGUUCAUUUUUACACUAAAAUGUCAAUCUUGAUACUAUUCACUUUACUCUUUAUUUUGUUCUUAUCGUUAAAACUCAAAGUUUUCAAGCCAUUUUCAUUAGUUUCCUUAAGAAUAUAUGCACGAUCACGAUGUGUGGCAAAACUUGAAGGUGGAGACGAAUAUAUUAAAUACAUAUAACUAUUACUGUAUUAGUUCAAUUUAAAAUUAAUUACAUACUUUAAGGAUUUGUUUGAAAGUAUUUUUCAAAUAAUUAAAAGUGUUUUUGAUUAACAUGUUUUUUAAAUCAAUCUUUAGUAUAACUAAGUGGAUCUUAAAAAAGAACUUGAGGUGCUUUCUACAAAAAAAUACAUGUCUGGAGCACUUGAAGUGUUUUUGGAACCCAAAAUCAAUUUAAUAAAAGUGGGUUUAAUCUUUUUUUUUUUUUUUUUUGAACAAACGAUAUCAUCUAUCUUUAAGGUGAGAAAAUAGGCUUAACCUCACAAUGGCCUAGCACAUAAAUAAUGUGAUUCAAAUUCGCUUUUGGUGAGAAUCGAAUCUAAGACUUCUCACUUACAAAUAAGGAGGAAUACCCUAAAUCAUAGUACUAAGUAAUGUGUUUAGUUAUUUUUAAAAGACUUCAAAACAAGCCCUAAUUUGUAUCAAAUUCAAAAAAUUUGAAUUGGGCGGAUGUAAUAUGUAUUGGGUAUUUCCUCAUUCAAUAAUAUUUACGUUGUUUUCGGCAAAAAAGAAAGAAUUCAAUUGGAAAAAAAUAAAAAAAUGGGAAAUAAGGAUAUUCUAGUUAAGGUUUUUAUUAAUUGUUUUAGGUGGAUGGUUCAUAUGAAGAUUAUGAAAACGCUUUAAUUCUCUAAUGUGAGGUUCCGUCUCGAUCCAAAGUUAAUCAGUGAAAAAUAUAAUUAAGAUUGUUAUUAAUUAUCAAUUCAUGUAUAUUUCCCCAUGUAUUACGUUACUAAGUUAGACAAUGAAAAAUACAUAUAAGGCGUUAUGAGAAUAUGCGUGGCUGUCAAGUCUGACACGCAAAUAGCAUGCUCAACUUGAAUUACUCUCUAAGGAUUUUAUCCAAAAUCGACGAUGAGUGAACAAGUUGAAAGAUUAUGCACGACUUUCAUUAUGUAACAAGUGAAGAGGCAAUUUUCGCCAACCCUGACACGACAAGUUCCACUUUUUGUACAUUUUCUUGACGAAACAAUCACAUUUACCCUUACGAUUCCGGGCAUAGAGUAUGUGUUGGGUUCCGUUACAGUUCCGACGCUACUUAGCACUGUAGAGAAGGAAAUAAAAAGACAACUUUGGAUUUCUUACAACGUAUUGAGUCUCUCUUCAUGGCUCUUGCUGUGUUGUUCUUAUCUCACGUCCUGUUUCUCGAGCUUGGUGUUUCCGGUUGCAAAUUUUGGUUCGCCGGUGUAGUGCUCAGGGGAGGGGACUGUCUCACAUUGUUCCAAGCAGACAGAGGCGGUUGACAACGAUUGCGAUAAUGUGUUUUUCUACUGGGAGAACAUACAGCAGUCAGCAGUUACCUUUUCACAACCGUCUUCAGUAUUUGGAGGCACCUCAAGAAAUUAUCAAGGACAAACGAAUGUAGAAAAGAAGAAAUAUCGAAGUUGAUUGACAAAGGGGGCCGAAAAGUUGAGAGAUACAGAGAAGAGGAAGAUAAGAAGAAACUCGAUGCAAAUUUUAAGCUAGAUUAGUUAUUUUUCAUUAACGAGCGAUACAGAGAAGAAGAAACAGCUGCAUUUGGAGAUAGCCGCUUUAGUUGCCUAGUUUGUAACAUUAGCUUUAUGUAAAUCCGGGGAAGAAACAGGAGUAAAAAAAACACAAUCAGGCAGUACCAAAGAAGAAAAAUGUACAGUUACGAACAAUCACCACUUCUCAAACUUUGUAGUAGAUCCAGGUAUCCGAAAGACUCGGGGCUAAUGUACCUGCAUUAACAAAAAACAAAGAUCAGAUUUGUGUAAGGGAGUCGCAUAGUAGUUAAAAUACUCGGCCAUGCGCGAAUGGUUUGAGAUACCACCAUAGAGGCAUCCUCCAGGUGUGAGUUUCUUUCGUAUCGGAUCACUUAUUGUAAGAAUAUCAGUAGUGAAAGUGAAAUACCAGCGUCGGUAUUGAAAAAUUGUGUCCUCCGUAUGAUGCUUGCAACAUGCAUCACCGAAUCAACUUGAAGCUCUCCACCUCUCCAUCUGUUAAAUGUUUCAUAAGCAGCAUUGUUAAAGUUCUCUCUGGUUGGGGCGAUAUUGCAGAUAGUUUUGAAUGAAGAAAGGCAAAAAUUCAUGCUGAAGGCAUAGUUUACAACUAGUAUUUGUAAAAGCUAAGCUCUAAAGGUCUCACCUUGAUUCUUUGGCACAAAUAGCUAAGUUUUGAGAUGGGACAAAAUGGGUCCCAAGACCCACAUACAGUGCAUCCGAUGGUGUUGAAAUCCUUUUCCCAGUAAGUCAAAGAUAAGCACCAAGAAAGACAUGACAGUGUUAAAACAAAUACAGAACUAAGAAUUGAUGCAUGAAGCAAACAGAGUAAUGGUACAGGCCAUUCUCUUUAUAUUCUUAUAAUCUAAACAGUUUCUCCUUAUCAACGUUGGAAAAACAGCUUGCUUCAGUCAUAGGAGGGAAAUUGCGCCCGAGUAUAGAAAAUACAUACCUACAGAUCCUCCUCCUGGACUCUUUGCCGCUAUACGUGAAAACCCAACAUCUGGGAACAAACAAAUUACAUUCUCUGGCAUUAGCAAGAACAGUCCUCUGAAAUGUAUCCAUACAAAGUUAAGACACAAAAAAUUCAAAAAGGCAAUGUAAUUCACAACAUUGACAAUCUCUGUCUGACAAGGCAAUAAUACCUCUGUAAUGAUCCAGUAGCGACCGUGACCUGAUAGGCCAACACCAAAGCCCAUUCUUAUGCCAUCCAUGAAGCUUAUAUAGGGCUUCUUGUACUCUGAGAUUUUGCAUAUUAGAGAAUACUCAGCAGUGAAUACCUGAAAAACGUGCAGCACAAGUAUCAUACCGGUAGCCUCUCAAUCUUAAGAAAUGGUAGCUUAGAAAAGAUAUGAAUCCUAUCCAACCAAUACAAAUCAUAUUACCCAAGUUCAAGCAAAAUCAAGACUAAACAAAUGAUCAGAUGUUGUAGGUUGCCCGAGAAUGUCAAACAUGAAAUUACAAAAGAAAAAAAAUAAUCGUAUGUAUUGAACAUUAAUAAAUACAUGCUGAAAGCACAAUCUUAGCCGCAAUUUAUGACAUUUAUACGAGAUCGAAUAGAAAAAGCAAUUAAAGAAGUAGCAGAACUCACAUAAGUGAUUUUCACUUUGAACUUUUAGGCUUAUCAACAAAUACAUCAUUACGAUUCUAAUGCAUGAAUUUUGUUAAAGGGGGCUUGCUUGCUUAUAUUAAGGCUUAAUCAUCAAUGAUUUUGCAAGGGUCAAUCAUCUUGCUAGUUGUAAAUCUAUUCACUAUGAAAAUGACCAAAAUACAUCUUAUAUGGUAGUGAAGGAAGUCAUCUUAUAUUAUCUGGAUUUUAGAAAACGGUGUAAGGUUAUAAGUCUGUUAUUCUAUAUAGUUAAAAGGACACAAUUAGACCUCAAUCAUAUUCGGUGGUUGGUUUUUGGCCGUGAUCUGCUUCACAUCACCGCCUGCAGGUAAACUAAAUCUGGGUUAUUACUUAUCAAUGAAUCAACGUGCCAACUUAAUGGACACCAUCUAUCUCUAUAUGGCAAAAAAACAACACAAAAAUGAACAAUGAAGUGAAACAAUAAACAACAUGAUGUGAAACAGCACGAACAUCAAAGACUAACAAUAUAUCACAUAAGCACCUAAACAAGAAACAACUUUGGUUCAAAGCAAAGCGUAAUGUAGAAACCUUCGGCAGAACAGGGGUGUUUUUGUCCUUUUGAAACAACCACUUUAAUAUCCUUUCCUGCAUUUACCAUGAUUGGUCACUCUUAAAACCUUACCUAAGAGACCCAAAAACAAAAAUAACCGCCGAAAGAGCUAAACAUACAUAUCUAGAAAAACUUAUUUAACUGAAUGCUAAAAUGGAAGUGUAAAAUUGCCAAGAAAGAUAAGAAACUAAUCAGAUACGAAUUCUGGGCGUUACCGCCACAAAAGGCACGAGCGGAGCGGCUAUCAACAAGAACACACUUCACAUUUGGGUCAGAUUCCCAUUCAUCCAGAUAGCUCUUGUAUUCCACAUCCAUAUCUGCAUUUUCCAACAAUUCCCACUUAAACAGAAUCACAAAUUUCUUAAAAAAAAAGAAGCUAGCUUCUUCGAAAUUUGAAUCCAACGUUUCGCCUUAUAAAAUGGAAGUGUAAAAACCUACUAUCACAAUCAAAUGCUUAUUUAACUGCAUGCUAAAAUGGAAGUGUAAAAUUGCCAAGAAACACACUUCACAUUUGGGUCAGAUUCCCAUUCAUCCAGAUAGCACUUAAACAGAAACACAAAAUUCUUAAAAAAAAAAGAAGCUAGCUUCUUCGAAAUUUGAAUCCAACAUUUCGUCUUAUAACAAAUGCAAGAACAUAGAUUUGUACUCAAUAAGAUGCCAUAAAGUUCAAGCUCAAAAUUUCAAAUCAGCUCCAAAUCAAAAGCAUUUACAGAUACAUACAUAUAUACAUAUACGUGUGUGUGUGUUUAUCUACAUACCUAGGUUCAUGGCGUUGAGAGCUCGGGGGGCGACCGAGGGUGAUGUCGGCGACGCCAUUUGGGUGGACGCUGCCCUUGACGAACGCCUCGGCGGAGGCCAUGAUCCCGAAUGUGCGGAGAAGGCGAGGGGAUUUGGAGGGUUUGUAAAGAGAGAGCUUCAAAUUUGGAAUGAGGAAGAAGAAAGCGGACGACUAUUUGCUCAGAAUUUGGGUCGCUCGUCAAUAAGCUUCCCAUUACUUCCGUUUGAGAGUAACUGUCAGUGUCGAGAGAGACAGAUAUUUUUGGUGCUUCUGGACCGGACUACCCUUGAUGUUUCGGUCAAAUUACCGGGAAAAGGAACCGCCGCAGUGGCUAUGGAGGGAAAGUUGGAAUUUGAAAGCAGUAAGUAUGGACUUGCCUUCAUUUAUUGAACUGAGAAAUCGAAAACUGAAAGAGGCGUUUGACGAACUGAGAAAUCGAAAACAUGUGAUGAUGACUAUGCAUCACCACCUUGGUUGUGCCUCUGGAUCAAAAACCAACCAUCACGAUCAAAAUCGUGGAUAUUUUCCUUCAUAGGUUUGUCCCAUACUAGAUUAACCCCUGUUCCUUGAAUUGUCGCAUAAUAAUUUUUAUAGUCCAUCUCUGGCAUUUCAAAAGUUAUAUCAACUUUAUCCCCGCUUUGCAAAUUGAGCUUAUCAUUCGAUAUUUGUCCCUGCCAAAGAAAACAUUCUUUAUAUACAACAUCGCGCAUUUUUAUAACCCAAUCUUCCUUGCCAAUGCAGGUCCGCAACUCAUUACGCUUGGUAUUAUUUAUAUCAAUACUGGCAUGAGGAUGAGCAACUUUACAUCUGAUAUGAGAGCUUGACUGAUGAAGAUCUGAGGAGUAAAAGCAUAACAGAGUCAGCCCUUCAAAAUUACGACCAUCACUCGGGGGGAUAUCAAAACUGACUUUAUCACCAUUGUUGACAAACUCGAACCAAUCAGGAACAUAAUUCCCAUUGAGAAAAAUGCCACCAUAUCCACAAGAAGUCCAUCCCUAUACAUACAGUGCAAAUGUCAUAUAUAUACAUGUGCGUUGUGUGUGUGCAUGUGCGCAAUAGGAAGGCAAUUAAAGAGAGAUACCUUUAGGACGUUCCUCCUAAAAUCAGCUGUGAGUUUGGGGCAAUCCCUCAUGUCAAUCCAUGUCAAGGAGUAUAAUGACUUAUCCAAGUCUGGAACCUCAGUGAGUGCGUAUGAAUUACAUACAAUCAGUUCUCUCAUAUUCGACAUUUUCGAAAAAUUGGGCAUUGUUACCAAAUGAAGGCAAUUAGGCGCACCCAGAAAUUUUAAAUUCGUUGGCAAAUCAUAAAUUGUACGAAGCUCCAAGCAAUCAUGUAACCAGAGACUUUCAAGCUUUGAAAGAUCACUUAGGCUGGGUAGGGUAUGAAGGUGAUGGAAGUUCCUUAACCGCAAACUUUCAAGCUUUGAAAGACCACUGAGGCUGGGUAGGGUAUGAAGGUGAUGGCAGUUACUUAACUGCAAACUUUCAAGCUUUGAAAGACCACUGAGGCUGGGUAGGGUAUGAAGGUGAUGGCAGUCACUUAACUGCAAACAUUCAAGCUUUGAAAGACCACUGAGGCUGGGUAGGGUAUGAAGGUGAUAGCAGUUACUUAACUGCAAACUUUCAAGCUUUGAAAGACCACUAAGGCUGGGUAGGGUAGGAAGGUGAUGGCAGUUACUUAACUGCAAACUUUUAAGCUUUGAAAGAUCACUGAGGCUGGGUAGGGUACGAAGGUGAUAGCAGUUACUUAACUGCAAACUUUUAAGCUUUGAAAGACCACUGAGGCUGGAUAGGGUAUGAAGGUGAUGGCAGUCACUUAACUGCAAACUUUCAAGCUUUGAAAGACCACUGAGGCUGGGUAGGGUACGAAGGUGAUAGCAUUUACUUAAUUGCAAACUUUCAAGCUUUGAAAUACCACUGAGGCUAGGUAGGGUACGAAGGUGAUGGCAGUCACUUAACUGCAAACUUUCAAGCUUUGAAAGAUCACUGAGGCUGGGUAGGGUACGAAGGUGAUGGCAGUCACUUAACUGCAAACUUUCAAGCUUUGAAAGACCACUGAGGCUGGGUAGGAUAUGAAGGUGAUAACAUUUACUUAACUGCAAACUUUCAAGCUUUGAAAGACCACUGAGGCUGGGUAGGGUUUCAAGGUGAUGGCAGUCACUUAACUGCAAACUUUCAAGCUUUGAAAGACCACUGAGGCUGGGUAGGGUAUGAAGGAGAUAGCAUUUACUUAACUGCAAACUUUCAAGCUUUGAAAGACCACUGAGGCUGGGUAGGGUAUGAAGGUGAUGGCAGUCACUUAACUGCAAAUUUUCAAGCUUUGAAAGACCACUGAGGCUGGGUAGGGUAUGAAGGUGAUAGCAUUGACUUAACUGCAAACUUUCAAGCUUUGAAAGACCACUGAGGCUGGGUAGGGUAUCAAGGUGAUGGCAGUCACUUAACUGCAAACUUUCAAGCUUUGAAAGACCACUGAGGCUGGGUAGGGUAUGAAGGAGAUAGCAUUUACUUAACUGCAAACUUUCAAGCUUUGAAAGACCACUGAGGCUAGGUAGGGUAUGAAGGUGAUGGCAGUCACUUAACUGCAAACUUUCAAGCUUUGAAAGACCAUUGAGGCUGGCUAGGGUAUGAAGGUGAUAGCAUUUACUUAACUGCAAACUUUUGAGCUUUGAAAGACCACUGAGGCUGGGUAGGGUAUGAAGGUGAUGGCAGUCACUUAACUGCAAACUUUCAAGCUUUGAAAGACCACUGAGGCUGGGUAGGGUAUGAAGGUGAUGGCAGUCACUUAACUGCAAACUUUCAAGCUUUGAAAGACCACUGAGGCUGGGUAGGGUAUGAAGGUGAUAACAUUGACUUAACUGCAAACUUUCAAGCUUUGAAAGACCACUGAGGCUGGGUAGGGUAUGAAGGUGAUGGCAGUCACUUAACUGCAAACUUUCAAGCUUUGAAAGACCACUGAGGCUGGGUAGUGUAUGAAGGUGAUAGCAUUUACUUAACUGCAAACUUUCGAGCUUUGAAAGACCACUGAGGCUGGGUAGGGUAUGAAGGUGAUGGCAGUCACUUAACUGCAAACUUUCAAGCUUUGAAAGACCAUUGAGGCUGGGUAGGGUAUGAAGGUGAUAGCAUUUACUUAACUGCAAACUUUCGAGCUUUGAAAGACCACUAAGGCUGGGUAGGGUAUGAAGGUGAUGGCAGUUACUUAACUGCAAACUUUCAAGCUUUGAAAGACCACUGAGGCUGGGUAGGGUAUGAAGGUGAUGGCAGUCACUUAACCGCAAACUUUCAAGCUUUGAAAGACCACUAAGGCUGGGUAGGGUAUCAAAAUCAUUGUUUGAGAGAUCUAAAUUUCUUAAAGAGUCUAAGCCGUGUAACGAAUCAGGAAAUCGCAAGGGAAACUCUGAUCCCACACCUGCUAGAGAUAAAUGAGUGAGAUUCAUCAACCUUACUGUGGAACGUGGUACUUGUCUUAUGGCUGUGAAAGAUGCUUUAAGUACUCUCAAUGAUAGCAUCUUCCCUAUAUCCUCGGGCAGUUCACUGAAUUGGCAACAUUCAUCAAGAACAAGAGUCUGAACGGAUUUUGACUUGUAGAAAUCUCCAGGAAGAGAAAUAAGAUUCUUGCAGCCUGUGAGGUUCACCAAAGAAAGUUUUUUAAGAUGACCAAUGGAGGGGUGAAUCUCGGACAAACUCACACACCAUUCCAACAUCAACUCUUCAAGAUUUGGGAGAUUUGAAAAGUCUGGUGAUUUUUUUAAGUCAAGGCAACUUCUGAGAUCAAGGAAUUUCAAGUUUUCAAGCGACUGUUGCACAAAAUCAAAGGAAAAUUAAAAUUAAUAUCCAAAAGGAAUAUCUCAUUAAAAAAAGAGAAGGAAAUCCAAAAGCAAAUAGAAUCAUAACAUCAUCAUGUGUAAUCGACUGUACCUUGGAACCCUCCCAAACUUGUACAAGUUUGCCAGACGUUAUCUCUAAACUAACUAGUCUUGGUUGAUCAAAGAAGUCAUCUGGUAUGGACUUUAAAGGGCAUCCAGACCAACUCAACCAUAUUAACUCUUUGGAAAGAUGUUUGUAUUCUCCAUUGAGCUGCACUUUGCAGAGCUGGAGCAGUCUCAGUUUCUUCAUAUUGGCAAAUCCUUCUGUACUGAAACAACUAAACUUAGAAGAAUGCUUCUGUACUGAAUCUGGAGCAAGUUCAACUUCUUCAGUUUCCUGUUAACAAAAGGUUAUAUUCAUGAGUAAGAAACGGAUUAUUUGCAAAUGCUUCUGUACUGAAAGAACUAGACUUGUUAGAGCUUUGUACCCGAGGAGGAGGGCCAUAUAGAGCAAGUCCUUCAACUUCUUCAGUUCCCUGUUAAGAAAAGGUGAUAUUCAUGUGUAAGAAACGAAUUAUUUGCAUACGUUUACAUGUAUGAAUACAUGCAAGUACUAUUGUUCGCUAAUUGAGAUGAAUGUUACUUAAUGUGUAAUACACAUCCGUGAGUUAUAUGUGCUUUUCAUGUACGAUGCAUUAAAUUCAAAAUUUUAUUAGGAAUGUACUUACAGAGUUAUCUCCUAAUACUUUAGUGACCUCUUGAUGGUUCCACAACCUACUCCAUUUUCCAGGGUGACGAGGGAAUUUUUCAGAAAUGAUUAAUUUGGCCAUUUCUCGAAGCAAAUCAUGCAUAUUCAACCUGUUAUGUUCAACAGUUACAAGGCAUCGUUCACGAAGGUCACUGAUUCCUACUGUUGCAAAAAACUCACAUCCAUCUAAUAUUUUUGCGACACGGUCCUUAUCCCAUCCAAUAAAGAAACAAGAUAUGUCAAGGAAUAUAUCCUUCUGUGUAGGAUCUAGCCUUUCAAAGCUUACUCUUAGCGGUUUCAUUAUUCCUUCCUCGGGAAAUUUUUUCAAUUUCUCCAACUGAUUUUUCCACUCCGUUGGGGUUCUUUCAAUCAUAGAACCACCUAAAACUUCAAGGGCUAGUGGCAAACCACCACAGUAAGAAACAACCUCCUUUGAGAGUUCAAGAUAUCCUUCAUUAGGCCAACUAUUUCCAAAGGCAUGCCAACUAAAGAGCUUCAGAGCUUCUUCGUCAUUCAUUUCCUUAAGUGGAUAUGUCUUGUCCACUUUCAUGUUCACUUGCUUUAGUAAACGUUCAUCUUGUGUCGUUAUGAUAAUUCUACUUCCUGGGCCAAACCAAUCACGAUUUCCAGCUAUUGCAUUUAGUUGUUCCACUCUGUCUACAUUGUCAAUAAUGACAAGUACACUUCUACGAUGGAGAUGAUUUUUUAUCGGACUGAUACCUUCAUCAACACUGGUUAUCUCAGGCUUGGUCUGUUUCAAGAUGUCAGAAACAAGUUUUUUUUACGAAACAACCAGAUCUUUUUCACUAACGUUGUCAAGGAAACUUUUGAAUUGGAACUCAUGAUGAAUUUUGUUAUAAAUGGCUUUGGCAGCUGUUGUUUUACCCAAUCCACCCAUCCCCCAAAUUCCAACCAUGCAAACAACAUCUGAUCCAGCAUUUGAAAGAUAAGUGAUGAUAUCUUGAAUGCGAGUAUAUAUUCCAACUGGGUGCUUGGCCAUUUGUAAUUCUUCUGCGAUCGGAAGCCAUUUCGGGAUAAUCUUGUCAACAAUUUCUCUAAUAAGCUUUGCUUCGCGCCUGAAAAUUAAAUUUGUGAGCAUUAGUGGGACUCGAUGAACACUAGGAGCUAUCAGUAUAUAGACAAUUUUCUUUCCCCCAUGGCCCCAUAUAUAUUCUAACUAGCUACUAGCUAGUAUAUGAUUUUUUGACCAACCUGAUAAAAGAAAGAACUUAAUUAAACUCCAAUUACGGUUUAGGAUUUAUAUGAGAGGUUAAGAUGUAUUAAUUUAAUUAAGCAUGUUAGCCAAUGUUUAAUUAGCUUCUGUAAAAUGUUAAUUAAGCAUGUUAAUUAUAUGAGAGAUUAAGUCAUUCACUAAAAUGUUUCAAAUCUUGAAAAGCAGGUGAAUGAUUACCCUUUGUCAGUGAUUUGAAGAUGUUGGCCAGACAAAUUUGCAGCUUCUGUAAGAGCCUUUCUCCACUGCUUUACCCUUUCUUGUCUAGUUUCACGUUCCUUGUCAUCUUUUUCUUCACGGAUGCCCUCUUCGUGCUUCUGAAAUGCUUGAGCUAAAUCUUCAUUCUGCUUCCUAACAUGUGAAGGAUCAACAUGAUAGAAUAUUGGUAAAACAUGUCGCCCCGGUUUGUAUCUGCACUCCAUGAUCUUCACCAGCUCAUCAAGACACCAACUCGAGUCCGCAUAACUCUUUGAGAAGACAAUGAUAGAGAUCCUCGCCUCUUUGAUUGCCCGGAACAGUUCCUCUUUUAUUUCUUCCCCUCUUUCUAGAUCAUCCUCAUCGAUAUAAGCCUGGUAUCCCCUGUCUGUUAAUGCCGCGUGGAGGUGGCCCGUGAAACCAUUGCGUGUGUCUACACCGCUGAAGCUCAAGAACACGUCGUAAUUCCAAAGUUUUGACUUGGAGGAGGAUGAAGAGGAGGCUUCGUGGGUUAUCAUGGCGAUAUCCACCGUUAUGGCACUGCAGUGGUUCAGAUCACGACUGCAAAAAUGGCAGUAGUUGUGUUCGUGCUGUCGAACAGAUGAUCCUGAAUUACCUAAACCCAAGUCAAGCUCCUUCAGUCAUCAAGAACAAAGUUUAAAAUAUAAUAAUGUUGGCAUAUGGACUUGAGAAACGACAUAAUGUUGCCGGAAGGUGCAGAGAAAGAGAGAGGAAAAGAGGAACGAAAGGACAAAGACUAUCCAAAAGAUUCUUGGCUGUGAUUACAGCUAUUCAUAUGAGAAACAACAGACAUAUUUUCAUAGGAGAAACAACCUGCCCAUCUUCAUAUAUAAUACAUUUCAAUGGACAUUUUAAUAGGAGAAACAACUUUAGUUUGUACUAGAAAUUUUUACCCGCGCGUUGCUGCGGUAUUUGAAAUUGUAUGAAAGAUUAUCUUUGAAAUAUAUAAUAGAUUGAGUGAUUGAAGAUUAAUACUAUUUACAUUGAAAAUGUUGGAAAAGUUUUACAUACAAAAGAUUUUACGAUACAAUCCACAUACAAAAGAUGGGAAAUUUUUUUCUAUCUAUAUGCAUUAUGUUAUGGAAUGAUAUAUAUAUAUAUAUAUAUAUAUAUAUAUAUAUAUAUAUAUAUAUAUAUAUAACUAAGUGCCAGAAUACGUAACUUCAUAACUUGGAAAUCUUUAGACAAAUUAAUCAGAUUCAACUGUGGGAUAGCAGCGUCGCCUAUAACGUUGUGAAGUCGUGGAAACAUAAAGGACAAAUAACAAAUGAGUUUUGAGAAAUUAUUCCACAAAUGUCAUUCUGCAAAAUGUAUUAAGAUUAGCAAUCAUGAGUAGUGUAACAACAUCAACAAAAUAACUAUAAACCAUAGUGGAACAUAAUUCAAAUUUCGGUUGCAAAAACAAAAGAAAAAGAAAACAGACUUACAAUAAUUCAGUCUCCAAUCCUGAAGUCCUACUCAAAGAGCAAAACUUGAAUGCAAGCUUUAAUCUUCCAAACAAUACAGAUAACAAGGUAACACUCUAGUAAAAAAUGAACCGAGGUGCGAGCUUUCUAAGAAACCCAGAUGACAAAAUCAACAAAAUAGAAUGGAAAAAUGACUUACAUUUUUAAGGCAUGCCCGAAUCUUGAUCUAAAAUUGGUGGUGGGUCGAUUGUUGGUCACCAACUCUAAAUGAAGAAUUCAUCAGAACCUAGAAAUUUAAACAAAGAAUUUUCCAAAAUCAACAACAACAACAACAACAACAAAGCCUUUUCCCACUAAGUGGGGUCGGCUAUAUGAAUCCUAGAACGCCAUUGCGCUCAUUUGUGUCAUGUCCUCCGUUAGAUCCAAGUACUCAAGUCUUUUCUUAGGGUCUCUUCCAAAGUUUUCCUAGGUCUUCCUCUACUCCUUCGGCCCCGAACCUCUGUCCCGUAGUCACAUUUUCGAACCGGAGCGUCAGUAGGCCUUCUUUGCACAUGUCCAAACCACCGGGACCGAUUUUCUCUCAUAUUUCCUUCAAUUUUGGCUACUCCUACUUUACCUCGGAUAUCCUAAUUCUCAAUCUUAUCCUUUCUCGUGUGCCCAUACAUCCCACGAAGCAUCCUCAUCUCCGCUACACCCAUUUUGUGUACGUUGAUGCUUCACCGCCCAACAUUCUGUGCCAUACAACAUCGCUGGCCUUAUUGCCGUCCUAUAAAAUUUUCCCUUGAGCUUCAGUGGCCUACGACGGUCACACAACACGCCGGAUGCACUCUUACACUUCAUCCAUCCAGCUUGUAUUCUAUGGUUGAGAUCUCCAUCUAAUUCUCCGUUCUCUUGCAAGAUAGAUCCUAGGUAGCGAAAACGGUCAUUUUUUUGUGAUCUUCGCUAGAUUGCUCCGGUCAUUAGUGUGGAUAAGUAUAUAAAAUGGAUAGAGAUAGGAAAGCAAACACAAGAUGUACGUGGUUCACCCAGAUUGGCUACGUCCACGGAAUAGAGGAGUUCUCAUUAAUUGUGAAGGGUUUACACAAGUACAUAGGUUCAAGCUCUCCUUUAGUGAGUACAAGUGAAUGAUUUAGUACAAAUGACAUUAGGAAAAAUUGUGGGAGAAUGAUCUCGUAGCCACGAAACUUCUAAGUACCGGAGUGUGGUAUCGUCUUGACUUGCCUUAUCUGUCUCAUAGGUAGAUGUGGCAUCUUCUCUGGAAGUACUCUUCCUCCAUCCAGGGGUGGUAUCUGUAACUGGUGGAGAUGCACAAGGUAAUGUAUCAAUUUCACUUGAAGCUUACUUGUAGUUUCAUGCUUGGUCAAGCGAGAUACAAACCAUGUAGUAGGAGUCCCCCAAGUCGCCGAGCUGGGGGAUCUGCUGAAAGAGGUGACAGACAAGGUAAGCAAUCAGAGCUCCGGCUGAUUGUUCACAUUCUCCCUAUCUUGCAGGCAGCAUGAAGGAUAAAGAGAAGAAAAAUGAGGAGAGAUGAUAUGGGAUACUUUUGCUUUUGAAGAAGUAACUUUCCACAGGCUUAUUCUUGAACUGGGCUGGAGGGUUUUCUGGUUUCCUCCAGAGUAUAAGGCCGACUGAAGAAUUUGAGGGUCAAAACAAGUCCAUCAAAUCUAGAGUACGUUCGACCCUGCUGAUAUGGGAUACUUUUGCUUUUGACAGAGUAGUGGAUGUAUCGGCACGUGUGCUGUUACGCUUGUCUCCACAUGCUUCCUUGUAUCCUUCUCACUUGCCCUAUCUGUUCCUCAGGCAGAUGCGGUAUCUUCCCUGGAAGCAUAAGAUGUUGAAGAUGAGUACUCGAGAGCAAUGCCAGGUAAGUAAUCAGGUAAGGGGUUCCAGGCAGUCAGUUCCUGGCUGGAAGCUUGAUUCCAAGUGCUGACUGAUUGCUCUCUUUCUCCUUGUCUUGCAGGUAAGAACAAGGCCAAAGGAAAAGACAGGGAAAAAGCAUGAUAUGGGAUACUCUUGCUUUUAACCCUGAUGAUAUGAGAUAUUCUUGCUCUAGUAUAGCUUGUUUACAGAGGUAUUAUCGGGGGGAAAAAAAGCUAAAUAUUUCGAAAGGCUUUGUUGGGAGUGCCCUCUCAGAUAAGAGAAAGGGUUGAGCAUUUUUGCAGGUCUGCCUGUCCGUUAGGGAUGGAAGGUCGACAUAUAUAGGAGUCUCCCUAACAUCAAGUAAUAAUGCUAUUCCUUUACCCUGCUUGGUUAUAGCACGGUAGUGGGAGCUGCCAGCUUCACAUGUUUUAACUCUGUCAGAGCACUUUGAAAAAGUGGUCUGUGGUAUCUGGAAAGCUGAUGUUGCGUGUGAAGAUUACAGACAAGCUGUCGGGGGUCUGGCUCUCGAGAUUCGGAGAACGAUGCCUCUUCGAUUUUUGAGAAAGCAAUCCUGCUGGGGGUCUGGCUCUCGAGAUUCGGAGAGCGGUGUCUCUUCGAUUUUUGAGAAAGUAAUCAUGUUGGGAGUCUGGCUCUCGAGAUUCGGAGGGCGGUGCCUCUUCGAUUUUGGAGCAAGCAAUCUUGUUGGGAGUGUUUUCUCGAAUGUGAGUAAAGGUUGGGCAUGUUUGCUAGUCUACCUUGCCACGAAGCACAGAGGUUGACACACAGGGACUUUCCAAUUAUCCAGCAGUGGUACUGUUCCUUUACCCUCUCUUCGAUUUUUGAGAAAGUAAUCAUGUUGGGAGUCUGGCUCUCGAGAUUCGGAGGGCGGUGCCUCUUCGAUUUUGGAGCAAGCAAUCUUGUUAGGAGUGUUUUUUUCUCGAAUGUGAGUAAAGGUUGGGCAUGUUUGCUAGUCUACCUUGCCACGAAGCACAGAGGUUGACACACCGGGACUUUCCAAUUAUCCAGCAGUGGUACUGUUCCUUUACCCUUGUGGGUAAUAAUAUGGUAGCUAGACCUUCAAAAUUUAUGUGUCUAAACUUUGUUAGUGUUGUUUCUUUGCAAUUCUUUUACCCUUCUUGGUCAGAGCGAUGUAGUGGGAGCUGCAAGCUUCACGUGUCUCAACUUUGUCAGAGAACUUUGGCAAAGUUAUCUGUGGUACCCAUGAGCUACUGUUGCGUGUGGGAAGUGGGUGAUUGAACAGUACGAUUCAUGUGCUUUCUACUUCGCCAGAAAUCUUCGACAGAAUGCCCAUAAUUUCCGCAAAGCUGAGUGUGCGUGUGACAGGUGCUGACAAGGCUGGAAAAGUAGGUGCCUCUUCGAUUUCUGAAAUCGGCCCUCGUGGUCUCUGAGCAGCCCAGCUUUUGAGAAAGCAAGCCUCUUCGAUUUUCUGAGAUCGGCCUUUGUGGUCUUUGAGCAGCCCAGCUUUUUGAGAAUCUCUGAGCAGCCCAGCUUUUGAGAAAGCAAACGCCUCUUCGAUUUCUGAGCAGGCGCCUCUUCGAUUUCUGAAGCUUCGUCGAGUGCAGAUUUUUAUAGGGGCUGACAUUAAGUUCCAAAGCACACUUGAAUAUCCACCAGUAGAAGCUCCAUUCUUGCACUUCUAAGAUCUUGAUUUGUCCGACCUCUUCUCUCUUCAACACCUUUGAAAAUGUCUGGCCCCUCCGACCGUCGUUUUGACUUGAACCUUGUUGAAGAGGCAGCCCCGCCUUCUCCAGACAACAUAUGGCGCCCAUCCUUCGUCUCCCCUACUGGUCCUCUUACCGUUGGGGAUUCCGUGAUGAAGAAUGAUAUGACCGCUGCGGUAGUGGCCAGGAACCUUCUCACUCCCAAAGAUAACAGACUAUUUUCCAAACGGUCUGAUGAGUUGUCUGUUAAGGAUUCUCUGGCUCUCAGUGUUCAGUGUGCAGGUUCUGUGUCUAAUAUGGCCCAACGCCUAUUUGCUCGAACCCGCCAAGUUGAAUCAUUGGCGGCUGAAGUGAUGAGUCUCAAACAGGAGAUUAGAGGGCUCAAGCAUGAGAAUAAACAGUUGCACCGGCUCGCACAUGACUAUGCUACAAACAUGAAGAGGAAGCUUGACCAGAUGAAGGAAUCUGAUGGUCAGGUUUUACUUGAUCAUCAGAGAUUUGUGGGUUUGUUCCAAAGGCAUUUAUUGCCUUCGUCUUCUGGGGCUGUACCGCGUAAUGAAGCUCCAAAUGAUCAAUCCUCUGAUGCCUCCUCCUUCUAGGGUUUUGUCCAAUACUGAGGCUCCGAAUGAUCCCCCUCCGGUGCCUUCUCUUUCUGGGGCUCUACCGACUGCUGAGACUUCUCCUAAGCAACCUUUGUGAAGGCUCCCUCUUGUUUGUUUAUUUUGACUCAAGUAUAUGUACAUAUUUGUAACUUAUCGGGGAUAUCAAUAAAUAAGUUUUUCCUUCAUUUCAACGUAUUGUGUUAAAUACACCAAAGCCUUCUUCGCUAAGUUCUUUGAAUUUUCUUUUGUUGAAGCUUGUAUGUUGAAGCUUUGUGAGUGGAGCAUAUAGGUUGAGGUAGUGUUCCCUUAAUUUCCCGAGUGAGGAAAACUUCUCGGUUGGAGACUUGGAAAAUCCAAGUCACUGAGUGGGAUCGGCUAUAUGAAUCUUAGAACGCCAUUGUGUUCUGUCCUGUGUCAUGUCCUCCGUUAGAUCCAAGUACUCUAAGUCUUUUCUUAGGGUCUCUUCCAAAGUUUUCCUAGGUCUUCCUCUGCCCCUUCGGCCCUGAACCUCUGUCCCAUAGUCGCAUCUUCUAAUCGGAGCGUCAGUAGGCCUUCUUUGCACAUGUCCAAACCACCGUAACCGAUUUUCUCUCAUAUUUCCUUCAAUUUCGUCUACUCCUACUUUACCCCGGAUAUCCUCAUUCCUAAUCUUAUCCUUUCUCGUGUGCCCACACAUCCAACGAAGCAUCCUCAUCUCCGCUACACCCAUUUUGUGUACGUGUUGAUGCUUCACCGCCCAACAUUCUGUGCCAUACAGCAUCGCCGGCCUUAUUGCCGUCCUAUAAAAUUUUCCCUUGAGCUUCAGUGGCAUACGGCGGUCACACAACACGCCGGAUGCACUCUUCCACUUCAUCCAUCCAGCUUGUAUUCUAUGGUUGAGAUCUCCAUCUAAUUCUCCGUUCUUUUGCAAGAUAGAUCCUAGGUAACGAAAACGGUCGCUCUUUGGUAUUUCUUGAUCUCCGAUCCUCACCCCUAACUCGUUUUGGCCUCCAUUUGCACUGAACUUGCACUCCAUAUAUUCUGUCUUUGAUCGGCUUAGGCGAAGACCUUUAGAUUCCAACACUUCUCUCCAAAGGUUAAGCUUUGCAUUUACCCCUUCCUGAGUUUCAUCUAUCAACACUAUAUCGUCUCUGCGAAAAGCAUACACCAAGGAAUAUCACCUUGAAUAUGUCCUGUUAACUCAUCCAUUACCAACGCAAAAAGGUAAGGACUUAAGGAUGAGCCUUGAUGUAAUCCUACAGUUAUGGGAAAGCUUUCGGUUUGUCCUUCAUGAGUUCUUACGGCAGUCUUUGCUCCUUCAUACAUAUCCUGUAUAGCUUGGAUAUAUGCUACUCGUACUCCUUUCUUCUCUAAAAUCCUCCAAAGAAUGUCUCUUGGGACCCUAUCAUACGCUUUUUCCAAAUCUAUAAAGACCAUGUGUAAAUCCUUUUUCCCAUCUCUAUAUCUUUCCAUCAAUCUUCGUAAGAGAUAGAUUGCCUCCAUGGUUGAGCGCCCUGGCAUGAACCCGAAUUGGUUGUCCGAAACCCGUGUCUCUUGCCUCAAUCUAUGCUCAAUGACUCUCUCCCAGAGCUUCAUUGUAUGACUCAUUAGCUUAAUUCCCCUAUAGUUCAUGCAAUUUUGUACAUCGCCCUUAUUCUUGUAGAUAGGCACCAAAGUGCUCAUUCGCCACUCAUUCGGCAUCUUCUUCGUUUUCAAAAUCCUAUUGAAAAGGUCAGUGAGCCAUGUUAUACCUGUCUCUCCCAAAAUUUUCCACACUUCGAUUGGUAUCGUCUGGGCCUACUGCUUUUCUAUGCUUCAUCUUCUUCAAAGCUACACCCACUUCUUCCUUCCGGAUUCUACGAUAAAAAGAGUAGUUUCUACACUCUUCUGAGUUACUCAACUCCCCUAAAGAAGCACUCCUUUCAUGUCCUUCAUUGAAAAGAUUAUGAAAAUAACCUUUUCAUCUGUCUUUAACCGCGUUCUCUGUAGCAAGAACCUUUCCAUCCUCAUCCUUGAUGCACCUCACUUGGUUUAGGUCCUAAAAUCAACAUUUACUAAAAACCAUUUACUUGGUUAUCAUGCAAGAUGGCUUGCCAAAGAUUGAAUUAAGGAAUGCACAACUUUACUUUUAUGAUUAUUUUCAAUGACAGCUAAAAGGUCAGAUCCAAAUGAAAAUAAAACUUUGGACUUCACAAAACCAAUUAAAAAUCUAAUUCCAAAGUUACAAACACCCACCAAAUGAUUCCAGAUAAAGUUUUAAACUCAAGGUCAGACCCAAAUGAAAUUAAAAGUUAGGACUUCACAAAACCAAUUGAAAAUCUGAUUCCAAAGUUCCAAACACCCACCAAAUGAUUCCGGAUAAAGUUUAAACUCAAAACACCAACAGAAACAAAAGCAUUGGUGUGAAUUAACUGUAUCUAAUUGAAGAAACUAAAACAAAAGUAAGCAAAGUACAUACCUCAAAAUGUCAAGCAACUAAGUUCUUCCUCCGACGACCCAAAACUCUGAAAAUUCCACACAAAAAAAAAGGUAAAUCCAUUAGCAAUUCAUAGCUUUCCAAAUUAGCAAAAACUUGGGCAACAAUAAAGAUGCGUUGAGAACCAUCACUCUUUCUCCUUAUGUAUUUGAAAAGAUAUUUUAUAAGCAGUUUAUGUAGUCAUUCUGAUCAUGUUGCAUAUAAAUUCCUUUUCUACAGAGUUCAAAAAUAUAUGGCAGUUUAUGGCAUCUGUUGAAUAACAUGGUUGAAAGAUUUAAAAUUGAUACAUUCAAUUUUCAUGUGUAAAACUAUAACAUAUAGCUAAAGCUAUUGGGUCUAUAUAUCCAUAUCAAUCAAGUCGUAAUUGAAUGUUUAUCGAUGUAAAAAGAUGAUUUCAGUCAUGUGAUAACAUGCUUCUUGAUAGUAUAGCUGAAGUUUGGUCUAAGUUGGAUACAAAUCGACCAAAAUCUAUAAGAGACUCUUUUAACUUUUAACCAAAAAAUAAGCACCACAAUACUACACUUAUAAGUUUUAUCAUGCACAAAAUACACAGCACUGAUUGCCACUUUUAGAGUAAGAACAAUACUUUACCAGAAGAAAACAACAAAACACUCAAAACCCAGAAACUAGAAACACACUUGGGAUUCAAACUCCUCAAAAACAUGAGAAAGAGAGAGAGUGUGUGUGAGGAAAGAGAAUAAAAAACAAUAUUAUUUUUCACACAAACUCAAAAUUGCUUAUAAAAUUAGAAAUCGAAACAAAUUAAUGCAAAUCCAAAAUUGACCUAAAUUAAAUCUGAUUAGUUAAAUGUUUGUUGCCCUACAAAUGUCAUUACACGUUGAUAUUUUGGUCAAUCCUGGGGAAAAGGAGUUAUUGGUGUUGGAGCAGUUGUCAUGGAGAAUACCAUCUCCCUGUUGAAUGAUCUAAAACAGGACUUACUGCUUUAGCUGGCCAUAAUAAUUUAGGAGGCCCUUCUCUCCAGAUUUUCUCAAUAACUUUCCUUUUCGUAGCUGGUAAGAUUGCAACUCUAAGAAUUGCUCCGAAGAUAUAUAUACAAACAAAAUCAACCUAAAACUAAGCUAUUGGAAGAAAUUUGGAAAACACAAACACCACUACACCUCAGAGUUAAAGUCAACAGAAACCAAAUGGUACAAGUUGAAAAAAUAUAUGGUCAUGAAUCGAGAACUUCAUCAAACUAACAGCAAUAAAAUCUCAUAUAAUCUAUCAAAAACCAAAAAAGAGAGAGGUAAUUUCAAGACCUUGUAACGCUGAGGCCUCGUACAGUUGUAGUACUAAUAUAUGGUUGAUGCACCUGUUGCUCAAUCAAAUCCUUUGUCUGGCUAGAAAAAAUAAAAUUCUAUAAAUACAUUCACGUCCAAUUUAUGAGAAAUCAUGGGAAAGCAAAUGCACUGAUAACAGAAUCAUGAAUAUGAAGAACUUGCCAAAAAGAAAAAGAAAACUUCUUAUAGUGUGCCAAGAACAUCCUCCUACUCCUAGCAAAUUUUUUAUGGCAUUAUCCACUUCUCAAUUCAUAAUUCAACCAGUAACCCAAAGUCUAUAGUGUAUGAAAUAGUGAUAUCUUAGUUGAUCAUGAUGAUAAUUAAGCAGAUUAAAUGAGGACCCAUAAAGCAUACAAAAAUUCAGAAAAGAAAAGGUCCAAAACUGCCAUGAGAAAACGCAGAAUAUAUAAACGGAAAAUCAAAAUAAGAGAAGCGAAAAAGGAAGACAAAACCAAACAAAAAGGCCACAAUCAUGAAAGUCAAACACAAACAAUCCAAACAUUUGUGGAAAAUACCAAUAAAUGCUCAACUAAAAACGAAAGAAAAUGUAGAAUAAGUUUACCUGUUCUUCCCCUAAUUAAACUGAAAUACAAUUCACCACUAAUAUUCUCGUCAUCCUCUUCAGCCUGAAAAAUUUAGUAGAACAUAAUGAUAAGAAUCUAGCAGUAUUUCCAUUGUUUAAAACCCAAAUUCCAGAAAUCAUGAAAAAUGGAAACUUUAUAUGGAAACUGAAGCUUUACCUGCAGAUCAGCAGCAGCAAACGGAAUCCAACGGGAUGUACCUCAAAAGUGAGAGAGAGAGGUGAGAGAUGAGUGAGAGAAUCGAUAAACAAAACCCCCCAAAAUCACAAAAGGAAAUUUGAACAGAAAACAAAUUUGAAAAUCCAAAAUCACAAAAACGAAAUUGAAACACCCACACUGAGAAAGCUGUAUAACUCACCAGGAAACGCUAGCCUUUCUGGGUAACAAAAUUAUUCCGAUCGAAUUGAAGAACGGAGGAAAGUUCUACUAGUUCAGAGGUUAUUCCAGUGUGCCAAGUACGAAUAUGAACGGGGAAUGGGGAGCUGGCUGAGGGAGACAGAAUUUGAGAAGCAGCGUUCUGAUUCUUUAUAUGAGAGAAAGCGGAAUGAAGAGAAUCGGGAAGGGGAGGAACCAUUUUAAGCGAUGACGGACGCGUGGGAAUUGAGGGCAAAUUUGCCAUUUUGCUGUGAACCCAAAAGUCAAGACUUGGCUUGGUUUAUAUAAUUAAUCAAGGGUAAAAGACUGUUUACUACCCUCAUGUUUUGUGGUUUUCAACAUUUAGUACAUCCUUCGUGGUUUUCAACAUUUAGUACAUCAUGUUUUUUUCGUCUCAGAGUCAUACCUAAAGUGUAAAUUUUGGGACAGUCUCAUACAUCCGUUAGUCAAACUGUUAAGUUUUUCGUUAACUGUGACGUGGCGCACUGGCUGGGCGCCACGUGUCAUCCACGUUUUCUUCUUCUUCUUCUUCUUCUUCUUCUUCUUCUUCUUCUUCUUCUUCUUCUUCUUCUUCUUCUUCUUCUUCUUCUUCUUCUUCCUCUUCUUCUUCUUCUUCUUCUUCUUCUUCUUCUUCUUCUUCUUCUUCUUCUUCUUCUUCUUCUUCUUCUUCUUCUUCUUCUUCUUCUUCUUUUUCUUCUUCUUCUUCUUCUUCUUCUUCUUCUUCUUCUUCUUCUUCUUCUUCUUCUUCUUCUUCUUCUCUUCUUCUUCUUCCUUCUUCUUCUUCUUCUUCUUCUUCUUCUUCUUCUCUUCUUCUUCUUCUUCUUUCUUCUUUUCUUCUUCUUCUUCUUCUUCUUCUUCUUCUUCUUCUUCUUCCUUCUUCUUCUUCUUCUUCCUUCUUCUUCUCUCUUCUUCUUUCUUCUUCCUUCUUUCUUCUUCUUUCUUCCUCCUCCGACUGUAACUUUUUUUUUUUUUUCUUCUUCCUUCGCCUUCUUCUUUUCUUCUUCUUCUUCUUCUUCUUCUUCUUCCUCUUCUUCUUCUUCUUCCUCCUUCUUCUUCUUCUUCCUUCUUCUUCUUUCUUCUUCUUCUUCUUCUUCUUCCUCUUCUUCUUCUUCUUCUUCCUCCUCCGACUGUAACUUUUUUUUUUCUUCUUCCUUCGCCUUCUUCCUUCCUUCCUACUUCCUUCCCUUUCUUCCCCUUCUUCCUUCUUCUUCCUUCUCAUUCUCCUUCUUCUUCCCGAAUCUGGGUCUCAGAGUCAUACCUAAAGUGUAAAUUUUGGGACAGUCUCAUACAUCCGUUAGUCAAACUGUUAAGUUUUUCGUUAACUGUGACGUGGCGCACUGGCUGGGCGCCACGUGUCAUCCACGUUUUCUUCUUUCUUCUUCUUCUUCCUCUUCUUCUUCUUCUUCCUCCUCCGACUGUAACUUUUUUUUUUUUCUUCUUCCUUCGCCUUCUUCCUUCCUUCCUACUUCCUUCCCUUUCUUCCCCUUCUUCCUUCUUCUUCCUUCUCAUUCUCCUUCUUCUUCCCGAAUCUGGGUCUCAGAGUCAUACCUAAAGUGUAAAUUUUGGGACAGUCUCAUACAUCCGUUAGUCAAACUGUUAAGUUUUUCGUUAACUGUGACGUGGCGCACUGGCUGGGCGCCACGUGUCAUCCACGUUUUCUUCUUCUUCUUCUUCUUCUUCUUCUUCCUUCUUCUUCUUCUUCUUCUUCCUCCUCCGACUGUAACUUUUUUUUUUUUUCUUCUUCCUUCGCCUUCUUCCUUCCUUCCUACUUCCUUCCCUUUCUUCCCCUUCUUCCUUCUUCUUCCUUCUCAUUCUCCUUCUUCUUCCCGAAUCUGGGGAAGCUUUUUUUUUUUUUUUUUUUUUUUUUUCUCUUCUUCUUCUUCUUUCUCUUUCCUCCUUCCUUCUUCUUCUUCUUCUUCUUCUUCUUCUUCCUCCGAAUCUGCCCAGAUUCAGUUUUUUUUUUUUCUUCCUCCUUCUUCUCCUUCUUCCUUCCCCUUCUUCGUUCUUCUUCUUCUUCCUCCGAAUUUGGGGGAAGAUGAAAGUGUUUUUUUUUUUUUUUUGAGGAAGAAGAAGAAGAAGAAGAAGGGGAAGGAAGAAGGAGAAGGAGGAAGAAAAAAUUGCAGUCGGAGGAAGAAGAAGAAGAAGAAGGAAGAAGAAGGAAGAAGGAGGAAGAAGAAGAAAGAAAGAAAAAAAAAAAAAACCAAACUUCCCCAGAUUUCGGAGGAAGAAGAAGAAGAAGAAGAAGGAGAAGGAAGAAGGGGAAGGAAGAAAAAGGAAGAAGAAGAAAGAACAAAAAAAAAAAAAAAAAAAAACAAACUUCCCUAGAUUUCGGAGGAAGAAGAAGGAGAAUGAGAAGGAAGAAGCAGAAGGGGAAGAAAGGGAAAAGAAGGAGGAAGGAAGGAAGAAGGAGAAGGAAGAAGAAAAAAAAAAAAAAAGUUGCAGUCGGAGGAAGAAGAAGAAGAAGAAGGAAUAAGAAAAGAAAAGAAAGAAAAAAAAAAAAGAAAAAAAAAAAAACAUGGAUGACACGUGGCGCCCAGUCAGUGCGCCACGUCACAGUUAACGAAAAACUUAACAGUUUGACUAAUGGAUGUAUGAGACUGUCCCAAAAUUUACACUUUAGGUAUGACUCUGAGACGAAAAAAACUUGAUGUACUAAAUGUUGAAAACCACGAAACAUUAGGGUAGUAAACAGUCUUUUACCCAUUAAUCAAUAAUAUUCCAUAACAAGAGCUAGGUCCAUAUAUUAUACAAUGUUCUAAUAGAUGAUAGACGCUCGUCGUGCGGUGAGUUAGGGUUUAACGGAUAGGCGAGGUCUAGUGUCUAGGCAGAUUUAAGUAAAUUUAUUAUAUAUUAUAUAAACUUAAAAUGAUAAAUAAUUGUAUUAGGAUAUAUAAAUUACAAAAUAAAAUAAUAUAUAUUAUAAAGUAUUAAAACAUAGGAGAAAAGACCCAAAUAUGAAUAGGAGAAAAGACCCAAAUGUGAAAAGACAACUAUAAACAAUUAUUCAAGAUGGACGGUAAAUGAUUCAGCCAUUUACAAGAUUCAAAACGUAGGAUCACAAUCUACUGAAUGGUUGUCUUAACUAUUAGGCCAUGCUCUAAAUAUAAUACAUCCAAAUGGGGGUGGACCGCAUAAUACACCCCAAUGGACCGUUUUAAGCUACUCCACUGCUAAAACUAUUGCAAAUUGCGCAUUAGGAUUAUACUUGUAUUAGCUGCGCCUUUCCUUACGAGGCAAAUGAACCAUAUAAUAGUUUCCAAAAAAAAAAAAAAAAACCUUAUAGUACACCAAGAUGGAUGUUAUACACGUUGGAGUUUGAGCAGAAUUCUUUUUGUUAUCUCAUUGUCUCACAUUGCUAGAAUUGAAAAGUUUAUAAUAUAACAAUGUUCACGUAUGAACUUGAGAAACGACAUACUACCGGUUGGGUGGGAAAGUGUGAAGUGAAAGAGAGGAAAGGAAGAAAGAAACGAACACGAAAGGACAAGGACUAUCCAAUAGAUUAUAAACAAUGAUUUAUUGGGGUGAUUACAGUUAUUUAAUUAUCAAUAAUGCAUUAUUUUAGUUUGGAAUUUGGAAGCAUUUGAGAAGUAACAUGACAACAACCACAUAAUAAACAAAAGUGAUUGGAAAAAAGACCGAAAAUGUGAAAUAAUAAUUAAAAACAACUAUUCAAGAUUAGUGAUAAAUGAUUCAACCAUUUACAAGAUAUGAAUUUAGAACAACAAUCUAUUAGAUCGUUGUAUUAAUUAUUAAGUGGUGCUCUAAUAUAAUAGAUCCAAAUGGGGACGGACCGUAUAAAACACCCAAAUGAACAACAAUCUAUUAGUUUUUAGGCUCCACUGCUAAAAACUAAAGCAAAAUAGGCAUUAGGAUUAAACUUGUAUUAGCUAUCUUUCCUUACUAGUCAAAUGAACCAUACAAUACACCCAAAUGGAUGCCAUCAUGCCAUAUAUAAACAAUGUUUUGAAGGGACAAGGUUGCUAACGCUGCCUUUUUAUAUAUGUAAGCAACAACCCUAAAUCUUAUUGGAACUAAUUAACUAAUGUAUUUAUUAGACAGUUGGAUUCCUUAACAAGUAGUUAACUAUUUUUGUUUAGUUUAGUAGUCAGGUCGUAAUUAAUUAGUCAAAUGAACCAUAUAAUACACCCAAAUGGAUACCAUAUAUGCAUAUAUAAACAAUGUUUUCAAAGGAUGAAAUGACUUUCUUGCCGGUAUGGGGGAAGAGGAAAGAAACUAGCACGAAAUUGCAGACCAUAUCGAUCCAUUAUAAUAAAUUUCAAUGGUCCAAGUUGUAAGUUAAUUGUGCAAGGUAAAAACUUAUUUACAAUUAUCAACUUAACCACGUACCUAUGGAAGACAUCGUCUCAGAAAACUAGGAUUAAGAACUAAAGUUCUCCUGCAACUCUACACAACUGAAAGCAAGGCUUGCUCAAUGGGGCUUGAGUUUUCUAUGAACUUGCGUAUUUAGUGGAGAGAGCAGGGACCUCAUUUUUAUACAUGGAAUUCAAUAAGGAUCCCUCCCAUUAAGUGAUCCUUAUCAAAGAGUAGCAUUAUCAAUGUAAAACACUUAUGCAUUAUAUCAGCUAGAAGAGUUUUAGUUUUACCGAGAAUGUAUCUGACUUGAAACUGUAAAGAAAUACAACCCCUGAUAAGUCUACCACAAGUGUCAAUCCUUAUCUCCUUAUCAUUCCACAUGUAUCAAAGCACCAAGUGUUUGCUCUCAUAUAGAACUUACACAAGUCUCAUGUAAUUUCAUCUAACUUAUUUUCUACAACGGUAAAUAUAUUUUAAUGGCUCCGGUUUUCACAUGCCAGUCAGUCACACGCUCAACUCCUCAACGUUCGGGCUUAGUGGCUCGAAGAGAGCUUCCACUUCACUCUGGUUCACAUCCCUCUUACUUUGACGGGUUCCACUUCGGAUUCUGCAUUGACAAAAAACAGAAGCAAAAGAUAACGAUCUGUUCUGAUACAAGGAAAGUAAGAUGAUUGUAUAACUGUAGGUCUAGUAGAGGCUGUAAUGGUUUAUGUUGCAGCAACUCCGUCAGCAAGUGAUUUUAUAGUAAGGAAUCUUGAGCAUAAUUAACGAACCUGAUCCUUGUCCACCAAAACUGCCCGUACACCUUCAGCAAAAUCAUUCCGCAAAGACGAUCUUAUGGCAACGCGAUAUUCCGUUUUCGUCACACCAGUUAGCUGGUAUGGAUUAAGUAAAGCACAUGUUACUCACUCAGAAAAUGUGAAAUACUACAACACAAAAUCCAUCAAAAAGGAUGCAACUACGCGAUGAAUGAAACGAAAAGGUAGAAAGUAAGACUCACUGGAUAAUUGAUUGUCAUUUUUCCCAAGCGCAGAUGCAACUUUGGAGAAGUAAUUUUGCGUCAAAUACAGUGAAAGAGGAGCACCCUUUCCAAGACCUUGAAGAGCUUCAUUAGCCCACUCCACCACUACAACAGAAACAAUUUGAUAGAAAAUACUUGACAGCGACGUACAAGCCUCUCUAUAGAAGAGUAAGACAGACUUCAUUUCGUCAUCGAUAAACAAAUGGCAUUGACAAACUUACCAGUAGCAUCUGAACUCUGUUGCUGCUUUUUAAGUUCAUCAAUCGUCACAAGAACCGACUUAUUUGCACCAAAUGCUGAAGUUAUUUGAGGUAAAAGACUCCUGAGCUGCGCUUCAAAUCUGGGUUGCUGCUGAAUUUCGCCACAGUUGUAAUUGACAACAUUGACAAUUGUCUCUCUGACAAGGCAAUAGUACCUUCGUAAUGAUCCGGUACUGACCGUGACCCGAUAGGCCAAUACCAAAGGCAAUUUUUAUGCCCAUGAAGCUUAUAAGUGGCUGUCAAGCCCGACACAUGAAAGAUUAUGUGCGACUUUAAUUAUGCAAAGAGUGAAGAGGCAAUUUUCACCAACCUCCAGUCAAGAAUUUGGGACUCACAAAUAACUACCCAAUAUGCUUUUCCCUCGUGCAUUUCGUUCAUGGUUCGAUAUUCUGGUGUCCUAGGACCCCGACAUGAAAAGUUCCAACUUUUGUUCAAUUUCUUGACGAAACAAUCACAUUUACCCUUACGGCACGGCACGGUUCCGGGCAUAGAAUAUGGGUUGGGUUCCGUUACAGCUCCACUAAUUAGCACCGUAGAGAGGGAAAUAAAAAGACAAGUUUGGAUUUCUUACAACGUAGUGAGUCUCUCGACAUGGCUCCUGUGUUGGAUGCUAAACACUUCCAGGUGGAUCGAGAAGGGAUGCAGCAGCAACAUCAAAUGAAGCUAACGGCUAGUUUUUUUAAUUUGUAACGGCUAGUAAGUUUUAGUAAUAGUUUUUGACAAGUGUAAAGCUUAGAUUAAAAGCUCCAAUGAAGGGCUUAGAUUAGCUUUGUACUAUCAGGUUGUUGUGGUUUUUGUCAGCUAGCUCCAAUGGAGAUAAGGGCUGACUGUACACACCAAAACCCUACUGACACCAUAUAUAUAUGAGUGUUAUGUGCUGCUGCAAUGAAAGACUGCAUAUAGCCGAAAUUCCCCUUCCAUAUUUCUGUGAAGAACAUUACCAUUCUCCAUAACACAAACCUUUCAAAACAAUCAUACAAAAUAUAAACCUUAUAAAACACUAACAUGGCCUCAGAGCUUAGUUCCUGAUCUCAGAAAUCUGGGCGUUGUGGAAUCUGUAUUUGGGGUUGUUCAGGUAGAGGCUGAAACCCUAGGUGUCAAUACAAGUCGAAGAUGAAAGGAUCUGUGAGUGGCGAUCUUAAAGCUCUAAUCUUUGAUGGAGAAAACUAUGACUAUUGGAGGAUCCGGAUGACAACCAUCUUCAAGUCGUAUGAUCUCUGGGAAAUGGUUCAACAUGGAUAUGAACUACCAGAAAUGGAGAUUGAUGCUCUAGAAGAGGAUCUUACAGAGAAGCAGAUAGCUACACUGAAGGAGAAUAGGAUGAAUGAUGCUAGAGCGUUGGGAAUCAUUCAAGGGGCUGUCUCAGACUUCAUAUUUCCCAGGAUAGCAAAUGAAGAAACUGCUAAAGCUGCUUGGGAUACUCUGCAACAAGAAUACAGAGGAGAUGUGAAGGUACGGAAAGUAAAACUCCAGUCUCUUAGACGUGAUUUUGAAUAUACACGCAUGAGAGAAGAUGAGCCACUUAAAGACUAUUUUUCUAGGCUGUUUGAUGUUGUGACUCAAAUGAAAACUUAUGGAGAAGAACUGCCUAAUGAAAGAAUAGUGCAAAAGCUUCUAAUUAGUUUGACUAAGCCUUAUGACUCUAUUGUGAGUGUAAUAGAAGAAACUAAGGAUACUGAUACACUCAGUGUGCAAGAUGUGAUGGCUUCCUUGAGAGCUUUUGACCAAAGGCUCGAAAGACAUGCUGAUGGGACAACUGAGAAGGCUUUCCAGUCACUUAACAUAGGGGCUUCUAGUCAUUCUAAUCAACAUCAAAAUAGACCGAGGAAAGAUUGGAAAGGAAAAAAAUAAGAAAUGGGAAGGAAGACCAAGUGGGGAGAAUAGACACAACAGUGGAAACAACAGUGGUGGUAAAAUUAAACCAUUGUGCAAAUACUGUGAUAAAGCACACUUUGGUGAAUGUUGGUUCAAGGGAAAACCAAAAUGUCACAAAUGCAAUAGAUUUGGUCACCUACAGAAAGAUUGCAGAUCAAAUACUACUCAGCAAGUGAACAUUGCAAAUCGAGUACAAGAUGAAACAAAUGUUUUUUUGUGCUUUUAGUGCCAGUGUUGUAAAAGAUAGUGAAGUUUGGUAUAUAGACAGUGGGUGCAAUAAUCAUAUGACUGCCCACGAGUCUCUAUUGACAGACACUGACACUACAUAUACUGGAAAAGUAAAAAUGGGAAAUGGCAAUAUUGUGGAAGCAACUGGCAGGGGCACUCUCAUCAUAGAAACCAAGAGAGGAAGAAGACACAUUAAGGAAGUCAUGUUGGUACCUGGUCUGGAGGAAAACCUUUUAAGUGUUGGACAGAUGAUGGAACAUGGUUAUUUCUUACUGUUUGGAGAUACUAUGGUUGAAAUAUAUGAUGAUAGAACUCUGUCGAAUCUGGUUGUGAAAGUUCAAAUGAAAAACAGAAGCUUCCCAUUAUUGCUAAAGUGCUUGGAAGAAGUGGCAAGAAAGGCAAGCACAAUUGACUCAGAGAGAUUAUGGCACAAAAGAUUUGGACACUUGAAUGUGCAAAGUUUGAAAAACCUGCAGAAACAUGAAAUGGUGCAAGGUUUGCCCCAACUGGAUGAAAUGAAUGAAGUUUGUGAAGGCUGUGCAUUUGGAAAACAACACAGGGACAAUUUCGAAAUUGGAAAGGGUUAGAGAGCUGCAAAACCACUAGAACUAAUUCACACUGAUGUGUGUGGUCCAAUGAAGAAUGCAUCCAUCAGUGGGAACAAGUAUUUUUUGACUUUCAUAGAUGACUACUCAAGAAUGUGUUGGGUAUAUUUUAUGAGAUUCAAAUCAGAAGUCUUUAAUAUUUUCAAGAAGUUUAAAGCAAUGGUGGAGCUGCAAAGUGGGUAUCAAAUCAAGAAGAUAAUGAGUGAUAGGGGAUGUGAGUAUACCUCACUGGAAUUCAAUGCUUUCUGUGAGGAAUUGGGUCUAGAAAGGCAACUCACAGUAGCAUACACUCCUCAACAAAAUGGCACUGCAGAGAGAAAUAACAGAACUAUAGUGGAGAUGGCAAAGUCCAUGCUGCAUGAAAAGAAAAUGCCCUAUUCAUUUUGGGGAGAAGUUGUGAACACUGCUGUGUAUAUCUUGAAUAGAUGUCCCACCAAGGCUUUGGAGAAAUGAACACCAUUUCAAGUGUUCAGUGGAAGAAAGCCUGGAGUCAAGCAUUUGAAAGUUUUUGGCUCUGUGUGUUAUGCACUUGUGCCAUCACAACUCAGACGUAAAUUACAAGAAUCCAGCAACAAGUGCAUCUUUGUUGGAUAUGGUACAAAUGAGAAAGGCUAUAGAUUGUACAACUUGAAAACUCAGAAAAUCAAUCUCUUAAGAGAUGUGAUUUUUGAUGAAGAAACAUUGUGGAAUUGGGAAACAAAAGCAGUGGAAGAAGACAAAGUAUUACUGCAAAUUGGUGUUACUGAACAAAGAAUUGCACAAAAUGGAAGUGGUGCAACUCAUGAAUUUGAAGAAGGAAGCAUACAAAGCUCUCAGAUUUCACCAUUUCAAACUUCUCAAAGUUCACAGAACUCAAGUGCAAGUUCAAUGUCUCAACAGGAAGAGCAACAAAGCUCAAGCUCUAGCUCGGGAUCAACACCAAUUAAGAUGAGAAGCUUGGAUGAAAUCUAUGCUGCUUGCAAUUUUUGUGUUACUGAACCAGAAACUUUUGAAGAAGCUGAAAGUGACAAGGCAUGGCAGAUAGCAAUGGAAGAUGAAAUCUCAAUGAUAAAGAAAAAUGGAACUUGGACUCUAGUUGAUAGACCAAGUGAUAAACCUGUGAUUGGUGUGAGAUGGGUUUAUAAAACCAAGUUGAACUUGGAUGGAUUUGUGCAAAAGAACAAGGCUAGAUUGGUGGCUAAAGGAUACUCCCAAAAGCCUGGAAUUGAUUUUAAUGAGACAUUUGCACCUGUGGCUAGACUAGAUACAAUUAGAACUCUAAUUGCAUUAGCUGCACAGAAAGGUUGGCAGCUAUAUCAGUUAGAUGUUAAGUUUGCAUUCCUAAAUGGUGUGCUAGAGGAAGAGGUCUAUGUGGACCAGCCACAAGGUUUUGAAGUCAAAAGGUCCGAGAGCAAGGUGUAUAGACUAAAGAAGGCACUCUAUGGCCUGAAACAGGCACCAAGAACCUGGUACAGUGAGAUUGAUGCACAUUUAACUAAGUGUGGGUUCAAGAAAAGCCUCAGUGAAGCAACACUUUACAUCAAGGUUGAAAACAAGUCAGAAAUUCUCAUAGUAUCUAUCUAUGUGGAUGAUGUGGUCUUCACUGGAAACAGUAAGAAAAUGAUGGAUGAAUUCAGAAAUGAAAUGAUGGGAAAAUAUGAGAUGACAGAUUUGGGGCUACUUCAUCACUUUCUUGGAAUGGGGGUGAUUCAAAAGUCGGAUUGCAUUUUCAUUCAUCAGAUGAAAUAUGCACAAACACUUCUAGAUAGAUUUGGUCUUAAGGGAUGCAAACCAGUAAGCACUCCCUUAAUUGCAAAUGAAAAACUCAAAAGUGAAGAUAGAAGUGAACCAGUAGAUGCAAAUCUCUACAGGAAAAUUGUUGGCAGCCUGUUAUAUCUCACAGCAACAAGAUCGGACAUCAUGUAUGCUGCAAGCCUACUAUCAAGAUUCAUGCACAAUCCUACCAAAACACAUUUGGGAACCGUUAAAAGGGUUCUUAGGUAUGUGCAAGGGACAAUCGAUUUUGGAAUCAAGUAUGAGAAAGGACAGACAACUAUAUUAGUCGGUUUCUGUGAUAGUGACUGGGGAGGCAAUGAAGAUGACAUGAGGAGCACAUCGGGGUAUGCAUUUACAUUUGGCUCUAGUGUAUUCUCGUGGGCCUCAGUUAAGCAACAAAGUGUUGCACUAUCAACAACCGAAGCUGAAUAUGUGAGUGCUGCAGAAGCAACAUUUCAAGCAAUCUGGCUAAGAUUUGUUCUCAAAGAUUUUGGGGAACUGCAGGUUGAACCAACUAAGCUAAUGUGUGAUAAUACCUCAGCAAUAGCAAUGACAAGGAAUCCAGUAUUUCAUCAGAAAACACGACACAUCAAAAGGAAGUAUCAUUUUAUCAGAGAUGCAAUACAAGAGAAUGUCAUUGAACUAAUGUACUGCAAAACUGAAGAUCAGGUAGCAGACAUCUUUACAAAAGCACUACCAAAAGAAAGGUUCACUUACCUCAGAAGCCUACUUGGAGUCAACACCAGGAAGAGUUUAGAGGGGAGUGUUGGAUGCUAAACACUUCCAGGUGGAUCGAGAAGGGAUGCAGCAGCAACAUCAAAUGAAGCUAACGGCUAGUUUUUUUAAUUUGUAACGGCUAGUUAGUUUUUUAGUGAUAGUUUUUGACAAGUGUAAAGCUUAGAUUAAAAGCUCCAAUGAAGGGCUUAGAUUAGCUUUGUACUAUCAGGUUGUUGUGGUUUUUGUCAGCUAGCUCCAAUGGAGAUAAGGGCUGACUGUACACACCAAAACCCUACUGACACCAUAUAUAUAUGAGUGCUAUGUGCUGCUGCAAUGAAAGACUACAUAUAGCCGAAAUUCCCCUUCCAUAUUUCUAUGAAGAACAUUACCAUUCUCCAUAACACAAACCUUUCAAAACAAUCAUAUAAAACAUAAACCUUAUAAAACACUAACAUCUUGCUGUUUUGUUCUUAUUUCCAGUCCUGUUUCUCGAGCUUGGUGUUUCUGGUUGCAAAUUUUGGUUCGCCGGUGUAGUGCACAGGGGAGGGGAUUGUCUCGCAUUGUUCCAAGCAGUUAGAGGCGGUUGACAACGGUUGCGAUGAUGUGUUUUUCUACAGGGAGAACAUACAGGAGUCAGCAGUUAUCUUUUUGCAAUCGUUUUCGAUUAUGAAGGACAAGAAAGAAAAAAAAAUGAAUGUAGAAAGAAAACAUACAAGUUUUAAUAUAUAUGUAGUAGAUCCAGAUCAGAUUUUUGGAAACGCAUCACAUAGCAGUUAAAACACCUGGCCGUAAAUGAAGGGUUUGAGAUACCGCUAUAGUGGCAUCCUAGGUGUGAGUUUCUCUCGUAUCGGAUCACUUAUUGUAAGAAUAUCAAUAGUGAAAGUUAAAUACCAAUGUCGGGAAAGGAAGUCGAUGAUGACAAGAGAGGUUUGGCUUGAAAAAUGUACAAAGUUUGCAACAUGUGUUAUCGGAGUAUCAACUUGAAGCUGUUUGGGAUAAAAUCUGAACUUUGGGCCAGAGAGAAAGUCGGCCCAAACCCAAGGCCCAGAGGAAAACUUAGGAGGCAGGAAAGAGGCUUUCGGCUGGGCACAAGUUACAAAGGCCACCUGCUUACCUGCUCAAAGACCACAGGGGGUAGGUUAUUCAGUCACUACACAGCCCAAUAAAGUACUUUAUUGGUGGCAUUCAUGUAAAAAAGCUAGUGAGUCAUCACCAAACCGCAUUCGGGCAACCGCUAUUGCUACAGGAACCCAAGCUGAAGUCGUCUAUAAAAGGAGGAAGAGAAGACAGAAUUAAAGACACUCAAUCAAACAAACAAAAGCCAAAACUCUGCUCAAGCUAGAUUUGCCUUCAACGAAGCUGUAGUCAGCACAAGCCUUCAUCCAUUCGGGAUAAACCUUCCCAAACCCCUGUAAUAGCUCUGCUACCUUGUUCAUGGUGGUAUCGAUUCAUUUUGUAUCCUCUUCUCCCCCGUCAACCCCUCUAAAAGCUUUCAGACCUUUGACAGAGCCACAAGGAUAGAUUUUGUAAGAAGUUCAGCCUUGGCCAAUAAGGUUCAAACUUACCCGACUAUCUUUGCUCUGUCUUUGUCUUUUCUUUCUUUUAAAAGCACAAUAACAUGUUAUAUAUUCCCAGUUAUAUACAAGUUAUUUCUAGCAAAGUCAUAAUGAAAGUAAGUCUUCAGCACUUGAAUCCGAUCUGAAUCGCGUCAGAGUUCAAAUCAGAUCUAAGUCUUAAGCCCGCGGGCAUGUAAUUUAAAGAUCAGUUUAAAAGUCCUUGGCCUCAAGGCAUAAAAAAGAACUCUAUGUGGACUCAACCCAUCCACGACAAUCCUUGAUAAGCGAGAAGUCCGAAGUUACUUGGGGCGCAAGUAAUCAACCUAUUUCUCCGUUUUGUUGCUAUUAUAUCUUGAUUCAUAGAAAAGGCUUAAGCAGGGAGUGAAUUCUGAUAGAAAGCCUCAAGGCCUACACCUAAGGCCCCACGAAGGCAUCUAUUUAGCUUCAUUUCAUGUUGUGGUCUAGUUGGUCCGAGUAUAAGGAUUAACUCUGAUGGGAAGCCUCAAGGCCUAUACCUAAGGCCCUACAAAGGCACUCAUUUGGGUUCGUCCUACCUCUUGGAUUCAGAUAAUCAAAAGUAUAAUAGUGAUAAGACUCUGGCAACCAUAAAAGACCAAAUAUGAUACAUCCAAGCGCUGGUUUAGUUUGACAGGAAGCCUCAAGGCCUAUACCUAAGGCCUCACAAAGGCACCUGUUAUAUCUAACUUGGUUUCUCGGGCGUAUACAUAUUCAAUCAAAGCUUAACACCCAUUCAACAUCUGCCAUACUGAAGAUGGCAGUGGCACGCCUGAGCACGACAAAGUUAAUCUUGAUUGUGAGCCUUAAGGCCUACAUCUAAGGCCCCACAAAGGCACCCUUUCAAAUUAACUCUGUCCUUCUCUUUCAGAACUGCCCGACGAGCCUUGCCCGAAGUGUGUCUUGCCCGACCAAGAUCUGCCCGACAAAGGCUUGCCCGAGCGAGCCCGAGAAGAAAGCAGAAGUACGACAGAUACCCUCAACCGACGCCAUUCUCCCAGGGGAGCUGUGUGCUCGUCCGCCAGGAGAUUGCGACGAACAGAAGCUCUUCAUCUCUCCGUCAUUAAAUGUUUCGUAAGCAGCAUUGUUAAAGUUCUCUACAGGGGGAAACUGAAGAUGGUUUUGAAUGAAGAAGAAUGGAAAAUAUAAUUUAGAAAAUGAGAAAGAAAAUUAUAAUUGAAACUAAUAAAAUGAGAGGAUAAGCUCGGGUUCCAAUGGAAAGGGGGAAAUUUUCAGAGCGAGAAGGAAGCGGUUUUUUCACUUGCUCUCUUGGGCUUUGGGCUUUGGGCUUUUGGAUUGGAUUGGGCCAAUUACUUACUUAGGCCCCAUCCCACCUGAUGACUAUUUGUCGGUCUAUAUUGACUAGAGUGAACGUGCUAAACUAGAAUUUUGAGGUCUUGAAUUAGCGAAUGUCAUGAGCCAGACCUAUAAGGCUGUCUUUAAUAAGAAGUUGCCGCGUUUUGUCAAAACUGAUCCAUCUAAUUGCAAAUUGUAACCAUAUUAGUUGAGUGCAUAUGCUACAUUACAUGUAAUGAAUAUUCAGUACGGGUGACAAGUGAUCAGACUUGUAGGGUUGUUCAAUAAGAAGUUAUCACGCUCUCAAGAGUGGAGCUAGAUGGGAGCACUUCCCUACCAAAGUGUUAUCCUUCUCCUUUACAAGGAAUUUGUGUCACCAUUAGAUAGGAGAUUCGAACACAAGACCUUGAAUUGAGAGGUAAACGCUUUUACAAAGCUUCUACAAGCACCUUCUUGUUUACCAAAAUUAUUGAGACUAAAGGAGGUCUUAACGCCAUUUUGGCUAAUACUGUUAUGUAUAUUUACGAAUGGUUUUAAGUUUGGGUUUAAUUGGAUAAUCAGAGAUUAGUGCAUCAAACUAUGGAUAUCAAAAACCAAAAGCACAAUUCAUAUUCCUCUAACAAGUCCACGCAAAUAACCACAAUCAAAAUGUUAGUUCAUAACUGGUCAUAUAGAACUCAGUACAAAAGCACUAAAAGCGUCCAAGUGAAAGUGCUUUCUCCUCAUGUAGUUUCAUUUAACUUAGUUUCACAUGCCAGUCCGUCACACACUCAACUCCUCAACGUUUGGGCUCAAAGCAUUCUUUAUCCUUUCUGUACGAGAGACAAUAAAUUUAAAGUUCUUGUGAUGAAACCAUGUAAAACAUUCAGAAAUCUUGAUUUAACCCUUUCUCAAGAUCAUAGGUUGUGUCAUCUCAACCUAUAUCUUAGGUCUUAUGAGUGCUCGUAAUACACUAAUAUGACGCUUGUUUUCUGGCCAGGACAGAAACAAAAUCAUGCAGGAAAUCGUCAUGACAACUUAAGCGUAAAAUGCGACCGGAAAAACACUAAACAUGAUAGCUAUGCUUUCUUCGUGUAAACCUUAACAACAAAGACUAUACCGUAUCUGUCACAGUGAUAUGCGACCAUAAGCCCAACUCCAAGGAUCACCUUUCCAAGAGCUUUGAAGGCUACAAAUCAAAAGUUACAUGCAGUGAUGACAUAAUCAUGAAAAAAUACAGUCAUAAAUUAAAGGAAAACCUACCAACUUCUAGUUCUGGCAAUUCACUAUUGGGCCAUAUAUUUGAACCACAGUAUGAUGGAUACCUACAAUACAGAUCACAAAUAAAAUCUGAGCAAACACAAAGUAUUAUGUUCUGUUUACGCAAAAUCUGUAAGUUCUCAAAUAGGAUAAAUAAAGAUAAACAUAUCCCAGCAUAAAGACGACUUGUCCUGGCUAAUUCUAAGAAAGCUUGUAUCAAAUGUAUGAUAGUUAUUCAUAACUAACACAAACAACAGUUUGGCCAAACAUUACUGGUCUGAGCCAUAUACUGUGUGACCUCAGACAAAACAGAUCCCACAUGUACUCAGAUUAUGAUUGAUGUCCCAAUAGACUUUUAGGCGGUGCUCUGAUAUAAUACAUCCAAAUUGGGGUGGACCAUAUAAUACACCCCAACGGAUCGUUUUAAGCUCCUCCACUGCUAAAGCUAUUGCAAAAUGCGCAUUAGGAUUAUACUUCUAUUAGAAGCGCCUUUCCUUACUAGGCAAAUGAACCAUAUAAUACACCAAGAUGGAUGUUAUACACGUUAGCGUUUGAGCAGAAUUUUUUUGGUUAUCUCAUUGUCUCACAUUGCUAGAAUUGAAAAGUUUAUAAUAUAAUAACGUUCGCAUAUGAACUUGAGAAACGACAUACUGCCGGCUGGCCAGGAAUGUGCAGUGAAAGAGAGGAAAGGAAGAAAGAAACAAACAUGCAUGAAAGGACAAAGACUAUCCAAUAGAUUUCAAACAAUGACUUCUUGGGGUGAUUACAGCUAUUCAACCAUCAAUAAUGCAUUAUUUUAGUUUGGAAUUUGGAAGCAUUUGAGAAGUAACAUGACAUCAACCACUUAAUAAACAAAAGUGAUUAGAAAAAAACCCAAAUGUGAAGGAAUAAUUAAAAAAAAUUAUUCAAGAUAAGCGAUAAAUGGUUCAACCAUUUACAAGAUAUGAACUUAGAACAACAAUCUAUUGGAUCGUUGUAUUAACUAUUAAGUGGUGCUCUAAUAUAAUAUAUCCAAAUGGAGACGAACCAUAUAAUACACCCAAAUGGACCAUUUUUAGGCUCCACUGCUAAAAACUAAUGCAAAACGGGCAUUAGGAUUAAACUAUAAGAACUAGGAUUGCAGGGAAGACAAAACACGCAGGAAAGCUACAAGACUACACAUGGUUUUCACUGUGAUUAAAUACCCUCAACGUUGUAGGGAGCAACCUUUUUAUAAUCACUUUUCAGAUUACAUCAGGGUUUCAAAAACCCUAUUUACAAGCUUACAUUUUGAAAUUCAAAUACUAUAACUAAUUCUGACAAAACAAAUAUUUAAAAAUUCAAAUGAUUUUAACAGAAGCUCUACUUGAUAAGUGUUGUUGACUGAGUAAACCAACUGAAGAGUUUCUGUUUGAAGAGGAAACUUGACUCCGUCUAACAUAAACUUGUAUUAGCUAGCUUUCCUAGUCAAAUGAACCAUAUGAUACACCCAAAUGGAUGCCAUCAUGCCAUAUAUAAACAAUGUUUUGAAAGGACAAGGUACCUAACACUGUCUUUUUAUAUAAUGUAAGCAACAACCAUAAAUCUUAUUGGAGCUAAUUAACUAAUGUAUUUAUUAGACAGUUGGAUUCCUUAGCAAGUGGUUAACUAUUUUUGUUUAGUUUAGUAGUCAGGUCGUAAUUAAUUAGUCAAAUGAACCAUAUAAUACACCCAAAUGGAUGCCAUAUAUGCAAUAUAAACAAUUUUUUCAAAGGAUGAAAUGACUUUCUUGCGGGUAUGGGGGAAGAGGAAAGAAACUAGUACGAAACUGCAGACCCUAUCGAUCCAUUAUAAUAAAUUUCAAUGGUCCAAGUUGUAAGUUAAAUGUGCAACGUAAAAACUUAUUCACAAUUAUCAAUUUAACCAUGUACUUGUGGAAGACAUCGUCUUUGAAAACUAAGAUUAAGAACUGAAGUUCUCCUGCAACUCUACACAAUUGAAAGCUCGCUCAAUGGGGUUUGAGUUUUCUGUAAACUUGCGUAUUUAGGGGAGAGAUCAGGGACCUCAAUUUUAUACAUGGAAUUUAAUAAGGAUCCCUCUCAUUAAUUGAUCCUUAUCAAAGAGUAGCCUUAUCACUGUGAAACACUAAUGCAUUAUAUCAACUAAAAGAGUUCUAGUUUUAUCGAAAAUGUAUCUGACUUGAAAUUGUAAAGAAAUACAACUCCUGGUAAGCCUACCACAAGUGUCAAUCCUUAUCUCCUUAUCAUUCCACAUCACCAAGUGUUUGCUCUCAUUUAGAACUUACACAAAUCUCAUGUAGUUUCAUCUAACUUAUUUUUCACAACGGUGAAUAUAUUUCAAUGGCUUGGUUUUCACAUGCCAGUCAGUCACAUGCUCAACUCCUCAAAGUUCGGGCUCAAUGGCUCGAAGAGAGCUUCCACUUCACUCUGAUUCACCUCCCUCUUACUUUGACGGGUUCCACUUCGGAUUCUGCAUUGACAAAAAACAGAAGCAAAAGAUUGUUGAGAGUUGUCCCACAUUGGUGAGGGACAAGGUUUGUUAUGUGCUUAUAUGAUCUUGGGCUACUUCCUAUAUUGCCAAUUGGUUUUAUGAUGGAACCUCAAUUUCAUCAAAGAUAACGAUCUGUUCUGAUACAAGGAAAGUAAGAUGAUUAUAUAAUUGUAGGUCUAGUACAGGCUGUAAUGAUUUAUGUUGCAGCAACUCCGUCAGCAAGUGAUUUUCAAGUAAGGAAUCUUGAGCAUAAUUAACGAACCUGAUCCUUGUCCACCAAAACUGCCCGCAUACCUUCAGCAAAAUCAUUCUGCAAAGACGAUCUUCUAGCAACGCGAUAUUCAGUUUUCAUCACUACCAGUUAGCUGGUAUGGAUCAAGUAAAGCACAUGACAACUCACUCAGAAAAUGUGAAAUACUACAACACAAAAUCUAUCAAAAGGAUGCAACCUUGAAGAGCUUCAUUUGCCCACUCCACCAAUACAACAGAAACAAUUUGAUAGAAAAUACUUGACAGCCACGUACAAGCCUCUCAAUAGAAGAGUAAGACAGAUUUCAUUUCAUCAUCGAUAAACAAAUGGCAUUGACAAACUUACCAGUAGCAUCUGAACUCUGCUGCUGCUUUUUAAGUUCAUCAAUUGUCACAAGAACCGACUUAUUUGCACCAAAUGCUGAAGUUAUUUGAGGUAAAAAACUCCUGAGCUGCGCUUCGAAUCUGGGUUGCUGCUGAAUUUCGCCACAGUUGUAAUUGACAACAUUGACAAUUGUCUCUCUCGCAAUAGUACCUUCGUAAUGAUCCGGUACUGACCUUGGCCCGAUAGGCCAAUACCAAAGGCCAUUGUUAUGGCCACGAAGCUUAUACGUGGCUGUCAAGCCCGACACGUGAAUAGCAUACUCUACUAUUGUGUUACAUUGUGAGAAUUUUAUCCAAAAUUAAUUGACAAUAAGUGAAUAAGUUGAAAGAUUAUGUAUGACUUUAAUUAUGCAAAGAGUGAAGAGGCAAUUUUCACCAAACUUCAGUAAAAAAUUUGGGCCUCACAAAUCACUAAACCCAAUAUGCUUUUCUCUUAUGCCUUUCGUUCAUGGUUUGAUAUUCUGGCGUCCGAGGACCCUGACAUGACAAGUUCCAACAUUUGUUCAAUUUCUUGACGAAACAAUCACAUUUACCCUAACGGCACGGCACGGUUCCGGGCAUAGAAUAUGGGUUGGGUUCCAUCACAGCUGCAACACUAAUUAGCACUGUAGAGAAGGAAAUAAAAAGACAACUAUUGAUUUCUUACAACGUAGCGAGUCUCUUGACAUGGCUCCUGCUGUUUUGUUCUUAUUUCACGUCCUGUUUCUCGAGCUUGGUGUUUCCGGCAGGGCCGAUCUAUAGAUUUUUGAGGCCCGGAGCAACGUAAAAAAAUAUGCCCUCACUUUAUAUAAGAAAAUUAUUUGUUUUCACAUGUAAGACAUCGAUAAAAUUAUACUUACACAAACACUUAAAACUUAAUGAUUUAGAAACAAGAAAAAACUAAUUUAUUUUGUAUCGUGAGAAUGAAACAAAAAAACUCUGGGUUUACAAGUAGAUAGAUAGAUAUGGGUUUACAAGUUGCGGAUUGCUUUGCUAACUAUGAUGUUGAUCUGGCUGGGGUUCAUUGGUGAGAUUCUUGAUUUCCUUGUGCUACUUUGACAUAUCACCAUAAGUUGUCUUUUUGCCUUGUUAUAGUUUCGUGUGGGGUUUUUUUUCUUCUUCUAAUGUUGAUUGGGUUCUUUUCUUCCAACUCCUGCCCACUCAUUAUUGUCUGAACCACACCUAGUAUUACCCUCAUAUCCACUAAAACUUCAAGCUUUACCAAUUUGUCACAAGCGAAGAUGGUAGCUCCCAACACCAAUGAGGUUCCAAACAAUUACGAUCGAAAAAGCGAAGUGAAAGCUUUUGAUGAGACAAGGGAAGGCGUUAAGGGUCUUGUUGAUGCCGGGGUAGCCGAGGUUCCUAGAAUUUUUCAUCAACCACCACAAUUGGACGAUCAGUACUCCAUCAACAAUACAAGCACUGACUCAGAAGCCACCCAGUUUAGCAUUCCGCUAAUAGACCUUGAAGACCAUGGUAAUCCAACUAAGCGCAAUGAGAUUGUUGCAAAAGUUGGAGAGGCAUCAGAGACUUGGGCUUCUUUCAAAUAGCGAAUCAUGGGAUACCUGUAAGUCUUCUGGAGGGGAUAAAGGAUGGGGUACGUGGGUUUUAUGAGCAGGACACUCGAGUCAAGAAAGAGUUUUACACUCGUGAUCACUCUAAACCUUUGUUUUACAAUAGCAACUUUGAUCUUUAUAGUUCACCGGCAACGAAUUGGAGGGAUACUUUUAAGUGUUACAUGGCUCCAAAUCCUCCUAAGCCAGAAGACUUGCCAGAAGUAUGCAGGUAUUUGACAACCCAAUUCUCUGGUUUAAUUGGUGACAGUAACCUGGUGCAGAUUCCUUCCUUGAUGGAUUAGAUCAUUAAACUCCAUACUUUUGACAAGUUUAAUGUGCUUUCCUGGUUUUCAACUUGCAGAGACGUACUGAUCGAGUAUUCAAAGCGAGUAAUGGAGUUGGGGAAAUUGUUGUUUGAGUUGUUGUCGGAGGCCCUUGGGCUAAAGCCAAGCCACUUGAAUAACAUAGAUUGUAGUAAGGGGCUACAGGUUUUAGGCCAUUACUAUCCUGCUUGUCCACAGCCAGAGUUAACUUUGGGCACAAGCAAGCACGCUGAUGAUUCCUUCCUUACGGUCCUUCUGCAAGAUCAUAUUGGUGGUCUGCAAGUUGUUGGUCGUCAAAAUAAGUGGAUUGAUGUACCCCCUGUGCCUGGGGCUUUAGUGGUGAACAUUGGAGAUCUUUUACAAGUAAGCACACGUAUACAAUUGCCCUUUUUUUUUCUCCCUAAAAACUACUAUUAAAUUAAGAGAAUAGUAUCGUAAACUAAGCUAGUUUGUUAAUGACUAAUACUCGAGACAAGCUUUGGUCGCAUGUUAGCGUUCUCUUAGAAUAUGUCUUAGAAUUCUUCGAUUAUCAGCUCAUAUCAAAUGAUAGAUUCAAAAGCGUAGAACACAGGGUAAUGGCGAACCGUCCGUGAAGGUCCAAGGAUAUCCAUUGCCAGCUUCUUUAGCACAGGUUUGCUACCAUUUACAAAUCUCUAUGGACCUAUUAAGGAGUUGGUAUCAGAAGACAACCCUCCAAAGUACAGGGAGACUACUGUGAGGGACUACGACACCCAUUUCUAUGACAAAGGCCUAGAUGGAACCUCUGCCUUAUCUCAUUUUAAGAUCCGAACUUAGACAUGGAGGAGCACAGAAGCAGAGACCGCAACGAACAAAUCCUGUCUACUAAAUAAUUUGGCAUGAAAAUAUAUAUUGGUUUGUUUAAUCUGAAAGCACUUUCGCACCACAAAAUUCUGGAUAUGCAUAUUAUUUUGUUUU
rnacentral:lncRNA from 1 species